UGGCCUCUUUGGUCCUCUUGUCCCUGAAGCUUCCUUGCUGUCUCCCUGUCUACGCCGAAUGCCUCCGCCAACAACUCUUGUUCAAAGCCGCUGAACACAUUUCCAGAUUGGAAUUGCUCCCUGCGGGCUCCUUCUUGUUGUCCCUGUUGUCGUUCUCCUUGUUGUGGGUUUCCAGCUAUGAAGAAUCUCUGCAAAUAACGCAAAACCAUUUUAGUCAGCACCAAAUAUAACUUCCCAAAACUGGCUCGGACCAAUUGUUGAGACGUUGAAAAAUUUUUAAUUUUUUCCAAGUAAUAUUUGUUCAAACAUAACUUCAAAUUUCAAAAUCUAUGGCCAAACAAAAGUUUAGAAUGAUAUACACUUUAUAUCUAACGUACUCUUGAAGUUUGAUCGAGCUGGUUAGCACUGUUACCGCUAUCCUCGAAACCAACAAGAACGAGCUCCUCAUUUCCUUCGUUAUAAGCCCAGUGAGCAGCUCCAGCAGGGAAGGCAAUAAUGUCACCCUGUCUGAACUGUCCAAUCUUCUGGUGAUGAUCUUGGAACCUUGAUCCUGCACCCCUUUCACCUUGCUGAAAUUGCUGUGACGACUGGAAAGUUUCAGGGCAUCCAGAAUUCAUGAUGCCAAAAAAUCCCCUACCUGAUCAUUAAUCAAUCAAUUACCCCCACAAAACGUUAACAAUUCAUCUAUUAACUAACGGAAAUUAAGUUUAAACAAAGAAACAGAAUGUAUGUACGUAUGUACCUUGUUCAACAUAGGCAAGGAGAGGAGCAUUAAGGUAGGAAGGCAACAGCAUGCCUCUAGGCUGGAUGACAUGUCGAAUGAGGGAGAUACCGGUACAUUGGAACUGCUGGUUAUUUGGGUCCCAUACAUCCGUUAACCCAGCUUCGGCUUGAAUCCGAACAUUGGGUUCCUGAGGGCUAAGUCUAUUGAGCUGACACUGACCUUGUUGCUGUUGGAAUCUUUGUUGAGCAAAGGUACCAUGCAACACUAGAAGAAGACUAAGGGAGAAACAAAGCAAGCUAGAACCCAUGAUUGAUUGAUUAUUGCUAAUGUAUGUAAGAAGAAAGAAGAGUUAUAUAUUGCUGAUGGGAAGUGGCGAACGGGAAUUGAUGGUAUUUGUAGGAAGGAGAGGUAGGCAAGGGAGUGACACAUAGCAAUUAAGGUGCCAUUUUGCGCUAUGCAUGGCUAUCAAAGCAUGCUGCCUUACACCUAAUAAAGUUAUAUACUCAUGCAUACAGAGUUUUAGGUGGCUUCAUCCUACUAAGAACAAUACAAAACCGAUUUUGUUUGAAUCGGACGAGUUUUCCAUUAACGUGGCAACUCGAUUAUGCACCUUGUGACCUGUGUGUUGGAUAGCGUACCAUGCACAUUGUUUCCAGGCUGGUUGUCUUUUCUGUUUCUCAUUUUGUCAUGUAUACAUUGCCCAUGUAAGAAUAGAAGUGAUUUACUGAGAUAAUACUUUAUCGUAAUAGAACUUAAUUUUGGGAUAUCAUUUCUAUAUACUACUCCGUAAUCAUGCGUGUAAAUGUAGUAUCUUUUCUAAAGCAAUUGUCUCUUCCAUUUAAUUAAAUUUUAUAUUAAAUAGAUCAUUAAUUAUUGUUUGUCGUGAAUGCCCCCUUAUAAAGUAAAUUGUAGUUCAUAUAACAAAUAGAACUCGUACAUUAAAAACUCAAAUUAUCGAUUCGUAUAAAUUAUAAGGUUUAAAUAUAUAAUAUACGCUAACAGUUGGCAUUUCAUCGCUAUAAUUAUAAUAUAAAAUUAAAUUAAUGUAAUUUAACUUGAUUAUACAAAAGGUUUCAUUUUUUAUUAUUGUGGUAGUAUGAUAUUAUGAAGGUAUAUAUGACAAAUAAAGAGAACUGUUCUAAUACUAUCUAGAUAAAAUACCUUUUUCUAGUCAUUUACAUAUACUCUUUAAUUAAUCUGAAUAUAAUUACUAUGUAACAAGGUGUGUUGUUUAUUGUUUUCAUUUAUUAUGGGUGAGGGGCACGCCUUCAAAAAUUAAUGUAACUGAUAAAUAGGAAGAAAAAUGCUGUUAAUUUAUAUCGAGUUAUUGAGUUACCAAAUUUUAAAUGAUUUUGUAAAUUUUUGGUUGAAGUUCUAUGGGGAUUAGGGGUUAUCAAUUUUUGGUUUUUUAUGCUUUGGUAAUAGCUAAGUCAACCAUCCAAUAAGAUCAUAUAAAAAUUAUUUUUUAUCUUUAAUUAUACAAAGGUGACUUUAGAGCUUAAAUAAAACUCUUGCACUUAUUAUUUCCUUAAUUCUAUUUCUUCCGGGUGAGGUAUUAGACUUAUGAACAGCUUUAAUUUGCGGUUUUGCAUUAUAGUUUAAAUUGUUGUUUGUUAGUAAAGACAGAUUUGAGAGAAUGCUACCGCAUUUAAGUCCAUGUGUAUAUGAAGCCGUUUCUCUAAGGUUAAUAUGCUUGCGAUCUCUUUUAUUUAGAUGGCGGAAGAAUAUUUUUGGACCUUUUACAAUCUUCUUCGUCAUAAAAUGAAUAAGUACUAGUAACAGUAAUAAGAUUGCGACCGAAAGCAUAUGAAUUUGAGUCUUUGAAUUACAUUUUUCACAAGUUAUUUAUAAUAUUUCUUUUUAAUAAUAGUUCUGUUUAGACAAAUGAUCCUUUAUUCUUUGGCCUCAUAGUAAUAAGUUCAUGAAGUUUGUUUUAGCAAUAAAUACCCGAGGAGAUUGCAUAUAUGCAAACAUGAAAACAAGACAAAAUAAAAAAAUAAAUAAAUAUAUAUAUAUAUAUAUAUAUAUAUAUAUAUAUAUAUAUAUCUUCUUAUCAAUUGAAUCAAAAAUCAAACUAUUAAGGACCUCUAAUCGAUUAAUUGUAAAUCAAUUUCAAUUAUCUUCGAUUUGGUAAUCAAUUUAGCAUGUUUACAAAUCGACAGCGAAUAAACCGAAUUGAGAAUAUAUGAGGUCGAAUCAAAUCGAUCAAAAGGAACCCCUAAUAUGAUUUUUGUAAUGCAAAUUUUGGGCAUUUAUUACUCAUUCAAAAUAAAAGAAUACAAAUCUAUAGGUCAAACAUCCCAAAAUAAAACAAUACACACAAAAAAGAACCACUCAGUCCAACCAGAAGAGGCCCAAACCCGUUUCUCUUUAUUAUAUAGAAGCAAGAAUGAAGGUUUCCUAAUCCCAUUUUUCUUCUAACAUUGACUCUUUCGCUCCACAUCUGAACGAUGUUGCCACCACAUGUCAAUCGUACGUGACCUCCUCCUCAUUUUGUUUUGGGUCAUCAAUUUGCUUUCUCUGGGAUUUUGAGGGGCUGGUAAAUCAACUUUCAAGAGUAUUCCACUUUUUAUUUUCUCCGCAUCUUUUGAUUUGCUUUAUUGACUUCUGCUCCCUUCAUAUUUAUGUUCUCAUGUGGGUAGAUAUGCUCUAUAUAUUUUGUUGAGGAUUCCUAUUUAUGGAAGUUGUCUUGUAUCACUGGGUAAGUUUCAAUACUCCUCACUUUGCAUUUUUUCAGUGUUACUCUAACAAAUCGUCCUAGUGGAACUGAAGUUGAGUGCAUGGGAAGCUCGGCACUUUUACCCCAUAGUGUAUAGGCCAACUCCAGGUUUCCAACUACUAAUUUGACCCUGGAUUCCUCUCAUUUGACCGAGUCCUUUUGAUGGAUAAAGUAGUGUAGGCUAUAUGGCGAUUCACUUUUUUUUUAAACCCAUGUGGAUAUGUGAAUAUUUGUCAAGUGAAAACUUGUGUUUUAGUUUUCCCUACCCCAUUAUCCCUUGAUAGGUGAUACUUCUGAAGUACAACAAUUUAAUCUAUCGCUAUUGAUGAGUUCCGUUCCUGUUGUUUCCAUGUUGUUAAAAUACAAAAAACUAUAGUUAUCUUUGUCUAUUGCUAGAUUUAUUAGGUAAUCUGCUAGUUGAUUGCCUUUUCUCAGAAUAUGUCGAAACAUUGUUUUCUUUCCUACAAGAUUUAACUUUAUAUCUGCAAUCAUAUUUGUAAUGCUCUCUAGACGAGACCACUCACCCUCUAACAUCCUUUUCAGUAGCAAAGAAUUUGUUGUACUAUAACAUUAUUGUUUUGUGUCUGCUUGCAAUGUUUACUAGCUUCUAGGAUAGCUAUUGCUUCUCCCACUGUGUUAGUAUUGCUCUCUAAGGUAGUCCCCUGUGCAUAUAGUAAAUCACCAUUAGCAUCUCUUAAGAAAAAUACAUAAGAUCUUAUCACUGGAUUUUCUCUAAAUGCUCCAUCAGUAUUAUAUUUAACUCACCCAUCUAGUGGAAACUCCAACAACACUUUAGUGACCUUCACCCUAGGUUUAAACUCAUCUAGAUCCUUUAGCUUUCCUGGCAAAGUUCCUGGAAAUUUCAUGUCAGGCUUUCUCACUCUAAGUAGUAUAUGCAUAUCUCUAACCACAUUUUGAAUUAUCAUCUGAAGUGUCAUCCUCUUUUCUUUAUGUUUCCUGAGGUUUCUAUGCUUCCACAGUUCCCAUACUAAAAUUCUUGGAAGAGCCUUAAAGUAUGGCUUAAGAUCUUUCUUCACUUCAGCUCUCUACCAUAGCAUGAUAACCUCUCUCAGACUGAGGCUUUCCACAUUCAACCUUGCAAAAGAACAAAAGUAGGACUAUGUCCUGUUAGCAAUAAUUGAUCAAAAACACAUAUGCUAAUGUAUCUUGAUCAGGAUUAGCACAACACCAACAUCUUGAAGGGUCUACUAUUCCCUAUCUCCUUAAUCUGUCAGCCACUGAAAUUUUAAUCUUUCAAAGUUUCCAUAUGAAAAAGACCAUCUUAAAUGGUAACCCUUUGAGCCACAUCUACUUUUAAACCUUGUUUGAAUCUUCCUUAUGUCUAACAUACCACCAGACUGACUUAACUUUGGAUACCCCUUUUAUAUUCAACAUCCAAUAUGGUUUGUCACGGUCCCUUUCUUGAUUAGAAGGCUUAACAUUUUGCACUAUAUGCUUUAUUACCUCAUUAGUAAAGAUUUCUCUUAAUACUUUUAAGUCCCACUUUCUAUUCUUUGUUAAAUCAAUGAUUUUUUCAUAAGAAUCAUCCAUUCUGCUUUAUCCCCUGUAUAAGUAUACAAAUCUCCCAAACCUGUCCAAUUAUCAUGUCACACCAUAGAGGAUCCUUUUUUGGCAUUCCACUAGAUUUGAUGCUUAAUCAAGUCUCUAUCCUGCAAUAUUUUUUUCUAUGCCUAUGACCCUCUACCUCUCUAUUUCUAUAUUACCAAACUAUAAUGAAUUUUCCUACAAUACUUAAUUUCAUAUACUCACUCCAGACGGUGUUUUUUAUCCUAAAGUUCCACCAAAGUUUACAGAACAAAGCCAUGGACAAUCCUGCAGUAAUCGAAAUCCCAGUCCUUCUUCUUCUUCUAGUAGGCAUAAAUUACUCCACUUAAUCCAGUACCUCCCCUUUUCUCCAAAAUACUUAUGCCAUAAGUUAUUGAAUUUGGUUCAAUACAUUUUGAGGAGGAUUCAUAGUUGAUAAGCAAUAUAUAGGUAUAUUUUAAAGCUUAUGCUUUAUCAGAAUUGCCUUCUAUCUAUAAGAUAAGAAACCCCUAAUAUGGAUUAAUAAGUUUCAUGUCAUGACCUAAUUUAUCAAAUCAUAAUAGAAAUAGAGUAAUAAGAAAGGCAGAAUCAAAAGUAAAUAAAAGAGAAAGAAGACAAGAAGGAAGGAAGUACAUCCCUAAAACCUGAUAAGUCAGUAUAAGAGCUUGUGAUACGGAGUACCAAAUAAGUAUAAAACAUGUAUAAAUCUAUCUCCAAAUUAUAAAAAUAGAGAUCAAUCUAACAAUAAGAAGUAGAGAAAAAAUGACUUCAAACAUUGAGAACUCACCAUAAAUUUCCGGUUCAUGGCUGCUCUGCACGAUGCAUACAUCAAUGACGAGAAUCCAUACUAUGAUUUGCAAGAAACAGAAGUAUAGUAUGAGUACCAAACAUGCGGUACACAGUAGUCAUUGGCCGACUGAUCUUCAAAGAAAAUACAAGUAUAAAUAAUAUGUAAAGUAAGAAAAUAAACUAAAAGCAACUAUCUAAAAAAUGACACAUAAUAAUACCAAGGAAAAAAGAGGAAUAUCAUACCUUGUAAGUAAGAUGGGAUGAAGAUAUGCUUAGAAAGAGAAAUUGGAGUUUCUAUCUGAAAACCAGCGGAAGCAUUGGACGCACACUCUUCUAAAAGGAAUGUCAUGAUACAAAGUGGGCAAGUCAUCCGGGGCAACAAGGCAUGCGAGCACUCUUGGAGUCGGCAUAUUAUUGGUCGCAAAUGAGAGAGGAGAUCGAAGAUGGAGUACGGACUUGUCUUAUUUGUAAGGAUAAGUUAUCAUGUACUACUAGUAAUCAGGAAUAAAAACCCAAUGUUAUAAGUAGCUAGUCAUUGUAAGAUGGUAUAGUGAAGUUUAUACAAUGUGCAAUAGAAGUAGGAAGGAAGAUACAUAUGAGAGAUAUAUUAUCACGCCUAAACCAGGGUCUCCAGUCCUUCUUCUUCUUCUAGUAGGCAUAAAUUACUCCACUUAAUCCAGUACCUCCCCUUUUCUCCAAAAUACUUAUGCCAUAAGUUAUUGAAUUUGGUUCAAUACAUUUUGAGGAGGAUUCAUAGUUGAUAAGCAAUAUAUAGGUAUAUUUUAAAGCUUAUGCUUUAUCAGAAUUGCCUUCUAUCUAUAAGAUAAGAAACCCCUAAUAUGGAUUAAUAAGUUUCAUGUCAUGACCUAAUUUAUCAAAUCAUAAUAGAAAUAGAGUAAUAAGAAAGGCAGAAUCAAAAGUAAAUAAAAGAGAAAGAAGACAAGAAGGAAGGAAGUACAUCCCUAAAACCUGAUAAGUCAGUAUAAGAGCUUGUGAUACGGAGUACCAAAUAAGUAUAAAACAUGUAUAAAUCUAUCUCCAAAUUAUAAAAAUAGAGAUCAAUCUAACAAUAAGAAGUAGAGAAAAAAUGACUUCAAACAUUGAGAACUCACCAUAAAUUUCCGGUUCAUGGCUGCUCUGCACGAUGCAUACAUCAAUGACGAGAAUCCAUACUAUGAUUUGCAAGAAACAGAAGUAUAGUAUGAGUACCAAACAUGCGGUACACAGUAGUCAUUGGCCGACUGAUCUUCAAAGAAAAUACAAGUAUAAAUAAUAUGUAAAGUAAGAAAAUAAACUAAAAGCAACUAUCUAAAAAAUGACACAUAAUAAUACCAAGGAAAAAAGAGGAAUAUCAUACCUUGUAAGUAAGAUGGGAUGAAGAUAUGCUUAGAAAGAGAAAUUGGAGUUUCUAUCUGAAAACCAGCGGAAGCAUUGGACGCACACUCUUCUAAAAGGAAUGUCAUGAUACAAAGUGGGCAAGUCAUCCGGGGCAACAAGGCAUGCGAGCACUCUUGGAGUCGGCAUAUUAUUGGUCGCAAAUGAGAGAGGAGAUCGAAGAUGGAGUACGGACUUGUCUUAUUUGUAAGGAUAAGUUAUCAUGUACUACUAGUAAUCAGGAAUAAAAACCCAAUGUUAUAAGUAGCUAGUCAUUGUAAGAUGGUAUAGUGAAGUUUAUACAAUGUGCAAUAGAAGUAGGAAGGAAGAUACAUAUGAGAGAUAUAUUAUCACGCCUAAACCAGGGUCUCGCCAUGAUGGGAAUCCCAAGUCGUACAUGGAAUGUACAUUUCCCCCUUAAUCUAAUCAAUCCAACACAACACGUCUCAGAGUCAGAUGAAUUCCAAACAUAUAACAAGAUACGGGUUUAAUUAUAUAAAUACGUCAAAGUAUAAUCAUAAUCAACACUAUCGAGUAUCGGCGUUAAUGCCAAUACUAAUACCAAUUAUGAUACCACUACUGAUACCGUCCAUACCAAUAGUAGUUUGAUAAAGCCUCUAAUCCAAUCCAAAGAGUAUUCGAUCAGGAAAUGCCUCCGACCAUAGCCAAAACCAUGUCUAAACAAAGUCUGAAACAUAGAAGUAUGGAAGCUCACCACUUUAAUGUCAACUCACAAACCAACUCGAACACCUGAUCACUGCAUAGGAAAGGUAAAAGAAGCUCUGGUUCUUGUAUCGCAUGGGGAUACAACAUUUGUAGAUAGUUAGAAGUUGGAACACUAGCAUGUAACUCAGGGAUAAAGGAAUAAAAUAAUUCCAUCAUUCAAAAUCAAGUCAAAUCAUCAUAUGAAUCACAUGUAUACAUAUAUAUAUAUAUAUAUAUAUAUAGUGUCGGGAUAGGGAGCAAGGCUUAGUAUGAAAUUUUAAAACCUUAACCUGGGUUGUGUAGCAUAACCGUCAUAUAAUAAGGAACCCAUGAGCUAUAUGGCCCCAACUCUCUCCUAGCUGAAAGGGCCCUAGUGCAUAUAGCUGCACGAACUACAGAAUAUCCAUAACCGUAUAUGCCAUUAUUGCGGACUCGAACCUCUCAGCAUAAUCCAGGUGACUUAAGCACCAAUGUAUAUAAUAAAUGGGACUCAAAUAUCCCAUGUAUAUCCAUUCGAGGGACUCAAAUGUCCCAGUUAUAUAGACACCUGCACUGGCUAGUGCGAUUUCCAGUAUUAGUCCUUUGGACUCCACUUUCAUGGCCCUCAGCUUAAAAGCUAUAGAAAGAACACAAGAGGGUACGAUUGGACCCCUUAACUCGUAUCCACAUCAUACAAGUGGUAUCGUCAACUCAUAACUUGAUCAAGAAGUUGGACACCAUAUUUUUUCCAACAUAUGAUUCCUUAGCAUAAAUCGUACCAUCACCAUAUGACUAGUACCCUUCAAGUUGUACCGUAAGUAGAAUAUCAAAGGCUAGACACUAGAUACCAUAUGGUUUAGACCCUACCUCUCAUAUCAUGAUCAUACAAUAGUAUGAAGUCUUCUCGUACGUUGAACAUAAAUAGGAUAAUGUGACAUUGACUAACGUAUGACUAGGGUCUUAGACCCAUAUCCAUACCAUACCAGUAGUAUGGUGUGAGUUAUAUAAUGUACAGAGGGUUCAAGACUCAUGAAAUUUGGCAAUGGCCAAAGUUUGAGGUGUUUUAUAUAUAAUAGUAAUAUGAAGAAAGGGUAUAUACAUAAUAAUAAUAAUAUGGAGGAAACCGAUCACAUAACAUAAGAUUAGCUAAACCUGAAAGAGCUAAUCUGAGGAAACUGGCCUAAUAACCUAAAUAUCACAAGGGUUACAAUAUUAAGAAGGUAGUUAACUCUAGCAUAAUCAGGAUCUCUAAACGAAACAUGAAUAAUCAAAAUCUAACCAUAUUAAAUCUCACCAUAAUAAAGAAAAAGUGACCAGAAAUAUACUAACAAUCUCAGAUACCAAUCCAUAACCUGUCUGCUAUAAACUACGUAAUAAUAACCAAUAAAUAUGUAACGGUCUAUCUCGAACAACCAUUAACCUAAUCGGGACCUCAUAAGCUUAAAAGACAGAACUAAACCUUUAACAAACAACAAUCAUAAUAUGUACCUAUACAGCCCACCCAUAAGAUCGAUAAAUCUAAGCAUCAAACAGUUAUACUCGUGAUAGGUGAUGCAUAUGAAUGGAUCAGAGUCAUGAAAAUUAGGUGAUGCAUGAUGACCCAAGUACCAUAGCCAACAUAAGUGUACGCACCUUCUUCAGCUUAGUAGCUUGUUAAGGCUGGACCUACAAUGAUUACCCUUCUCAAGUACUAUGGCUCAUCAAAUGAAGAGGCCUAUAGGGGGGUCAAGAUAUCCGUGCACAUAGUCUGGUUCUUAACUAGGACUUCAUAAUUUGUAUCCAAAACCACUCCAUCCAGUACCUAAGGGAAAAGAAGAGUGAAGAAAGAUUUUAAAAUCAAAGCGAGGCUAAAUAAGUAUAAAUAUAUAAAUUCAAUUGAAUUUGAGACUAAAGCGGUAUAAUAAAGAAGAAAGGGUCAAAAUCUCCCUCGGCCAAAGUAAGUAAAUAUUAAAAAAUAGCGGUCAAAAAUGAACCAAAAUCAGCCUCGGUCUAAGUUUUCAAAGUGAUAGGUUUAGUUUAAAAUAUCAUAGUCCAAUAAUAAGGAUGGUACAACUUUCAUUUUUAAAGAAUCAAUUUUAUUGUUUAAAAGUGAGAAUAAAUCUCUUUUUAGAAACUUAUAGUAAAAUAAAGAUUUUAGUUGGAAUAGUACCACUAAAUAAGUAUAAAUGCAUCCUAAUGUCUGCAUAUCAUCACCAAUAUUCAAAUAGUACAAAUACAAGUUUCUAAGGUCUAUUAACUAAAACCACACCUAUCAUAGAAUAGAGAACUAACCUGGUAUCUAACUGGUAUUGUAACCACGACCUCAAACCUAACAAUAUAUAAAUUAACUACUAGAAGGAACUAAUCGGGGAUAUUAUCUAAUUUCCCUAAGUAAUACGAUAAGUCUUAUACUAAAUAAUCAUUCAUUGCAACCUAUGGUUAACUAAUUCUAUAAUCAUGUGUAAUAGGACCCUACAACCUUAACAAGUAUUCUAGGCAAAGAUUCAGGUAAUAUUUCAAUUCUAAAUCUUCAAAAUAGGUCAAGUCAUAAUACAAAUAGGUAUAAACCUAUCAUAUAAUCCCUACCUAGCAUAUGAUCUAUACAAUACACAAUCUCAUAAAGAAAUGAAGACCGAAGCCUACCUCAUAGCCGAACCACAAAUCCUAAAUUUUCCAUGAACUACGUGUCUUUACUCCAUGAUACUGGAAUGCGUCAUGCUAUAAAUAUCAUAGUUUAUGUGCUUGUACAAUAAAAAUAUACCUAUAUAAAAAAUGAUGCAAUCCGCACUAAAAUUCUAAUCUAAAAUGAGAUCGUGGGAAUCAUGCAUAAAAUCCCAAAAUUAGACCCGUCAUUAGGUCCCUCAUGACUCAAGGAACGUGUGUCCAAAAUUAGGGCACAAUCCGAGCUCAAUAGUUGAUUUGCCAUGAUUUCAUGGCAUUUAUAAUUUUUAAACUUAGAGAAUAUGCAUGUUGUAAUACCCCAAUUUUUUAGAACCAGAAUGCCACACGGUGCUCAUAAUCUCGAAGGAUCACAAUCUAACCCUUAUCUGGUACCUGCUGCAAUAACUGUAUAUAAAUACUGAAUAAUGCGAUAAACUAGCGGAAAACUUGCCAUAAGGUUCAAAACAUCUAAAAUAAUCAAUACUGAAAACUGAAUACUAAUACAUCUGUCCGAAAAGCCUCUAGCUGUCUAAACUGUGGAGCUAAUGGGAUAUGUCCCCAACUAACUUUGUCUACUAAAAAUAAACUGAAUCUAAUGCAAUAAUAAAAAUAAGGUUCAUCCUCAAAUGAAGAGGACUCACUGCUACAUCUACUGCUGCUGACUGAGUCUAGACUGCUAAGGGUUCUCUGGAUCUCGCGCUUUAGAACCUAUGGUAUAAGACACCAUAACGCUAGAGAAAAGUAUGAAUCAAUACUUUGAAUGUACUGGUAUACUAGAUGAGGUAAGGCUAAAUGCAAGGGUUUAUGCAUGGAUAUAACUUAACUGAAUAAUCAUAAAAGUACUGAAUGAGGACUUAUGUAUAAAUGCACAAACUAUAACUGAAAUCAUCGUGACUCUGAAUACUGAUACUCGAAUACUAUUUUACUGACAUCUGAACUCACUACUAAUAUUGAGAUACUGAAUAACUGAGUCUAUUGAGAUUGAUCUCUAAUCUUCCUGAUACUAAUACUAAUUUAUUAUACCUGAGAUCAAGCCUAUAUAACGGAUGACCUCUGAGUUUACUGAUAAUAAUGCCUGAUACUUGAUAAACUAAAUCUGAGAUCAAGCCUAUAUAAUGGGUGACCUCUGAGUUUACUGAUAAUGAAUAUAAUUAUUUAAAUCUGAGAUUAAGCCUAUAUAAUGGGUGACCUCUGAGUUUACUGAUAAUGAAUAUGAUUGUCUGAAUCUGAGAUCAAGCCUAUAUAACAGGUGAUCUCUGAGUAUACUGAUAUUGAAUAUGAUUGUCUGAAUCUGAGAUCAAGCCUAUAUAAUGGGUGAUAUCUGAGUCUACUGAUAUUGAAUAUGAUUGUCUGAAUCUGAGAUCAAGCCUAUAUAACGGGUGAUCUCUGAGAGGUAGUCAAGCCUAGUAUAACGGGUGACUCCUCAACUGAAUUUUCUUACUAAGACUGAAUUUGAAACUGAGACUAUAGGAGGUAGCUAUCCAAUCGACAUGCCCCUUCUAGCUUCUUUGGGGUCCAACCUAUAACUAGUUGGAAGGGUGUCAGUACCGUGCCACGAGUAAAUAUAUUUCUCUUUGAACCCAAGAUACCAUGCCUAAUAUAACGGGUGACACCUAGUUGGAGCCAAGCCUAAUAUAAUCGAUGACUCCUAGGAGGUAGUCAAGACUAAUAUAAUGGGUGACUUCUCAUCCUACGCUGGAUAUGAAGUUCUGGAGGUAUAGGGAUUUAUACUUAUGACUCUGCCUAAAUAACGGGGAAGCCGCCAUCCCUGCCCUCGCUCGGUGCUGAAUCCUACUCCCAACUGAAUAGACACUGAACUAAUACUUAGAUUGUACUAGGUUGAAUCUCUUAUGGUUCAUAUUUCUUGACUGAUCUGACUGAGUUCACUUGGUUCCGUUAUCUAAUGGAAUACUACUGAAUCUUGUUAUCUGAAUGGAUGAUACUAAGUUCUGAUUUGAUUAAUUGAAUGUUACUAAGGUCUGAACUAAACACUUGAAUACUACUAAGAUCUGAGCUGAGUAUUGAACCGAAGCUAGAAUGCUAAUGAUACUUAGAUUACUGAGAUUUUUUAAGUUCAGUAACUGUCUGAGAGUACUGAGUUCUGUAACUCACUGAGUUCUAAAAAUCAUGGCUUGACUGAGAUUACCGUAAAAACUGACACGGGCUCUAAACUUGCAGCUAAAUUGUCGCGUAUAAAUACCCCCAGAACUCGAUAACAUAAAAGUAAAACAUAAAGAUUCUUGAAUAAUCAUGACCAUAGACAUUCAUUCACCAUUACAAUCAUUAAAACAUCUCUUCAAGCACUUGGAAAUCAUAAACAUAUGAUAGUAUAGGGAGAUAUGCUAUUGGCUCAUACUCCAUUCAACAAGGUCUUGCAACAAACAUUUAACAUACAUUGAAUAGCAUAUAAUUGGUGGAUUUCAUGCUAAUAUGUCACAAUUCAGUCAUUAAGGCUUUUUAACAAACACUUGGCAUGCAUGAGCUUUCACACAAUUGGGGAUUUCUAGUCAACAUGCUAUAAUGACUCUAAUUCCUUUACAUAAGCAUUUAAUCAAACAUAUGGGGAGCAUGCUUUGGUUAUACCAUAAAUUCUAUACUUAAUCAUCAAGAAUACACCAAUAUCAUGCAACUUGAAGAAGGUUUAUCAUGAACAUCAUACAAUUCAUCACAUACUAGAAUCAACUCUUGAAAUUGGUUGUCUAAAUCAUGAAUUAAAACUCAAUAAUAACAUGAACUUCAAUUUCAAUUCACAAGAAUCUUGAAAACUCAUAAAUAUAAGAUCUUUCAAUUUAGAAAAGGAAUCUUGAACUUCUUGGGUGGAAGGAACCAAGAAUCAACAUCUAAAAUACCUUGCUAUGUAAUUCUUGAAAGAAUCAUGGUGAAAACUUGAUGAUUUGGGUCUUGGAUUAGAAACCCUAGGUCUUUUUCUUAAAGAAAAUUGAGAGAAAAUAAUGAUAUUUGGGUUUAAUGUGGAUGAAUCUCGUGUUAAGGAGUAUAUAUAGGGGUUUGGAAAAAACUAUUUUUGCCCUUUGAAUUAAAAUCCAAAAUUGAAAAAAAUCCUAAUUUUAUAUGCUUGUGAGACGCGCCAUAAUCGCAUCAACUUACAACAAUUUGGACAAUUGGGAAACUGAGCCUUGGCACGAUGCGGUGAAAAUUGCGUUGCCACCUUGGUUGGGAAUUGGAAAUACACUGUGAUGUGGUGGAAUCGCGGAGGCUCAUUGGAAUUUGACAAUUGCCAUUUUGGCUGGCUCUGCGAUACGCUAAAGUGCCAGGUGGCACACUGUCUCACUAAAAUGGCUCUAACUCUUCGCCCAAGUGUCAGAUUUGGGAGAAUUUGAUAUCGAUGGAAUGCUUAUUCAAUUCUUUACAUGACAAAAAUUUGAUAUUAUGAAAAUUAUAUAGGGCUAUUUUAUUGGAUUUGAUGUUUUUUUGGAGUGAUGUUGUAGGAAACUAGGUGCUGGAAGCUAACCGAAAAAAAAAACAGAAUGAAAAGCUGAAAAAUGACCACUUACCUUGGCACCUAUGCACCGUAGGUAAUACCUAUGGCUCGCAGGUGGUCGCCGAUGUACUUUCCCUGAAUUAUUUUAGAUUUGUUUUCUAGGAUUUUCAUGUAACCUAUAUAGACUUCUAUGAUGUUUUUAGUCAUUAUUAUGUAUGUUUUCUCAAGUUUUUCACUUUUAUUUAGGAUUUGACUUCUAGGACUUUCAUGUAAUCUAUAGAUACCUUUUUUACAUUUUCUUAGUGAGGGUCUAAAAGAGAGGUUUGUUUAUGCCAUUUGGGGCUAAGUUUACACACCAUAUACUCUUGUAUUCUUGGUUUUUGGUUUGUUAUUCAAUUUGAGUCUUUGAGUUUUCUUCAUUCAUUAUUGUGAGAUUGAUUCUGUAUUUUGUCUAUGAAUUCCAUGAAUUAUCUCGCAACUGUGAGUGACUAAUUCCCUUAGAUAGGGUUGUGGGAACCCUCGUAGAUUAACGAAGUAGAAAAAGUGUCAAGUCAUUCUUGAUAAAGAUUCUUGCAUGUAUUGUUGUGUUCUUCGGUUUAAUUGAUUUCCUAACGGUGGACAACGUUAAAAACCCACAUGUAUUCACUACUUGCUACAAAAGAAAGGUAGAAUUAUGAAAUGACAUCACAAUAGUAAUUUGAGACCCCUUCUAUCUAAUAAUUUCUGCCUUCUUAUAUAAUUAACUUGAGAUCCAAAAGGUAAUAGUCAAUCUGGGAUCCAGGGCAAGGGUUAGUAACGUGACACUCUGAGACUCAAAAGGUAAAGGGUGAUAUUAGCCAAUGAGUCCAUAAGACAUUUGGUGAAACGUAAAUUGUUAGAUUCUACAUGCAAGGUAUUAGAAUAGUUCAAAAAUGCAUAGUAAAUCUACGGAGUUAGAAGACAGGGGAACACAAUCCUAGUAUUCGUCUUAGAUUGUUUACAACCAAAACCAACCAAAUCUUGUUACUUUCUUACUACAACAAAUCCCUCUAUUUACUUUUCUGUACUUCUCGGUGAUUUCAUCAAGUUUGAGAGAUACUUCUUGCCUAUUCCCUAUGGGAUCGACCCUAACCUAGUUGGGUUACAAUAUUUUGACAUCGAUCAUUUUAUCCUUCUUUGGAGGUAUAGUUUGGACGACAUCAAAAUUUUGGCACCAUUUUCGGAAAAUACAGUUUCGAAGUUAUUGAUUGAAUUUGUUGAAGUUAUCGAGUGUUCUUCUUUUGUUUUCAUCCUUUUCUUGAUAUGUCAACUUUUCAAGAGGAAGUGUGGAGUGAUAAAUACUUAUCUAUAGCCCACUCAAAUUAGUCCCAACAUAAAGGGAAAAUAAUAGUUCUAAUAGAGGAAUCAAUGGGAUAGAAGCUCGAAACUUACGAGAUUCAGACGAUGUUAAUACCACCUUGAAGUCCUCGAGAUACCCUGUUGACAUCCGAUUUUGACCUCCCAAUACUACUUUUAGGCUGCUAUUUUAACAAAAUUAUUAAUUUUUAAAUGUUAGUAUCUUUUUACACAUUUUUCUUGCAUCAAACAGAUUUUUGAUGUGUCAUAUUCAUAAUUUAAAAUGCACAAAUUAUUUUAUUAAAUUUCUAUAUCAUUUUUAUAAUUUAUUAAUUCAGAUACAACAAUUUACAUAAUUUUACUAAUAUUUAUUAAAAUAUGCACACUCACAAUUUAUAAAUACUUUGUCUAGUUUUGUUGUUGUUAUUAUUAUUAUUAUUAUUAUUAUUAUUAUUAUUAUUAUUUUAAAAUUUUUAUAACUAAUCAUUUUACACUAUUAACGAUAAUUUUGCAAAAUCUUUUACAUGUACUGUCUAUUUUAAUAACGAUAUCUUAUUAUAUUGUCAUAAUUAUAAUAGGAGCCAAUUUAAUGUAACUCUCCUGCAUUUAAUUUCUAAUCACUUCUAUGCUAAAUUAAUGUUAAUUUUGGCCACAUUUUGUUCAAUUCAUUCUUUUACAAUAGCUAAACUUUGAAAUCAGAUUUCAAUCUCAGCCAUCGAUCAAAUUUGAUCUAAUGGCCGAAAUUAAACCCUCCCCUCUUUCUUUUUUAAACCUAAAGAACCCAUACCCUAACCAUUUUUCCAUCUACCAGCCGCCCAUUCUCUCUCUCUAACAUCUCUUCUCUCUCUACCUCUCUUCUCUCUCUCCUCUUUCUAAAUGAAGCCAUCACCGGUCACCAUGGUUGGUGGAUGUACCAGCCAUCAACGGCAACAUCAACAGUGGCGCCGCCUCCCUCGCCUCCUCCUUCUCCCCGUUGUCCCUCUCCUGCGGUGAACCAGCGCCACCACGAAGCAGCAGCACCAGCCGAAGAGACAGCAAACCACCAUUUGACCGCCACCAACCUUUUCUCCUCUGAGCAGCGCUGCCAGAUCUCUUCCCCCCGCUCCCUCUAUUUCUUCUCCAUCGGAAGGCGACCAGUCCGUCGGCGCCACCAACGGUAGCAACGACAACAACGGCCAGCACCCCCAGCCGAGCCGCCUUCGUCGUCAUCACCGGUGAUGACCCCGAUGCCGUCACUGGUCCACCUUUCCCGCCACCCUCCAGUCAUAAAAUCAGCCGCCACCAGCAAGAGAUAGUUAAACGACAUCGGCAAGGGGUGAGUUCGUAAUACGAACUCUUACGAACUCACCCCAGGUUAGUUUUCUUACUAAAUUUCUUGCCUAAACCUAAUAUUCACAAUGCUUGUGAUAUGAUUCUAAGUAGUUUGUUUGAUUGCAUGAUUAUUUACUUUUGGGAGACUUUGAAUGACCUUGAUUUCAUUCCGAGUCAGAUUUUGUCAGUUUAAAUUUGUUCAACUUAUACUGUUAGUGAAAGUUAACAAAUUUUUGAAGAGGAAUUGGUCUAUAUGGCAUUGAUUCAUUUCUGUUCGAGAAUAUUGACGUCAGUUGAGAUGUUGAUACAAAAAUGAUUUGGAGAUUUAAUAUCGAUUUUGAUUAAAUUAGGCAAAGCUUUAAUUAAUUAAUUUAAUCAUUAGACAAAAUUUCUUUUCAUUUAUUUUUUUUUCCUUUAAUUGCUCAUUAGGACAAUUUUUACAUUUAUUUAUGACAAACUUUGACUCAUGAGUCAUUAGUUAUUGACACUGGCACGUUUAUUACUUUCCUUCUACUGAAUAUGCGAUAACUCGGUACUCGCCUAUAUACGGUAACUUUCAAUAUUAGGGGAUUUGAUUUUCAAUCAUAAGAGUCUUGAUAUUUUUUUUAUUGGAUUUGGCCUAAGGAAAACAAUAUUGUGGAUGACUUUUCUAAAUAUUGACUUUUCUUUUAUUCUGUUAUUGAUUGAUAUAUAUGAUUGAUUCAGUCGAGAAAUUUUCCCUUGAUUGAUUUUACAGAAAUAUUGUUUUACCAUUUUUAUGUUGGUUUAUUUUCACAAUACUCAGUCUGUAUAACAACCCCUCUUCUCAAUUGAAAAAGAGUUCUACAAUCACAAUUACUACUACUAUCUUAGACAAAAUGUCAGUUAUUUUAAUAUAAAGCAAUUAGGAACUCUAAAGGUUCUUUGGUUUUCCUUCGAGGCUUACUGAAAGCAUCUUGCAUAUUUCAUUGUCACUGUCACAAGUGCUUGGCUUUUAUUAUUCUUAUUAUCUCUCUUACUGCUGUUCACUGGUAAGUUCUUGAAACGAUGUAAUUUUCAUUCUCUGUGUGUUGACUGCAUCACGUUGUGAAAACCUUUAGAAAGCAUGUCUAUAGAAAUAUUUCGAUGUUGUUAUUAUAUGUUCCUGUUUGCUUGCCAUCAUAUCUCGUCUCGCAGGUUUAAAUAGACAAUUACGGGUUCCGAAGAGUCGCCGGGACAUUUAUAAUUAAAUUGUAGUAGUCCUACUUAGUUUUGUUUUCUUAUUAUUUGGUGUGUAAUAUUUUUGUACAGACAUUAUUAUUGAUGUAAUAAUAAAAUUUGGGGACUGCUUUUGGGGCGGGGACUUACGUGCUCAGUGAAUAGUAUAGAUAGGCACAAUUUAGGCUUUACAUGUGUUGUGUGUUACAUGCUACGUGAGUCAUUUAGGCACAUAAAACUAGGAUUUAUUAUCAUAUAAACCCGCUUAGACAAUUAAUCUACUUAUAAUCUGAUUAGAAAUCAUGCUUUUAGGAUUUAACGUCGUAUGGUAUACUAAAAUAGAUUUUGACAUGUUAAUAUGUUAAAUAGCAUUAAAACGAAUUUUCAGCAUUAUUUGAGCACGUUUCUACGCAUUAAAAUGAAUUUUAGCAUUGUUAGAUCGUGUUAGUAUCAAAUUGUCAUGCAUCAAAAUUAAUCUCGGCAUGUUAAUAUGGUAUAUUAGGUUUUAAAUCAAUUUCCAUCUUAUUUAAACAAUUUUCCAGCAUCUGCAAUUAAUUUUUCAGCUGUUUAAUUAAAUCUUUGGCAUAUUAAAUAUAAAUUUCAGCAUGUCUAAAUUAAAUUUCCAGCUUGUUCAAUUGAAUUCUAGCGUGUUAAAUUGCAUUUUUAGGCAUAAAUCAUUAGUGUCCAGCAUGCUAUAACACUACAUUUUCAACAUGUUGAACAUUAGACUAAACACACUUGUGAUGUUUCAGCAUAUCAACAUGAAAUCACUACGCCUUAACAUUAUUUUUAGUAUGUUUAAUGAGAAUUUCAGCAUAUUGAAUAUAAAUUUCAGCAUUUUAAAAUUAGAUUGUAGGCUCCUUUUGGAUUUUCCAGCAUGUUAAUAUUAAUUUCCUGCAUUACAAAUGUAUUUUAGCAUGUAAAAACUAAGUGUUGGGCAUUUUAGCAUGUUAUUGCAUUAUGUUCCUGCACCAACAAAACUGCCCGUAUAUUAAAAUAUAGAUUCUGAGCGUUUUCAACGUGUUAACACUAGAUUAAGUACAUUGCAUUCUUAGCAUGUUAAUGCAUUUUAAUGUUUUGUUAAUUUUUUAAAUUCUCAUUAGUUCAUAACACUUCGUGAGCACAAUUUCUUGAUACAUUUACCACACUUCAGACACCCUCUUUUAACAAUUCGACAACACAUUGUUACACCCACGAAUCAUAGUUGUCUUUUGUCACGUUAACUAUUGUUGAACACUUAGAUAUCCUGCCUAUAGGUUAAUGACGUCAACAUAAGUAAUUAUUUGUCUUUGCAUGUCAAUCACAUUAACUUAUUAAUUAAUCAAGAGGUUAACUUGAGACAAUUAUGUGCUAUGUGAUGUCCUAUUUGUUACGCGCUUUGAGUCCUAGGCAACAUAGCUUUUCUUUGUCUAGACCACCAAACUAAAAUAGCGAAGUUUAGUGCCUCUUGGAUGAUAGGUGGGAUGAUAAGUAUUAUUAAAGAUAAUAGUUUUAUCCUUCUUGUAGAAAACUUUUAGACUUGACAUCCAGCCUUGGUGUGGUGUGGCGGGUAGUCAUUCGGAAGUGAUAAUCCCAACAGAUAUUGACGGUAAGACUAAUUACAUUGUUACUUGUCUAAGAGUUCAGUUGGAGGGUUAGGUGAUGAUUAAACAAGUUGGGUUUCUUAUCUGAAUGAGACCAAAACAUUCCUUUGUUUGAUUUGACAAUUUCUGUUAUCCUUUUAUUUACUUUGAAUGCUUAUUUAUUUGGGGUAGUUAAUUUAUUAUAUAAGUAGUCCUCUUUUAUUACAAGUUAUGUCAUUUCUUUCUCCUCGCUUGUCUUAUUAUGUGUGUUUACUAUUUUUAUCACUUAGCUAAUUAACAACUAGAAAUAAUAAAAUAACAUGUGUUUUGUUCAUUAAUUGAUUUAUCACUUAGUUAAACAUUAAAUUAAUAAUAAAAUUAGAGACCUUUAUUUAAUCAUAUAGAAUCCCCACGUAAAAUAUGAAUUCGGUUGGGAACCACCUUUGUGGACCUCGGAAGGUGCAUAAAACCUUUCUUUUGAGGUAAUUUGAACCCUUUUUCGAAUUUCUCGUGAACUAAAACUAAAUAAAAUACGUUCGUAGUAGUCUAGACCGGUGCCCUAACGAACCUUAACUCGUUAGGUGGCGACUCUUUACACUCUUCCUUCAAAACAAUCCUAAAAAGAGUUUGUCACGUUGAAUCCCUCUUUUCGUGAGGAAAAUGGGGAGCGAUAAAAUGGCGACUCUGCUGGGGAUCUUAGGUUCUAACCAUUGAGAGUUUGUGUUUUAUGUGGGAUUCUUUAGUUUUGUUUAUUUAUUUUUUCGUAAUUAAUUUCGCUCUUUCUCUUUUAUUGUUUAUAUCAUGAUUCAUUUAUGCAUGUUAGUCCUGUCUCCUUUUCCUUUUAUGUGUUGUUCAUGUUUCUCAACACCUGUCCCUUUCCCUCUUCUCCCUUUUGUUAGCUAUAUGUUUUAAUAAUUAUUAGUUUGCUAAGCAUGCUAUUAUAUUUUGCUAUGUGUUAUGUGUUAUUGCUUUAUAUAACUGGCAUUCCGCUCAUACUUUCCUACACUUGGAACCUCUUUUAUUUUUCUUUUAUGAACAGUUGCGUGGUUGCACGAACAUUCUUUCCUAAAACAUCCUUCGGGAAAUGCCUUAUGGAUUGGUUGAGCUGCGGUGCAUUGACAGUCACAAGCUUUCCCACUCUCGAGUUGUCCACUUGAGGGAACCAUGUCAUGAACCCACUCUUGUCCUUUAGGUCUUGGCUACAUAUUUCUUUCACUAAGGAAUAUGCGUUCCAUUCAACAUAAGAUGCCCUGACAUCCUUGAUGCGUUGAAUGCUAGUCUCAUUCAAAGUCUAAAGAGGUUCACGACCUCAAAGGAACUCACAAUUAUUUGCUAUGUAUUGUAUUUCUAUGUAUGUAUUGACAUCGUACUUAUUUUGUUGUUUCCGUUCUUACCUUAGUCAUUCCUUACAUUUAGUGUUCCUCACUUUAGAGCUCGUUACUCUAAAAAAUCUUGUCAUGUUAGGACCCUACAAACACUCUUAGGGUCUAUCCAAAAACUUCCCUUCAAAUUAUCCUCUUGACUCAUUUAUUAGUACAUUACUCAUUUUCAGGCUCAACUCUCGCUUUGAUAAAGAGCUUCAGUCUCAUUUACUACCUCUUAUGCAACAUAUCAUUUUAGGAUAUCUAUUUCCUAAUGCUUCUAACGUUUACAUACUAUUGUACUACCACGAUCCUCGUACAUUAAUAUCAUCAUAUACGUGUCGUACCUUAGCUUUCGCAAUCUCUAAGUUACAUAGAGCUGUUAUAACUUUUAUUCACUCUGAAUAAGCAUAACUCAUUAAUUUCGAUUGAGUAGAAUAUUCAUCCUAGACUCCUGUGCGUACUCUUUGUUUCUUAUCGUAAAUCCUUUUCUCUAAAGCUAACUAAAGUUGAACAUCAAAAUGGCUAGUCAAGUAAUGUGUAUCGAUCUUGUCAAUAGCGAUGAUGAGCAUGAGAAUUUGGGAUGGUGUCAAAACAAAGUUAUUUCGAGCAUUAGAAGAAUAGAGGGAAAAAUAGAGAGAAUUAGGGGGAUAAUGACUGAUCUCCAAGGUUUAGCUGAGAUGCCACCAGAUUUUCCUGAGCCACUAUCCGAAACUGACUUCAUUGUUGUCACUUACACUGUGUCAUCUCCUAUAUUGGCAACCUCACCCAUGCUGAUUAUGGGGCACAAGGAUCUUCAAGUCGGUAUUCAGUUGCACUGCUGAAAGCCCUCAAUGGGUUGACCACUAUGGGCAAAGAAAAAGAAAUGGAAGGACAAAUUCCUAACCAUGAGGCACGGUUGUCUCAACAGCCUAAGACGAAUAAGUCGCCUAAAGCUAAUGAAGAAGAUAAUAAUAAAAUUAAGGACUUGAACUUCCCAUUAAAUGAUGGGUCUGGAAACCCCCAUUCCCACUUAAAGGAGUACGUUGACAAGCUAUCGAUUAUAGGGCAAAGUGAUAAACUUAAGAUGAAAAUCUUUGUUAGUUCACUCAAGGGUCCAGCAUUGAUAUGGUAAACCGAACAUGAUACUAGCAAAUAGAUCUCUUGGAACAAUUUGGCAAGUAACUUUAUUAGGCGGUUCGACAAUAAGCUUAAGAGAAAGCUCACAGUCGUGACCAAUUUGGAUAGGGGAAAUACGAUUAUUGAUGAGACAUCAAAACCUUCAAAGCCUAAAGUAAACAUACCCCAACCUAAGCUUUACUUUUAACCCUUGUUCCAACUUUGUUCACUUUUCUUCCUUUCCAUCUUAGCCUCGACUCAUUUUCAUCAGAUUUCCCUGUAGGAUUUAGUUACCAUAGUGCAAAAAAUGAGGUACCAAUGAGUGGAAAAUGUACCACUCACCAACAACCUUAUAGAUUUUGCUUGUCCUCAAGCAACACUACUUCACACUCAAUGAGACUAUCUAACUUUUAAGCCCACACUUUCAACCAAAUAAUCACCAAACUUGAUUAGCACUAACAAUUAGUCACCAAGAAUGAGAAGUUAUAUCCAUACAACUCCCCUCAAAAUCAAUCACAUUCUCAAGGGUGUAAAGGACUUUUACAAAUAAUCAAGUAACAACACUAACUCUCAAGAGGUAGGUCUCUAUCAAAAGUAACUCAACUACACUCCUUUGCCUUAUUAUUGGAACAUGAAAUAUCGCCAAACUAGCUUAGUUUACAUGCCUUCGCACGAAAGAAAGUCCCAACACACCAUAAUUUCAAUCAUGCAACAAGGGACUAAUGUGAAAGAACUCAUACUCAAAAAGAAUUUCUUAAUGCUUACAAGUAUCAUGCCAUAUGCUUUCCUUUAUUUUAAAUCAUUACUAACUUGAAGACACUUGGUUGGAGAUCUCGAAGGACUUUUUCAAGAUUAUAAUGUAGGCUCGGCAAAAGGUAGGAUAAACAUUUGGGAUAAAAUGACUACACCCUCCUUAAACUCCACAUAACACUCUAGCUUAGAUCAAACUUUGGAUCAUUGUCCACUUAAUUCAUUUCUAAAUCACACAUGUGCCUAUUUUACCAUAUUAGUUCGUCCACCUUUUGAAAUUACUCUCUUUUCAUAUAUUUCCUAUUUGUAAGUUAAUGAUUUUCUUUCUUUUGUUACUCCCUUCUUUUCUCUUUUAAUUUUCAUCAUUAAUUUGAUACUAGGCACUCAUUUACAAGACCAUGGACCAUGAUCACCUCUUCUAAGAUACACCACCCCUAACUUAGGCUUUUAGCCUUAAGUUGGAACUUUUAAGUUCAAGGAGGGUGUGGUUCAACAGAGGUAUGAAUUCAAAUGAUUCAAGGCUUGUAAUGAAGUUUCCAAAGAAAGGUUGAUCAACUCAAGAGGGGUGACUAGGGAUAAUGUUCGCAUAUGGGUAGGCCUUUUUUGGCUAAAGUGGUUUUCAAUAAUCACAAAGAAGGCCUAAGAUUAUUUAACCAACCACGUGUAAUCAAUAUUAGCUUUGAAGGACCAACGAGUCAAGCUAUAGAAGACACAAGUAGGUACAAUAAUUAUUUAACUAAUGCUCACCACACUUGGAAUGCAAACUUUUCUAGGAGGAUCAAUUCCAUUUCCUACGUGAGAGCAAAAAGAGUUAUUUAUCACAUCGCUACCAACUAAAGAAUUUAGAGUCACUAAAAGAGGUAAAGCGUUGUUACAUAAUCAUUCAACUAUAUGCCCUUGAUUCACAAAAAAAUUUAGAUAGAGGGGGAUUCUUGUUUCACAUUUUACCAUGCAAGAUUAGAUAUCGUUAGCAGCAAAUCAAGCUUCUAACUUACAUUUUGGAUCUCGCAAGGGAAAACCAUAUGGCUACUCAGAAUUUACCAUAGAAAUGAAGGCAAUCCCAAUCUAUAUUCCCAUAGGUACUUAGACUUCCCCUGCAUCUAUGCCUCAAUGCCAAAACGCGAUGAUUUUUCCUUAAGAAUGUUGUCACUCAAUCAAUGAUAAAGAAAUGCUCGUCCAACAUUAUUAUCAGAGAAACAUAAAAAUCUAAAAAUGAAAAACAAAAAUGACUAAUCCUCAAAACAUAGGCACCAUCAGGAUACCCAAUAUUGCAAUAAAAAAUCAUCAAAUUAUCCAUAACAAAUAAAAGACAAAUCGUCCAACUAACAUAAAAAAUAUAUAAGUAAUUAUCCAAAUAAUAUAGACCAAAUAAUGAAUAUAAAAUACGAAGAGACGGACACCCCCAACUAAAAAGCUAUAGUGUCCUUACUGCAUAGAAUGAAAGAAUAAGAAAGUAAAAGGUGCUUCCUGAAACUGCAUCAAGUGCAUCCAUUACUUUCUGUCUCCUCAUCAGCAUCAUCAACUUCAUCAGCAUCCAGCUCCUCAUCGUCGGACCACUUAUCGGGAACUCAUCAUCAGCACCUGCUCUUAGGGAAGGACUUAUCUCUCAUAGAUUCAUGACUUUCAACAAUCCCUUCACCUCUUUCCAAAUAUUGGUGAAAAACUUAUAUCUCUCCUACUCCUUUCUCCUCAUCUUGUCAUGAGAGUCGAACAGAUGUCGAUGUGACUGUGCCAAAGAUGUGUAGGUCUGCUUCAUCCUAGAUAUAGUAAACCUCUAUUUUCUCUCUGGUCCUUGAAGAGAAUCUCAUAAUUACCCCUGGAGAUAUAUGAAGUGCAACCUCUAGAAGAUACAUCUGGUCUCAAAGAAAAAUUAGAUACCAACUCCCACAUUAUUCACAUCUAACUAGAGAGCUCCUCAAAUGGCCCUUUCGAGGAUGGCCUGCAAGAGUUAUCAUCAUCAUUCACUAACUUACCCAAAUUAAUCAUCCAUUUCUUGAUCUUAGAUGUGGCGCUCUCACCGCCCAUCUUCAAUGUGUAUGUGGAUGCUUUUGGAGAUAUCCAAUUAUCCCCCAAAUAUUCCUUAACUCCGGCCCUCCAUCAUUGUUCAAUGAUAAGGUAUGGAAACAUGAGUUAUGGCCCUCCUUGAUUCUUGUAGUACCUCAGCUCUGAGACCAUAAAUUGACCAACAUUCAAUAGAAUAUUGUCUAGGAUGUAUGCUACCAUUUGGGCUCUCAUGACAGGGAUAUUUGUCAUAUUAGUGGUUAAAGACACACAGCUACAAAUGGUGGUCAUCCAAAUUCUCACCUCAGCUAUGAAAUCAUUCAAGUAAAUCCCUAUCUCCAUGGCUGCCCAAGGUUCUUCCCUUCCCGGGCUCUAUUGUGCAGGAAACUAACUCUUUUGAGCACAAACUUUUUCUUUGAACAGUCUCUUAUUGGCAUCCGACAGCCUAUACAUAUCAUUAAUGUAAUACCUCGUACUAUUCUUAGUUUAUUUCAGCUCCUAGUUGUAUGCAUAAGAGGCUUAAAGCCUGAAAAUUUCACUAAGUGUUGGGGACUUAGUCAUUUUUAAGGCCCCUCAACUUUAAGAAUUUUUAAAUUAGUCUGCCCAACCCCGAGAUGUUGGUUUUUGAGUUAAUUUAUGUUCAGGGGUGUAAUGAGCAUAUCUCGGAGAAGUUUUGAAUUUUUUGAAUGAGGAUUAGGUCAUGUUUGGAUCACAAUUCAAGUCGCUCAUCGCGAUAGCGUCGCGUCGUGAUGGUUAUAGCUAUGGAUCUCUCAUCGCAUCAUGCUGACCUUAUAAUCCACACUUCAGUUGCGAGUUUAAAUGUCUGAGGGGCAAUUUUGUCUUUUCCCCCUUAACCAAUUUCAUAAAUUCAUGACUUAAAGCUUCAGUUAGGGUAUUAUUUGCCCAUCAUCUCUAAUUUUCUCUCAAAAACAAACCCUAUCCUCCCCUAAGAUCAUCCAAUUUCAUUAUUUUCUCUCCAAGAAAACUAAGAAUUCAAGUUUCCAAUCCAAGAACAUUCAAGAAAGCAUUAAGAUUGGUGUUUCUCUUUCAAGCUUAAGGGUUUAAGGUAUGUGUGAUGUUCAUCCAUGGGCCCUUUUCACCCAUGGAUUCCAAGAAUCUCUUUUUCUGUUUUAAUUUAUGAAUUUUACAUGAUUAAGUUGAAUUAUGCCCAGGAACAUCUUGAUAAUUUAAUUUCAAGUUAUGAUUACACGUGUUUUUGAUGGAAGCCAUUGCCUAUUUUGAACAUUGAACUCUUGUCAUUUAAAAACUUAAUUCAUGGUUUUAGUAUUGCAACUAUGUUAUUAUCACAUGACUUACUCAUUCCCAUGCUUAAAUUCAUGACUCUCAAGUGUUUGAUGAAAUGCCUAAGUGUUGGAUUUUGAAUAAUGAUUUCCUACUAUGGUUUCAAUGCUUUUAUAUGUCUGUAUUUUUAUUUCCAUUUAGUUCUGGAGGGUUAUGAAUACCCGAUACUUAGAUGUUUACAUAAUUUUAGUAUCUUCAGAAUAAUUUCAGAUAUACCAUGAGCAUUAUUAUUCAGUCAGUUAUUAUGAUAAGUUGUUUGUUCAGUUAAGCUUAGUUCAUCCAAUAAUCAGUGUCAGUUUAGUUGGGAGUAGGAUUCAGCACCGAGGGAACCUAUGGAUGGGGUCAUUCUUGCUAGUUUAGAGUUUGAUCCUUAGUAGCAAUCCUUGAGUUACAGAACUACGUAACUAGCAUAGGUUUGAGAUGUCUUCUUGCUAGCUUAGGGUUGACAUAUAUCUCAUGAGUUUUCUGCCAGUAUUGGGUUACUCCUUAGUCCUUCGAGACACCAGUUUAGUGGAUUCACAUAGCCAUAUGUUAGUACCUGUGGCAUGGUACUGACACCCUUCUAACUAGGGUUGUAGGUUGGACCCCAAUUAGCUCAGAUUGGGGCAUGUCGAAUAGAUGAUACCUCCCACAGUCUUAGUUCAGUGUUCAGUAUAGAAUUCAGUUCAGUUUUGCUUGACUAUAGCAUGCAGACUUCCAGUUAUUUAGUUAUCAUAUUUCAGUAAUUCAGUUUAUAGUUUAUUUUAGAAAAAUUAUAUUCUUGGUUUUGCAUUCUGAGUAUUUUAGUUUUCAUGUAUGCGUACUCACUUAUCUCAUGCUAUUUAGUCCGUCAUUACUUCAUGCAUAGUUAACCCAUGCAUUUUAGCCUAACCUUAUCUUAUAUACUAGUACGUUGAAAGUACUGAUCAUAUACUUUUUUUGCACUAUGAUGUCUUAUAUCAUAGAUUCAGAUGCUCAGCUUCCUAACCGCACUUAGAUAGUUCAACGAUAAAGCAGCAGCAGUAGUGGUGAGUCCUCAUCCUUCGAUGAUAACUUUAUCUUUCAUCUAGUUAUUUCAGUAUUCAUUUAUUACAGUUAGUUGGAGUUAGUUGGGGGGUUUUCCCAUCAAAUCCACAGUCAGUCAGUUAGAGGCUUUUUAGACAUUCAAACAGUCAGUUAGUUUUAUCAGCUUUAUCAGUCUUGACAGAUGUUUCCAGACUUGUAAAUUCAGUUAUAUUUUCAUAAUCUAAACCUUAUUGACUUAUCCGUUAUUUUCCUUACAUGUUAUUGACACCCAAUUUUGACCUCUCGAUACUCCAUUUAGGCUGUUAUUUUAUUAAAAUUAUUUAAUUUUAAUUAUUAUUAUUUUUUACCCAUUAUCCUUAUCUCGAACGGAUAUUGAUAUGUCACAUUUAUGAUUUGAAAGUAUACAAAUUAUUUUAUUAUCAAUUUUUAAUAAUUAUCAAUUCAAAUACAACAUUUUAUAUAAUUUUAUUGAAUUAUUUUUUCUCGUAAAUGUACACACUCACGACUUACAAAUACAAUGCCUAAGUUUUUCAUUGUUAUUACUAUUAUUAUUAUUAUUAUUAUAUAUUUAUAACAUUUAUCAAAUAGCAGUCAAUUUUAAUUUGGUUGCCUAAUUUAUUUAAAUUCUAGCCUUUUUAUACAAUUUAUAACACUCUUAGCCUAAUUUUAUCCAACUUAUUACAAUUUUAGCCAUAUUUAACUCAAUUUUAAAAAUUCUAAUUCACCUUAUUAUCCUUUUAAUCUCAGCCAUUGUUCAAGAUCGGUCUAAUGGUUGAGAUCUAUCCCACUCUUUUUUUUUAAAUUCAAAACAAAAAGCCUAACUUCCCAUUCUUUAAAGAUUAGUUGCACAAAAUGCUCCCCCCUUUCUCUCCUCCCUUGUUGCCUUACCCCUUACCCAGUGAAAUCCCUCAAGUCGCUGUCGCCAGCGAUGAAUAGCCACCGGUGAGCCAGCCUUUACUGCUAUCAACCAGAGCUAGACUCUCCGGGCAGUAACCAGCCGCACCGCCAUUCCUUUCUCCACGUCUCCACCGUUCCGACCAGAAAAGAAGUUGGCCCGUUUCCGCUGUGCAAUAGCCCAAACCGCCAGAACACCACCACCAAAUUCGACUAACCAUGCAAUCCAUUCGUCAUCGGGAAAUGAUGGAUUUAUUAGAAUAUGUUCCAGAUUUGUUCCAGGUUUGGUUUCUAGGUUUAAUUUCAUAUUCCACCCCCUUCUUUUAUCCUUCUUUUGACAAAAUCUGUUAUUUGAAGUUAACGAAACUCAUUAGGCAUUUUUGUUCUAAUUUAUUGUGAUUUCAGUUAGUUAACUUAUUCAAAUUAUCACAUGUUAAAAGCCAUAAUUCUCGUAAACUUUAAUUCUUCUAUUUUUUCAAUAGUAAUAUGCCUUAAAUCAUGUUGUUCUGAUGUCUUGAUUGAUUUUAUGCUCUAUCCCUAAUUCCCGUCACUCUAGCUUUGAAAUGGAUAAGUUUGCGGCAAUCUUGAACAUCUGAUUUACUUUGACAUGGUGUAUAAUAUAUUUUUGGUAUUUUGGAUUUGAUUUUGCUAAAUUAAAUCAGGAAAUAAUUUUAAUUAUUUUACUGAUUUAGUCACAUAUGGUAAGCAUUAAUGUUGAGCAUUAUUUGCCCAUUUUACGCCCCAAAUUUUUGUCUUAAUGAUGUUCAGUGAUUUCAUAAAAUUUCUAUUGGUUGUCAACCUUUUGGUACAUAAUUGUUGGUAUUGUGCAUAUAUGGUUGUCUUUGAUAUUAUGUUGGAAAGGAAAUUUGGUUGACUAAUAUUUCUUUUCCUUUUACUUGCUUGGAUUGAUUUUGUGAUUAUUUCUUAAUAGUCAAUUGACAUAAAUAUAAUUUUAUAUUGAUAGAAAAAUUUUCGUUAAUUGAUAUAUGUUUUUCUUUCCUUUUUUGCACUUAGGUGGAUUUCUUUUUCACACUAUAUAAAGCCCCCCUCUUUGUAUUUAAGGGGUAGCUCUUCAAUUACAAUCACUACUCUCUUAUAUAAAAUUCAUCAUCUAUUUUAAUACAAAGCAAUUAGAUACUUUAAAGGUUCUUUUGGUUUUCCUUCGAGGCUUACUGGAGCACCCUGCUAUUAUUCUUACAAGUGUUUGACCUUAUUAUUCUCAUUAUUUCUUUUAUUUGCCGCUUAUUGGUAAGUCCUCAAAUCAAUAUAAUUUUUCAUUGUUUGUGUGCUGACUGCAUCAUGUUGUGAAAACCUUUAGAAAGCAUGUCUAUAGGAACAUUUGCUACUAUAUGUUUCCUUCAUUUGCUGUUACAUCCUAUCUCGCAAGUUUAAAUUGACGAUUAUGGGAUUUGAAGAGUUGCCGCGGGAAUUUAUGAGGGCGGAUUGUUCUUUUGUUUUCUCUUAAUUUUAGUGUAUUAUUCAUAUGACCUGUAAUAAUCUUGUACAAAUAUUAUUAUUGUAAUAAUAAAAUUUAGGGAUUGCUUCGAGGGGUGGGAAUUUAUGUGCUCUAUGAAUAAUAUAGGUAGGCACAACUUAGUUUUAUGUGUGAUACGUGUUAUGUGGAUCAUCUAGGCACACAAAUUUAGUAUUUAUUAACACAUGCGAUGUUUAAUCUAUUUAUUAACUAGUUUAAUUCAAUUUUGGCAUACUAACACAUCUUUAGCAUGUUGAACAUUAGGCUUAAACUAUUUUAAUAUGUCAUUGUAUGUCCAACAUGUUAACACGAAUUUAAGUAUGAUCAUAUUCUGAGCAUUCUUUUUGCAUAUUAAUGUAUUCUUCUGCAUGUUAAAACUGUCAAAUACUAGAUUAAACAUGACCUUGCGCAUUGACACAAAAUUUCAGCAAGUUAAUAGUGUUAGAACAUGUUAGCAUUUCAUGUCAAAUACUUAAUCUACAUUGCACAUUAAAUUUAUGCACAUUAAUAUGCAUUUCAUCCUGUCGAUACAGUUUCAACAUGUUAAAUUAAAUGUGCUAAAUAGUAAUACUUUAGCACGUCAAUAUAGAUUACAGUAGGUUAAAGCUUUUCGAACAUGUUAACACCAGUUUUUGCAUGUUAUCGCAUUUUCAGCAUGUCAAUAUAAAAUUCCUGCACUAUUAAUAUAAUAAUCAACAUGUUAAGGCAUAUUCUGCAUGAUAAUACACUUUCUAGCAUAUUCGCAUUCAAUUUCAGUAUGUUCCCACAUUAAAAAGUACAAUUUCAGCAUAACAAAUUAAUUUCCAGCAUGUUAGAUUUAAUUUCUAGCAUAUUAGAACUAAUUUUCAGCAUGUUAAUAGACUUUUAGAAUUAAAAUAUUUGAAAGGAAAUUCCCAUGUGUUUUCAUAAUUUCUCACUUACCAUUAGUCUAUAAUACGUCUUGCACAAUGAAAUUCGUGAGCACAACUUUUUCACAUAUUUACCACACUUUGACAUUCUAUUUUAACAACUUGACAAUAUAUUGUUACAUACACGAAUCACAGUUACAUUUUUGUCACACUAACACUUGUUGAACACUUAGAUAUCAUGCCUAUAGAUUAAUGACACAAAAACAAGCUAUUAUUUGUCUUUGCAUGUUUAUCACAUUAAUCAAUUUUAAUUAACCAAGAGGCUAACUUGGGACAAUUAUGUGCUACGUGAUGUCCUACUUGUUACAUGUUUCGAGUCUUAGGUAACAUAACUUUAUUUUGUUUAGACCACAAAAUCAAAAUAGCAAAGUCCAAUGCCUCUUGGACUAUAGGUGGGAUGAUAGGAAUUACUAAAGACGCUAGUUUUAUCCUUGUCUUAGAUUGCCUUUAGAGUUAACUACCAGCCUAGGUGAGGUGGGGCGGACAUUCAGAAAUGAUGAUCUCCAACAUAUAUUAAAGGUAAGACAUAUGACUUGUCAAAGAGUUCGGCCAGUGGUCAGAUGAUGACUAAACAAGUUGGGGUUCUGAUCCGAAUAAGAUCAAAAACAUUUAUUUGUUUGAUUUGAUGAUUUCUUUUUAUUCUUUUAUUUACCUUACAUGCUUAUUUAUUUGGGGUAAUUAGAUCGUUACAUAAGUAGUUCCAUUUUGUUAUAAAUUAUGUCAUUUCUUUCCCCUCGCUUGUCUUAUUAUAUGUUUUCUGAUUUUAUCACUUAGAUAAUCAAAAAUUAGAAAUAAUAAAAUAACAUGUGUUUGUUUAUUAAUUACUUUAUCACUUAGUUAACAUUUAAGUUAAUAAAAUAGCGACCUUUAUUUGAUCACGUAGAAUCCCCACAUAAAAUAUGCAUUCGGUCGGGAACCACCUUUGUGGACCUCGAAAGGUACCUAAAACCUUUCUUUCGAGGUAAUUUGAACCCUUACCUGAAUUUCUGGUGAACUAAGAUAAAACAACAAAAUAGGUUCGUAGUUGGCCUAGAUCGGUGCCCUAACACACCUUAAUUCGCUAGGUGGCGAAUUUUCACAUUCACCCUUCAAACAAUCCCAAAAAGAGUGGUCACGUCGAAUUUCACUUUUUACGAGAAAAAUAGGGUGCGACAGAAUGGCGACUCUAUUGGUGAUCUUAGGUUUUAACCACUAUGAAUUUGUGCUUUAUGUGGGAUUCUCUUUAUUCGUUUUGAUUAUGUUUGUUUUUUGACAUCUUGAUUUAUUCUUUUAUUGUUCACUUGCAUCAUGAUUUAUUAGUCCUUUCUCAUUUUUCCCUUUUUACGUGUUUUUCAUUUGUCUCUAUGUCUAUCCCUUUUUCUUUUUCCCUUUUAUUUCUUAUGUGUUAUCAUGUUUAUAUAUAUAUAUAUAUUGUUUAGCAUGUUACAUUUUGCUAUGUGCUAUGUGUUACUAUUUUAUUUAAUUGACAUUCCGUUCAUACUUUCCUCCACUUUGAGCCUCUUUUAUUUUUCGUUUAUAAAUGGUUGUGUGGAUACAUAGACAUUCUUUUCUAAAACGCCCUUCGGGAAAUGCCUUUCGGAUCGAUCGAUCAGUGGUUCAUCGAUAGCCACAAGCUUUCCCACUCUCUAGUAGUCCACUCGAGGGAACCAUAUCACAAAUACACUCUUGUCCUUUUGGUCUGGCUACAUAUUUCUUCCACUAAAGAAUAUAUGUCCCAUUCAAUGUAGGAUGCCUUGGCAUCCUUGAUGCGUUGAAUGUUAGUCUCAUUCAAAGUCUAAAGAGGUUUACGGCUUCAAAGGGACUCACAAUUAUUUGCUAUGUUUUGCAUUUCUAUGAAUGUAUUGAUGUCUUGCCUAUCUUGUUGUUUCCGUUCUUGCCUUAAACACUCCUUACAUUUAGUGUUCCUCACUUUAGAGUUUGUUACACUUAAAAUUCUUAUCAUGAUAGGUCCCUACAAUACACUCUUAGGUCCUAUUCAAUACUUACCUUCAAUUUAUCCUCCUGACUCAUCCAUUAGUAUAUUAAUCAUCUUUAGGCUCAAUUCUUGCUUUAAUAAAGGGGUUUAGUCUUAUUCAUAAUCUUGUAGUACAACUUAUCAUUUUAGGAACUUAUCAUUUUAGGAUCUUCUCUUCUUAAUGCUUUCAAUGCUUACAUACUAUGUCCCACAUGAUCCUUUAGAUACUAUCGUACCCAUGUCAUACUCCAGCUCUUACAACCUCUAAGUUACAUAGAGCUCUUAUAACGUCUAUUCACUCUGAAUGAGCAUAACUCAUUAUCUUCAAAUGAGUAGAAUAUUUAUUCUAGAUAUCCACGCAUGCUUUUUGUUCCUAAUUAUAAAUCCUUUCUUCUAAGUUUGACUAAAGUUGAACAUGAGAAAUGGCCAGUCAAGCGAUACUGUAUGACCCCAUAAAAUCCUAAAGCUCAAUUCAAUCCUUUAAGCUUGUCAAGGGGUCCUAGACUUAGAAAUUCUAGCUAGGUUCCCAGACUAGACUGUUAUUGGCCUUCUAAAGUUGACAAUCUUAUUUUACCACCUUAACGUCCUUUAAUGGUCCGUAUUUUUAUUAAUUUAUGAUCAGGAAGGUCAAUAGGUGUUCUCGAACAAGUUUUGGAUAUUUUGGAACGGGUUUAGAUCAUGUUUGGAGUCCCAAAAUAGUGGAAAAAAAUAAUCAUGGCGCGCCGCAUCGCCAAUCGCGUUAGUCAAUAUUUGUGCAGGCUGGCAGAGCCAAAACUUCUGAGUCUCGACGCGAUCAUGGCGCGAUGCGUCAAGUAUCGCAUCGCAGCUAUCAACGCACUGUGUCGCUUGUAGCGUCGGUACUAAGUUUUUAGUCAUUAAAUGACCACGUCCUCAAGGGAAAUAGGGUCAAUUUCCCACCCCUAUAUAAGUCUAAAACACGGGAUUAAGCCCCAAUUCAACCUAAAUACACUAAUCUCUCUCAAAAUCCAUCAAGAACAAACUUAAGGUUUUCAACUGAGGAUCAAUUUCCAGAAUUUCACCAUUUGUUUUCAAGAGUCUUCCAUCCAAGGUAAGCAUAGUAUUGAUUUAUGGAUUCCUUUCGUGCAUAAAGCUCAAGAACCCUAUUUCAAAUUAUAAAUCAUGAUGUUUAUGUUGUGGGUUCUUUUGAAACCAUGUUUAUCUUGUUGUACAAUUCCCAAGUUGGAAUCUUUACAUGUUUUUCAUGAAACUACGUUAGCAUGCAAGUUGAAAUCCAUGAAUUGAGUUAUUUAUGAUAUGUAAUUUGAUGAUUACACUUAUGCCCUAAAUUUUGCACGUAUGGUGUUUGAUAAAAUGCCUAAGAGGAUAGAAAUUAUGUAUUAUAGCUUAAUUGUGACCCAUAUGAUAAAUGUAUGUUUUACCCUUAUGUUCAAAAGACUCCCAUGCUAUUGUGGUGCAAUGUAGAUAUUUGUUGGGAUGCUCAUGAUAUUAGAGUUUGAAAUUAUGACAUUGAUUAUUUGUAUUCCUAACAAGUACAAGAUUAUGAUAACCAUGUGCUUUAUGAAAUCCCUAACUAAUUAUAUUAUGGAUUGUUGGUCACUAAUUAUAUUAGAUUAUGAUAACAAUGUAGAGCAUUCUUAGUAGAUCAGACGUUCAGUAGCCAGACUAGCAGUGAGUCCUCAUCAUUUGAGGAUAGCAUAAUUAUUUUAAUACUUUAUUAUUUCAAUAGUUUGGAGUUAUUUGGGGACAUGUCCCAUCAACUCUACAGUUUUUAGACAGUUUAGGGGCUUCCAGACUACAGUAUGUUUAGACAGUUUAUUUUAGUUUUCAUUUUUGUAUUGAUAUAUCGUACUCGCAAAUGUUAUUUUUUAUCAGUUAUUUAAACCUUAUAGCCUCUUAACCUUCAUUUCCGUAUUUAUCCAGUAUAUUAUGCAGUGUUCAGGUACAGAUAUCAGUCAUGGAUUAGCUUGUGGCGAUUCAGGGUCAUAAGCACCGUGUAGAGUUCUAGGUACCAGAUUCGAGGCGUUACAAAGUUGGUAUCAGAGCCUAAGGUUCAAUAGUGUCCUAGAAAGUAUGAAAGCCACAUCUAGUAGAGUCUUGUACAUGGCUGUGUUGCACACCUUAUUUAUGUGAAGGAGGCUAUAAGAUGUUUUAGGAAUAGUUUCCCUUCUUUCAGUAUUCAUGUCAUACCAGUGAGCAUAGUCUCAUGUUAAUCUCUCAGUCUAAUCUUUUUCUCAUCCAUUUACAGAAUAUGCCUACCAAGAAGAGAACUAGAAAUCAGUCAGCCCCUCAGCCCGAAGAUCCUUUGGGCAAAUAUGUCUCUCAGCAGAGUUCAAAGCUACAUUCACAACUCUUGCUUAGUCAGUUGCUGCUCAAAAUGAAUGACCAGCUAAUGUUCUGGCCAAUCCUGUGGCUAAUUAAGCAGCUGCCAGGAUUUGGGACUUCACCCGAAUGAAUCCUUCAUUCUUUUCUGGGUUUAAGUCAGAAGAGGAUCCUCAGGAAUUCCUUGACCAAGUUCAGAAAGUUAUAGAAAUCAUGGGGUUUACUUUUAGUGAAAGUGCUGAGCUAGCUGCAUAUUAGAUGUAAGACGUUGCUCAUACUUGGUUCAAACAGUGGAAGUCAGAGAGGUCAGUUGAUGUAGGAUCCAUAGAGUGGGAGGAGUUUGAUAUCGAAUUCUUAGAUAGAUUCUUUCCCCUAGAGCUGAGAGAAGCUAAGGUGAUAGAAUUUAUGAACCUCAGGCAGGGCAACAUGACGGUGAAAGAGUAUUCUCUUAAGUUUACUCAAUUAGCUAGAUAUGCGCCUCAUGUGGUUGCAGAUAGCAGGGCCAAGAUGAGUAAGUUUGUUUUUGGGGUGAACUAUAGUGUAGUCAAUGAGUUUAGGUCCACGAUGUUAAAUUGUGACAUAAACGUAGCCAGGCUUAUGAACCAUGCUCAGCAGAUAGAAGAGCAAAAGAUUAAGAUGAGAGAGAAGCAGAAUAAAAUAACAAGGAUAGGUAGUUUUAACUUUGCUCAGCCUAAGUCAGAGGAGGAACUGUUCUUAGUUUCAUCCUAAGUCAUAAGUUCUAGGUCCUUCUUCAGCUAGUGCACCAGUGCUGAAAUUUAGGGAUGGCAGCAGAGAUAAGGCUCCAGGCUCUAAGUCUCAGGGCAGUGUUAGCAGUACCUGAACCAAUCCUCUUUGUUAGACUUGUGGCAAACACCGUCAGGGUAUUUGUAGAGCUGGCAGCGAUAUUUAAUUUGGAUGUGGCAAGCCAGGCCACAAAGUUAGAUAUUUCCCUCAGAUAGGUUCUAGAGUUAGCGGAACUGUUCCUCAACUCAGACCGAUCGUCUAAAUCAGCAGGGUGCUACUUCUAGUGCUACUAGUGGGCAACACCCAAACAGAUUUUAUGCUCUCCAGUCCUGGCAAGAUCAGGAAAAUUCUCUUGAUGUGGUUACUGGUAUGUUAUAGAUUUUUCACUUACAUGUUUAUGCUUUGUUAGAUCUAGGAGCCUCUUUGUCCUUUGUUACUCCUUAUAUAGUAGUUGAUUUUGGUGUCAGCCCAAAAUUCUAGAAGAGCCCUUUUCAGUAUCUACCCUAGAGGGCAAAACUAUCAUAGCCCGAUGGGUAUACAGGAACUGCCCGAUUAAUAUAUCUCAAAAAGUCACUUCAGCAGACUUAGUCGAAUUAGAGAUGGCUAAUUUUGAUGUCAUUCUUAGCAUAGAUUAGCUUUAUUCCUACUAGGCCACAGUCAACUAUAGAAAUAGAGUUGUCCAGUUUAAAUUUUCAAAUGAACCUGUCCAAGAAUGGAGGGGUAGUACUUUAGCUUUCAGAGGCCAACUCAUUUCCUACCUUCGGGAAAGGAAAAUGAUAUCUAAAGGAUGUGUCUAUCAUCUUGUUCGAGUUAAGGACACUAGUUUUGAAACUCCCAAUCUUGAAUCAGUCCUAGUUGUAAAUGAAUAUUCAGAUGUCUUUCUCGAAGAUCUUCCAGAAAUUCCUCCCGAAAGAGAAAGACUUUAGCAUUGAUUUUUUUGAUAUACUCAGCCUAUAUCUAUUCUGCCAUAUAGAACGGCACCAGCAAAACUCAGAGAAUUAAAAAAGCAGUUGAAGGAUCUCUUAGAUAAGGGGGGAUUCAUCAGACCGGAUUCAUCAGACCUAGUGUUUCCCCGUGAGGUGCACCAGUCUUAUUUAUGUAAAGGAAAGAUGGUUCUCUCAGAAUGUGCAAUGAUUACUGCCAACUCAAUAAAGUCACGGUCAAGAACAAGUAUCCGCUUUCCAGAAUCGAUGACUUGUUUGACCAACUUUAGGAUCCCAGCUAUUUCUGUAAGAUAGACCUCAGAUCGAGCUAUCAUCAUUUUAGAGUUUGGGAAUGUGACAUUCCAAAAAUAGCCUUCCGAACUUGGUAUGGUCAUUUCAAAUUCUUAGUCAUGUCCUUUGGCCUUACCAAUUCCCUAACAACUUUUAUGGAAUUGAUGAACCGGGUGUUCAAUUAGUACUUGGAUAUGUUUGUCAUAGUCUUCAUAGAUGACAUCCUUGUCUAUUUCCGCAGUUAGUAUAAUAAUACAGACCAUCUCAGAAUAGUGCUUCAGACUCUCAGAAAUCAUUAGUUGUUCAUUAAAUUCAGUAUGUGUAAAUUUUGGCUAAGGUCAGUAGCAUUUCUUGGCCAUAUCAUUUUUGGUGAUGGCAUUAGAGUAGAUUCUUAAAAGACUGAAGUAAUAAAAAACUGGCCCAGACCUAUCUCUCCAUCAGAUAUCAGGAGUUUCUUAGGUUUAGCUAUCUAUUAAAGAUGGUUUAUUGAGGUAUUAUCUUCUAUUUCAUCCCCUAUGUCCAGAUUGACUCAUAAGAAAGUCCAGUUUUAGUGUGAGAAGAGUUUUCAGGAGUUGAAGAGUCGACUCACCUCAACUCUAGUUUUGGCUCUUCCAGAUUGUUCAAAUAGGUUCGUAGUGUAUUGUGAUGCAUCCAAAGUAGGUUUGGGUUGUAUCCUCAUGCAACAUGGUAAGGUAAUAACUUACACCUCCAGACAGCUUAAACCCCUUGAGAAGAAUUAUCCAACUCAUGAUCUUGAGUUAGCAACCUAGUAUUUGCCUUAAAGAUUUAGAGACUUUUGUUGUACGGUGUUCAUAUAGAUGUUUUCACAAAUCAUAAAAGCCUUCAGUAUGGAUUCUCUAAAAAAGAUCUUAACCUCCGUCAGAGAAGGUGGUUAGAUUUCUUAAAAGACUAUGACAUGAGUUUUUUUUAUCAUUCGGGCAAGGCCAAUGUAGUGGCUGACGCUCUUAGUAGACUAUCUAUGGGUAGUGUUGCUUAUGUUGAGACAAUAAGAAGAAACUAGCUCAGGAAUUCCAUCUGAUUGCCAGACUAGGUAUUCACUUAGUCGAUACAGAAGAGGGUGAUAUAUGGGUUUAGAGUAGUUCAGAAUCAUCUCUAGGUUCUGAGGUGAAAGAAAAGCAAGGUAGAGAUCCCAGUCUAGUUAGGUUGAAAGAGUCAGUCAAGGAUCAAAAAGUAGAGGUUUUCUCCCAAGGGGGAGAUGGUUUAUUGCGUAUUCAGGGUCGUCUGUGUGUUCCUGGUGUAGAUAACUAGAGGCAAUGAAUUCUUGCAGAAGUGCAUGGGGCGCGUUACUCUAUUCAUCCAGGGGCCACAAUGAUGUACUACAAUUUGUGGGAGAUCUAUUAGUGGAGUGGGAUGAAGAGAGAUAUUACAGAGUUUGUGGCUAAGUGCUCUAAAUAUCAACAAGUUAAGAUAGAGAAUUAGAAGCCUAGUGGGUUUAUGCAGGAGUUCAAUAUUCCUACUUGGAAGUGGGAAGAAGUGAACAUAGACUUCAUGACAGGUUUGCCUUGUUCUCAUCAUCAACAUGAUUCAAUUUGGGUCAUUGUAGAUAGGCUGACCAAAUCAUCUUAUUUUCUUCCAUUCCAUACCUCCUAUGCAGCCAAGGAUUAUGGCAAACUCUAUAUCGGGGAGUUGGUUAGUUUACAUGGUGUUCCAUUGUAUGUUAUCUCAGACAGAGGUACCCAGUUCACCUCUCAUUUCUGAAAGAAUUCCAAAGGGUCUUGGUACCCAAGUUCAUCUCAGUACAGCCUUUUAUCCUUAGACAGAUGGUCAAGCAAAACGGACCAUUCAGACUUUAGAAGAUAUGCUAAGGGCGUGUGCAAUUGAUUUCAAGGGUAGUUGGGAUGACCACUUGCCUUUGAUUGAGUUUGAAUACAAUAACAACUGUUAUUCCAGCAUUCGGAUGGCUCCAUUCAAAGCUCUUUAUGGUAGGAGUUUCAGAUCUCGAGUCGGUUGGUUUGAAGUUAGUGAGUCCUCAGUCAUAGGGCCUGACUUAGUAUUAGAUGCCUUAGAAAAAGUUCAGUUGGUCAGAGAAAGACUCCGGGCUUCUCAAAGCCGACAGAAGUCUUAUGCAGAUGUGUGCAGAAAGGAUCUCAAGUUUGAGAUUGGUGACUAUGUCAAUCUAAAGAUCUCUCCCAUGAAGGGAGUGAAGAGAUUCGGUAAGAAGGGAAAGCUUAGUCCCCGAUAUGUUGGUCCCUUCAAAAUUCUCAGUCGCUUCGGCAAAGUAGCUUAUGAGUUUGAGUUGCCUUCAGAUCUUGCCUCAGUUCAUCUAGUUUUCCAUGUCUCUUUGAUCAAGAAGUGCAUAGGUGACCCAACAGUUGUAGUCCCUAUUCAGAGCAUAGAUGUUCAGAAUAGCCUCUUUUAUGAGGAAAUUCCAAUCGAAAUCCUUGACUAUCAGACUCGUAGACUGAGGAACAAAAAAGUCCCUCUAGUUAAAGUUCUAAGGUGGAAUCAGUCUGUUGAAGGAUCUACUUGGGAAGAAGAAGCUGACAUGUGUACCAAGUAUCCUCACUCUUCUCCGCUAACUCAGACUCAGCCCAAGGUAAUAGUUCUCCUUAAGUUUUAAGUUUCAUGUUCAGAAUUCAGCCACAACUUGGUAUCCAGUUCAAGAUCAGAAUUCCAUUAUAAACUCGGUAUCGAUUACCAUUGGAUAUUCAGUCAUGCAUUUAUGUAUCAGUUCAGUCAUAUGAUCAUGCAUCAGAUAUGUAUUCUCAUUGUAAGAAACUCAGUUUAUUAGAAUACUCAGUCAUGUAUUCAUGAAUCAGUUACACAUGCAUCAGAUAUGCAUGCUCAGUAUGAUGUAUUUAGUUAUCAGUCAUGUCAGUCAUGGAAUCAAGCUUCAGUUGUUCGUGUUCAGUAUGUUCAUCAGUUUAUCUUUUGUCCCCUCUCAGUCGUCUCAUUCGAGGAUGAAUGUUCUUAAGGGGGAGAUAUUGUAAGACCCCAUAAAAUCCUAAAGCUUAAUUCAGUCCUUUAAGCUUGUCAAGGGGUCCCAGACUUAGAAAAUUCUAGCUAGGUUCCCAGACUUAGCCUAUUAUUGGCCUUCCAAAGAUGGCAAUCUUAUUUUGCCACCUUAAUGUCCUUUAAUAGUCCGUAUUUUUAUUAAUUCAUGAUUAGGAAGGUCAAUAGGUGUUCUUGGGCAAUUUUUGUUUUUUUUGGAACACGUUUAGAUCAUGUUCGGAGUCUUAAAACAGUGGACCAACGCGAUCAUGGUGCGCCGCAUCACCAAUGGUGUUGGUCAAUAUUUGUGCAGGUUGCCAGAGCCAAAACUUCUGAGGCUCAACAGGAUCAUGGUGCAAUGUGUUGAGUAUCGCAUCACAACCAUUAACGUGUCGCGUCACUUGUCGCGUCAGGUACAAAUAUUUGUCAUGGGUUAGCUUAUGGCGAUUCAGGGUCAUAAGCACCGUGUAGAGUUCAAGGUACCAGAUUCGAGGCGUUACAAAGUUGGUAUCAGAGCCUAAGGUUCACCAGUGUCCUAGAAAGUAUGAAAGCCACAUCUAGUAGAGUCUUGUACAUGGUGUGUUGCACGCCUUAUUUAUGUGAAGGAGGCUAUAAGAUGUUCUAGGAAUACAUUCCCUUCUUUCAGUGUUCAUGUCAUGCCAGUGAGCAUAGUCUCAAGUUAAUAUCUCAGUCUAAUCUUUUUCUCUUCCAUUUACAGAACACGCCUACCAAGAAGAGAACUGGAAAUCAGUCAGCCCCUCAGCCUAAAGAUCCUUUGAGCGAACAUGUCUCUCAUGCAGAGUUCAAAGUUGUAUUCAUUGCUCUUGCUCGGUCAGUUGCUGCUCAAAAUGAAUGACCAACUAGUGUUCUGACCAACCUAGUGGCUAAUUAAGUAGCAGCCAAGAUUCGGGACUUCACCCGAAUGAAUCCUUCAUUCUUUUUAAGGUUUAAGUCAGAAGAGGAUCCUUAGGAAUUCCUUGACCAAGUUCAGAAAGUUACAGACAUCAUGGAAUUUACUUUUAGUGAAAGUGCUGAGCUAGCUGGAUAUUAGUUGUAGGACGUUGCUCACACUUGGUUCAAACAGUGGAAGUCAGAGAGGUCAGUUGAUGCAAGAUCCAUAGAGUGGGAGGAGUUUGUUAUCAGAUUCUUAGAUAGAUUCUUUCCUCUAGAGCUGAGAGAAGCUAAGGUGUUAGAAUUUAUCAACCUCAGGCAGGGCAACAUGACGGUGGAAGAGUAUUCUCUUAAGUUUACUCAAUUAGCCAGAUAUGUGCCUCAUGUGGUUGCAGAUAGCAGGGCCAAGAUGAGUAAGUUUGUUUCUGGAGUGAACGAUGGUGUGGUCAAUGAGUUUAGGUCCACGAUGUUAAAUAGUGACAUAAACGUAGCCAGGCUUAUGAACCAUGCUCAGCAGAUAGAAGAACAAAAGAUUAAGAUGAGAGAGAAGUAGAAUAAGAGAACAAGGACAGGUAGUUUUAAUUUUGCUCAUCCUAAGUCAGAGAAGAUGAGAGAGAAGCAGAAUAAGAGAACAAGGACAGGUAGUUUUAACUUUUCUCAGCCUAAGUCAGAGGGAGGAAUCGUUCUUAGUUUCGUCCUAAGUCAUCAAUUUUAGCUCCUUCUUCAGCUAGUGCACCAGUGCUGAAAUUUAGGGAUGGAAGCAGAGAUAGGGCUCCGGGCUCAAAGUCUCAGGGCAGUGUUAGCAGUUCCCGAAUCAAUCCUCUUUGUCAGACUUGUGGCAAACACCAUCAGGGUAUUUGCAGAGCUGGCAGCGAUAUUUUUUUUGGAUGUGGCAAGCCAGGCCACAGAGUUAGAGAUUGCCCUCAGAUAAGUUCCCAGAGUCAGCAGACUGUUCCUCAACUCAGACCGAUCGCCUAAAUCAGCAGGGUGCCACUUCUAGUGCUACUAGUGGGCAACGCCUAAAUAGAUUUUGUGCUCUCCAGUCCCAACAAGAUCAAGAAAAUUCUCUUGGUGUGGUUACUGGUACGUUAUAGAUUUUUCACUUGCUUGUUUAUGCUUUGCCAGAUCUAGGAGCUUCUUUGUCCUUUGUUACUCCUUAUAUAGCAGUUGAUUUUGGAGUCAGCCCCAAAAUUCUAAUAGAGCCCUUUUCAGUAUCUACCCUAGUGGGCAAAACCAUCAUAGCUCGAUGGGUAUACAGGAACUGCCCGAUUAAUAUAUCUCAAAAAGUCACUUCAGCAGACUUAGUCGAAUUAGAGAUGGCUAAUUUUGAUGUCAUUCUUAGCAUAGAUUGGCUUUAUUCCUGCUAGGCCAUAGUGAACUAUAGAAAUAGAGUUGUCUAGUUUAAAUUUUCGAAUGAACCUGUCCUAGAAUAGAGGGGUAGUACUUUAGCUUUCAGAGGCCAACUUAUUUCCUACCUUUGGGAAAGGAAAAUGAUAUCUAAAGGAUGUGUCUAUCAUCUUGUUCGAGUUAAAGAUACUAGUUUUGAAACUCCCAGUCUUGAAUCAGUCCCAGUUGUGAAUGAAUAUUCAGAUAUCUUUCUCGAAGAUCUUCCAGAAAUUCCUCCCGAAAGGGAAAGACUUCGGCAUUGAUAUUUUCCAGAUACUCAGCCUAUAUCUAUUUUACUAUACAGAGUGGCACCAGCAAAACUCAGAAAAUUAAAAGAGCAGUUGAAUGAUCUCUUAGAUAAGGGAUUCAUCAGACCCAGUAUUUCCCCGUGAGGUGCACCAGUCUUAUUCAUGCAAAAGAAAGAAGGUUCUCUCAGAAUGUGUAUUGAUUACCGCCAACUCAAUAAAGUCAUGGUCAAGAACAAGUAUCCACUUCCCAGAAUUGAUGACUUGUUUGACCAACUUUAGGGUGCCAGCUAUUUCUGUAAGAUAGACCUCAGAUCGGGCUAUCAUCAGUUCAGAGUCGGGGAAUGUGACAUUCCAAAAAUAGCCUUCCAAACUCACUAUGGUCAUUUCAAAUUCUUAGUCAUGUCCUUUGGUCUUACCAAUGCCCCAACAACUUUCAUGGACUUGAUGAACAGGGUGUUAAAGUAGUAAUUGGAUAUGUUCGUCAUAGUCUUCAUAGAUGGCAUCCUUGUCUAUUUUCGCAGUUAGUAUAAUUAUGCAGACCAUCUCAGAAUAGUGCUUCAGACUCUUAGAAAUCAUUACUUGUUCAUUAAAUUGAGUAUAUGUGAAUUUUAGCUAAGGUUAGUAGCAUUCCUUGGCCAUAUCAUUUUCAAUGAUGGCAUUAGAGUAGAUCCUUAAAAGACUGAAGCAGUAAGAAACUGGCCCAGACCUAUCUCUCUAUCAGAUAUCAGGAGUUUCUUAGGUUAAGCUAUCUGUUACAGAUGGUUUAUUGAGGGAUUAUCUUCUAUUGCAUCCCCUAUGUCCAGAUUGACUCAUAAGAAAGUCAAGUUUUAGUGUGAGAAGAGUUUUCAGGAGUUGAAGAGUCGACUCACCUCAACUCUAUUUUUGUCUCUUCCAGAUUGUUCAAAUAGGUUUGUAAUGUAUUGUGAUGCCUCCAAAGUAGGUUUGGGUUAUUUCCUCAUUCAACAUGGUAAGGUCAUAACCUACGCCUCCAGAUAGCUUAAACCUCAUGAGAAGAAUUAUCCAACUCAUGAUCUUGAGUUAGCAACCUAGUAUUUGCCUUAAAGAUUUAGAGGCUUUUGUUGUACGGUGUUCAUGUAGAUGUGUUCACGAAUCAUAAAAGCCUUUAGUAUGUAUUCUCUAAAAAAGAUCUUAACCUCCGUCAGAGAAGGUGGUUAGAUUUCUUAAAAGACUAUGACAUGAGUUUUUUUUAUCAUUCGGGCAAGGCCAAUGUAGUGGCUGACGCUCUUAGUAGACUAUCUAUGGGUAGUUGAGGACAAUAAGAAGAAGCUAGCUCAGGAAGUCCAUUAGCUUUCCAGACUAGGUAUUCACUUAGUCGAUACAGAAGAGGGUAAUAUAUGGGUUUAGAGUAGUUCAGAAUCAUCUCUAGUUUUCGAGGUGAAAGAAAAGCCAGGAAGAGAUCCUAGUCUAUUCAGGUUGAAAGAGUUAGUCAAGGAUCAGAAAGUAGAGGUUUUCUCCUAAGGGGGAGAUGGUUUAUUGCGUAUUUAGGGUCGUAUGUGAGUUCCUGGUGUAGGUAAAUGGAGGCAACGGAUUCUUAUAGAAGUGCAUGGGGCGCGUUACUCUAUUCAUCCAGGGUCCAUAAAGAUGUACUACAAUUUGUGGGAGAUCUAUUAGUGGAGUAGGAUGAAGAGAGAUAUUACGGAGUUUGUGGCUUAGUGCUCUAAAUGUCAACAAGUUAAGAUAGAGAAUUAGAAACCUAGUGGGUCUAUGCAGGGGUUCAGCAUUCCUACUUGGAAGUGGGAAGAAGUGAACAUAGACUUUGUGAUAGGUUUGCCUCGUUCUCGUCAUCAACAUGAUUCAGUUUGGGUCACUGUAGAUAGGCUGACCAAAUUUGCUUAUUUUCUUCCAGUCCAUACCUCCUAUGCAGCCAAGGAUUAUGCCAAACUCUAUAUCAGGGAGUUGGUUAAUUUACACGGUGUUCCAUUGUAUGUUAUCUCAGACAGAGGUACUCGGUUCUUCUUUCAUAUUUGAAAGUAUUCCAAAAGGGUCUUGGCACCCAAGUUUAUCUUAUUAUAACCUUCUAUCCUCAGACAGAUGGUCAAGCAGAAAGGACCAUUUAGACUUUAGAAGAUAUGCUAAGGGCAUGUGAUAUUGAUUUCAAGGUUAGUUGGGAUGACCACUUGCCUUUGAUUGAGUUUGCAUACAAUAACAGCUAUCAUUCCAGCAUUCGGAUGGCUCCAUUCAAAGCUCUUUAUGGUAGGAUGUGCAGAUCUCCAGUCGGUUGGUUUGAAGUUAGUACGUCCUCAGUCAUAGGGCCUGACUUAGUAUUAGAUGCCUUAGAAAAUGUCCAGUUGAUCAGAGAAAGACUCCGAGCUUCUCAGAGCCGAUAGAAGUCUUAUGCAGAUGUGCGUAGAAAGGAUCUCGAGUUCGAGAUUGGCGACUAUAUCUAUCUCAAGAUCUCUCCCAUGAAGGGAGUGAAGAGAUUCGGUAAGAAGGGAAAGCUUAGUCCCCGAUAUGUCGGUUCCUCCAAAAUUCUCAGUCGCUUCGGCAAAGUAGCUUAUGAGUUUGAGUUGCCUUCAGAUCUAGCCUAAGUUUAUCCAAUUUUAUAUAUCUCUUUGCUCAAGAAGUGCAUAGGUAACCCAACAGUUGUAGUCCCUAUUCAGAGCAUAGAUGUUCAGAAUAGCCUUUUUUAUGAGGAGAUUCCAGUCGAAAUCCUUGACUAUCAGACUCGUCGACUGAGGAACAAAGAAGUCCCUCUAGUCAAAGUUCUAAGGUGGAAUUAGUCCGUUGAGGGAGCUACUUGGGAAGAAGAAGCUGACAUGUGUACCAAGUAUCCUCACUCUUCUCCGCUAACUCAAACUCAGCCCAAGGUAAUAGUUAUCCUUAAGCUUUAAGUUUUAUGUUCAGAAUUCAGCCACAACUUGGUAUCUAGUUCAUGAUCAGAAUUCCAUUAUAAACUCGGCAUCGAUUAUCAUUGCAUAUCCAGUCAUGCAUUCAUGUAUCAGUUCAGCCAUAUGAUCUUGCAUCAGAUAUGUAUUCUCAUUGUGAGAAACUCAGUUCAUUAGAAUACUUAAUCAUGUAUUCAUUAAUCAAUUACACAUGCAUCAGAUAUGCAUGCUCAGUAUGAUGUAUUUAGUUAUCAGUCAUGUCAGUCAUGGAAUCAAGCUUCAGUUGUUCAUGUUCAGUAUAUUCAUCAGUUUAUCUUUUGUCCCCUCUCAGUCAUCUCAUUCGAGGAUGAAUGUUCUCAAGGGGGAGAUAUUGUAAGUCCCCAUAAAAUCCCAAAGCUCAAUUCAGUCCUUUAAGCUUGUCAAGGGGUCCCAGACUUGGAAAAUUCUAGCUAGGUUCCCAGACUUAGCCUAUUAUUGGCCUUCCAAAGUUGGCAAUUUCAUUUUGCCACCUUAAUGUCCUUUAAUAGUCUGUAUUUUUAUUAAUUCAUGAUUAAGAAGGUCAAUAGGUGUUCUCGGGCAAUUUUUGGUUUUCUUGGAACACGUUUAUAUCAUGUUCGGAGUCCCAAAAUAGUGGACUAACGCGAUCAUAGUGCACCGCAUCACCAACCGUGUUGGUCAAUAUUUGUGUAGGCAGCUAGAGCCAAAACUUCUGAGGCUCGACAGGAUCAUAGUGCAACACAUUGAGUAUCGCAUCACAGCCAUCAACGUGUCGCGUCGCUUGUAGCGUCGGCACCCAAUUUUUAUUCAUUAAAUGACUGUGUCCUCAAGGGCAAAAGGGUCAAUUUCCCACCCCUAUAUAAGUCUAAAAUACGGGAUUGAGCCCCAAUUCAACCUAAAUACACUUAUCUCUCUCAAAAUCCAUUAAGAAUAAGUUCAGGGUUUUCAACUAAGGAUCCAAUUUCUAGAAUUUCACCAUUUUUUUUCAAGAAUCUUCCAUCCAAGGUAUGCAUAGUGUUGAUUUAUGGAUUUCUUUCAUCCAUAAAGCUCAAGAACCCUAUUUCAAAUUAUAAAUCAUGAUGUUUAUGUUGUGGGUUGUUUUGUAACCAUGGUUAUCUUGUUGUACGAUUCCCAAGUUGGAAUUUUUACGUGUUUUUCAUGAAAUAUGUUAACAUGCAAGUUGAAAUCCAUGAAUUGAGUUGUUUAUGAUGUGUAAUUUGAUGAUUACACCUAUGCCCUAAAUUGUGCAUGAAUGGUAUUUGAUAAAAGCCUAAGAGGAUAAAUUAUGUGUAUUAUUGCUCAAUUGUGACCCAUAUGAUAAAUGUAUGUUUUACCCUUAUGGUGUAAUAACUCCCAUGCUAUUGUAGUGCAAUGAAUAUGUUUGUUGGAAUGCUCAUGAUGUUAGGGUAUGAAAUUAUGACAUUGAUUAUUUGCAUUCCUAACAAGUACAAGAUUAUGAUAACCAUGUACUUCAUGAAAUCCCCAACUUAUUGUAUUAUGGAUUGUUGGACAUGUAUUCAAGAAUGUCAUGCCUUGUUAGUUUCCUUCUAUCGAGUCCUAGGGGUACUUGUACCUGAAAAUUUAGCUGUGUGCCUAGAGCCAGUGUCAUGUUUUCAAGAUACUCUCAGUCAAGCCAUGAUCCAUAGAACUCUGUCAAUCAUGUGACUCAUGAAAACUCAGUAAACUCAAUAAAUCCAGAAACCUCAGAAAGCUCAGUGAUUUUGAAAUCUCAGUAGUAUUCCAUUAGUCAAUGGAACUCAAUGAACUCAGUCUAGUUCAUUUCAAAUAAUCAUGUUCAGUGUCUAUUCAAAUGGGAGUAGGAUUUAGCACUGAGUGAACCCAAAGAUGGGAACUCACCUGCACGUUGAGGGUGUGAUUCUUAAAAACAAUCCUUGAAUUCUAGAACUACGUAGCCAGCGUAAGUUGAGACAUCAACCUGUCAGUCGAGGAUUGAUGAAGUGUGUUGGCCUGUCACAUGAGGGUCCAACCGUUCCCAUUAGAGUACCUGCCAGAUGAGGGUCACUCAUAGCUUGUCUGUUCCAGUGGUGCGAUAUUGACACCCUUCAAAUUAAGGUUACAGAUUGGACCCCAACUCAACUGUAUUGCUUUAUUUGGGGCAUGUCGGUUAGAUGACUACUUCCCAUAGUUUCAGUUUCAGUUUCAGUAUCAGUAAUAAAACUUAAAUAGUUCUACAGAACUUUGGACUGUUAGAUACAGUCGCACAGCUCAGUAUAGAACUCAUCUAAUUCCAUUAGAACUUAGACUGUUAGCCACAGUCGCUUAGUAUUAGUUAUAUCAGUUAUCAUUAACUUAUGUUAUCAGCAUUCAGACUCAGUAGUCAGUAUCAUCACAAAUUCAGUUACAGUCACUUAUUCAUGCAUGUAUUCUCACAUUCAUGUUAUACAGUCAGUUAUCAUUGUUCAUGCAUUUGAACCCUUUGCAUUCUUCCUACCUCACUUGCAUACCAGUAUAUUCAAUCGUACUAAUGCAUUUCCGCUAUGGUGUUUUAUACCAUAGGUUCGGAAGUACGAGCUCCAGAGUAUCCUUAGUAGAUUAGACAUUCAGCAGCCAGACUAGCAGUGAGUCCUCAUCAUUCGAGGAUAGCAUGAUUAUUUUAUUACUUUAUUAUUUUAGUAGUUUGGAGUUAGUUGGGGACAUAUCCCAUCAACUCCACAGUUUUUAGAUAGUUUAGAGGCUUCUAGACUACAGUAUGUUCAAACAGUUUAUUUCAGUUUUCUUUUUGGUAUUCACAUACCGAACUCUAAGAUGUUAUGUUUUAUCAGUUUUUGAACCUUAUGGUCUCUCAGCCUUUAUUUCUUUAUUUAUACAGUAUAUUAUGCAGUGUUUAGGUACAGAUAUCAGUCAUGGGCUAGCUUGUGGCCUUUUGGGGUCAUGAGCUCCGUAUAACAUUCUAGGUACCAGAUUCGGGGUAUUACAGAUGCUUAUUGAUCUUGUCAACAGCUAAGCUAAGCACGAGAGUUUGGGGUUGCAUCAAAGUAGAGUUAUUUUGAGCAUUAGAAGGUUGGGAAGCAAAAUAGAGCUAAUUGGGGGAAUAAUGACUGAUAUUUGAUGUUCGAUCGAGAUGCCGUUAGGUUUUCCAGAGCCGCUAUCUAAAGCAAACCUCAACCCUCCCAUCCACACCACGGUGUCCUCUGCACUGAAAACUUCACCUAUACCUGAUUGUGACACACAUGUCUCCAAGAACGUUUUCAAUUGCAUUACUAUAAGAACUUAUUGAGUUAACAAAUACGAGUGAGAACAAGGAGACAGAAGGACAGGUUCCUAACCAUGAGGCAGGAUCAUCUCAACAUCCCAAAAUGAAUAAGUCAUCUAAAUCAAGGAAAGAAGACAAGGCGAGAAUCGACGGUUUGGACUUUCCAUUCUAUGAUGGGUCGGGAAACCCUCAUCCCAUUUGAAGGAGUACCUCCACAAGCUAUCGGUUAUAGGAAAAAGUGAUAGCCUGAAGGCGAAACUCUUUGUUAGUUCACUUAAAGGUCCAGCAUUGAUGUAGUAUGCUGAAAAUGAUACUAGCAAAUGGGUUUCUUGGGACCAUUUGGCAAUUGACUUUGUUAGGCGGUUCGACAAUAAGCUAAAAAGGAAGCUCACAGUCGAGGCAAAUUUAGUUAAGCCACAAUCCAGAUAAGGGUAAGAUAAUCAUCAAUGAGACAUCAAAACCUUCAAAGCUUGAAGUAAGUAUGCCCAAAUCUUAACCGAUAUGGUACCCAGCUCCAGAAGUCAUCCCAACCUCUAAUUACAUCCAAGCCUAUUAUCCAUAAUCCUUCACAAGACCUCUUCCUUAUACUGUUUGGUACCCAUAUCCAUCCUCUGCUUCAAAAACAAACUAUAUUCCAGUUUCUUGUCAAAACCUACCCAUAAAUCAACAAAGCAACAAAUAACCAAACCUCAACAUAAACCUUAGAAAAAUCCACCAAAACAAUCCACUACUUUAAAUGAACCCAUUGAAUAGUGUUAUGAACGACUCAAAAAUGCGGGCUACAUCAUGGCCAUUGCUACUAUGCCUUAAGAUACCAAGUAUAUGAGGUAUUUCCCUAACCUAACAUGUGCCUACCAUUUUAGGAUGAGAGGACAUCCAACUAAGGCGUGCUUUGUGUUGAAGAACAUAAUCCAAAAGUUUAUUGACGCCAAAGUGAUAAAUGUGAUGGGCUCAAAUUUCGAUAAAGAUUGAUUGUCUAAGCUUGACUUGCACUUGUUGACGAUUGAUUUUCUAAACUUAAAUUACACUUGUUAACAAUGGUGAAGAGGAUGUCAUGUUGAUUCUUUGCUCCAGGCUCUCCAACAUUUGAAAUUCCUUCAAAUUUUACAAUUUUCAGUUUUCUUUGCUAAUGUAAUGUGAACUACAGUCUACCUAAUUCUCGUUUAAGAGGGAUACGUAGACGCUCAUUUAAUGAGUUCGUUCUUACUAUAAUAAAAUUUUCUUUUUCCCUGCUUUAUAAUUUUUUUCUAUAUGGAGUUGGAUGAAUCUACAAUAUGUUAUGAAUCAAUAAAUCUGAUGUUCAACAAAAGUCGACUUGUCCAUUUCCUAUCAUUCUUAUCCUCUUUGCAAUCGCAAUCGCUAAAUCGAUAUCAUAUUUUAUUGCUAUCAUGUUUUGUGCAUUAGGAGCUCAAAUCUUUAUGCCUAGAGUGCUUAUUAAGGCUUAAUAUUCAUCCUAGAAUGUCGUUUGCUUUAUAUUUAUUACGCUUUGAACUUACACAUUAAUUUUUGUUUGAUUUGCUUAUUUUAUUUAAGGGUUGUGUAGCAUUUGAACAUCGAACUUAAGUGAGAAUCUGCAAUAUGACAAAUAUGGUCAAUAUCAAAAAAGUUUUCAGUCCCCUUUCUCAUCGCCCAAGACAAAACACUAUGACUCCUUAUCCUUUCCUUACCCACACACUUUCUCAAUAAUUUUCUUUUACACAUGACAUUUCUGAAAGUGAAAUGAUCAAUUUGGAUUAACGUGGACAAAGCCUUUGUGACUUAGAGAAAAAGGUGAAUUGAGGAAUUGCAUUCUAGGGGUAUCUACGACCUGAGGUAUGAGAAAUUAUGUAUACAUCCGUGGAUUAACUUGCCUCCAGGAUACAAAGUUCCCAAGUUCAAUAUGUUUGCUGGGCCUGGGGAUCCAAUCAUGUAUUCGGAGGACUAUUGAGGUAGACUGAUUGGCAUAGGGUACAAUGAGGCUUUCCUUAUGAGAUUGUUUAUUCAAAGUUUGUCAGGAAUGACACUCACAUGGUUAGCCCAACAAGACUUCAACAAAUGGAAAAAUUGGGAAGAAUUGGCAUAAGAUUUUGUGAGGCAAUACAAGUUUAACAUCAAUAUUGGUCCAACAAUGUGGGAAUUACUUGAGAUGAAGAGAACGGCCCAUGAAUCUUUUGAGGAAUAUUCCAAUCGAUGGAGGCUAGAGGAUUCCAAAAUGUCCUUCUGUACCUGAGGAGGAAUUGGUUCAAAUAUUCCUCAAGACACUAGAUGGAAUAUACUUUCAGAAAAUGUUCUUCCUGGUCAGUCACAACUUUGACAGUCUAAUUUUGAUUGGAAAGAAAUUAGAACAUAAAACGAAGAAUCCAUCCGAGGGAGAAAAAGAGGAUUCAUUACCCUCCGUACCUCAAACACAAGAAUAUUGAAAUAAUGAAGAGACCCACACUGUUUUUUAUUCCCGAAAUAAGGCUUAUCAGAUAUAAUCCUACUCUCUCCAGCAAGGUUCUCAAAAUAAGGCACCUUGAACACAACCCAACUUUCGACAAGGGCCUUACUUAGUAUGCAAUUCUUUUCAUCAAUCGAAAAGAAUGAGGUUUCAAUCCUAUGAUCCUGUCACUACAAAUGAAAUCCAUGUUCAAGGUGAUCCAACAAGAAUACUUCCAAGACAUUCACAAAAGAAGCGUAAAGCAGAUUACAUGAGUUGACGUGCAAACCCUUAUUGUUUUCCAUCACUGUUCUCCUUUAUUCAUCUUAUGGCUUAGAACAUUUUCUUGUUUCCUCUACCUUUCUUUGUACUUAGAAAUUAAGUUCGACCUGACUUUCAUUUGGAUACGUAGGAAGACCACUCUGGGUCCGGUCAUAAUCUAAUAGAACAUUUUCUUUCCCCACUUUCUUUCAAUACUUGCACUUCCAAAGUGUUGGGCUAAUAAUCCCAACUCCAGAGCAUAUUAAGGGAAGAUUACAAUUGAAGCUAAGAUAUUCAAAUGUAGAAUGACCAUUUUUCUUGAACUAAUGUUUUCUUUGAGUGGUAUAGGAAUAUAAGGCUCUUUCCAUUAUAGAAUAUUUUAAUAACAUGUUUAUUCUUUCCUAUAUGUCACCUUUACCUUACUAACUUGACUCUUUUUUAUUUUUGAUUAUUUAUUUUCUCCCACACCCUAAAGAUUGAUUUAUGCAUUCUCUUGCCCAUCACAUCAAUUGAAAAAGGCUCGGUCUCCUUCUCUUAAAGCUUAAUCACCAAGACAGGUAAAUGGGUGAUAACAAAGAAACUAGAAAUGAGCCUAAUGAGAUGAUCUUACAAAUGGAACAAAGAAUCCUUCAACUAUAAGGAAAAUUGUCACAAGACCGUAACUCAUCUAAUUUACCCCUUGCUUUGAAUGCUUCACUCGAACUACAAGUUGAGGGUAAAAAUGUUAUUAAAUCCCAUCCCACCUUCAUGAGUCAUCCCUUACAAUCACUUCCUAUUUCACAACCCCCACUUAAUUUAAAUCACAUAUACACGUCUCCUAAACAUAACUCAUAUCCAGCCCCACUAAAUUCACAAACAACAUCAUAUGUCCACAAUAUACCGCCAAUGUUUACCACAAAUAUGCCUCAUUUUCAUGACCCAAGCAGCUAUACUUUAGAUCUGAGUUAUGAAAAAAUGACUCCAUUUAUCCACCAUUAAUACAAAUCCAAACCACCAAAAAAUACAGCCCUUAUGCAAUAUGUGGUUGAAAGAUUGGAACAACUUGAAGGCAAUAAGGGGUCGAAUUGGCUAAGUUACGAGGACCUAUGCAUGCACCCUGAUGUUGAACUGCCGGAGGGAUACAAGCCUCCUAAAUUUGAAUUAUAUAGUGGGACUAGAGACCCGAAAGUCCAUUUGAAACUAUACUGCGACAAGCUAGUUGGAAUUGGUAAAAAUGAGCAAAUUCUUAUGAAGUUAUUCAUGAGGAGCCUCACUGGAGAUGCUUUAUCAUGGUAUGUCACACAAGAUGCAACAAAAUGGUCAAAAUGGACCGAUAUAGCCUCUGAUUUCAUAGAAAGAUUUGGGUUUAAUAUUGAGAAUAUGCCUGAUUGGUUCUACAUUCAGAAGAUAAAAAAGAAACCUACAGAAGCAUUUUGAGAAUAUGGAAUAAGAUAGAUACGUGAAGCUUUUAAAGUGCAUCCUCAUUUAGAGGUAAGUCAAAUAAAAGAAUUUUCCAUACAUGCCCAAGAGCCACAAUAUUAUGAAAGGAUUAUUCUUAUAGAGGAUUGAAAGCUUGUUGACAUCAUCAAAUUGGGUGAGAGAAUUGAAGAAGGCAUUAAAAACAGCAUGAUAACAAAUUUGGAGGCUCUGCAAGCGAUUAAGUCUUCACAGGCUGAUGAGAACAACAACAUAAAAGAGGUAAAUACUGUCUUGACUACACAAAAUCCUAAAAAACAAACACCACUUCCUGCACUGCAAUACCAAACACCCAUAUAUCAAGCACCUUCAUUCCCCACAACGACAUACAAUUACCCCAUACUAUCUUAUAAUCCUACCAACUAUCUCGCACAACCUAUGCGCUCAGAAAUUCUUCCAACUACUAUCCAGCAACCAUUAGCUUAUCAAAAUCCACUAAAAAAUAUAUGACCUAAUCAAUUCAUCAAUCCUCAAGCCAAGCUUCAAAAAAAUUAGUCAAGAUAGUACACUCCUUUGGCUGAGCCUAUAGACCAACUUUAUGAGAGAUUAAGGGUUGACGGCUACAUUACUCCACUUCCUAAAAUUGUAAUGAAUACAUAUGCUAAAUGGGCUGAUUAUUUCAAAGUUUGCGAUUAUCAUUCGGAGAUGACAGGCCACACCACAAAAGAAUGUCAUGCUUUAAAGGACAAAAUUCAAGCAAUGAUUGAUACCAGGGUGAUAAAGGUGAUGGGGCUAUAGCUUGAUGUUGAUUAAGCAUUGACAUCUAUCUAACAUUAAGGAAGGGAUAGUACAUCGUUUUUGGAUUUCAGUCUCUCAAGCACUUGAGUUACUAUAAUCUUUACAUUUUCUUGGAAAAAUAUGAAUUUCUCCUAUGUAAUUUGAACCAUGUUUGACCUAAUUCCCAUUUAAGAGGAAUACGUAGGCGCUCCUAUGGAGUUCGGUCUUAUCAUAAUGAAAUUUUCAUAUUUUCCUGAAAGCACGUAACUGGGGCAAAAUUUUUGAAAGGAUUUCAAAAAUUCUAUGAUUGUACAAGUUUAAAAUGGAAGAGACAUGUAACUGGGGCAGAGUUUUUAAGAAGAUCUCAAAAAUUCUAUCAAGAAGCAUUUCAACAAGCUCAAGGCUAGAAAGAUCAAACUGGGGCAAAUUUUUUUUAGAAAUCCUCCAUGAACAAAGACAAUGGAUUCAGAACAUGAAUAAAGGAGGUGGUAGAGACACGAAUCAAUCUUCCCCCUUUUUUAAAACUAACAAUUUUCCUGUGAGUGUAGAAAUAGAGUGACAAGUACAAAUAUUGAGUAUGUUAACACCAUCAGAAGAUAUAAGGUUAAGUAUUGUCAUUCUGUAUUUUGAGCGUGUUAAACACUACCCUCUUGAGAGAAACUAUUUGAGGCUAAGCAUUACCCUUGAAAAGUUAGUUGGAUUAAGCACUGCCCUCUCUCGAGAAAUCAUCCGAUCUAAGCAUUGUUUCAAAAACACGAUGGAGUUAAGCACUACUCUAUCAAAGAAAUCUCUAAGGCUAAGUAUUGCCCUUGGAAAGUUAAGUGGGUUAAGCACUACCCUCUUUUAAGAAACUGACUGAGGCUAAGUAUUGUCCUUGAAAGUUAGUUGGGUUAAGCACUACACUCUCUCAAGAAAUCAUCCAAACUAAGAAUUAUUUUGGACACUCAAUGGAGUUAAGCACUACUCUAUCAAAUAACACUCUAAGGCUAAGCAUUGUCCUUGACAAAUUAAGUAGGUUAAGUACUACCCUCUUUCGAGAAACUGACUAAGGCUAAUUAUUGUCCUUGAAAGUUAGUUAGGUUAAGAACUACCCUCUCUCGAGAAAUCAUCCGAACUAAGCAUUGUUUCAGAAACUUGAUGGAGUUAAGCACUGCUCUAUCAAAAAAUCUCUAAGGCUAAGCAUCGUCCUUAGAAAGUUAAGUGGGUUAAGAACUACCUUCUUUUGAGAAAAUGACUAAGGCUAAGCAUUGUCCUUGAAAGUUAGUUGGGUUAGGAACUACCCGCUCUUCAUAAAUCAUCCUAACUAAGCACUGUUUCGAAAACUGAAUGGAGUUAAGAACUACUCUAUCAAAAAACUCUCUAAGGCAAAGCAUUGUCCUUGGAAAGUUAUGUGGGUUAAGCACUACCCUUUUUCAAGAAACUGACUAAGACUAAGCAUUAUCCUUGAAAGUUAGUUGGAUUAAGGACUACCCUCUCUCGAGAGAUCAUUCAAACUAAGCAUUGAUUCGGAAACUCAAUGGAUUUAAGCACUAUAUCAAAAAAUCUCUAAGGCUAAGCAUUAUCCUUGGAAAUUUAAGUGGGUUAAGAACUACCCUCUUUUGAGAAACUGCCUGAGGCUAAGCAUUUUCCUUGAAAGUUAGUUGGGUUAAGCACUACCCUUUCUUGAGAAAUCAUCCGAACUAAGCAUUGUUUUGAAAACUCGAUGGAUUUAAGAACUACUCUAUAAAAAACUCUCUAAGGAUAAGAAUUGUCCUUGAAAAGUUAAGAGGGUUAAGCACUACCCUCUUUUGAUAAAAACUCUCUAAGGCUAAGCAUUGUCCUUGGUAAGUUAAGUGGUUUAAGCACUACCCUUUUUCAAGAAACUGACUGAGGCUAAGCAUUGUCCUUGGAAGUUAGUUGGGUUAAGCACUACCCUCUCUCGAGAAAUCAUUUGAACUAAGCAUUGUUUCGAAAACUUGGUAGAGUUAAGUAUUACUCUGUGAAAACUCUCUAAGGCUGAGCAUUGUCCUUGGAAAGUUAAGUUGGUUAAGCACUACCCUCUUUCAAGAAACAGACUAAGGCUAAGAAUUGUCCUUGGAAAGGGUUAAGCUCUACCUUCUCUCAAGAAAUUGUCCUAGGCUAAGCAUUGUCCUCUUGAAGCCGAUCGAUUUACUCAAAGACAAACACUGUUUUCUAAUACUGAACAUGUUAAGCACAAAUAACCUCGAUGUUAUUAAAUGCUACUGCAUUACUGGACAUGGUGUAGAUUAAGCACAACCUCUUCAAAUUGAUCUGAACAAAGCAUUCUCAUGACAGAUACAUUUUUUUAUUGUUAUGGUUGUCUUUACUACAUUGUUCAAUCUUCUAUGCAUACAUAUCCAUGCUAACCAUUUUAUCCAAUUGAGCUAAACUGGUAAGAUUAAUAGGUAUAGAUUACUCCAUCAUGAGAUACCAAGAGUUGAUCCCACGAAUACACAGUGCAUCGAGAAGCCAAAGAGCUGAUCCAACGAUACAACAGAUUUGCUUUCUUAUUAUCACACUCAGUUUAUGUUUAUCAAUUACUUCUUUCUUACAUGCCUAACCUUGUCAUUAGUAUGUUGCAAAGUAUGCAAGUAACAAAAAUGGAGUAAGAGGAACAAUUUUCAUUCCUAUUUUCAAAAUAUCACCCUAUCUAUUCAUCAGUCGCAUAAACUCAAAUCGAAACUCACCUACCUUUUAUUUUCACGCCUCUCCCCCUGUAAUUAUUUUUGAAGCAUGUUCAUCUCACUGACGCACAACAUCUUUAUUGAAUGCCCGUGCUUUAUCAUUUACACUUUUUAGGAAUAUUGUUCAUUCCUAAAUCCAGAACUACAGACGACCUGAUUCUCAUAAAGCCAGAGAUAUGUAGGCGACUUGAAACUGAAGUCUUGGCCACACUAUUUUUAACCACCUCCUAUUGCCUUAAUUCCAAUGAAUCUUUCUCAGUCGGACAAAAUUAGCUACUAUGUCAACUUUCGUUGCAUGACAAUUCUUGCAUCAUUCUCAAGCAACGAAGGGGUAGCUAUUGACACCCAAUUUUGACCUCCCGAUACUACUUUUAGGCUGCUAUUUUAUUAAAAUUAUUUAAUUUUAAAUAUUAUUAUUUUUUACACAUUAUCCUUGCCUUGAACAGAUAUUGACAUAUCACAUUUAUCAUUUAAAAAGUAUACAAAUUAUUUUAUUAUCAUUUUUUACAAUUUAUUAAUUCAAAUAUAAAAUUUUACAUAAUUUUAUUGAAUUAUUUUUUCUCGUAAAUGUGCACAGUCACGACUUACAAAUACAUUGCCUAAGUUUUUCAUUCUUAUUACCAUUAUUUUUAAUAAUAAUAUUAUAUAUUUAUAAUAUUUAUCAAAUAGCAUCCAAUUUUAAUUUAUUUUGCCUAAUUUAUUUAAAUUCUAGCCUUUUUAUCCAAUUUAUAACACUAUUAGCCUAAUUUUAUUCAACUUAUUACAAUUCUAGUCAUAUUUAACUCAAUUUUAAAAAUUUCAAUUCAUCUUCUUAUCCUUUAAUCUCAACCAUGGAUCAUGAUUGAUCUAAUGGCUGAGAUCACAUCCCACUAUUUCCUUUUUAAAUUCAAAACAAAAUCCCUAACUUUUCAUUCAUCAAAGAUCAGCCACAGAAAAUGCUCCCCCCCUCUCUCCUCCCUUGCUGCCUUACCCCUUCUGCAAAAAAUUACGCUGGCAAAAUCCCUCAACCCACUGCCGCCAGUGAUGAAGCCACCGGUGAGUGAUCCUCCACUGCCGUUGACCAAAGCUAAACUCUCUGGUCAGCAAUCAGCCGCACCGCCACUCCAUUUUCCACGUCUCCACCGUCCCGACCAGUAAAAAAGCUGGCCUAUCGCCGCUGUGCAACAGCCCAAACAGCCAUAGCACCACCAUCGAAUUUGAUCAUCCAUGCAACCAGUUCAUCAUCGGGAAAUGACGGAUUAGUUAGAAUUCAUUCCAGGUUUGGUUUCUAGGUUUAAUUUUAUAUUCCAUUCCCUUCUUUUAUUCUUCUUUUGAAAAAAAUCUGCGAUUUGAAGUUAAUGAAACUCAUUAGGCACUUUUGUUCUAAUUUAUUGUGAUUUUAGUUAGUUAACUUGUUUAGAUUAUCGCAUGUUAAAAUCUUUAAAUUCACAUAAACUUUAAUUCUUCUAAUUUUUUAAUUGUAAUCUGCCUCAAAUUAUGUUGUUAUGAUGUGUUGACUGAUUUUAUGUUCUAUCCCUAAUUCCCAUCACUCUAUCUUUGAAAUGGUCAAGUUUACGGCAAUCUUGAAUAUCUGAUUUAUUUUGACAUGGUGUAUAGUAAAUUUUUGGUAAAUUUGGAUCUGAUUUUGCACUUUGUUAAAUUAAAUCAGGAAAUAAUUUUAAUUAUUUUACUAAUUUAGUCACAUAUGGUAAGCAUUAAUGUUGAGUAUUAUUUGCCCAUAUUACGCCACAAAUUUUCUACUUAAUGAUGUUCAGUGAUUUAACAAAAUUUCUACUGGCUGUCAACCUUUUGGUCCGUAAUUAUUGGUAUUGUGGAUAUUGGGCUGUGUUUUAUAUUAUGUUGGAAAGGAAAUUUGAUUGACUAAUAUUUCUUUUCCUUUGACUUUCUUGGAUUGAUUUUGUGAUUAUUUCUUAAUAGUCAAUUGACAUAAAUAUAAUUUUAUAUUGAUAGAAAAAUAUUCGUGAAUUGAUUGACAUAUAUUUUUCUUUCCUUUUUUGUGCUUAGGUGGAUUUCUUUUUCAUACUAUAUAAACCCCCCUCUUUUCAUUUAAGGGACAGCUCUUCAAUUACAAUCACUACUCUCUUAAACAAAAAUCAUCAACUAUUUUAAUACAAAGCAGUUAGAUACUUUAAAGGUUCUUUUGGUUUUCCUUCGAGGCUUACUGGAAGCACCCUACUAUUAUUCUUACAAGUUCUUGGCUUUAUUAUUCUCAUUAUUUCUUUUAGUUGUUGCUUACUGGUAAGUCCUCAAAUUGAUAUAAUUUUUCAUUCUUUGUGUGCUGACUGCAUCAUGUUGUGAAAACCUUUAGAAAGUAUGUCUAUAGGAACGUUUGCUACUAUAUGUUUCCUUCAUAUGCUAUUACAUCGUAUCUCACAAGUUUAAAUUGAAGAUUAUGGGAUUUGGAGAGUUGUCGUGGGAAUUAAUGAGGGCGAAUUGUUCUUUUAUUUUCUCUUAAUUUUAGUGUAUUAUUCAUAUGGACUGUAAUAAUCUUGUACAUACAUUAUUAUUGUAAUAAUAAAUUUGGGGACUGCUUCGGGGGAGGGGAUUUACGUACUCUAUGAAUAAUAUAGGUAGGCACACCUUAGGUUUAUGUGUGAUAUGUGUUACGUGGAUCAUCUAGGCACAAAAAUUUAGGAUUUAUUAACACAUGCGACGUUUAAUAAAUUUAUUAACUAGUUUGAUUCAAUUUUGGCAUAUUAACACAUCUUUAGCAUGUUGAACAUCAGGCUUAAACAAUUUUAAUAUGUCAGUGUAUGUCCAGCAUGUUAACACAAAUUUAAGCAUAAAAAUAGGUUGAGCAUUCUUUUCGCAUAUUAAUGUAUUCUUCUGCAUGUUAAAACUGUCAAAUACUAGAUUAAACAUGACAUUGUGCAUUGAUACAAAAUUUCAGCAUGUUAAUAGUGUUAGAACAUGUUAGCAUUUCAUGUUAAAUACUUAAUCUACAUUGCACAUUAAAUUUAUGCACACUAAUAUGCAUUUCAUCCUGUCGAUACAGUUUCAGCACGUUAAAUUAAAUAUGCUAAAUAGUAAUACUUUAGCACGUCAAUAUAGAUUACAGUAGGUUAAAGCUUUUCGAACAUGUUAACACCAAUUUUGGCAUGUUAUCGUAUUUUUCAGCAUGUCAAUACAAAAUUCCUGCACUAUUAAUAUAAUAAUCAGCAUGUUAAGGCAUAUUCGGCAUGAUAAUACACUUUCCAGCAUAUCCGCAUUGAAUUUCAGUAGGUUCCCACAUUAAAAAAUAUAAUUUCAGCACGUUAAUUGAUUUUUCAGCAUGUUAGAUUUAAUUUCUGACAUAUUAGAACUAAUUUUCAGUAUGUUGAUAGUAUUUUAGUAUUAAAAUGUUUGAAAGGAAAUUCCGAUGUGUUUUCAUAAUUUCUCACUUACCAUUAGUCUAUAAUGCGUCUUGCACAAUGAAAUUCGUGUGCACAAUUCUUUGACAUACUUACCAAACUUUGACAUUCUCUUUUUACAACUUGACAAUAUAUUGUUACAUAAACGAAUCACAGUUACAUUUUUGUCACACUAGCACUUGUUGAACAUUUAGAUAUCAUGCCUAUAGAUUAAUGACACAAAAAUAAGCUAUUAUUUGUCUUUGCAUGUUAAUCACAUUAAUUAACUUUAAUUAACCAAGAGGCUAACUUGGGAUACUUAUGUGCAACGUGAUGUCCUACUUGUUAUGUUUUUCGAGUCCUAGGCAACAUAACAUUAUUUUUUCUAGACCACAAAGUCAAAAUAACAAAGUCCAAUGCCUCUUGGAUGAUAGGCAGGAUGAUAAAAAUUACUAAAGUCGCUAGUUUUAUCCUUGUCUUAGAGCGCCUUUAGAGUUAACUACCAGACUAGGUGGGGUGGGAUGGGUAGUCAUUCGUAAAUGAUGAUCUCCAACAUAUAUUAAAGGUAAGACAUAUGACUUGUCUAAGAGUUCGGUCAGUGGUUGGAUGAUGACUAAACAAGUUGGGGUUCUGAUCCGAAUGAGACCAAAAAUAUUUCUUUGUUUGCUUUGAUGAUUUCUUUUUAUUCUUUUAUUUACCUUACAUGCUUAUUUAUUUGAGGUAAUUAGUUUGUUACAUAAGCAGUCCCCCUUUUGUUAUAAAUUAUGUCAUUUUUUCCCCCUCGCUUGUCUUAUUAUAUGUUUCCUGAUUUUAUCACUUAGAUAAUCAACAAUUAAAAAUAAUAAAAUAACAUGCUUUUUUUUAUUAAUUACUUUAUCACUUAGUUAACAUUUAAGUUAAUAAAAAUAAGCGACCUUUAUUUGAUCACGUAGAAUCCCCACGUAAACAUGAAUUCGACCGAGAACCACCUUUGUGGACCUCAAAAGGUGCCUAACACCUUACUUUCGAGGUAAUUAGAACCCUUACCUGAAUUUCUAAUGAACUAAGACAAAACAAAAAAAUAGGUUCGUAGUUGGACUAUAUCGGUGCCCCAACACACCUUAAUUUGUUAGGUGGCGACUCUUUACACUCAUCCUUCAAACAAUCCUAAAAAGAGUGGUCACGUCAAAUCUUGCUUUUUGAGAGAUAAAUGGGGCGUGACACAUAUCUAUUUUCAUUAUAUUGUUUGGUGCUCAUAGCAGGUACCAACUCAUGGGUUAGCUUUUGGUCACUUGUGAUCGUUAGCACUGAUGUCACGACUAGGAGGUAGCCUCGGGUCAUGACAAAACUUGGUAUCAAAGCCUAAAAAUUUACAGUGUCCUAGGGAUUUUGAAAUCCACAUUGAGUAGAGUCUUGUGCAUGGGUGUGAAGCGCGUCACACUUAUGGACAAGAGGCUACAAAACAUUUUAAGAAAAAUUUUGCUUCUUUCAGUAUUCAUGUUGUACGAAUGAGCAUAAGCUCUAUUUAAAACUCUCUUUCUGACUCAUUCUUUCUUUUAUUUACUGACAAUGCCUCCUAAAAGAAAUAAUGGAAUAAGAAAUAGAAAUUAGCUCACACCUCCGCCUGUUCAGAAAGAUCCCCUAAAUGAGCUCGUCUCCCAUGCUGAGUUCAAAGCUGCAUUCACUACCUUAGCUCACUCAGUAGCUACUCAGAACAACUAUCAAGUUAUUUCCCCAGCUAACCCAACAACAAAUACAGUUGCAGCUAGGAUUUGGAACUUCACUCGAAUGAACCCUCUUUGUUUUUGGGAUCCAAGUCUGAGGAGAAUCCAUAUUAGUUUCUUGAUAUGGUUCUAGAGAUGACUGAUAUCAUGGUUGUCGCUUUGAGUUAGAGUGUAGCGUUGGCUUCAUAUCAGUUGCAGGAUGUAGCUCAUAUAUGGUAAAAGUAGUAAAAGGAGGAUAGUGGUGCUGAGGUAGGGCUUGUAGAGUGGGAUAUGUUUGCCAUAGGCUUUUUAGACAGGUUCUUUCCUUUAGAGUUGAGGGAAACCAAGGUGCUAGAGUUUAUUAAUUUGAAGCAGGGUAAUAUGAGUGUGAAGGAAUACUCUCUUAAGUUUACUUAGUUGGCGAGGUAUGCUCCUUUGAUGAUGGCUGAUAACAGGUCUAGAAUAAGUAAGUUUAUUUUUUAUGUAGCUGAUAGUGUGGUCUAGGAGUGUAGGAAUGCUAUGUUGAUUAAGGGGAUGGACCUAUCUAGGCUUAUAGUUAAUGUUCAAAAGAUUGAGGAACAAAAGCUUAAGGAGAGAAAGAGAAUAAAAAGUCCAGAACAGGUAGCUUUACUUUUUCUCAGCAAAGGCCAGAGGGUGGUAACCGUUCUUAGUUCUGUCAUAAAUUUUCAGUGCCAGCUUUGUCUUCAGCUAGUGCGCCAGUUCCAAAGUUUAAAAAUGACAAUCGGUAUAGGGUGCCAGGCUCUAAGUCCUAGGGUAGUGUGAACAACGCUUGUAGUAAUCCACUUUCCAAGUAAUAUGGUAGGAAUUAUCAAGGUGUGUGUUGAGCUAGCAGUGAUGUGUGUUUUGGGUGUGGCAAGCCAGGCCACAGAGUUAAAGAAUAUCCAUAGGUUGGUCAACAGAGUCAGAACAGUCAUUCUUUAUUUCUAGCCGAUCGCAUGAAUCAACAGGGGGCUACCUGCAGCGCCACCAGUGGACAACAUCAGAAUAGGUUAUAUGUACUUUAGUCCCAACAGGAUCAGUAAAGUUCUCCUGAUGUGGCUAUGGGUACAUUUCAAGUGUUUCAUCUUCACGUUUAUGCUUUGCUAGACCCAGGAGCCUCACUUUCUUUUGUAACCCCCUAUAUAGCCGUCAAUUUUGGUGUCGGUCCAGAAAUAUUAGUAGAUCCUUUCUCUGUGUCUACCUCAGUGGGUAAAUCUAUCAUAGCCAGAUGAGUAUACAAAAAUUUCCCAAUUACAGUAUCUCAAAAAGUCACGUCAGUUGAUCGUGUAAAGUUAGAGAUGACUGAUUUUGAUGUCAUUCUUGACAUGGAUUGGCUCCACUCAUGUUAUGCCUCAGUUGACUAUAGAAAUAGGGUCAUUCAAUUUUAGUUUCCCAAUGAACUUGUUAUUGAAUAGAGGGGUAGUACUUCAGUGCUUAGGGGUCAGAUUGUUUCAUAUGUUAGAGCAAGAAAAAUGAUAUCCAAGGGGUGCAUGUACUAUCUUGUUCGAGUCAAAGACUCUAGUUUUGAGACCCCCAGUCUCGAGUUUGUUUUAGUAGUAAGGGAGUUUCCAUAUGUGUUCCCUGAAGAUGUCUCUGGAGUCCUUCUCGAAAGGGAAAUUGACUUCAGAAUAGAUCUCCUUCUAGAUACCCAACCCAUCCUUACUCUGACCUAUAGAAUAGCUCCAGCCAAGCUUAAAGAGUUGAAAGAACAAUUGAAAUAUCUCCUAGAUAAGGGAUUUAUUAGGCCCAAUUUCCCCAUGGGGCGCUCUAGUCUUUUUCGUGUGUAAGAAAGGAGGUUCUCUCAGAAUGUGUAUUGAUUACCAUCAGUUAAACAAAGUCACAGUCAAGAAUAAGUAUCGACUCUCCUGGAUUGAUGAAUUGGUCAAUCAAAUUUAGGGUGCUAGUUAUUUCUCUAAGAUAGACCUCAGAUUUGGCUAUUAUCUCAGAGUCAGAGAAUGUAACAUUCCAAAGACAACCUUAAAAAUUCGAUAUGGUCACUUCAAAUUCAUAGUUAUGUCUUUGGGACUAACAAAUAACCCCAUAAAUUUCAUGGAAGUAAUGAAUAGAGUGUUCAAGAAGUACUUGGACUGUAGUAAAAAUAAUCACGCAGACCAUCUCAAAAUUAUAUCAUAGGCUCUUAGAUCCUAUCAAUUGUUCACCAAAUUCAGUAAAUGCAAUUUUUGGUUAAGAUCGGUAGAUUUACUUGGCCAUAUUAUUUCCAUUGAUGGCAUUUGAGUUGACCCUCAAAAGACUGAAGCAGUGAGAAACUGGCCCAGACCGAUCUCUCUAUUAGAUAUCAGGAGUUUCUUAGGUUUGGCUGGCUAUUACAGAUGGUUUUUGAAGGAUUUUAGUCUAUUCCUUCCCCCAUGUCUUGAUUGACUCAAAAGAAGGUCAAGUUUCAGUGGUCAGAUUCUUGUGAGAAGAGUUUUUAGGAGUUGAAGACUCGACUCACCUCAGACCUAAGCUUGACUUUGCCAGAUAGUUCAAAUGGGUUUGUUGUUUAUUGUGAUACUUCCAGAGUUGGUCUUGGUUUUGUAUUGAUGCAGAGAGGUAAGGACAUAGCCUAUGCCUCUAAACACCUUAAGCCCCAUGUAUAGAAUUACCCUACCAAUGAUCUUGAGUUGGUAGCUAUUGUUAUUACCUUGAAAAUUUGGAGGCAUUAUCUUUAUAGAGUUCAUGUUGAUGUGUUCGCGAAUCACAAAAGUUUGCAGUAUGUGUUUUCAUAGAAAGAUUUAAAUCUUGAUCAGAGAAGGUGGCUUGAGUUGUUAAAAGAUUAUGAUUUGAGUAUGUUGUAUUAUUUUGUCAAGGCCAAUAUGGUGCUAAAUGCCCUUAGUAGAUUGUCUAGGGGUAGUGUUGCUCAUGUUGAGGAUGUUAAGAGGAAGUUAGUCAGAAAGGUUCAUCAGCUUGCUAGAUUAGGUGUUCGGUUGGUUGAUUCAUCUGAGGGAAAUAUAUGGGUUCAGAAUGGUUCAAAAUCUUCUUCGAUUACUGAAGUGAAAUAAAAUCUAGAUAGGGAUUCCAGUCUAGUUAAGUUGAAGUAAUCUAUUAGAGAUUAAAAAGUAGAGGUUUUCUCCCAAGUGGAAGAUGGUGUGUUGCGAUCUUAGGGUAGGCUGUGUGUGCCAUGUGUUGAAGGUUUAAGAUAGUAGAUUUUGGAAGAAGCACAUAGUGAGCGUUACUCUUUAUACCCAGGAGCUACAAAGAUGUAUCGUGAUUUGACGAAAAUCUAUUAGUGGAUCGAUAUAAAGAGGGAUAUUGCAGAUUUUGUAGCUAAGUAUUCUAAUUGUUAGCAGGUUAAGAUUGAGUACUAGAGGCCUAGUGGCACAUUUCAAGAGUUUAACAUUCCCACUUAGGAGUGGGAAAAGGUGAACAUGGAUUUUGUGAUGGGUUUGCCUUGUACUCAUCGUCAGCAUGAUUUGAUAUGGGUUAUUGUAUAUAGAAAUGACCAAAUUAGCUCAUUUCUUGCCAGUUCAUACUUCUUAUUUAGCCGAGGAUUAUGCCAAGCUCUAUAUUAGAGAGUUGGUUAGGUUGUAUGGAGUCCCAUUAUCUAUUAUUUCAGAUAGAGGUACUCACCCACUUAGGAGUGGGAAAAGGUGAACAUGGAUUUUGUGAUGGGUUUGCCUUGUACUCAUCGUCAGCAUGAUUUGAUAUGGGUUAUUGUAUAUAGAAAUGACCAAAUUAGCUCAUUUCUUGCCAGUUCAUACUUCUUAUUUAGCCGAGGAUUAUGCCAAGCUCUAUAUUAGAGAGUUGGUUAGGUUGUAUGGAGUCCCAUUAUCUAUUAUUUCAGAUAGAGGUACUCAGUUUACCUCUCACUUUUGGAAGGAUUUUUAGAAGGUUCUUGGUACCUAAGUUCAUCUCAGUACAACUUUUCAUCCUCAGAAAGAUGGUCAGGUAGAGAGGAUUAUUUGGACUCUAGAGGAUAUGGUAAGGGCGUAUGAUCUUGAUUUCAAGGGUAGUUGGGAUGAUCACUUACCUUUGAUCGAGUUUUCCCACAAUAACAGUUAUCACUCCAACAUUCAGAUGGGUUUGUUUGAGGCUCUCUAUGGGAGGAGAUAUAGAUUUCCUAUUGGUUGGUUUAAGGCAGGUGAGGUUUCUUUGAUAGGACUAGAUUUGGUGUUUGAUGCAAUGGAGAAGGUUCAAUUGCUUAAGGAGAGGCUUAAGAUAUCCCAAAGCCAUAAAAAAUCCUAUACAUAUGUGAGGAGAAAAGAUCUUAAGUUUGAAGUUUUGGAUUUGGUGUAUUUGAAAAUCUCACCCUUAAAGGGAGUGAAGAGAUUCGGCAUGAAAGGGAAGCUUAGUCCUCAAUAUAUUGUCCCUUACAGAAUUUUAAGUCAUUUUGAAAGGGUAACUUAUGAGCUUGAGUUACCUGUAGAUUUGGCAUCAGUGCAUCCAGUGUUUCAUGUUUCUUUAUUAAAGAAGAGUAUUGGUGAUCCAGCUGUUGUAGUUCCUUUUGAAAGCACAGAUGUUCAGGAUAACCUUUCUCACGAAAAAAUCCUAGUCGGGAUCCUUGAUCAUCAAAUUCGAAGACUAAGGAACAAAGAAGUUCCCUUGGUCAAAGUUCUUUAGUGGAAUCAGUUCGUUGAGGGAGCCACUUGGGAAGCAUAAGUAGAUAUGUAUACCAAGUACCCUCAUUUUUUUUGUAAUGCCCCGAAUCUGAUACACAGAAUGCUACACGAUGCCCAUGACCCCAAAGGAGCACAAGCUAACCCUUGACUGAUAUCUGUAACUGAUCACUGCAUAAUAAACUAAAUAAAUAUAGAAUAUAAGCUAUAAGGCCAUACGAUUCAAAACUAUAACACGUCUUAUAAAAUAAUAUAUGAACGGGGUAUAGAAAUUCCUAAAACUAAAAUAAACUAUCUAAACAUACUAUAGUCUGAAAGCCUCUAAACUGUCUGAAAACUGUGGAGUUGAUGGGAAAUGUCCCCAACUAACUCUGAACUACUAAAAAUAAUGAAAUAAUCAAACAAUAACAUCCUUAAAUGAUGAGGACUCACUGCUGACUCUGACUGCUGAAACUUGAAUGCUACUGAUGCUCUGGAGCUCAUGCUUCUGAACCUAUGGUAUAAAAACACCAUAGUGUAAAUAUGUCAGUACGAUUGAAUGUACUAGUAUGAAAGUGAGGUAGGCUGAAUGCAAAGGGUUCAUAUGCAUAAAUAAUACUAACUGAUUAUAUAACAUGAACGUGAGAAUAGAUGCAUGAAAAAGUAAUUGAAACUAAAUACGUGAUAAUACUGACUACUGGGUCUGAAUACUAAUAACAUGAGUUACUGAUAACUGACAUAACUAUUACUGAGUGACUGUAUCUGGCUGUCUAGAUUCUGAUGGAACUAGCUAAGUUCUAUACUGUGCUGAGUGACUGUAUCUGACAGUCCUGAUAUCUGAAGAACUAUCUGAGUUCAUUGAGUUCCGUUAAGUAAUGGAAUACUAUUGAGAUCUGAUAACUAAUAGAGAUUAUUGAGAUUUUUGAGUUUUCCUGAGUCAUAUAACUAACUGAAUUCUACUGAGUUCUGAAAUUGACUGAGAAUACUACUAAUCAUGGUGUGACUGAGAUUUAUCAUAAAACCGACGCUGGCUCUAGGCACACAACUAAGUUGUUGGGUACAAGUACCCCCAGGACUCAAUAGCAUGAAACUGAAACUACAUAACAUAUCUUUGAACACAGGACCAUACUCCACAAUUCAUAAUACAAUCACCGAGGCAUUUCAUCAAGUACUUGGGAGUCAUAAGCUUGAACAUAGACAAGGAUGCAUAAUAAUGUAUCAUGAUUCCUUCACUAAGGCUUUUUAUCGAACACUCAGCAUACAUUUAACUUGUACAUGAAUAGGGAUCUCUUAUUAGCAUGUUAUAAUGGUACUAGUUCAUUCACAUGGACAUUUCAUCAAACACCUAGUGAGCAUAAUAUAUGCAUAUAACACUAUACAACUAAUAGUCAUCAUAAUUUACAUUCCCAUUGGCAAAAUUUUAAGGGUUUAACAUGUUUUUACAUGGUACUACACAUAUAUGGCUUUACUUCACAUAGAAAUUGCAAUUAAAUCAUUAAAUAGAGAAUCCAUUAACAUAAUAGUCAUGAACACAAUCAAACUAAAUCAUAAAAAGCAUCAAAAACAUUAUCUUGAGUUUUUGAAAAGAUUUCUUGAGCUCCAAGGGUGGAAGGAACCCUAGGAUGAACAAUUGACAUACCUUGGAUGGAAGGUUCUUGAAAAGUAAUGGUAGAAUCUCUUGAAUUUGAAGCUCCUUUGAAAACCCUAGACUUGUUCUUGAGAGUAUGUGAGAGUAACAACAAUAUUUUGGUGAAAUAAUGUCUGAAUCUCGUGUUAUAGGCUUAUAUAGGAUGUGAAAUUGACCCUUUUGCCUUUAAAACAUAAACAUUUAAGGACUGAAGACCAGACAUCGACGCGAUACCCGAUGCAUCACUCUAUGAUUACGCCAAGCCUCAGUAGUUUUUUUGGCAGUCCCUGAAACAAUGCUAACCAAUGUGAUAGCAAAACGGAGGGCCAAGAUCACAUUGGUCCACUGUUUUAGGACACCAAACGUGGUCUAAACGAGGUCCAAAAAAUCCAAAACUUGUUUGGGAACACUUAUUGACCUCUCUGAUCACGAAUUAACAAAAAUACGAACCAUUAAAGGACAUUAAGGUAGCAAAAUGAGAUUUCUAACUUUUGAAGGACAAAAAUAAACUAAGCCUGAGAACUUAGCUAGAAUUUUCUAAGUAUGGAACCCCCUUGACAAGCUUAAAGGACUGAUUUAAGCUAAGAAAUUUUGUGGGGUCUUAAAAUAUCUCCCCUUUGAGAACAUUUAUCCAUGAAUAAGUGACUGAGAUGGGAAAAAUACAAACUGAAGUAUAUAUAGGACAUGAAUAACUGAAACAUGAUUUCAUGACUGAUAAACUGAAUAUUUCGUACUGAACAUGCAUAUCUGAUGCAUGUAUAACUGAUUCAUGAAUGCAUGACUGAGAUUUUUGAUAAGCUAAGUUUCUCAUAAUGGGGAUGUAUAUCUGAUACAUGAAUAUGUUACUAACAGGAUGCAUGGACAUAUGACUGAAUAUGUGAUGGUAUUUGAUACCAAGUUUAUAAUAGAAUUCUGAGCAUUAAACUGAAUACCAAGUUGGUAAUAAAACUGACCAUGAUAACCGAGCAAGAUUAAGGAAAACUAUUACCUUGGGCUGAGUCUGAGUUAGCAAAAAAGAGGUAAAAAUACUUGGUCCGCAUAUGUGCUUCUGCUUCCCAAGUAGCUCUCUCAACGGACUAAUUCUGCCAAAGAACUUUGACUAGGGGACUUCUUUGUUCCUCAGUCUGCGAGUCUAGUAGUCAAGAAUUUUGACUGGAAUCUCUUCAUACGAAAGGCUGUUCUGAACAUCAAUGCCCUUUGUAGGGACUAGAAUUGCUGGGUUACCUAUGAACUUCUUGAGAAAAGAGACAUGGAACACUAGAUGAACUGAGGCUAGAUCUUAAGGCAAUUUGAGCUCAUAAGCUAUCUUGCCGAAAUGACUGAGAAUUUUGAAGGGAUUGACAUAUCGGGGACUGAGCUUUCCCUUCUUGCCGAAUCUUUUCACUCCCUUCAUGGGAGAGAUCUCUAAGUAAAUAUAGUCACUAAUCUCAAACUCGAGAUCCUUUCUGUGCAUAUCUGCAUAAGUCUUUUGUUGACUCUGAGUAGCCUAGAGUCUUUUUCUAAUCAACUGGACUUUUUCUAAGGCAUCAAAUACUAAGUCAGGCCCUAUAACUGAGGCCUCACUAACUUUGAACCAACUAAUUAUAGAUCUAUAUCUCCUACCAUAGAGAGCUUCGAAUAAAGCCAUCUGAAUGCUAAAAUGAUAGUUUUUAUUAUAUGGAAACUCAAUCAAAGGAAAGUGAUCAUACCAACUACCCUUGACAUCAAUUGCACACACUCACAAUAUAUCUUCUAAAAUUUGAAUGGUCCUUUUUGCUUGACCAUCUUUUUGGGGAUAAAAGGUUGUACCGAGAUGAAAUUGGGUACCAAGACCCUUUUGGAAUGCUUUCCAAAUGUGAGAGGUGAACUGGGUACCUCUUUCUAAAAUAAUAGACAAUGAAACACCGUGUAAUUUGACCAACUCCUAUAUAUAAAGUUUUAUGUAUUCCUUGGUUGAAUAAGAGGUAUGGACUGGAUGGAAAUAAGCUGAUUUUGUCAUCCUGUCUACAAUGAUCCAUACUGAAUCAUGCUGGCGAUGAGUACAAGGAAAAUCUAUCAUGAAGUCUAUGUUCACUUCUUCUCACUUCUAAGUAGGAAUACUAAACUCCUGCAUAGACCCACUAGGCUUUCGAUGCUCUAUCUUAACCUGCUGACAUGUAAAGCACUUAGCCAUAAACUCUAUAAUAUCUCUUCUCAUCUUACUCCACCAAUAGAUCUCCCAUAAGUUGUGGUACAUAUUAGUGACCCCUGGAUGAAUAGAGUAGCACGCACCAUGUGCUUCUGUGAGAAUUCAUUGCCUCGAGUCAUUUAUACCUGGUAUACAAAGACGACCCUGACAAUGCAAAACACCAUCUCCCCCUUGGGAGAAAACCUCUACUUUCUGAUCUUUGACUGAUUCUUUCAACUUGAUUAGACUAGGAUCAUUAUCCUACUUUUCCUUAACUUAGGAAACUAGAGAUAAUUCUGAACCCAUAUACUACCAUCUACUUAAUCGACUGGGCAGAAACCUAGUCUGGCAAGCUGAUGGACUUCCUGAGCUAACUUCUUUUUACUGUCCUCAACAUGAGUAACACUACCCAUAGACAGUCUACUGAGGGUGUCGGCAACUACAUUGGCCUUGCCUGGAUGAUAAAGGACUCUCAUGUCAUAAUCUUUCAAGAGAUCUAACAACCUUCUCUGACGGAGGUUAAGAUUUUUCUGAGAAAAGACAUACUAAAGGCUCUUAUAAUCUGUGAACAUAUCUACAUGAACACCAUACAAGUAAUUCCUCCAAAUCUUUAUGGCAAAAACUAUGGCUGCUAACUCAAGAUCAUGAGUAGGAUAAUUCUUCUCAUGGGGUUUAAGCUCUUUAGAGGCAUAGGCUAAGACCUUACCAUGCUGUAUGAGGAAACAACCCAAGACUACUCUGGAUGCAUCACAAUACACUACAAACCCAUCCGUUCUACCUGGAAGAGCCAAAACUGAAGAUGAGGUAAGUCGAGUCUUCAAUUCCUAAAAACUAUUCUUACAAGGAUCUGACCACUGAAAAUUAACCUCCUUCUGAGUCAAUUUGGAUAUAGGAGAUGCAAUAGAAGAAAAUUACUCAACAAACCAUCUAUAAUAGACAGCCAAACCCAAAAAGCUUCUGAUAUCUGAUGGAGAUACAGGGCGAGGCCAAUUUCUUACUGCUUCAAACUUUUGAGGAUCAACUCUAACGCCAUCACCGAAAAUGAUAUGAACAAGGAAUGCUACUAACCUUAUCCAAAAUUCACACUUACUGAAUUUGGUGAACAACUGAUGAUUUUUGAGAGUUUGCAAUACUAUUCUGAGAUGGCCUAUAUGAUCACGCUCACUAUGGGAGUAAACAAGGAUGUCAUCUAUGAAGACUAUGAUGAACAUGUCCAAGUACUGCUUAAACACACGAUUCUUCAAGUCCAUGAAAGCUGCUGGGGAAUUGAUAAGACCAAAGGACAUAACUAAGAAUUUGAAGUGACUAUACCGAGUAUGGAAGACUAUUUUUGAAAUAUCAUAUUCUCUGAAUUUUAGCUGAUGAUGAUAGCGUAAUCUAAGAUCUAUCUUGGAGAAAUAGCUGGCACCCUGAAGUUGGUCAAACAAGUCAUCAAUUCUGGGAAGUGGAUACUUUUUCUUGACCGUUACUUUAUUGAGUUGAUGGUAAUCAAUGCACAUUAUGAGAGAACUAUCUUUCUUUUGCACGAAUAAGAUUGGUGCACCCCACGAGGAAAUACUGUGCCUGAUGAAUCCCUUAUCUAGGAGAUCCUUCAACUGUUCUUUCAAUUCUCUGAGUUUUGGUGGUGCCAUUCUAUAUGGCAGAAUUGAUAUAGGUUGAGUAUCUGGAAGAACAUCAAUACCAAAGUCUAUUUCCCUUUCGGGAGGAAUUCCUGGAAGAUUUUCGAGAAAAACAUCAAAAUAGUCAUUCACUACUAGGACUGAUUCAAAACUGGGAGUUUUGGAACUAGAGUCCUUAACUCAAACAAGAUGAUAGGCACAUCCCUUAGAUAUCAUUUUCCAUGCACGAAGGUAGGAAAGAAACUGACCUUUGAAAGAUAAAGUACUACCUCUCCACUCUAGGACAGGUUCAUUUAGAAACUAAAACUAGAUAAUUAUGUUUUUGCAGUCGACUAUGGCAUAGCAGGAAUAAAUCCAAUCUAUCCCGAGAAUGACAUAAAAAUCAUAUAUCUCUAAUUCGACUAAGUCUACAGAAGUGACCUUAUAAGAUAUCAUAACUGGAUAGUUCCUGUAUACCCAUUGGGCUAUCAUGGUUUUACCCACUGGGGUGGAGAUUGAGAAAGUCUCUGCUAGAAUUUUGAGUCUGACUCUAAAAUCAACUGCUAUAUAAGGAGUAACAAAAGAUAAAUAAGCUCCUGGAUCUAGCAAAGCAUAAACAUGCAAAUGAAAGAUCUGUAACAUACCAGUAACCAUAUCAGGAGAAUUUUCCUGAUCUUGUCGGGACUAAAGAGCAAAAAUUUUUAGGAGUUGCCUACUAGUGGCACUGAAAGUGGCACCCUGCUGAUUCGGGCGACCAGACUAAGCUGAAGAACUGUUAUGUUGACCCUGAGGACCUAGCUACGGACAAUAUCUGACUCUGUGGCUUGGCUUACCACAUUCAAAGCAAACAUCAUUGCCAGCUCUGCAUGUACCCUGAUGGUGCUUUCCAUAUGUCUGACAAAGAGGAUAGGUUCGAGCACUACUAAUACUGCCCUGAGACUUAGAGCCUGGUGCCAUAUCUCUAUUGCCGUCUCUAAAUUUUGGCACUGGAGAACUGGAUAAGGAAGGAGCUAGAAAGGAUGACUUUGGGUGGAACUGAGAACGACUUCCACCCUCUGACUUAGGAUGAACAAAGAUGAAAAUACCUGUCCUUACUCUCUUAUUCUGCUUCUCUCUCAUCUUAAUCUUUUGCUCUUCUAUCUAUUGAGUAUGUAUCAUAAGCCUGGCUAUGUCUAUCUCCCUAAUCAACAUUGCAGAUCUGCACUCAUUAACCAUACUAUCAUUCACCCCAGAAACAAACUUACUCAACUUAACCCUACUGUCAUCCACUACAUGAGGAGCAUAUCUAGCUAGUUGAGUAAACUUAAGAGAAUACUCUUUCACUAUCAUGUUGCACUACCUGAGGUUGAUAAAUUCUAACACCUUAGCUUUCCUCAGCUCUAAAGGAAAAAAUCUAUCAAGAAAAUCAGUGGUAAAAUUCUCCCACUCUAUAGGCCCUACAUCACCAACCCUUUCUACUUUUUACUAUUUAAACCAUGUGUAAGCCACAUCCUGUAAUUGAUAUGCAGCUAGCUCAGCACUCUCAACAGCUAACACCCCUAUGAUAUCAGUAACCUUCUGAACCUGAUCAAGGAAUUCCUGAGGGUCCUCAUCUAACUUAGACUCGAAAAAAGAUGGUGGAUUAAUUCGGGUAAAGUCCCGAAUCCUGGCUACUGUCGUGUUGGCCACUGGGUUGGCUAGAACGACAGCUGGUUGUUCAUUCUGGGAAGCAACUGAGUUAGCAAGAGUAGUGAAUGUAGCUCUAAACUUUUCAUGAGAAACAUGUUCAUUUAAUGGAUUUUCUUGGAUGGGCUGAGGGGCUGACUGAUUUUUGUGUCUUCUCUUAGGAGGCAUGUUCUGUAGAAAAAAGGGAGAAACGAAUUAGACUAAGAGUUAAACUUGAGCUCUUGCUCACUGGCACGACAUGAAUACUGAAAGAAAGGAAACUAUUCCUAAAAUAUCUUAUAGCCUCCAGUACAUAAAUAUGGUGCACAACACACCCAAGCACAAGACUCUACUAGAUACGACUUUCAGACUUCCUAGGACACUAUUGAACCUUUGGCUCUGAUACCAAGUUUGUAACGGCCUGAAUUUGAUACCCAAAAUGCUACACGGUGCCCAUGACCCCGAAGGAGCACAAGCUAAUCCAUGAUUGAUAUCUGUAACUGAGCACUGCAUAAUAAAUUGAAUAAAUACAGAAUAUAAGCUAUAAGGCCAUAAGGUUCAAAACUGUUACAUGUAUUAUAAAACAAUAGCUGAAUGGGGUAUAGAAAUACCUAAAAUUGAAAUAAACUAUUUGAACAUACUAUAGUCUGAAAGCCUCUAAACUAUCUGAAAACUGUGGAGUUGAUGGGACAUGUCCCCAACUAACUCCAAACUACUAAAAAUAAUGAAAUAAUCAAAUAAUAACAUUCUCAAAUGAUGAGGACUCACUGCUGACUCUGACUGCUGAAACUUGAAUGCUACUGAUGCUCUGGAGCUCAUGCUUCUGAACCUAUGGUAUAAAAACACCAUAGUGUAAAUAUGUCAGUACGAUUGAAUGUACUAGUAUGAAAGUGAGGUAGGCUGAAUGCAAAGGGUUCAUAUGCAUAAAUAAUACUAACUGAUUAUAUAACAUGAACGUGAGAAUAGAUGCAUGAAAAAGUAAUUGAAACUAAAUACGUGAUAAUACUGACUACUGGGUCUGAAUACUAAUAACAUGAGUUACUGAUAACUGACAUAACUAUUACUGAGUGACUGUAUCUGGCUGUCUAGAUUCUGAUGGAACUAGCUAAGUUCUAUACUGUGCUGAGUGACUGUAUCUGAUAGUCCUAAUAUCUGAAAAACUAUCUGAGUUCAUUGAGUUUUGUUAACUAACAGAAUACUAUUGAGAUGUAAUAACUGACGGAGAUUAUUGAGAUUACUGAGAUUUCCUGAGUCAUAUAACUAACUGAAUUCUACUGAGUUCUAAAACUGACUAAGAAUACUACUAAUCAUGGCAUGACUGAGAUUUAUCAUAAAACCAAUGCUGGCUCUAGGCACACAGCUAAAUUUUCGGGUACAAGUACCCCCAAGACUCAAUAGCAUAAAACUAACACUACAUGACACUUCUUUGAACAUAGGACCAUACUCCAAAAUUCAUAAUACAAUCAUUGAGGCGUUUUAUCAAGUACUUGGGAGUCAUAAUCUUGAACAUAGUCAAGGAUGCAUAAUAAUGUAUCAUGAUUCAUUCACUAAGGCUUUUUAUCAAACACUCAGCAUACAAUUAACUUGUACAUAAAUAGGGAUAUCUUAUUAGCAUGUUAUAAUGGUACUAGUUCAUUCACAUGGAUAUUUCAACAAACACUUAGGGAGCAUAAUAUAUGGACAUAACACUAUACAACUAAUAGUCAUCAUAAUUUACAUUCCCAUUGGCAAAAUUUCAAGGGUUUAACAUGUUUUUACAUGGUUCUACACAUAAAUCGCUUUACUUCACAUAGGAAUUGCAAUCAAAUCAUUAAAUAGAGAACUCAUUAACAUAAUAGUCAUGAACACAAUAAAACUAAAUCAUGAAAACAAUCAAAAAUAUUAUCUUGAGUUUUUGAAUAGUUUCUUGAGCUCCAAGGGUGGAAGGAACCCUAGGAUGAACAAUUGACAUACCUUGGAUGGAAAAUUCUUGAAAAAUAAUGGUAGAAUCUCUUGAAUUUGAAGCUCUAAUGAAAACCCUAGACUUAUUCUUAAGAGUAUUUAAGAGUAACAAUAAUAUUUUGGUGAAAUAAUGGUUGAAUCUCAUGUUAUAGGGUUAUACAGGGGUGGGAAAUUGACCCCUUUUCCCUUAAAAACAAGUCUAUUUAAUGACUGAAAGCUGGGCAUCAACGCGAUUGGCGAUGCGGCACGUUGAUGCAUCGAUGCGAUACUUAAUGCAUCACUUCAUGAUCGUGCCAAGCCUCAGUAGUUUUUCUGGCAGUCCCUACAACAAUGUUAACCAACGCGAUAGAGACACGACGUGCCAAGAUCCCGUUGGUCCACUAUUUUGGGACACCAAAUGUGGUCUAAACGAGGUUCGAAAAAUCCAAAACUUGUCCAAGAAUACCUAUUGACCUCUUUGAUUAUGAAUUAACAAAAAUAUGUACCAUUAAAGGACAUUAAGGUGGCAAAAUAAGAUUUUCAACUUUCAAAGGCCAAAAAUAAACUACGUUUGAGAACUUAGCAAGAAUUUUCUAAGUAUCGGACCCCCUUGACAAGCUUAAAGGGCUGAUUUAAGCUUAGAAAUUUUGUGGGGUCUUACAUUUUCUCUGCAAACUCAGACUUAGCUUAAGGUUACGAUUUUCCUCAUAUUGACUAUCUUCAGCUCUCAACUUCAAUUCUGUAAUACAUCUCAUAUUACUGUAUGCAUUUCAUUAAAUCAGUUCAGUCAUAUAUCAUGUUUCAGAAUUAGUCAUGUAAUCUUGUUUCUAGUUGUGCAUCUUCAGUAUGUGAUCUCAGUUUUCUUAGUUAGAAAUAUCAGCCUAAUCAAUCUUAUUCAAGGAUGAAUGUACCCAAGGGGAAGAUAUUGUAAUAAUCCAUACUAUUAUUAAUUCAGUUUCGCUCCUACUUGCAUACAUAAGAGGCUUAAAGCCUAAAAAUUUCACUAAGUGUUCGGGACUUUAUGUUUAAGUCCCCUUAACUUUGAGGAUUUUAAAUUGGUCUUAUUGAACCCAAGAUGUUUGUUUUUGAGUUAAUUUAUAUUUAGGGGUAUAAGUAGAAUGUCUUGGAGAAGUUUUAAAUUUUUUGAACAAUGAUUGGGUCAUGUUUGGAUCACAAUUCCAGAAGCUCAUCGCGAUAGCGUUGCGUCAUGUUAGUUAUAGAGAUGGAUCACUUAUCACACCGCAGUGACCACAUAAUCCAUACUCCAGUUACAAAUUUAAAUGUCUGAGGGGCAAUUAUGUCUUUUCCCCUCAACCUAAUUCAUAAAUUCAUGACUUAAAGCUUCAGUUAGGGCAUUAUUUACCCAUCUUCUGUAAUUUUCUCUCCAAAACAAACCCUAUCCUCCCCCAAGAUCAUCAAAUUCCAUUACUUUGUCUCUCAGAAAAUAAAGAAGUCAAGUUCCUAAUCCAAGAAUAUUCAAGAAAGCAUCAAGAUUGAUGUUUCUCUUUCAAGCUUAAGGGUUUGAGGUAUGUGUGAUGUUCAUGCAAGGGAACUUUUCAUCCAUGGAGUCUAAGAAUCCCUUUUUAUGUUUUAAAUUAUGAAUUUUACAUGGUUAAGUUGAAUUAUGCCCAUGAACAUCUUGAUAAUUUGAUUUCAAGUUAUGAUUACAUGUGUUUUUGAUGGAAUGAGCCAUUGCAUAUUUUGAGUAUUGAACUCUUGUCAUUUAGAAACUUAAUUCAUGGUUUUAGUAUUUAAAUAUGUUAUUAUCACAUGACUUGCUCAUUCACAUGCUUAAGUUCAUGACUCUCAUGUGUUUGAUGAAAUGCCUAAGUGUUGGAUUUAAAAAGCAUUAACAUAUAAUUUUGAUGAUUUAAAAGAAUUUAAAAUGCACAUAGAUGAAUUAUUAGAAAAACAAUAUAUACAAAAAAGUAAUAGUAAACAUAAUAGCCCAGCAUGUAUAGUAAAUAAACAUAGUGAACAAAAAAGAGGAAAAAGUAGGAUGGUUAUUGAUUAUAGAAAUUUAAAUGCAAAAACUAUAACAUAUAAUUAUCCAAUACCAAAUAAGAUUAAAAAUAAGACAAAUCCUACUAUGGUUUCAAAGCUUUUAUAUGUUCGUAUUGUUAUUUCCAUUUAGUCUUGGAGGGUUAUGAAUACCCGAUACAUAGCUGUUUACAUAAUUUUAGUAUCUUUAGAAUGAUUUUAAAUAUACCAUGAGAAUUGUCAUUUAGUAAGUUAUUAUGAUCAGUUGUUUGUUCAAUAAAGCUUAGUUCAGUGCAGUAAUCAGUGUCAGUUCAGUUGAGAGGAAUUGAAACUUACUAAUUAUGUUAUCUCAAGAUUAUAACAUAGAUAGAUAAUUAUGGAGUAAUACUCAAAUAGAUAGAACUUUCUGAGAGAACAACUUUACAGUACGACUAGAGCAAGAAGAAGGGAAAUAUUUCUUAGAUGCCCUAUAGCCACUCGAAGAAAAGUACAAACAUCUUCAUACUAUUCUGCAAGACUCUAUAAGACACGGCUUUAUAGGCAUCCUAGGACACUUGAACUCUAUGCUCUGAUACCAAGUUUGUAACAAUCCGAGACUACCCCCUAGUCGUCACAUGGUGCUUAGGACCACACGUGAUCCCAAGCUAAUUCGUGUACUAGCAUAAAUUAUGAGAAACUAAAUAAAAUACAUAAAUCUGAAUGAAAUAAGUGUAAGAUCAAUCUUUUCUGAAUCUGAUCAAUACAAAGCUAUAUAAAAAUGAUAACGACUCUACUUAGACAAAACAAAACUAAAAUCAAAUACACUAGUCCUACUAACAGUCUAUGAAGACUCUACUAUGCUGACUAUAAGUAGCUUGGAUGUGACUCUAACUACCACUAAUCAAUACACAUGAGUAAGAAAACAAAGUACAUAAAUAACAUCUAACUGAAGUCCCCAAAGUAGUAGGAAUUCUCAUUUGUUGGCUGGAAUCUGCAACUGUCUAAUCAUGAUAUAUGGACUACAACUGAACUGGUACUUAUAUUAUAAUACAAUGUAGCACAUAGACGUAUAUGUAGACCAGUACUUUUGGAAUAUACUGAGCAUGUGGGGGUGAAUGAAUAAGUAAAAUAGUAGCUCAAUUGUUCAUAUAGCUAGUAAAGAAUGCAUGCUAAGUAGAAACGGCUCAUAUUGGCUUGAAUAAAUGAAAGAUGAAAAUCAUAAAUCAUGGAUGAUAAAGCAUACUGUAUAAAUCUUGUAAGUUAUAACACUUAGUUCUAAAAGUUGUACUUUUACUCUUUCUGCUAGAGGAAUUAGUAGAACUGAAGUUAACUCUAUUUUCAAAUCAUGCAGUGUAAGUGUAAAAGAACUCACCUUUGUAUUUCUAAUUAAAAGUUGAAAUCUUAUCACCAAUGACUUGUGUAAAACAAUAUCUGAGUAAAAUUGUGAGCCUUUACACUUAGUUUUCUAAAAGCUUUUCUGUUAUUCUGUUUUAGGACUUAGGUUUUAGGGAUUUUCUUCUAAAAUCUUUUUUGUUAUUCUUUUCAAUUAGGGAGGUUGUUAUAACCAUCAAAAACUAUAUAAGAUACCAUGGAGUCCAAUGCCUAGUUUCGCUUAGGGGAAAAUCUUAGGUUGGGGUGAGGUGUCAUACUCUUGCCAAAGAGUAUAACAUAAGCUUAGUGAUCACAAACUGUAACUGCAUCCAUAUAAUGGGAAUAAUCUGAUAAUCUGAACCUACCUUAGCUCAUAGUUUUGGGGUAUGAGACCUUGGAAUCAUACCCAACUUGGAGCUAAAUACUACUCUCUUUAAUCGGUAUGCUCAUUCUAUAGGAAAUCCACUUUAAAACGAGCAUAAAGGUUUAAAAUGAAAAUUAGUUAUGCAUGUGUUUUCUUUAAGCUAUAAUCAAAACUAAAAUCAAAACUGUAAAGUGGAUUCCAUAUCUUAAUUGAGGAUCAAAAUGUCAAAUCUUGUUCAAAAUCUGAAUAUAUACUAAUCCUAGGGUUCUUAAAACUAUAAACUUCUUGAAACAUCAAUAUGAAAACAUAGGGCGUAAAACCCAUGCUUUAAACUUAUGUAAAUUCAUAGCAAAACAUCACGCUCAAUAUACUUCUUCAAAUACUUCAACAAUAUCAUGCUUAAACUCAAUUGGAAAUCUGUAAUCAAUAUCUCAAAUCAUACUCAUGGUGUUUAAAUAAUAAAAGAGAAUUCUUUAAAUAAAAAAUAUGGACUUUCAUGCUUCAAUAAAUUUAUAGAUCCAAAACUCAAAACAAGAUACUUUGGGUAUGAAUCCUAAUUGCAAUUCAUGUAAAUUAAUAUUUAAAAGCUAGUUUUGGGAGCAAAGAUAAAAGGAGUAUCCUUGUUCAUAACCCCACAUACCUAAUUAUGCUUUAUUUGAUGUAAAAGCAUGACUUUGAAGCCCUGGUAAAUUCUUUUCUUGAACUUCUUAGAUUAGGAACCCUAAAUUCUUGGUUUUUCUUGAAGAGGAGGUGAUGAAAUUGAUGAUCUUGAAGAAGACCGAUUAGGGUUUGUUCUUGAGAGUAAAAUAAGAGAAUGAGGGCAAAUAAUUCCCUAAUGGAUGAUUAAAAUCAUGUUUUUAUGACCUGGGUUGAGAUGGGAAAAGAUAAGAUUUCCCCUCAAAAUUAAAAGUUUCAGCAGAAAUCCCGAUUUGGAGGCUUGCCGCUGAGCGCUAUUGGUUCUACCACUAUAGGAAUCGUUAACCGGUGUAAUCAUGGUGACCUACUAUUUUGGACAAUCCAGACUUUGAGGCUUACCACUCUGCAUUAUUGGUUCCGCCGCUAAAGGCACCGUCAAGUGGUGUAAUCGCAACAGCUUACUGCUUCAUACUAAAAAUGCUAUAACUUUUCACUCGGGUAUUAGAUUUAGGAAAAAUUGGUAUCAUUGGAAAGAUGAUUCAAUUACCUACAGUUUAGUGUGUCUUUAGUUGUAAAAUUAUACAUACAUUAAAAGUUAUACACUUUCAAAGUUUACCCUUGUAGAAUAUAACACCAAAUUUAGGAUGAAUCUAAGGUUCUUAGCUCAACUUUGUUCUAAGUAAAUUCUAUGAACAUCUUUCACUUCGAGAGCACUUCAUAAACUAGGAUAAUGAUCAUGAUACAUGUAUUAACAUACAAAUCAUGAGAUUAAUAUUUAUACACAUAGGGACGAUGGUUUGAAUUCUAGCACAAAACUAUGAGGAAUUACAUUAUAUCCCCCUUGGAAUCAUUCAUCCUCGAAUGAUGGAUAGAAACUUUUUAAAGCCUUAGAGGUAUGGAAUAACGUGGAAGUGAUAUGUUUUCCAAGAAGGAUAUAAAUGAGCUGAAAUAUUAAAAACUUCUACCAUGAAACCAAUUUUUGAGCUGACAUGCCUUUACUUACUAUAAGGAGCUGAUUCACGCUUAGAAUUUAGAAUUUGCUUGAAGUGUUCAUGAUACAAUCAUAGAUAUAAAACUGUGAAGUGAUAACUUAUGCAAGCCUAAAUCAUGAGACAGCGAGUCUAUGAUCAUACAAUGGGUAUUACGCUUUCUGAACUAGAGUACUUGGAAAACUAAAAUCAUUCACUGAACACUUGUGAACAGAAUCACGACUAAAUAUCUGAAUCUAAAACUGAUGCAUGGAGCGUGAACUGAGAUGAAUUCAUAAUUUGCAUGAAUGCGAACAUGUUUCCUCAUGGAAUGGCCUUACUCAAGAAACUUUGGGUAGUAAGACUAGAUAGAAAGUUAGAAUUCUAUAGGAGCUUAUCUGCUUGGUUGCUAGACAGGAUCACAAGAUCUAUGAACUGGACCAUACUGACUGCCCAUACUUAAAUGGAGUAUUUCUCCAAAAACUCUUCUAAGAAAUUCUAAUAAUAUGGCAUGAUUUGAACAAGACAUAUAAAUCAAAAGCUAGGAUAGAAUUACUAGGCCUUAGGCAAUGUAACUUCUUGCUUUCAAGCUUAGACACACUUCAAAAUACUUCCUCAGCUAUACUAUUCCCCUUAAUUACCAUACUCAUUUUCUUCAACUUAAGAUUUUCACACGGACUUUGAUAACUCCAUCUACUAAAGUCUAAAUUGAACUAAAUUCUCUCACCAUGAUCAAGCCUAACUCGAAAUCAGAAGGUACAACACGUCACACCAUAAUACUAGUCUAAGCCACAUUAUUCAAUUUUCUAUGUGUUUUCCAAAGCUCACACCCUAAGCAUAACAUGCCUUACCGCUUCAAUAACUAUCACUAAACUAUUACUAUGGAUUUGCUAGCGCAUAUUGCAUUUUCCCAAUUACAUCCCAACAUGACAUUCAAACCUAUCAUUAUAACCAUACAUCAACUUCAAGGAAAACACCCAUAAAGGCAUCUUUCUCAUAUUUCCUAAACCUCUAUCAACAACCAUUUUCUUGCACUAUGCUUAAGAAGGCAAACCCAAAAUUCUCAACUAACUAUGACCUAUACCAAAGAUUUACCUCAAUAUUUCUUCAUCUCCUAUCCUUGGAUAGAAAAAACAUAAAUAAUAUUUCAUAAUGAGGGUCAUCAACUCUCUCUCUUCUAAAACAUUGCUUAUCCAUUAGCAUCACCACUAUCUUAACAUAGGAAGAGGUCACUGCAGGACUAACGCAUAAAGAUCUGAAACACGAACGAAUACCAUACAUAACUUAGACACUUAACUGAGGCUUAAGGAAUAGAACAUCAAAGGUAUGGAUUUAUUAAGGAGAUCUAAACUGGGGACAUACACGAUAUAAAUCUUAAGUUUGCUAGUAUCAUGAGUUUCUAAGAACUGAUCAUACUCUGAAACAUGAGUUCAUACUUGUUAUAAGCAAUUCAAUAAAAGACUGGAGUUUAUAGAUUUCUAAGGGAUGACUUGAAUCACAAAGUGAAGUUGUUACUUACUUACUAAAAGUUGAGAAUGAACUUGAGUACGCAUGAAUUGUAUAAGAAUUGGCCUUUGGCAUGGAUCUCUCAUGCAAGAUAUGAAUUUGGUAUGAUAAUGACUGAAAUCUAAGGAAUACUCUAAAUUAAGAAGGGGUCACUAUCUCAUCACAACUCUUAUAGACAUGCAUCGCAAUCUAAUUCUGAAAACUUGAUUUAGUUCUUCACUCCACCAUCUCCCCCUUAGAUCAAAGUUGACAUUCUAAACUUUUGGGUCUAUUCCAUAUCCUCGAGACUAAGCCGUAAUUUCUUUGCUCUAACAAUCUACACAUAAAUGCUAAACUCACAAGGAUAAACUAUAUUUCAAACUUACUAACUUCAUUCUUGUACGCCCUCUUAGUACAUACCACCUUUAACUCCAUUUAGCUUUAAUUGUCCUCAUCAUAGAACUACACUCUAUUAACUCGACUAUUAUACCCGCCUUACUGAAACACAUGAAUCGCUUUUUUUCCUUCAUAGUCUACUAAGAUCACACUUCUAUACUUACAUUUUCCCCAAAUCUUAAGAAUCAAAAUCAUACUUAAAAGACUCAGUACCAUCUACCCAUAACUGCUUUACUUAGCUAUUAGGAACACUCUGCAUUGCAUAGCUAGUCUUCUUCCAUUUAAACAUUCAAGGGAAAUAUUAAGAACACACAACACUUAAUAACCUUUGAAAUUAAUACAACCAUAUAUAACCUUGGGCAUCCCUCUAUAUUAUACUUACAACAUCAUACUAAAUGAUGAAUAAAUGAACUUAAACUCUUGCAUACACUAUUCAAACUGACUAGAUCACUUCCAUACAACUAGCUGCACUAACCAAGAAAUCAUUAUUUCCACCUUGCUAUUCAUCUCAUAUUCAAAUGUAGUGUCUAGUGCUAAGAAUGAUUAAUAACCCAAUCUCACAUACUAUUAUUACUUAGAAGCUAUAAAAUAAAGCAUCAAGAAACACUAGUCCACUAGAAUUUCAUAACAACAAUAAUUGGUCAUAAUCAUAUCACCUCCACACAAACUUAAUAACAUGCACAAGUUUAUCUCUAUAUUUUUUAUCAAUUGUCUAUCUCACUUUUCUGGUCACUACACUUUUAUUCCCAUACUUUCAGCUAUAGAAAGGUUCUACUACUUAUGAAUCAUAACACUUUAGGUUCAUACUAUCUCCUCUUAUGAGUGCUAUAUAUAUAGAAGAAUUAAUAAGGAAUCUGAAUACAUAUUUUACUCUAUCUUAACUAGAAAAAUCAUACAAAUGAGAACAUAAAUCUCAACUUAAGAAACUUAUAACACACUUGCGAGCUCCUUUCAAGCCCCUUGUGUGACUUUUAAAGUACUUAUAGUAAAGCUGAGAGCAUCAUCUUGAGAGGAAUUGGGAUAUGUUAAUCAUGUUAUCACAAGAAUAUAACAUAGAAAGAGAAUUAUGGAGUAACACACAAAUUCACAGAAGUUUCUGAGAGAAUAAGUUUACAGCACAACCUAGAGAAAGAAAAAGGGAAAUAUUUCUUAAAUACCCUGUAGCUUCUCGAAGAAAAGUAUAGAUAUCUAUGUAGCAUUCUGCAAGGCUCUACUAGACACGACUUUAUAGAUAUCCUAGGACACUUGAACUCAGUGCUCUGAUACAAAGAUUGUAAUGACCCGAGGCUACCCCCUAGUCGUCACACGAUUCUUAAGAACACACAUGAUCCCAAGAUAACUCUUGUACUGACAUAAAUCAUGAGAAACUAAAUAAAAUACAUAAAUCUGAAUGAAAUAAGAGUAGGAUAAAUAUUUUCUAAAUUUGAUCAAUACAAAGCUAUAUAAAAAUGAUUACAACUCUGCUUAUAUAAAAAAAACUAGAAUCAAAUACAUAGUUCUACUGACAGUUUAUGAAGCCUUUACUAUACUGACUUUAGGUAUCUAGGAUUCCAACUACCACUAAUCAAUACACAUGAGUAAGAAAAUAAUGUACAUGAAUAACAUCUAACUAAAGUCCCCGAAGUAGGAGAACUCAACAUCUACUGGCUAGAAUCUAUAAUUGUCUGAUAUCAAUAAACAAUGUAGAACAUAUAUGUAUAUGUGGAUUAGUACUUUUGAAAUGUACUGAGCAUGUGGAGGUGAAUGCAUAAGUGAAAUAGUAGCUCAAUUGUUCAUAUAGCUUUUAAAGAAUGCAUGCUAAGUAUAAACUACUCACAUUGUCUUGAAUAACUGAAAGCUGAAAAUCAUAAAUCAUGGAUGAUAAAGCAUACUCUAUAAAUCUUGUGAGUCAUAAUACUUAGUUCUAAAACCUAUACUUUUACUCUUUCUGCAAGUGGAAUAAGUAGAACUGAAGUUAAGUCUAUUUUCAAAUCAUGCAGGCUAAGUGUAAAAGGGCUCACCUUUGUAUCUAUAAACUAAAAGCUAAAAUAUCAUGUCUAAUGACUUAUGUAAACCAAUAUCUAAAUAAAAUCGUGAGCCUUACACUUAGUUUUCUAAAAGCUUUUCUGUUAUUCUGUUUUAGGAUUUACGUUUUAAGGAUUUUCUUCUAAAAACUUUUUUGUUAUUCUUUUCUAUUAGAGAGGUUCUUAUAACUUAUAUAAACUAUGUGAGCUAUCAUGAAGUCCAAUGUCUAGUUCCCUUAAGAGAAAAAACUCACGUUGGGGGAAAGGUAUCAUACUCUUGCCAAGGAGUAUAACCUGAGCUGAGUGAUCACAAUUUGUAACUGCAUCCAUAUAAAUGGUACUAAUCUGAUAAUCUGAACCUACGCUGGCUUAUAGUUUUGGGGUAUGAGACCUUGAUAUCAUACCCAACUCGGUGCUAAAUACUAAUCCCUUUAAUAUGUAUGUUCUUUCUAUAGGAAAUCCAAUUUAAAACUAGCAUAAGGGUUUACAAUGAAAACUAGUUAUGCAUCUUUUUACUUUAAAUUGUAAUAAAAAAUGUAAAGUGGAUUCCAUAUCUUAACUGAGGAUCAAAAGAUCAAAUCUUGUUUAAAAUCUGAAUAUAUACUAAUCAUAGGGUGAUUAAAAGAAUAAUAUUCUUGAAAUAUCAAUACGAAAACUUACGGCGUAAAACCCAUGCUUUAAACUUAUGUAAAUUCAUAGCAAAACAUCAUGUUCAAUAUACUUUUUGAAAUACUUCAAAAAUAUUAUGCUUAAACUCAAUUGAAAAUCUGUAAUCAAUGUCUCAAAUCAUACUCAUGGUGUUUAAAUCAUAAAAGAGAAUUCUUUAAAUUAAGACAAAUACGGACUUUCAUGCUUCAAUAACUUUAUAAAUUCAAAACUCAAAACAAGAUACUUUGGGUAUGAACCCUAAUUGCAAUUCAUGUAAAUUCAUGUAAAUUACUCUUUAAAAGCUAGUUUUGGGUAUAUGGGAGAAAAGAGUAUCCUUGUUCAUAAUCCCACAUACCUUAUUAUGCUUGAUUUAGUGUAAAAGCUUGACUUUGAAGCCUUAGGAAUGUUGUUGAAUGAUUUUCUUGAACUUCUUGGAUUAGAAACCCUAAAUUCUUGGUUUUUUCUUGAAGAGGAGGUGAUGGAAUAGAUGAUCUUGAAGAGGAUUGAUUAGGGUUUAUUCUUGAGAGUAAAAUAGGAGAAUGAGGGUAAAUAAUGCCCUAAUUGAUGCUUAAAAUUGUGUUUUUAUGGCCUAGUUUGAGAUGGGAAAAAAGAAGACUGCCCCUUGGAAUUAAAAGUUUCAGCAAAAAUCCAGAUUUGGAGCCUUACCGUUGAGUGCUUUGGUUCCAUCACUAUAGGUACCACUGAGCGGUAUAAUUGCGGUGACCUACUGUUUUGCACAAUAUCAAAUUUGAGUCUUACCUCUGUGCCAUAUUCAUACCACCACUAUAGGCACCACCGAGUGGUGUAAUUGCGGCAGCUUACUACCUCACACAAAAAAUGCUACAACUUUUCACUUGGGUAUCAGAUUUAGGCAAAAUUGGUAUUGUUAGAAAGAUAUUCAAUUACCUACAGUUUGGUGGUAUUUACAUGGAAAAUUCUAAAUACAUUAAAAGUUAUAUACUCUCAAAGUUGAUCCUUGUAGAAUCUAACACCAAACUUUGGACGAAUCUAAGGUUCUUAGCUCAACUAUGUUCUAAGUAAAUUCUAUGAACAUCUUUCACUUUGAGAGCACUUCAUAAACUAGGAUAAUGAUCAUGAAACAUGUAUUAACAUAAAAAUCAUGAGAUUAACAUUUAUACCCAUAGGAAUGAUGGUUCAAAUUCUAGAACGAAUAUACGGGGUGUUACAAGUACAUACCACAAUCUUACCAUGAAAGAACGAUCCUGGGAUGUGCUCUUCUGAUGAACCCCUAUAAUUUGAAAAAAUGGUACUUCACCAUGAUCCGACCUACGAUCAUUUCUAGAUACCACAAUCGUAAGUUGUAUCAUAGAGUAUGUACUAAAAGUUAUCAGUUCAAAACACAAAAUUUAAACCUGAUUGACCAUGUUCUUAGACAAAGGGGUACUUAGACUUCCUCCUAUUCUCAUUUAUUUAAAACCCUAUAAAUAAGACAAUAAUUUUGGACUUGUUUUGGCCUACCACUUCUCAUGAACUAAAGUUAGCACCACUUAUUUAUAAAUUAUUCAAAUAUGGAGAUAAUUAUCAAAGGUGGUCAAUCAACUUACAUAUUUUUUUCUUGAAAUUCUGGGGGCUCUGAGAGUUGUAUGAGCUCAAAAUGAUGGGAGUAGCUACAUUUCACAAAUCAUUAGUAGAAUUUUCUAAAGUUUGCUUUUUUGUCAUUAAAUUUCAAGUGAAAUAAGUUUAAAUGCUUAUCAGAUUCAAUUGGGUAUCAAGUAUAGGGUUUAACAUGUUAAAAGCCGAGUCGGAUCAGGUCAUAUCAUAUUUUAUUAACAUAAUGGACCCAAUAGAUGACACAUACUUAUAAAUAUGAAAUGAAACCAUGAUCGUGGUGCAUGUUAAUAUUAAUAGAUGAAUGAAUACUUAUCUAGAAACCUACAAAUCUUAGGGAUAAUCAUGGUAUCUAGCCAUAAUCAUUUCUUAAAUUCAUGUUUGACGCCUAAUUAAUGGUUCCCUAGUUUAGUUAGAUGAUUGUUACGAAGAUUGUGAUAUAUAAGUAUAAUCGUUAUGACCAAAAAUAGUACAACUCCUAAACUUUAUCCCUCUAGACUUCAUGUUGUUGACUGAACCCAUGAAUUGGACCUUUGCAUAGUUGUAUAAUUCUUUCGUGGAUUUAGUACUGAUUCUAGUUCUAUAGUUUGUUUUUGCACAAGUAAUGCACACAACCCUAUAAAAUCAAAAGUACUUGGGUUGCCUCCCAAGAAGUGUUUAAUUUAAUAUCAUGUCAUGAUGUCGCUAAGUUGUUUACUCAGACUUCACCAACUAGCCCAUGAUUGCCUCCUAUGAAGGGCCUGAUUUAACAUCAUGAAACAACUUGGAUGUUCUUGACUUCUCAUGCACUCUCUAACUCCACCUCAUAUAUCAAUGUCAUAGAAGUAGUGUUUCAACCUUUGGCCAAUCACUUUAAGCUUCUGGCCAUUUUUAUUUAUUAGCUCGAUUGCACCAUAGGAAAACACUCUAAUCACUCAAUAAGGUCCUUUUUAUUUUGACUUUAACUUGCUAGGAAACAACCUCAACUAAAAAUAAAAUAAUAAUGUUAUAGCUCCUGCGGUGAAUUCUCUUUUCUCAAUCUUAUAAUCAUGAUAUAACUUCAUCUUUUCUUGGCACAAAGCUGACCAUUCAUGACAUAACCCAACCCGGGGCCUUGUUGCAAUGGGCAUCCCAGGUCCAAUUAGGACCAGAGGCUACCCCCCAUACCCAAGCCAACCAACCUAUGCAUAUCCUAAGUCCUAUGAAUUCCGAACGUAUAACAAGAUUGUGUUAUUGUGUAACCCAAGACUUUGAGAUAGGUCUACGAACAUGACCACCUAGAUGACUCCAACCGUUCGAUACCAACCAAUAACCAUAACUAAACCAAACCAUAACAAUAACCAAACCAAGUUCUAUAAAAUAAUAUAAAAGGAUAGAACAACCAAUAAUACAGUCAAUCGGUAUUAGCCCUAAUGCCAAUGCUAAUACUAAGGCUAACACCACUACCAAUCCCACCCAUACCAACCUAUAGUAGUUUCAAUAAAUCCUCUAUCCAAAAGAGAACCAAUAUUCGGUUGGUACAUGCCCCCUACCAUAGCUAAAACUAAUAUCCAUAAAUAAACCAAAGUGUGUAUGAACAUCCAUGAAUGUGAAAUGGAACCUUUCAGAAUAUGGAAGCUCACUACUUCAAUCCAAUAGUUGAUCUUGAAUUCUAGCACUAAGCAGGAAGAGUGGAAUGGAUGGUACCUAAAUCAUAUAAGGAUACAACCGUUUAAGGAUGGAUUAGAGUGUGAAUGCUAGCAAGUACUCAGGAUAAGGGUAAAAUAAUGCCAUCCAGUAAAACCAAGUAAAUCAACCACAUGUAUACAAACCAUACAUAUAAUAUAUAUAACCAGGCCGGGAAAGGGAACCGAAUUUAGCAUGCCUUUUUAACUUGGCUAUGUGAAGCUUAAUUGUCCUAAAACCACCUACGGGCUAUAUGGGUCCAGUGUAACCCCUUGAAUGGGCCCCGAUGUGUGUAGUCGUACUAAUCGGAGAUACAUUAAGAGUAGAGGAUUCCCAAGUACCCUGCGCUUCCAUGAUACAUAUGUACACUGUACUUAGAGGAUUCCCAUGUACCUCAUAGUAUCAUAUAUGGUCGCCAUGACCAACCCCUCAUAUCGGCAAAUAUGAGUCUCCAGUGCUCAUCCAUUGGAAUCCCACCUUCACAAUUAGCUAUCACAUCCUACCAUUAUUGCCCAGUUAAAACUAUUUCUAACCAACCAAUCCAUUAUUCCAUUUAUUAUUAACUAAGGCUAUUAAUAGUGGUAUCGUCAUACCGACUAUAAAUUGUAAGUAUUGUCCUUAGCAAAACCUUAAGAGGUUAAGGGAUUCCCGUAUAUCCAUUUACCAAGUUAACUUGGGGGAGUCCCAUAUACCCCACAAGUGUUCCAUUAUUAUAAUUGCUUGGGGGAAUCCCAUGUACCCCAUGAGUUGUUCAUUAUUAUAUUUACUUGGGGAAUUCAAUUAUACCCCACAAUGAGUUCAAUUAAACAUAAACAUGACCACUAAACCAUUCCAAACCAUUUAUACCAUUUAGGUUUCCAUUACCAAACCAUACUAUGCAACAGUUUCAUUAAAAGUCCAAUAAUAUAGUAAAAGUAUUAUAAUAGACAUUUUAUCAAACAUGUUGGGGGCAUAGUAUUUCCAAAACCAAAUCCAAUUACCAAUUAACCAUUCCCAUGCAACCAAUCACCAUUAAAACAUAUAGAAACAUAAUUAAAACAUGGGAAACCCAUAACCAAGAAUUUUAUACCAAAACAAUAUUUGAAAACUCCAAAAUCAUACAAUAAUAAUGCCAUGAAAACGUUGUAUAAAUCAUUCCUUUAGUUGGAUCUAACAAUGAGGGAUAAGUAUCUUUCCUUAUAUGAUGAAGAGAAAUCAUCAACAAAAACCCCAAAUAGAUCUUCAUAGUGAAACCCUAGCCUUCCUUUACCCAAAAGCCUUAGAGAGAAUUGUAGAGUAUAUAAGAGAGUUUUCUAAGUGUUUAAUGAUAGAAUAAUAGGGUAAAUAACCUCUCAAGUGUGUUACAAGCCGUGGGGACUUAAUAGGUUAAGUGGGGAAAUGUCCAGAUUUCCCCCACUUAAACUGUAUAAAAAUCCCGUCAUAGGACCCAUAUCCAACCGUAUGAAUCAUACAAACCCAGGUCAUACCUAUUCCAAAAACCAAUCCAACCUACCAACCAACACUGGUUAGCAUAGGACAAAAGCAUACCACUCAUACCCCACUAUAUGACUUGUACCCGCUAGUUGUACGUUGUCAAGAACCCAGAAAUUUGAAAAAUUUUCUAAGGGACCCAAACCUAAGGUGUUUCAGUUUAUAAGAAAAGAGGCAGAAUUUAUCCAUCUCAUUCAGCUAUUCAAUUCUCAAUUUGGCCUUAUCUUAUCUAGAUUCAACCUCUUCGACUUUCACAAGGCCUUGUGCUCAAGUUUGAUAGGUAAGUGGCAUAUUUUUCCAUACACAAACUGAUAUAGAAAAGCACCAAUAGGGAUCUUGAAUAUUGUUCAGAAAUCCCAUAGUGCAUCAUUUAACUUUCUAGCCUAAUCUGUCAUAUUAGCAUUUAUAUUCUUCACCAAAAUAGACUUGAUCUCAUGAUUUGAGAACUAAUUUUUCCUCUUGUCUGAGGAUGGUAAGGUGUUUUCACCUUAUGUUUCACACCAUACAUCUCAAGUAAGGCUUUGAAUAGAAGAUUGCAAAAGUAAGAGCCUCCAUCACUAGUGAUAACCCUUGGUGUCCCAAAUCUUAAAAUGUGUUCUUUCUCAAGAAUGUUGCAAAACUCUUCCCUUUAUUGUUUGAAAGCACAACUGCCUCCAACCAUUUCAAAACAUAGUCCACCAAAAUAUACUCAUAUCAUACGAGUUCACAAAAGGGCCCAUGAAGUCAAUACCCCAUAUGUCAAAUAGCUCAAGAUAAAAAAAUAAGUGGUCAUUAGAAGGUCUUACCUUCGCGAGAUGUUUUCUUGCCAUUGGCAUUGGACAUAAGCCCUUGAAUAGUAGUGCAUAUGGUGUUAAAAGGGUGAGUUGGGAUGAAAUUAAAAUUAUUAAAUAGAUUGAAUUAGAAAUUAGAUAUGGGUCAUGACAAACCCAAAUUUACUUUGGGUUCAAAUAGGCUUUAAACUUGGUUGGGCUUUGACUCACCCUAUUUGACCUUCUUAAUCUAAAAAAAAUUAACAUCUUGAUAAUUUACCUCUUGCAACCACAAUUUGAAUUCCAACUCAAGGAAAUAAAUAAAUAAGUUUUUUAUUUUAAUGAGGAAAGCCAUUAAUCACUACACCUAUAAAAUAAAAUAUAUUAUAGAUGUAUUCAGUAUUCAAGAAAAAUAUUUUUCAAAAAAAAUAUUAUCUAUGAAUUUUUUUUUUUAAAAUAUAAUUUUGUUUUGGAGGAGGGGGGUACGAGGGUUUAAGUGUAGGAGGAUUGGGAUGUAGGGAGCGGUGUUUUGGGUAAGAAUUUUUUGAAAGGAAAUAAAAAUAUUUGGUGAAAUAAUCAAUUGGACCCUUGUACUUUUUGAGUAUGUAAUGUGAACACUUUUUUAUAUGCUAUAUGUAGUUUUGAUGAUGAGAAACUAACCUCAAGGUACCAGGUCCCUAGAUGUGCAAGGUGCAGUACAGCUAGCACACGUUGUUUGUAUAGUUUUAUCCUCGUGUAACAAACUUACAGGUGUUAUUUUAUACUGGUUAGGACAACUAGCCCAAUGAUCUUUCAUCCCUAAUCAUCACUUAUCUAUAAAAUAAAAGAGAUGCCUCUUUAUAAAAUCAAUUUUUGUACAAAUCUAAAGAGUAAAGUGAGGCAACAGAAACUCUAUUUUAAGAUUGCUCAAGUAUUGCUCGUGUUCCUAUCUUUGUAAUAUGCUUAAAGAGUGAUUGGUUGUUCUUUAGUGUUUAUUUGUAAUUGAACUACUCAAGCUAUAAGAGUAGUGUUUUCUUUUAUUGAGAGAGAUGCUUAAGUAGAGUUGCCUAAGGUUGUUGCUAGUUAGAGUUAGUCAGUUGUUGAGGGUAACUUGCAGAGGUGUUAAGGAGUGGUUGUAAUAGAGGUAUUGCAAACAAGAGAAGCAUAGAUCUAGGUUCACAAUUAAGUCUAUAAUCAAGAGUUUGAUUAUAGUGGACUAUUUUUGUGCUUGUGAUGGCAAGUCGUGGUUUUUCCCUUCCUAGGUUUCCACAUGAAAAUCCUAUGUUUUACUUUUAUGCACUGCCUUUAUUUUUCCAAUACCUCAUAGUUUCUUUACUAUUCUAUCACUUGUGUUUACUUUGAGGGACCUGGUACAUCACUGUGUGGUGCAACACCCAAGGGUUUUAAUAAUUGGUAUCAGAGAAGGUUCACUCUAAAAGAUUCAUACCUAGAGUUGUUUAUUUAUAAUGACUGCUAUGACUGAACUAGGGGUGGAAAGAAAGAAAGUAAAAAGGGACACAUUCCUAACUUUGAAGGCUUUAGAAUCAGACUCAGGAAAGAAGACAUUGAUGUUACUCUUCUAGUAAUAAGGAUUGUUAGAUCUAUGAAAAAGCUUGGUAGCUCUAAAGAAUUCAUGAGGAAUUACCCAAUACAAAAGAAGAAUCAAAGACAUCAAGAAGAAAAGAUGCAACAAGCUGUAUAGUUAAGAAGGUGCUGGAUUCUUGGGAAGAUUUGUCCACUAAAUCUGGGAAAGACAAAAAGUAUGGAGAUGAUUUCAUGCUGAAAUAGGUUGAUAAGAAAAUAAGCUCAGAUUCCUGGUGUUCUCUAAUGGCAUCAUGGAGAGAUUCUUCUAGUAAUUCAAGUGAAGAUGAGAAGAAUGUAGAUGUUUCUAUGUUAUCAUUGGAAGACAAUCCAGUUAUCUAUAAUUCCUUGUUUGCAUUCUUAUAAAAAAUAAAGGAUAAAGAAGAAAAAAGGGUAAUAUUCCUUGAUCUUAAGGAAAACCUAACACCGCUAGAUAGAUAAAAAGUCUUGCUAGUGGGUUGAUAGACUCUGUAUAUGAAUUGACUACAGAGAAGAAUACUUUGAAGGAGAAAGUAGAAAAUCAGGAACAUGAAUUAAGUGCCUUAACUCUUUAGUUAUCUGAAAUUGAAGAAAUGGUCACUAAAUUUAAGCCUAAAAAUCUGAAUUGUAUACUGAAAAGGGCAAAUGGUGUAGAUGGUAAAGGGAAGAAUAAAUCCUCAAGGAUUUAGAUUGAUCUUGAGGAAAAAUUGAAAGCUUCACAAAAACACCUUAUGUCAGAACGUCAUAGGAAUAAAGAGUUAGAGAGGGACCUAGUUUGCUUGAAAGAAGAGUUGAAAAAGUCUCUUAAGUGGACUACUUUCUCACUGGUCCUUUAUGACUUGACUAGUCAAGGUGUUAAUGAUGGUAGAGGUCUAGUCUAUUAAGGAAAAUCCAUCCUAAUGUGUCUUAAAGGAAUACUAUCAAUAAUGCUAGAAAAAUAUAAAGCAAACACCUAUGAAUUUAUUGUGGAAGUGAUGGACACCUGAAGAAACACUGUCAAAGUGGGAAUAGAGCAAGAAUGUUCGAUGAUAGAUGUAUCCAUCAAGAGAAUUCCUAUCCAAGGAAUUUCACAUCCUUGAAAAGUAUGAAGAAAAGUUCUCUACCUAGAUGGAUCAAGAAGUAUUUGAUCACACCAUUGUCUUCUUACUAGGAACUCAAAUUUAAGUGGGCUCCCAAAUCAAACAAGUGAUCAUGGGUCCAGGUUGGAAACAAGGGAUUGAAGUUAGGAAUAUUUAUUAAAAGUGGGUCUUUGGAGCUUAAUCUUAGAAGAUCUGACUAUGUUCUUUCUCUCUCACUCAAAAUACUCUAAGGUGGAGGUAUUAUAUUUUGAAAUAGUUAAAUUCAAGGGAUUUGGUCUUUAGAAGACUCUUCUUGAUAAGGAAAGUUCCACCAAGAGUUGGCUAUGUUUGGAAGGAAUGUAUCCAUGAUAAAGUAGGUGCAGUAUAAUUUAACUCAGUUUCAUAUCUUUGUAGGUAUACACUUAUGGGAACAGCUUGAGAAGUAAACAAAUAAAACUAACACAAGUAGGCAAUUCAAUUAAAAGGAGAGGGACUUGAUCCUAUCUCUCAUGUUAGUACCUGUAAGAUACUUAAGUGAUCACAAGAUGUCUGAAAAGCUAUAUAUUUUUCUCUAAGUUGUCAAUUCCUUUGCAAAAGUAAGAGUCGCACUUAUUAGGUUCAAAUAUGUUAGUUGAAAAGAAACAUCUUUUAAUGACAUUGACCACCAUUAGAAAUUCUAAAUCAGACCAUCUUGCUAGUGUUGUUCAACUAAUCCAAUUCAUCUUUCUAUGACUAAAUCAUCCCUAACUAAACUAGUUCAUCUAUCUUUCUAAAAAUCAAAUGGAUGAUAAUACUACUUCAUUAAAUUCUAUAAGAAAUCCAGAACCCACAAUCGAGUCAGUUUCUAUUGAAUUCUCCUUAACCUUUGAAGUUUAUCCUCAACAAAUUAUGAUACACAAUUCAAACCAAGAGUUUAGGUCACCAAUAAAAUUAGAAAUUUCUCAAUCUGAAAACUCCUUAUUCCCUGUGUCAUUUGAAAAUCCAAAAAAGCUUAAUUCUCUAAAACACAACAAGCACCAGAUUCUCCUACACCCUUAUACUCAAAAACUAUUUUUGCUCUAUUGUUUCAUGAAUAAAUUCCAGUAAAAAUAGUUGAUCUUUCCUCUAGUGAGAACAGGGUAACUAAGAACUUACUCUUGCUUGCUUAUGACACCAAAGAAGGAUCAACUGAUGGAGUGGAAUAGGAAGUAUUCUCUAAUGUUGAAUUAAAUGGGGGGAAAUAUAUAGUUACCUCUAAAUAAGGAUAAUGAGGAAGACAAAAAGGAAGUGCCUCUGAGAUAGACUGUGAAGAAACUCAAGGGAAAUAAAAAAACAAAAAUGAAAAUACUAAAGUUGUGGAGGUUGAUAGAGGAGAGUACUUGAAAUCAAGGGAUGUUGUUACUAUCAAAGAAGGAAAAAUGGUGUUCCUAUAGUCGAUAGGACUAGGUCCUCCCUGUCAAAGCCUGGCAGCCCCGCCUUAAGUAGGAAGAAGAAUAUAGCUGUAAAAAGAAAAAAAAAUCUCUGAGGGACCUAAAAAAAAUCUCUGAGGGACCUGGUCCCAAGAAGAGAAGAACACAGAUGUAUGAGCAAUAAGAGAAAAGUUUUGAACCCAAAAGAAAUAAAAAAUAAGAAGAAGAAAAGAUAAAAAUGUCUAGAGAAAGAAGGAUUGGAAACUUGAGAACACUGAAAGUUUUAUCGAGAAGAGUUUUCGAUCCUAGAAUUUAUGAGCAACCUGGGAUGGUAGAGUUGGUUGAAUAUGUCAGGUAUCAAGGAUGGAUAAAUCUAUUUAAUGAAAUAGCACCAAUGGUUUUUCAAAAUAAGGAAAGGAAAUUUUAUUAAACCAUUGAUUUCUCAAAAAAUGAGCUAUGAUUGAAGGCCCAGGUGCAAGGUAAGCUUAUCAAUCUAGAUAAAAAAUCAUUAGGCAAGAUAUUGGAUAUACUUAUAAUAGGUUUGGGGACAGUUGUAAACCAGUACCCCUCAACUGAUUUUAUGUUGCAUGCAUCAAAGGUAGGAGGGACUUCCACAUCUGUUAUGAAAAAACAUUCCUGAUAAGUUAAUAUCAGCUGGUAUUUGAAUUUAUUAACAAGGUCUUGUUACCAAUAUCUAAAGGAUGAAUAACUACCUCUGGUGUUAACCUAUUCUUGAUUAAAAUCUUGAGCAAGCUUGGAUUGAUAAGUCUUCCUGCUUUAAUAAUAGAACAUAUGCUUACAAUGGUGUAUGAAAAGAAAGGAAAACAUGGAAUGCCAUAUGGAUAUAUACUAAACAAGGUGUUUAAACAAUAUGGUGUGGAUGGAACUAAAGGUACAGCUGGAACAGCCAAGCAAAUGAUCAAUCUAACAACUCUUGUGGGAAAUGAAUGCAUAGAGGGCAAAGCCGGAUGUGUGUCUCAAGUAUCUGAGUUAUUAGCUAUUUAGGAAAGGUUGGGAAAGAAAAUGGAGGAGUUAAAGAUCAAGUUGGCUACCAAAGAUUCUGAAAUAGAGCACCUGAAUCAAAGUUUGUCCUCUAAGUGACCAGGUGUCACUGAUAAACUUGCAACUGAAAAUGCAAAACUCCAGGCAAGAGUGUCUUAAAUGACUGGUGAAUUUCAAAAACUAAAUGUUGAAGUAAAGGUUCUCAACAAACAAUUGUUGAAUGCCCACAAGGCUGAAAUUGCAAGAAUAGAGAUGCUGCUUAAGUCUCUCUCCCCCAAACCUAUCUCUACCAAAGUUUUAUUAUCCCUUUUCUCUAAAUUAAUCAAGUGUUAGUUUCAUAUCUUACUCUUUGUAUUAGCUUUUGAAGAUAUUUAUUAUUGUAUUACUUUAGUAUGAUUGUACUGGUACUAAUCUUUGUUUAUGAAUGAAUGAAUUCUGCCUCUGAACUUCAUUUGUUCCCAUUACCAUAUGUUAUUCUUCAUGUUAGUAUUGCCCUAGUGCCAUGAGUUAAUUAGCUUGUACUUAUCUUUACUCUUGGUUUACUGUUAUUUCUUUUUAAUGAUGGGGGAAUACUGAGUUCAUGUAGUAUGGACCAGGUACCAGGUAAUUUGAGUUACAAAUUUAAAUGGCAUGUACAUAGGGAGAAGUACAUAAUGUGCUAAAUAGGUGAAUGAAAGGACUCAUAUUAAUAGAUAAAAGUGUGAAAAUACACUAAUGAAGGUGCAUAAUGAAAGGGGAAAGAAAUAUGAGGUUUUUACAACAAAUAACAACAAAGAACCAGGUCUUUGUGCUGCAUGAUGAUGAAAGAAGCAUAAUGAUAGGGGGGACAUUCAUCUUAAGGUGGUAAUCACACUAAUUAAAUAUGAUGAAUGUGCAUUGAUGCUCAAAAUAGUAUGGUUGGUUUGUCAUUAUCAAAAAAGGGUGAAAUUGCUAAAUGAUAUUUGUAGUUUUGAUUAUGAGAAACUAACUUCAAGGGACAAGGUCACAAGAUGUGCAAGGUGCAGUACAGCUAGCAUGCAUUCUCUGUAUAGUUUUGUUCUCUUGUGUAACAAACUUGCAGGUGCUAUUUUGUACUGGUUAGGAUAGCUAGUCUAAUGAUCUUUCAUCCCUAAUCUUCCCUUGGCUAUAAAGGAGAGAGACUCCUCUUCAUCAAAUCAGUUUUUGGACAAAUUUAAAAGGUGAAGAGAGAAAGUAAAUACUUCAUUUCAAGAUUGACCAUGUAUUUCUCAUGUUUUUAUCUUUGUAAUAUGCUUAAAUAAUGUGUGAGUGUUCUUGAGUGUUAAUUUGUAAUCGAACUACUUAGGUUAUAAGAGUAGUAUUUUCUGUUGAUGGGAGAGGUGAUUAGGUAGAGUUGCCUAAGCUUGUUGCUGGUUAGAGUUAGCUAUUUGUUUAGUGAAACUUGGUGGAGGUGUUAAGAAGUCUUGUAAUAGAGGUAUUGCAAGCAGGAGGAACCUAGAGUUAGGUUCACAGUCGAGUCUGUAAUCACGAGUUUGGUUAUAGUGGACUAUUUUGGUGCUUGUGAGGGUAAGCCAUGAUUUUCCCCUUCCUAGGUUUCCAUGUAAAAAUCCACUGUUUUACUUUCAUACACUGCCUUUGUUUUUCCAGCACCUCAUAGUUGUUUUACUGUUCUAUCACUUGUGGCUGACUUUGAGGGACCUGAUCCCAUACUGUGUGGUGCAACCCCCAAGGGUUUAAACAUGCCUUUACUUAGACCUUAGUCAUCUGAAUCCUUAAGCUCCAUAAAUCACAAUAUUUUGAAUCUCUUUGAUAGUUGACUAUGCCUAGAAAUUCAACAUGCAAAAGAGUAUAAAGCACUCAGGGUGAAUCGGGACAAAUUCAUAAAAUCGUGCAUAUAAAGUGAGUCUGCAUAUAAUUUUCAAUUAUAAAUAUUUUAAAUAAAUAAAUAAUAUAUCUACUCUUUCUUCUUUACACCCCCCACCCUACCCACCCACCAUAGUUUUAUUACCCUAUCUCAUCCAUCCAUUUCUGUUAUUUCUUAUCAUCUUUAAAGCUUCAAUUAAUCUAGGACCAAGUGUGGUCCAUUGAGACUCUGAGUUACCAUCCCAAAUAUAAGAAAAUUUAUAGGUCUUGCCCUUAAAACACCUCCAUUAAAGGACCCAUGAAUUCCAUAAUGAUUGACAUAGAGUCCAUCAACUACAACGUUAAUAGCGCAUUUUUAUUCACCCUCUGAUGCCAAUUGAAUGAUUCAUUUAAUGAUUUUCCUAGGAAAUAAUUUUUGACGAGUACUUGAUGGAUGGAGUAUUGAUUGUUGUUCUAGUUGUCUUGUAGAAGAGUAAAGAAAAUAAAAAUGGUGUGAAGGAGGUGGGGAUUGUGUUUUCUAUGGUUAUGAGUUGGGAGAGGUGGAGAUGGUGGUUAUGGGUUUGAGAAGGUGGAGGAAAGUGAGAAAUAUAAAUUUUAUUUUAAAAAAUAAUUUCUUAAUUAUUAUUUUAUUAUUUUUAAUUUAAUAUUGUUGAUGAUAAUUUUAAAAAGUAAUUAAUGAAGAUACUUAUGACAUGACAUUAACUUAUGUGACGUGAAUCUGACGUGUAAUUUAUUUUAGGGCGAGUGAGCUACACACAUGGUAGGAGGUGUUUAAAAUCUUAUUUUUUGAUGGGUUAAGGGGUUUAGAUGACAAAGAAUUAAGUACAAAUGUCCACUUUACAAAGUCAGACAAGUACAAAGUCUAGUAGACCAUUUCACCAAAAUAUUAUCCAAGAAAAAAUUUUAAAAAUUAAUUUUAUUUGAGGAGGAGAGAGGAAAGGGUAAGAGGGUUAAGGGGUAGAAGGAUGUGGGUGGAGGAAAUGGUAUUUGGGGUAAGACAAAAGAAUUUAAAAUAGUUUUUUUUAAAUAAUUAGGGGGAGGGGUUGUAGAUGGGGUAGGGAUUGGAGUAAUAAAAGAUUUUUUAAGAAUAUAUGUAAAAUAAUAAUUUGGUUUUUAAUUGGGGGGUUGGUUGGGGUAAGGAAAGAAAAAAAAUUUGGAGGGGGAGGUGGCAGGGGUGUUGUUGGGCUAAGAAAAAGUUAAAUUUUUUGGGUAGAUAGAUUGAUUUAGGGUGGGUGGGGUAAGGAGGGGAUGUGAUGGGGUGGGUGGAUGAUUUUGAUUUUUGAGUGGUACAAGAGAUUGUCACUUGAUUGUCACUUGUUUUCUCCUUUUUCACUAAUGAAAUUAUUUUUCUUAUUAAAUUAGUUGAAGCGGAGAUUGAAUUGGCUCGGUUGAAGAUACUUUUAAAAUGGAUUAAUAUUGAACUUAAUUGUAAAGUAUCUUGAUUCCAACCCAUAAAUUUUGAAUGAAUUGGGCGAGUUCACUCAAUUUGGGCUCAUUUUGACAUAAUCGCGUGCAUCUUUAUAAAUGGUCGGUCAAUAGUAUCCAUAUUGCAAGAUUUUAUGUGCAAUCCGUGCACCACUAUGAUGAACCCUAACUGGUGACGAGUGACAUGCCUCUAUUAUACUCAUCAUCUCAACCUCAGGAAUACAUCUCUGAAUUAAUCCAUCUUCACAACUUCGGGACAAGUAUGACUCAUCCUAAAAGAAGUUACUCACAUUAUGUAUAAAUUUCUUACAUUGCUGAAAUGAUAGUCUUUAGAAACCACAUCACUCACCAAAUAAUUUACAAAGUCUACAAACCACAAGAACAGAUUAAAUCUUAAGAUGCGGCUAAUAUUUGUUCAUCUGAAAAAAUAUCAUCAAUCUUGAGCUCAUUCUUCAACUUCCGUAUGGCCUUUUAUUCAAGGCAUGACAAGUGAUUAGCCACUUAAUUCUUAGUCCCCUUUUAGUCCCUGACCUUAAUGUCAAAUUCUUGCAAUAGAAGUACCUAACAAAUCAACCUUGGUUUUAAAUCUUUUUUCCAUAAGGUACCAAAGAGCGGUGUAAUCGGUCUGCACAAUCACUUUUCUAUCAAUCAAAUAAGGUGGAAAUUAUCAAAUGUGAACACCAUAGAAAGAAGAUCUUGUUCAGUCAUUAUAUAAUUUAUUUUAGCAAGGUUAAGUUCUUUGCUAUCAUAGUAGACGGGAUGUAAAAUCUUCUGUCAUCUUUGUCCUAGGACUGCACUAGCAUCACACCACUAACAUCACACAUAACUUUAAAAAGAAAGGACUAAUUAAUAGACACUUUAAUGGGAAGUGAAAUCAACUUUUCUUUUAGGCACUCUAAUGCCUUAAGACAUGCAUCAUCAAACACAAACUUCACCUCCUUCUUCAAUAAAUUGCACAAAAGAUUUUCAAUUUUAGAGAAGUCCUUGAUGAAUCUUUUUUUAGAAAUUUGCAUGCCCCAAAAAUCUAUGAAUACCAUUUACAGAAUUAGGUGGUAGAAAUUUUUCAAUCACCUUACUUUUUAUCUUGUCAACUUCAAUCCCUUUUUUCAAAAUCUUGUGAUAAAGCACUAUUCCUUUUAUAAUAAUGAAAUGACACUUCUCCCAAUUUAGACCCAAGUUACAAUCCUUACAUCUCCUAAAAACACUAGCAAGAUUUGCUAAACAAUCCUUGAAUAAAUCACCAAUCAUUGAGAAGUCAUCCAUGAACACCUCAAUAGUGUCCUCUAACAUGUUAGAAAAGAUAACCUUCAUGCACUGCUGAAAGGUUGUGGGUGAAUUACAUAGCCCAUAUCCUCUUAAAUGCAAAAGUCCCAUAUGAACAAGUAAAACUAGUCUUCUAUUGGUCUUUGAAAGUAGUAAAAAUCUAAUUAUAACCCAAAAAAUCAUCAAGAAAACAAUACCAUUCUCUACCAGCAAGACAGUAUAAUAUCUGAUCUAUAAAAGGCAUUGAAAAAUGAUUCUUCUCAAUCCAUGAGUUCAACUUACUAUAGUCCAUGAAAACAUGCCAACCAGUGAUUGGCCGCAUAGGAAUAAGAUUAAUUUUCUCAUUUGGAACUAUAGUGAUUUUAUUAUUCUUCAACACACAUUAGAUCGGACUCACCCAUUUGCUAUCUGUAAUCGGAUAAACACAGCCAUGUCCAACCACUUGAUGAUUUAUUUCUUCACCACCUCUUGUAUAUAUAUAUAUAUAUAUAUAUAUAUAUAUAUCUAAUCUUCGUUGAUUCUCAAUAUUGGGGACACAAUUCAGCUCAAGUUAGAGAUUGUGCAUCCAAAUUUCAGGCAAUAUUCGAAUAAUAUCAACAAUGGACUAUCCAAUAACUCUCUUGAAUCUCUUCAAAAUAGACACAAAAGCCUCAACUUGCUAAUCUACUAUCAACUAAAAUAAUAACUCACAAAGUAUUUUUGUCUCCUAAAAUACAUUACAAAGAUGAGAUAGAAGAGUCUUAAGAUCUAAAACAAGAGGCUCCUUAAUAGAAGGCUUAGCUGGCGGAGUCACUCUAUUCUUUAAAUUGAGAUCUAAUUUUUUUAGUGCAUAACUGUAGGAACCCUUACCUUCAAGUGUGCUAACUAUCUUACCAUAACCCUCAAUACCAUCACUCUUAAAAUUCAUAAUUAUUACUGCAAGGGCCUCGACUCUGAGCCUCUCCUCAAUAGGAGUUAUCAAUUCAUCCUUGUUGACUAUAUAUAUCAUAGAUAUCAGCCACAUAUCUUUUUUUAUGCUUCAUUGAUUUGUAUAUAUUAAAGGUAACUUGUUCAUUAUUCAACCAAAACUUCACCUACCCAGUCUCCAUAUCAACCAAUGCAUACCCAGUCAUAAGCAAUGGUCUUCCUAAGAUAAUGGAAACCUCAAAGUUAACCUCACAAUCAAGGAUGACAAAAAUAGCUUGGAAUAUAAAGGAUGUGACCUUAUUAAAAUAUCACACAAGAUUUCUAUCGGCUUCUUCACAGUAUAGUCAGACAUAAAAACCUCAUCAAAGUCUAUUUAGGCAACCCCAACCCUAAUUUCAAAAAAGUGAUAGCGGCAUAAAAUUAAUGUUAGCACCCAAAUAUCGCAAAGCUUUUGCAAAGUUGAAAAAUCCAUAGUGCAUGGGAUCAUGAACACUCCAAGUUCUUUCUUUUUCUCAACAAAAUAUCUAGAGGCUAUUGCGCUAUAAUGGUUCACAUUGUCAACAGGCUCAAAAUUCACCAUCCUUUUCUCUAUCACUAAGACUUUCAUAAACUUCGUAUGACCUGGAAUUGAUUCUAGAGCCUCAAUUAGAUUGAUAUUCACUAACAACUUCUUUAGUAUAGAAAUAAACUUUUGGUACUUUUCCCCUUCAGUCUUUGUGAAAGAGGAUGAGAAAGUCGUGGAAUGGGAGUCAAUACUUUUUGGACCUCAUUUUCCUUUACUUUUCUUGCCUUUGACUUAUAGUCAUCAACUAGAUGUUUUUUAGGUGUGCUCUCAGCCAACACUAAGUUUUAGAUUUGACCACUUUCUCAUCAUCAAUGAUAAUAGGUUCUACCUUUUUCUUAAUAAUCAUGAGCAUACUUAGAUCAGUGCUUAUCUUAUUACUCUUAGUAAUAUUACCAAACAAUAACCAUUAUUUUUUAGAUUUUGGAUUGUGUUACUCAAGAGUGUGCAUUGUUUAAAUAGAAUUAACGCAAUGGACAUUUGUAUCAAAUUAUUGCUCAAGUUGUUUUAUGGCAUAGCAUGUGAUUCAAACAUCUGAUUUAUUUUUAAAAUAUCUGCUUUAAUCUCCUUAAGGUAGUCUCCAUUUUCUCUACCCCUUUCACAACCUUGAAAGCAUGUAUUCUAUCCUUGAAUUGCUUAAACUAGCAUCACGGUUCCCAUAUGGAACAAAAAGGCCACUCUUAUCCUUGUAGUUAUCCUUUCUCUUCCAAUCACCAUCUCGGUCCCUAUUCCUAUCUCUAUACCCAAACCUAAUAUGAUUGUUAUAUGUAUAGUAGUUCUAACCUUAAUUCUCUUGCCUAGAAUUCUAAUUAUAUUUAUUAGACUCUUGGCCCUUGGAUCAAAAACCCGCUACCUAUCUAUCAAAAUAUUUUACCUCCUCUUUAGAAUUUGAGUCUUCAUAUAUAGGUAACUUAGCUUAUGAACCAAAUGCAUUCACCUUUUCCAUUCCUAUUACAGUAAAUUACUGCAUAAGCAGCCUAAUUUCAAUCCUUAACUAUGUAGUUGUUGAUCCACCUACUCAUCUAAUGUUCUCUGCUCUGUGGAUGCUCUAAUUGUAUAAGUACCUGUGGGUCUAUAUGCAUCUCUAGUAUACCAACCUUGAUUUGUGUUUAUGAUCUAAUCUAGGAUUUGAGAAAUGUGAUCCCAAUGUAGACUCGUGAAUAUCCCAUUGCUGAGAGUAUCUACUGCAGCCAUGAUGUUAGAAUUCAAAGCUCUGUAGAAGAUCUCAAGAAAGUUUCUACUAGUCAUCCUGUGAUUAGUAGCAUUCUGCAGCUUCUUUUUGAACCUCAACCAAGUCUCAUAUAAUCAUCUAAAUACAACUGCCUGAAGUUGUAGAUCUCAUCUUUCAACUGCAAUAUUCUGAAAGAUGGAAAAAACUAUUUAAGAACCGAGUUUUUAACUUAUACAAAGUUGUAAUCUAUCUUUGUGGCAUCUCAACUAACCAUAAUGUAGCCUCUCCCUUCAGUGAAAAGGAAAGAAAUAUAGUCUAAUCACUUCUGGGCUCAAUGUAGUCAGAUUAUAUGAUGUGCAAAUCUUGAUAAAGUUCAUAACAUGCAUAUUCUUAUCAUUGGUAUGAAGGCCUGAGAACAUCAUUUUUAAGUUCAACAAGUGGAUGGUGGAACUAGUGAUGUCAACUUAGUCCCUGGAGGCAAUUCUAGUAGAAUAAUAUCACCUGUUUCCAUCAUCUCUAGGUAUUACAAAUCUUUUAUUGGAUCAUUAUAGUGGGGGAAAUACUGUUGUAGAGGCUAUUUCCACCAUACCUUCUAUUUCUUUCCCUUUCAUCAAGUGCAGCUAGAUGGUUUUUCUCACAUUGUGUGGCCCUUUUUUUCCUAGCUGCUCACCUGACAGCUUUUUCUAGCAUUCUCCUCAGUCAAUAAUUGAGCAUUAAUCUAUUCUAGAGUCUCUUUACCAAUAUGAUAAGUUAGUGAUUGAUUUUGUAAUAUAUCGGGUUUUGGACUCUAAAAUUUCUAGGUUUUUGCCAACACUGCUAUGACUAUGACUCAGGUGAUGAGUUUUUAUCACUCAUUAUGCAUCUACGAUGAGACUAAUGGUCUUACCAGUGAAUUAACCAGGAUUUGGUCCCUUGAUAAUGAUCUCAGGGUACAACUUGUUAUGAGAUGUAAUGAGUCAUAGGGUUGGACUUAUUUUCUAAAUAGUGAAGAUACCCAAGGUUUCUAUAAUCAUGACUCCUUACCACGAGUCAUUAGGUUAGGUAUGAGUCAUAAUGAGUGACUCAUGACCAUAAUAGUAAAGGUACAUGAUUUGAGCCCUCAGGUAAUGAGUCUAGUUAAUGACUCAUGGUCAGAUGUCACGAGUUGUUACCUGAGCCGUGGGAACUGGGAUUGGUUUUUUUGUCCUUUGUAAUUGAGGGAUUUUUUUUCUUUUUCUUCCUUUACUCUUUAUGAUUGUGUGCUUAGUUCACACAAUAUAUAUUUUAUUAGAAUGGUUGGAGCUUUGGUGGUUUUGGCCUUUCUCAAAUUUCCUCGAUUCAUAUGGCUACACGCACUGGGGCCCUUUCAGCAGGGCCCUUGCAGCAGGGGGAGCUAACCCAUAUAGCCCGUAGGUGCCCUUAAAAUAGACAGAGCUACACAAUCCAAGUUAAUAUUUUGAAAUCUCAUACUCAUGUCCCUUGCCCCUAUCUCGACAUCUUAUAUAUGUAUAUAUGGAUGUGUGCAUGUGGUUUGAUUGGUUUUGGAAAUGACAUUACUUUAUCACUUUUCCUGAGUUACAUGCUAGUGUUUAUCCCAUUGAUCAUCAUAGGAUUCUACAUUAUUUCAUGAUGAAAGGUCUGAAGAUAUUUUUGUUAACCCUCUAUAGACUUAGGUGGUACAGUUGUCGGUUCACUUAUUGUGAAGUGGCGAGCUUCUAUCUUUUAGAAAGCCUUGUCAUUUCAUUAGGUUCUUUUUUAUAUUUUGGAGAUUGUUAGAUUUCUUUGUCACAGAUGGAGGAUGUGUAAGACCAUGUAAACUUCCUAUUCUAAUUUAGUCCUAUAUAGCAUGAAAAGAGGUCACAGACUUAGAAAAUUUUAGCUAAGUAUUGACACUUAGUCUCAUUUUUUGCGUUGAUAUUUCAAUGACUUUAUUUUCGACCCUUACUACCUUAAAAUGUCAAUUUUUAAAUUAAUUCAUUAUCAGGGAAGUCAAUAGGUGUUCUUGGAUGAGUUUUAAAUUUUUUGGACAUCUUUAGAAGCCUAAUUGGAUGUCCAAUAUUGUAAUAUCCCAUAUUUUGGACUAGAAUGAAAGUCCAUCAUUCCUAUGUGUAGAUAUUUCAAAAGCCUCAAAUCCUAUGUAAAUUUAGUGUGUUAAUGAAUUAUGUAGUGUGGAAAUCUAUUUGAGCAUGAAUUUAGAUCAUAGACGUUCCCUAACUCAAGUACAAGUUGAAAGCUUUCUUAUCGUUUAAGUUUUAGUGAGCGUCAAAACUUAGGUCAACUUCAUUCGAUCAUAACUCCUUGUAUAUAUUGAAUUAGAGGGCCUAAUAUAUAUCAAAUGAAAUAUCUUUGAAUUAUAUUUCCAAUGGUAAAAAUUUCAUCCAAAUCUGACACCCGAGCAAGAAGUUAUGACUUUGCAAAGUGGAGUACGCCGCCUGACAUAAGGUGUGCCACACACAACCUAAGGUGUGCGAUAAGGUGUGCGGCACACACCCUAUUAUGUGCGAUAAGAUAUGAAACGCACACCCUAAGGUGUGAGAUAAAGUGUGCGCCGCACAUGUGGGUGUCCAGGUGACUUAAAUAGUCCAUUUUUGGGGUAAAAUGGUCCUUUUCCCACCCCUAUAUAAUGCCUAAACACUGAAUUAAGCCCUUAUUUCACCAAAACAUAUUCUUUCUCUCAAAAUCCUCUCAAGAGCACAAGAGAGGGUUUUCAUAGAAGAUUCAAGUUCAAGGAAAUUCAUCCAUCAAUCAUCAAGAAUCUUCCUUCUAAGGUAUGCGUAGUGUCCAUCCAUGAAUCCCUUUUAUCCGUAGAGCUCAAGAACCAUGUUUUAAAUAAUAAAUUAUGAUCUUUAUGUUGUUGUGUGAUUAUGUUCAUGUUGAUGGUUGUUAAUUGUGUUUCAAGAUGGUAUCUAAAUGUGUUUCCAAGAAGUGUAUGGGCAUGUUAGUUGGAAACCCAUGAAUUUGGGUGGUUCAAGAUUUCUAAAUUUGUUAAGUACACCUAUGCUCAAUAUUAUGCAUGUAAGGUGUUUGAUAAAAUACCUAGAAUGAUAAAAAUCAUGUAUUAUAACUUAGGGGUGAACUAUAUGAUAAAUUCAUGCUAGUCUAUUAUGUUCAAAGAGCUCACUUGCCAUUGUUGUGCAAUAUAUUUGUUAAUUGAAUGUACAUGAUGAUUGGCGAAUGGAUUUAUAGUGUGUCUCUAUGUCUUACAUGCUAUGAACAAGAUCAUGAUUUUGAAGCAUCCCAUGAGUUAUCCCCAAAUUAUUACAAUAUGAACUAAAUGUUACAUGUUUGUCAUUCCCUUAUGGUUAAAUAGUUUCCAUGCCAUUGUUAUGAAUAGUAUAUGUUGUCGGAAUGCUCAUGAUAUUAUAAUAUGAUAUUUAUGACUUGAUUAUAAGCAUUCAUAUUCAUGUUAGAUAUUAUGAUGACCAUUUACUUCAUGAAAUCCCUCACUCAUGUAUUAUGGAUUGUUAUUGAUGGUCAUGUACUCAAGAAAGUCAAGUUGUGUCAGUUUCCUUCCAUCGAGUCCUGAUGGUACUUGUACCCAAAAAAUGUAGUUGGGUGCCUAGAGCCAUGUCAUGUUAUCACGAUACUCUCAGUUAAGCCAUGCUCUAUAGAAUUCAGUUACUCAUGUGACUCAGAAAUCUCAGCAGUCUCAGUAGUUUAGUAAUCUCAGUUAUGCUCAGCUAAUCUCAGUAAUCUCAGUACCCAGUAACUUCAAUAAUCUCUAUAAGUCAGUACUCUCAAAAAUCUUCUGAACUCGGUAGUAUUCAAUCAGUCACGAAACUCACUAAGUUUAGUUAAUCAGUUUAGUUCAGUGUCUUUCAGAUGGGAGUAGGAUUCAGCACCGAGCGAGCCUAGGGAUGGGGACUCACCCGCUAGUAAGGAAUGAGAUCCUUAGAAGCAAUCCCUAAGUUCCAGAACUACAUAGUGUUACGUCCCAAAAAACGGGUCCCGAAGCGUCACACGAUUCUUGAGGCUACGAGUAGCCCCAAGCUAACCCUUUGAGCCAUUUUCAUUCAGUUCAAUACAAGUCAAUAGGGUUUCCAUAAAUAAUCCUCAAAUAUCAACAGAGUAAUCAUCAUCCAAGAAUAAAAGAAUUUUAGAAAGAUAACAAAAUACAACUUAUUAGUCAACUUACAACAUCUAUACUAGUCUGACUAACCUAUAAGAAAAUCAAUAAAACCAGCGAGCCAUUGAGACAUGUCCCAAUUGACUCAUACUCAGUUAUUAAAUGUAAACAAUUUUGUGAAACCAACAUCAGACAUCACGUCCUCGGAACAUGAGGACUCACCACAACAUAGGAUGUAGAACAGCGUGCCCGAAGAACCACUGUCGAACUUGAAACUGAGCACCUGAACCUACAUUCCGAGAAAAUACAGCCCACAUCCGAAGAUGUGGGGGGAAAAGACAGCCCACAUCCGAAUAUAUGGGUCAGUACCAUGGAAAGGAAUCGAGUAUAUGGAGGUGUAAGCAGUUGUAUAAACAUCAUCAUCAUAAAUAUUUAUAAGAAAUAUACAGGAUGUAUGAAAGACUCACAUAGCCCGAAGAAAAUCAUCAUAAUCAUGAGAUGAUGAAAUAAGUACAAUAACACAUGUGAGUCAUCAUAUAAUUUGUCAAUCACUUUAAUUUCAUCAAGAAUAUCAAUUCUCAUAGUGUAACUAUCAUUUAAAUCUUUCGAAAGAAUAACUUUCACAAUUCCACUUUCAAAUCACUUCACCAUUCACCAUAGACACAAGGAAACACACACACGCUGGGAGAUCCUAUAACCAACAUAAACCAUGUGAGCUACAUGGAGUCCAACGUACAACCCACGUUGGGGAGAGCCGUCCUAUCCUUGCCAUCNNNNNNNNNNNNNNNNNNNNNNNNNNNNNNNNNNNNNNNNNNNNNNNNNNNNNNNNNNNNNNNNNNNNNNNNNNNNNNNNNNNNNNNNNNNNNNNNNNNNNNNNNNNNNNNNNNNNNNNNNNNNNNNNNNNNNNNNNNNNNNNNNNNNNNNNNNNNNNNNNNNNNNNNNNNNNNNNNNNNNNNNNNNNNNNNNNNNNNNNNNNNNNNNNNNNNNNNNNNNNNNNNNNNNNNNNNNNNNNNNNNNNNNNNNNNNNNNNNNNNNNNNNNNNNNNNNNNNNNNNNNNNNNNNNNNNNNNNNNNNNNNNNNNNNNNNNNNNNNNNNNNNNNNNNNNNNNNNNNNNNNNNNNNNNNNNNNNNNNNNNNNNNNNNNNNNNNNNNNNNNNNNNNNNNNNNNNNNNNNNNNNNNNNNNNNNNNNNNNNNNNNNNNNNNNNNNNNNNNNNNNNNNNNNNNNNNNNNNNNNNNNNNNNNNNNNNNNNNNNNNNNNNNNNNNNNNNNNNNNNNNNNNNNNNNNNNNNNNNNNNNNNNNNNNNNNNNNNNNNNNNNNNNNNNNNNNNNNNNNNNNNNNNNNNNNNNNNNNNNNNNNNNNNNNNNNNNNNNNNNNNNNNNNNNNNNNNNNNNNNNNNNNNNNNNNNNNNNNNNNNNNNNNNNNNNNNNNNNNNNNNNNNNNNNNNNNNNNNNNNNNNNNNNNNNNNNNNNNNNNNNNNNNNNNNNNNNNNNNNNNNNNNNNNNNNNNNNNNNNNNNNNNNNNNNNNNNNNNNNNNNNNNNNNNNNNNNNNNNNNNNNNNNNNNNNNNNNNNNNNNNNNNNNNNNNNNNNNNNNNNNNNNNNNNNNNNNNNNNNNNNNNNNNNNNNNNNNNNNNNNNNNNNNNNNNNNNNNNNNNNNNNNNNNNNNNNNNNNNNNNNNNNNNNNNNNNNNNNNNNNNNNNNNNNNNNNNNNNNNNNNNNNNNNNNNNNNNNNNNNNNNNNNNNNNNNNNNNNNNNNNNNNNNNNNNNNNNNNNNNNNNNNNNNNNNNNNNNNNNNNNNNNNNNNNNNNNNNNNNNNNNNNNNNNNNNNNNNNNNNNNNNNNNNNNNNNNNNNNNNNNNNNNNNNNNNNNNNNNNNNNNNNNNNNNNNNNNNNNNNNNNNNNNNNNNNNNNNNNNNNNNNNNNNNNNNNNNNNNNNNNNNNNNNNNNNNNNNNNNNNNNNNNNNNNNNNNNNNNNNNNNNNNNNNNNNNNNNNNNNNNNNNNNNNNNNNNNNNNNNNNNNNNNNNNNNNNNNNNNNNNNNNNNNNNNNNNNNNNNNNNNNNNNNNNNNNNNNNNNNNNNNNNNNNNNNNNNNNNNNNNNNNNNNNNNNNNNNNNNNNNNNNNNNNNNNNNNNNNNNNNNNNNNNNNNNNNNNNNNNNNNNNNNNNNNNNNNNNNNNNNNNNNNNNNNNNNNNNNNNNNNNNNNNNNNNNNNNNNNNNNNNNNNNNNNNNNNNNNNNNNNNNNNNNNNNNNNNNNNNNNNNNNNNNNNNNNNNNNNNNNNNNNNNNNNNNNNNNNNNNNNNNNNNNNNNNNNNNNNNNNNNNNNNNNNNNNNNNNNNNNNNNNNNNNNNNNNNNNNNNNNNNNNNNNNNNNNNNNNNNNNNNNNNNNNNNNNNNNNNNNNNNNNNNNNNNNNNNNNNNNNNNNNNNNNNNNNNNNNNNNNNNNNNNNNNNNNNNNNNNNNNNNNNNNNNNNNNNNNNNNNNNNNNNNNNNNNNNNNNNNNNNNNNNNNNNNNNNNUCGACCUCAUAAGCUACCUUACCAACACGGCUAAGAAUUUUGUAAGGACCAACAUAACGAGGACUAAGCUUCCCUUUAUUUUCGAAUCUCUUCACCCUUCUCAUGGGUGAAAUUUUCAGAUACACUAGGUCACUAACUUCAAACUCAAGGUCUCUCCUUCUAAUAUCUGCAUAUGACUUCUGAUGACUCUACGUAGUUUUUAACCUUUCCCUAAUCAACUUAACUUUUUCCAUAGCCUCAAAUACCGAAUUAGGACCACUCACAGCCGCUUCACCUACCUCGAACCAACCUAUGGGUGAUCGACACUUCCUCCCAUAUAAGGCUUAAAAUUCGCCAUGCCAAUACUAGAGUGGAAACUAUUAUUGUAAGCAAACUCUAUCAACGGUAAGUGAUCAUCCCAAGUUCCCUUAAAGUCAAGUGCACAAGCUCUCAACAUAUCCUCUAAGGUCUGGAUGGUCUGCUCAGCCUGACCAUCGGUCCGCAGAUAAAAACCAGAACUCAAAAGCACUUGGGUACCAAGACCCUUCUGAAAAGCUUUCCAGAAUUACAAAGUGAAUUGAGUACCCCUAUCCGGAAUGCUAGACAAGGGAACUCCAUGCAGUCUGACUAGCUCUCGAAUAUACAAUCUAGUGUAAUCCUCAGCAGUGUAUGAAGUAUGAACAGGCAGGAAAUGAGCAGACUUAGUCAACCUAUCAACCAUAACCUAAAUGGAUUCAUGAUGGUGUCGGGAAGGAGGUAAACCAAUCACGAAGUCUAUAUUUAUCUCUUCCCACUUCCAGGUGGGAAUACUAAACUCUUGCAUCAUACCACCAGGUCUUUGGUGUUCAACCUUANNNNNNNNNNNNNNNNNNNNNNNNNNNNNNNNNNNNNNNNNNNNNNNNNNNNNNNNNNNNNNNNNNNNNNNNNNNNNNNNNNNNNNNNNNNNNNNNNNNNNNNNNNNNNNNNNNNNNNNNNNNNNNNNNNNNNNNNNNNNNNNNNNNNNNNNNNNNNNNNNNNNNNNNNNNNNNNNNNNNNNNNNNNNNNNNNNNNNNNNNNNNNNNNNNNNNNNNNNNNNNNNNNNNNNNNNNNNNNNNNNNNNNNNNNNNNNNNNNNNNNNNNNNNNNNNNNNNNNNNNNNNNNNNNNNNNNNNNNNNNNNNNNNNNNNNNNNNNNNNNNNNNNNNNNNNNNNNNNNNNNNNNNNNNNNNNNNNNNNNNNNNNNNNNNNNNNNNNNNNNNNNNNNNNNNNNNNNNNNNNNNNNNNNNNNNNNNNNNNNNNNNNNNNNNNNNNNNNNNNNNNNNNNNNNNNNNNNNNNNNNNNNNNNNNNNNNNNNNNNNNNNNNNNNNNNNNNNNNNNNNNNNNNNNNNNNNNNNNNNNNNNNNNNNNNNNNNNNNNNNNNNNNNNNNNNNNNNNNNNNNNNNNNNNNNNNNNNNNNNNNNNNNNNNNNNNNNNNNNNNNNNNNNNNNNNNNNNNNNNNNNNNNNNNNNNNNNNNNNNNNNNNNNNNNNNNNNNNNNNNNNNNNNNNNNNNNNNNNNNNNNNNNNNNNNNNNNNNNNNNNNNNNNNNNNNNNNNNNNNNNNNNNNNNNNNNNNNNNNNNNNNNNNNNNNNNNNNNNNNNNNNNNNNNNNNNNNNNNNNNNNNNNNNNNNNNNNNNNNNNNNNNNNNNNNNNNNNNNNNNNNNNNNNNNNNNNNNNNNNNNNNNNNNNNNNNNNNNNNNNNNNNNNNNNNNNNNNNNNNNNNNNNNNNNNNNNNNNNNNNNNNNNNNNNNNNNNNNNNNNNNNNNNNNNNNNNNNNNNNNNNNNNNNAUGGUACAACACACUCAUAUCAUAGUCCUUUAACAAUUCUAACCAUCUUCUCUGCCUAAGAUUCAAUUCUCUCUGGGUAAACACAUACUGUAGACUCUUAUGAUCAGUGAAAACAUCAACAUGGACACCAUACAAUUAGUGUCUCCAGAUUUUCAAAGGAAAUACAACAGUAGCCAACUCAAGGUCAUGGGUGGAGUAAUUUUUCUCGUGAGGUUUCAACUGUCUAGAAGCAUAAGCUAUCACCUUACCCUUCUGCAUCAAUACGCAACCCAACCUAACUCUCGAAGCAUCACAGUACACUACAAAACCAUCAACACCAUCCGGAAAAGUCAAAACAGGGGCUGAAGUGAGUCGAGUCUUCAACUCCUGAAAACUCUUCUCAUAAGAUUUGGACCACAGGAACUUCACUUUAUUUUGGGUCAACUGAGUCAUAGGAGACACUAUAGAGGAGAAACCCUAAAAAAAUGGUGGUAAUAGCCAUCUAAACCUAAGAAACUUCAGAUAUCAGUUGGAGAAAUAGGUCUAGACCAAUUUCUUACAACUUUGGUCUCUUGGGGAUCAACUCUAGUACCCUCAGAAGAAAUGAUAUGACCCAGAAAAGAAACUGACCUUAGCCAAAACUCACACUUACUGAACUUGGCAAACAACUUGUGAUCUUAAGGGUUUGCAAGACAGUUCGGAGAUGAUCAGAAUGUUCAUCCUCACUACGGGAGUACACCAGUAUAUCANNNNNNNNNNNNNNNNNNNNNNNNNNNNNGGGAUGUCACACUCCCUAACUUUGAGUUGAUGAUAGCCGGAAUGAAGGUCUAUCUUUGAGUAAUAACUUGCACCUUGCAAUUGGUCAAACAAAUCAUCUAUUCUCGAAAGGGGAUACUUAUUUUUUACGGUGACUUUAUUCAGUUGGCGGUAAUCAAUGCACAUACGCAAAGAGCCAUCUUUCUUUCUCACAAAUAACACAGGAGCACUCCAAGGAGAAACACUGGGCCUUAAGAAACCCUUAUCUAGUAGAUCUUUGAGUUGCUCUUUUAUCUCUUAAGUUCUACAGAGGCCAUAUGGUAAGGAGAAAUAAAAAUAUGAUGAAUAUCGAAAAGAAGAUCAAUCCCAAACUCUAUCUCUCUAUCAGGAGAUAUCCCUAGGAGAUCAUCCAGAAAGACAUCAGAAAACUCAUUGACAACGUUAACAGACUGGAGAGUUGGAGUCUCAGACUUAGUGUCUUUGACUCUAACCAAAUGGUAAAUACACCCCUUAGAAAUAAGCUUUCUAGCUUUGAGGUAAGAGAUAAAAUGACUCUUGGGUAACACAGAAUUCCCAGACCACUCAAAACACGGAUGCACCCAAAAACUAAAACUUGACCACUCGGAUCUGACAAUCAAUAGAGGCAUAAGAAGAAUACAGCCAGUCCAUACCUAGAAUCACAUCAAAAUCUACCAUGUCUAACUCAAUCAGAUCAGCCAACAAGACUCUAUGAAGAAUGGUAACAGGAUAAUUUUUAUAAACUUUCUGGGCAACAAUCGAAUUAUCCACUGGGGUAGAAACUAGGAUAUGCUCAGGAAUAAUCUCAGGACUCAUUUCAAAAUUCACAGCAAUCAAAGGUGUAACAUAUGAGAAACUGGAUCCAGGAUCCAACAAAGCAUACACAUCAAACUGAAAUAUAUGAAGUAUACCAGUAAUAACAUUGGGAGAGUCCUCCUGUUCCUGGCGGGACGGUAAAGUAUAGAAUAUAUUCUGGCGCUGCCCACCAGCAUUGCUAGAAGAGGUGCUCUGAGCUAGGGUUGGGCGAGUCACUGGAACUAGAGCACUAAUAAUCUGAGUCUGGGUCUGAGGGUGAUAGUCAAGACGCCCUUGUCCAUCCUGUGGACAAUAUCUAACUCUGUGACCCAUGUCACCAUACCAGAAACAACCCCUCUUUUCACCCCAAUACUCACCCGAAUGAGCCCUACCACACUUAGGACACAGGGGAUGAUUUGGCUUACUGCCAGCACUGUACUGGAACCUAGAUGCAUAUGACCGGCUACCUUGCUCCUACCUACCUAUAGGCACAGGAGCACUAGCAGAUGACGAUGCUGGCAUAGAUGAAUGAUCCUAAUACUACAGGCGACUCCCUCCCUACGAUCUAGUCUGACCCGAUCCGUGCUGCUCGGACCUAGCUCUCUUAUUCUCUCUCAUUCUAUCUCUCUCCUUAAUCUUGUCUGCCUCAAUCUGUUGGGCAUGAGUCAUCAGCCUAGAAAGAUUCAUCUUACUAUUCAGCAUAGCAGACCUACACUCCUUAACCAUAUAACUAGACACUCCAGUCAUAAACUUACUCAUACUAGCCUGAUUAUCAGCCACUAAGUCAGAAGCAUACUUGGACAACUGAUUGAACUUUAGACAGUACUUCCUAACAGUCAUAGAGCCCUGUCGCAGGUUCACAAACUCUUCCACCUUCUCCUCCCUUAUCUCUAAAAGAAAAAACUUAUCUAGGAAUGCUUUCUGGAACUCUUGCUAAGUUUAAGGGACAACUCCCUCACCUCUACCUUUCCUCCAAGAAAUAACCCAAUCAUAAGCAAGGUCUUUCAACCUAUACGUAGCCAACUCCACACUAUGUUCCUCAGAUACAUGCAUCACCUGAGUAAUCUUCCGCACCACCUCUAAAAAUAACCGUGGAUCCUCAUUAGACUUGGACCCAUAGAAUUCCAGUGGAUUCAUCCGCAUGAAGUCACGUAUCCUGGUAGUAGCUGAAUCACCUCCCUGCUGCUGUGGAGUUGGGGCCGGGUUGGCCUAAACAUUUGUAGUAAGAGCUUAGGCCUGCGCCUAAAAGGCUACUCGAAAUUAAGCAUGAGACACAUUUUCAUUCAAUGGGUCAGUGGGUUGAGGUUGCCGACCAUCAUUAUUUCUUCUCACUCGAUGUGGAGGUAUAUUUACGAAAGAGGAGAGCAUGAAUCAAUAGCAUAGAGAGACACUUUAAGCAUGAUAGACUUCUGAAAGAAAGAAUCACAGAAUCACACUUUUUCCUAAAAUCUCUUAUAGCCUCUUGCUCAUAGAUGUGGUGCGCUACACAUCGAUUAUCAAGACUCUACUUAACACGGCUUGUUAGACUCCCUAGUACACCUUAAAACCUUAGGAUCUGAUACCAAGUUUGUAAUGCCCUGGAAAACGGGUCCCGAAGUGUCACACAGUGGUUGAGGCUACGAGUAGCCUCAAGCUAACCCUUUGAGCCAUUUUCAUUCAGUUCAACAUAAAUCAACGGGGUUUCCAUAAAUAACCCUCAAAUAUCAACAGAGUAAGCAUCAUCUAAGAAUAAAAGAAUUUCAGAAAUAUAACAAAAUAUGACUUAUUAGUCAACUCCCAACAUCUAUACUAGUCUGACAAGCCUCUAAGAAAAUCAAUAAAACCAGCAAGCCAUUGAGAUAUGCCCCAACUCACUCAUACUUAGUUAUCAAAUGUAAAUAAUUCUGUGAAACCAACAUCAGACAUCACAUCCUUGGAACAUAAGGACUUACUACAAUAGAGAAUGUAGAACAGCAUGCUCGAAGAAUCACUGUCAAACCUGGAACUGAGCACCUGAACCUAUAUUUUGAAAAAAUGCAGCCCACAUCUGAAGAUGUGGGUCAGUACCAUGGAAAGGAACAGAGUAUAUAGGGGUGUAUGCAGUUGUAUAAACAUCAUUAUCAUAAAUAUUUAUAAGAAAUAUGCAGGAUGUAUGAAAGACUCACAUAGCCCGAAGAAAAUCAUCAUAAUCAUGACAGGAUGAAAUAACUAUAAUAACACAUGUGAGAAUCAUAUAAUUUGUCAACUCACUUUCAGUUCAUCAAGAAUAUCAAUUCUCAUAAUGUAAAUAUCAUUUAAAUUUUUUAAAAGAAUAACUUUCACAAUUCCACUUUCAAAUCACUUCACCAUUCACCAUAGACAUAAGGAAACACACACACACUGGGAGAUCCUAUAACCGACAUAAACCAUGUGAGCUACAUAGAGUCCAACGUACAACCCACGUUGGGGAGAGCCGUCCUAUCCUUGCCAUCAGAGUNNNNNNNNNNNNNNNNNNNNNNNNNNNNNNNNNNNNNNNNNNNNNNNNNNNNNNNNNNNNNNNNNNNNNNNNNNNNNNNNNNNNNNNNNNNNNNNNNNNNNNNNNNNNNNNNNNNNNNNNNNNNNNNNNNNNNNNNNNNNNNNNNNNNNNNNNNNNNNNNNNNNNNNNNNNNNNNNNNNNNNNNNNNNNNNNNNNNNNNNNNNNNNNNNNNNNNNNNNNNNNNNNNNNNNNNNNNNNNNNNNNNNNNNNNNNNNNNNNNNNNNNNNNNNNNNNNNNNNNNNNNNNNNNNNNNNNNNNNNNNNNNNNNNNNNNNNNNNNNNNNNNNNNNNNNNNNNNNNNNNNNNNNNNNNNNNNNNNNNNNNNNNNNNNNNNNNNNNNNNNNNNNNNNNNNNNNNNNNNNNNNNNNNNNNNNNNNNNNNNNNNNNNNNNNNNNNNNNNNNNNNNNNNNNNNNNNNNNNNNNNNNNNNNNNNNNNNNNNNNNNNNNNNNNNNNNNNNNNNNNNNNNNNNNNNNNNNNNNNNNNNNNNNNNNNNNNNNNNNNNNNNNNNNNNNNNNNNNNNNNNNNNNNNNNNNNNNNNNNNNNNNNNNNNNNNNNNNNNNNNNNNNNNNNNNNNNNNNNNNNNNNNNNNNNNNNNNNNNNNNNNNNNNNNNNNNNNNNNNNNNNNNNNNNNNNNNNNNNNNNNNNNNNNNNNNNNNNNNNNNNNNNNNNNNNNNNNNNNNNNNNNNNNNNNNNNNNNNNNNNNNNNNNNNNNNNNNNNNNNNNNNNNNNNNNNNNNNNNNNNNNNNNNNNNNNNNNNNNNNNNNNNNNNNNNNNNNNNNNNNNNNNNNNNNNNNNNNNNNNNNNNNNNNNNNNNNNNNNNNNNNNNNNNAUAAAUUUGCAGAAUUAAGGGUGAACUUUGGAGGUUCUUGAAGUUGGAUGUAGGAGCUUAGGGUUUUAUUUUUGAGGGAAUUUGAUGAAAUAUAACAUAUAGUGUUUCUAAUAGGCUUUAAUAUAGGGUUUGGAUGGAUUUUGGGUGAGGGGGAAUGACCCAAAUGCCCCUAAAAAUCAAAUAAUUCCUUAAUUUGUCCUUUGGUGGACUCUUUUGAUAGUUUAAAGUAGAUCAACCAUAACGUUUUACUCUGAUAUCCAAAUUGGAUGAAACCAAUUUCAUUAGCAAGAAGACUCUCAUAUCUUUCCAUUGAUAUAUAGUAUCUCACCCAGAUCAUUGUGUUCGAGGAGUUAUGAUCAUUUGAAGUUGACCCAAAAAUUUGCUUUUAAUAGGCUGAAGUAGAUCGACCAUAACUUUUUGAUCCAAUAGAUUAAUUGGAUGAAACUAAUUUCAUUGGAAAGAGGACUCGUAGAGCUUUCUGUUGAUAUAUAGUAGAUCACCCAGAUCAUUACGUACAAGGAGUUAUGAUCAUUUAAAGUUGGAGCAAAAAUACGCCAGGCCUCAGUACUUUUUCCUGCACGUUUUACUGUUCACUACUAUUCAUGGUUCGAUCGGAAUGUUCAUAACUCAUCGCUCGGGUGUCCAUUUUGGAUGAUCCACAUAUCAUUGGAAAUCUUAUGCGAUACUCUAUGCAAUGGUUUGUUAUAAUCUAAGACAUUCUACAUGGAAAAUUUAUAAUUCAUUCUAGAAGGUAGAACCCAACAUGUUUUCGGGGGUAUAACACAUAGCCAGUAUAUGUAUGAGAUGUCACCCAUUAGAUAGGACUAACAUACUCAGGGGUCACCCAUUAGCAUAUUUAUAUGUAUAGGACUGAUCCCAGGUGUUACCCACUAGAUUAGGACUGACUCCACAGCAGCUGUCUUUAUUGGUGGUGCGGUAUUGACACCCUUCCAAUCAGGGCAAAGAUUAGACCCCACCAGUUUAGUAUCGGGGCAUGUAGGUUAGGUAACUACCUCCCAUAGUUACAAUUUUAGUAUCAGUUUGUAGAGUAGAAAUCAGAAAUUAGGACUAUUAGAUACAGUCAUUAAUCUCAGUAAGGAACUCAGAUAGUUCUAUAGACUAAAGACCACCCAUCAUAUAGGCUUGGUAUCUUAUUAAGUUAUUCAAUAUUAGUAAUUCUAGAGAUAUCCCAUCAGAUAGGCUUGAUCUCAAUCUCAGAUUCAGUUGAGUAUUCUCACUAUUAGUUUCAUAGAUCACUCGUUAUUUAGGAUUGAUCUCAAGCUUAGUCACUCUCAAUCAUUAUUAGAAGAUUUAGACUAUUAGAUACAAUCACUCAGUAUCAAUUACAUUGGUUAGGCUGAUCAUCAUAGUUAUAUUAGUUAAAUCAGUUGUCAUAGCUUACGUUAUCAGUAUUCAGUUUCAGGACUAUUAGACAUGGUAAAUCAGACCAGUUCUUCAUAAUUCAAACUGUCAGAAAGAGUCAUUCAUCUAUUUAGUAUCUCAGUAUCGGUAAAGUCAUGAUGUAAGUUUUCAGACAUAGUAGUCAGUAUCUCCACGAGUUUAGUAGCAGUUACGUAUGUCUGUAUGUAUGUAUGUAUUCUCACAUUCAUAUUAGUUAGCAUGUUCAUGCAUAUAAACCCCAUGCAGUUAGCCUACCCCCACGUAUACUCAGUACUUUAGUUAUACUGAUGCAUUCAUACUAUGGUGCUUUAUUUUAUGUUACACCAUAGGUUCUGAGGAACAGAUUCCAAACCAGAAGUAGGAGUUCCGUUAGCAGUGAUUUCUCAUCUUUUGAGGACAUGAUCAUUACAUUUAUUAUUCCAGUAUUUCAAUUUAUUUUCAUUUUAAGGAGUUAGUUGGAGACAUGUUCCUUCAACUCCUUAUUCAGAUAGUUUAGAGGCUUUUAGACGAUUAUAGAGUUUUUAGAUUUAGACUUUAGUAUUUUCAGUUUUGUUUUGGUACUGUGAAACCACCUUAUUCAGAUAUUUUAUUGUUCAAGAUUGAACCUUGUGAUCUUUUAGUUCAUGUUUCCAUAUUUUUAUAUGUAUAUUAUGUAGUUACAGGUACAGAUAUCAGUCAUGGGUUAGCUUGUGGUCCUCCGGGGUCAUGAGCAUCGUUUAGCAUUCCGGUUAAGAAAAUCGAGGUGUUACAAACUUGGUAUCAGAGCCUAAGGUUCAAUAGAGUCCUAGGAAGUCUGAAAGCCGCAUCUAGUAGAGUCUUGUGCAUAGGUGUGUUACGCGCCACAUUUAUGUACAAGAGGCUAUAAGAUAUUUUAGGAAUAUUCUUCAUUCUUUCAGUAUUCAUGUCGUGCCAGUGAGAAAAAGCUGAAGUUGAACUCUCGGUCUAAUCCUUGUUCCUCUUCUAUUGCAGAACAUGCCUCCUAAGAAGAGAACAGGGAAUCAGUCAGCCUCUUAGCCCACAGAUCCUUUGAAUGAAAAUGUGUCACAUGCAGAAUUUUGGGCAGCUUUUCAAGAGCUAGCCCAAGAUGUGACCACUAGUGUUCAGGGCUACCAAUAGACUGCAGCCCCACCUCAGUAAGAUGGGGAUUUAUCCACAGCCAGAAUCAGAAAUUUUAUGAGAAUGAACCCUCCAAAAUUCUUUGGGUUAGUAGCAGGUGAGGACCCACAGUUGUAUCUAGAAGAGGUGAAUAAGAUCACCCAAAUCAUGCAUGUGUUAUAGUAGGAGAGUGUAGAAUUAGCAUCCUAUAGGCUUAAGGAUAUUGCUCAUGAUUAGGUAGUGUUGUGGAAGAAGAGUAGAGGGGAGGAUGCAACUCCUAUGACUUGGCAGAUAUUUCAGGAUGCCUUCUUAGAUAAGUUUUUCCCGUUAUAAAUGAGAGAAGCUAAGGUAGAAGAUUUUAUGAACCUGAGUCAAGGCUCUAUAACAGUGAAGGAGUAUUGUCUUAAGUUCAACCAGUUAGCUAAGUAUGCUCCUGACUUGAUAGUUGACCCCAGAGCAAGUAUGAGUAAGUUUGUGACUGGUGUAUCCGGGUUAGUAUUGAAAGAGUGUAGAACAGCUAUGCUUAAUAGAGACAUAGAUAUUGCUAGGUUAAUGAUGUAUGCCCAGCAAAUAGAGAUGGAUAAGUUUAAAGAGAGGGAGAGAUCUAAUAAGAGAUUCAGAACAGGUAGUUACAGCUUUUCCCCGGUAGGGUCACAGGGUGGUAAUCAUUCUCACUAUAGUUAAAAAAAUUUAGUCCCAGUCCCCUCCUUAGCUAGUUUUCCCGCACCAAAAUUUAGAGAUGUUAGUCAUGAUGGGGUACCAGACUCCAAAGCCCAGAGUAGUGUUAGAAGUGAGCGUACUUAUCCACUUUGUAGAGAGUGUGGCAAGAAUCAUCUAGGUGAAUGCAGAGCUAAUAGUCAGGUAUGUUUUGGAUGUGGUAAGCCAGGUCACAAAAUGCGGGAGUGUAGAGUGUUAUCUCAAAAAGGUAGAGAUUUGCAUCAGCAGACUGCCAAUCCCAGCACCAAUAGUGGUCAGCAUCAGAAUUGACUCUAUUCACUUCAGACUUGCCAUGAUCCAGAAAGUUUCCCUAAUAUAGAUUCGGGUACGUAUGAAUCUUUUAUCUUCAUGCAGCAUGCAUUAGUUUCAGACUCCCGAAGUUCAGUUAUAAUCUAGUUCAUAGAUUCCCUGUGCAUCACCCAGUAUCUCCAUAAGGUAAGCAUUCUUAGAGGGACAUAGCAUCCCAAGGUGGAGAUACCUUACUUUCUCUUAAUGCUCACAUGCCUUAGAUCCUUCAAUUUCUCUUUGUAUAGUGAAUUUAGUCAAGAAUAGAGGUUACUCAUAAGUUGACCUUCAAGUUAGACCUCAGCUGUAAGUCGUGUAUUCAGAGGUUCAGUUCAGUUUAUGAUGUUUAGUCUAUAUGUUACGUAGCAGAACAUGUUCUCAUGUUUCAGUUCAAUCUUAGUGCCUUUACCAUUGUAUGUUCAGUCGUAUAUUCAUGAGUCAGUUCAGUCAUGUAUUCAUGCAUCAGAUAUACGUGGUCAGCUUAUCAGUACUUUCAGUCAUGCAUUCACGUAUCAUGUCAGUCAUAUAAUCAUGCAUUAGAUAUGCAUAGAUUCAACUUAUUAGUUCAGCAUCAGAUAUGCAUUCUCAUUUUGAGAAACUCAGUUUAUCAGAACACUCAAUCCUACAUUCAUAAAUCAGCUACCCAUGCAUCAGAUAUGCACGUACAGUAUGAUAUGCUCAGUUUUCAGUCAUGUCAGCCAUGAAAUUAUGUUCAGUCAUUCAUGCUCAGUACUCACACUAGUUGUCUUUCUCCUCUACCAGUCAGUCUCAUUCGAGGAUGAAUGUUCCCAAGAGGGAGAUAUUGUAUUAUCCCAUAUUUUGGACUAGAAUGAAAGUCCGUUAUACCCAUACAUAGAUGUUUCAAAAGCCUUAAAUCCUAUGUAAAUUUAGUGUGUUAAUCAAUUAUGUAGUGUAUAAAUAUAUUUGAGCAUGAAUUUAGAUCAUAGACGUUCCCUAACUCAAGUACAAGUUGAAAGCUUUCCUAUCGUUCAAGUUUUAGUGAGCGUCAAAACUUGGGUCAACUUCAUUCGAUCAUAACUUCUUGUAUAUAUUGAAUUAUAGGGACUACUGUAUAUCAAAUGAAAUAUCUUUGAAUUAUCUUUCCAAUGAUACCAAUUUCUUCCGAAUUCGACACCCGAGCAAGAAGUUAUGACUUUGCAAAGUAGAGUACGUUGCCUGACAUAAGGUGUGCGAUGCACAACCUAAGGUGUGCGACGCACACCCUAAUAUGUGCGAUAAAAUGUGCAAUGCACACCCUAAGGUGUGCGAUAAAGUGUGUGCCGCACAUGUGGGUAUCCAAGUGACUUAAAUAGUCCAUUUUGGGGGUAAAAUAGUCCUUUUCCACCCCUAUAUAAUGCCUCAACACAAUAUUAAGCCCUUAUUUCACCAAAACAUUUUCUUUCUCUCAAAAUCCCUCAAGAACACAAGCUAGGGUUUUCAUAUAAGAUUCAAGUUCAAGGAAAUUCCUCCGUCAAUCAUCAAGAAUCUUCCUUCUAAGGUAUGUGUAGUAUUCAUCCACAGAUCCCUUUCAUCCGUGGAGCUCAAGAACCAUGUUUUAAAUAAUAAAUUAUGAUAUUUAUGUUGUUGUGUGAUUAUGUUCAUGUUAAUGGUUGUUAAUUGUGUUUCAAGAUGGUAUCUAAAUGUGUUUUCAAGAAGUGUAUGGGCAUGUUAGUUGGAAACCUAUGAAUUUGGGUGGUUCAAGAUUUCUAAAUUUGUUAAGUACACCUAUGCUCAAUAUUAUACAUGUAAGGUGUUUGAUAAAAUGACUAGAAUGAUAAAAAUCAUGUAUUAUAACUUAGGGGUGAACUAUAUGAUAAUUUCGUGCUAGUCUAUUAUGUUCAAAGAGCUCACUUGUCAUUGUUGUGCAAUAUAUGUGUUAAUAAAAUGUACAUGAUGAUUAGAGAAUGGAUUUAUAGUGUGUCUAUAUGUCUUCCAUGCUAUGAACAAGAUCAUGAUUUUGAAGUAUCACAGGAGUUAUCCCCAAAUUAUUACAAUAUGAACUAAAUGUUACAGGUUUGCCAUUCCCUUAUGGUUAAAUAUUUUUCAUGCCAUUGUUAUAAAUAGUAUAUGUUGUUAGAAUACCCAUGAUAUUAGAAUAUGAUAUUUAUGACUUGAUUAUAAGCAUUCCUAUUCAUGUUAGAUAUUAUGAUGACCAUUUAGUUCAUGAAAUCCCUCACCCAUGUAUUAUGGAUUGUUAUUGAUGGUCAUGUACUCAAGAAAGUUAAGUUGUGUCAGUUUCCUUCCAUCGAGUCCUGGGGUACUUGUACCCGAAAAAUGUAGCUGGGUACCUAGAGCCAUGUCAUGUUAUCACGAUACUCUCAGUUAAGAAAUUAUCUAUAGAAUUCAGUUACUCAUGUGACUCAGAAAUCUCAGCAGUCUCAGUAGUUCAAUAAUCUUAGUUAUGCUCAAUUAAUCUCAGUAAUCUUAGUACCCAGUAACUUAAUUAAUCUCUAUAAGUCAGCACUCUCAGAAAUCUCAUGAACUCAGUAGUAUUCAAUCAGUCACGGAACUCAGUAAGUUCAGUUGAUCAGUUCAGUUCAGUGUCUUUCAGAUGGGAGUAGGAUUCAGCACCGAGCGAGCCUAGGGAUGGGGACUCACCCGCUAGUGAGGACUGAGAUCCUUAGAAGCAAUCCCUAAGUUCCAGAACUACGUAGCCAGUGUAGGUACGAUAUGUCACCCGUUAGAUAGGACUGACAUACUCAGGGGUCACCCGUUAGCACAUUUAUAUGUAUAGGACUGAUCCCAGAGUCACCCACUAGAUUAGGACUGACUGUGGGCAGCUUUCUUUACCGGUGGCAUGGUAUUGACACCCUUCCAAUUAGGGAAAAUAUUGGACCCCACCAGUUCAUUAUCUGGGCAUGUCAGUUAGGUGACUACCUCCCACAAUUAUAGUUUCAGUAUUAGUCUUCAGAGUAGAAAUUAGAAAUUAGGAUUGUCAGAUACAGUCAUUAAUCUCAGUAAGGAACUCAGAUAGUUCCACAGACUUAAAGACCACCCGUCAUAUAGGCUUGGUCUCUUAUUAAGUUAUUCAGUAGCAGUACUUCUAGAGAUCUCUCAUCAGAUAGGCUUGAUCUCAAUCUCAGAUUCAGUUGAGUAUUCUCACUAUUAGUUCCAGAGAUCACCAAUUAUUUAGGCUUGAUCUCAAGCUUAGUCAUUCUUAAUCAUUAUUAGAACAUUUAGACUGUUAGAUACAGUUACUCAGUAUCAGUUACAUCGAUUAGGCCGAUCAUCACAAUUAUAGUAGUUAAAUCAGUUGUCAUAGCUUACAUUAUCAAUAUUCAGUUUCAAGAAUGUUAGACACGGUCAAUCAGACCAGUUCUUCAUAAUUUGAACUGUCAAAAACAGUCAUUUAUCUAUUCAGUAUGUCAACAUCAGUAAAGUCAUGAUGUCAGUUUUCAGACUUAGUAGUCAGUAUCUCCACGAGUUCAGUAGAAGUUACGUAUGUAUGUAUGUAUUCUCAUGUUCAUAUUAAUUAGUAUGUUCAUGCAUAUAAACCCUAUCCACUUAGCCUAUCCCCAUGUAUACUUAGUACUUUAGUUGUACUGAUGCAUUCGCACUAUGGUGCUUUAUUUUAUGUUACACCAUAGGUUUUGAGGUGUAGAUUCCAGACCAGUAGUAGCAGUUCCGUUAGCAGUAAGUCCUCAUCUUUAGAGGACAUGAUCAUUAUAUUUAUUAUUCUAGUAUUUCUGUUUAUUUUCAAUUUAAGGAGUUAGUUAUAGACAUUUUCCUUCAACUCCUUAGUCAGAUAGUUUAGAGGCUUUUAGAUGAUUACAGAGUUUUUAGAUUCAGACUUUAGUAUUUUUCGUUUUGUUUUGGUACUGUGAAACCACCUUAUUCUGAUGUUUUAUUGUUCAAGAUUGGACCAUAUGGCCUUUUAGUUCAUGUUUCCGCAUUUUUAUAUGUAUAUUAUGUAGUUACAGGUACAUAUAUCAGUCAUGGGUUAGCUUGUGAUCCUCUGAGGUCAUGAGCACCGUGUAGUAUUUCGGCUCAGAAAAUCAGAGCGUUAAAAAAAUAGUGAAUCGAUGUGAUCUCAAUGUGUCGCAUCGUCUAUAGCAUCGACAUUUUUAGUGAGUCAAUAUGAUCUCAACGCAUCAUGUUGGCCAUCACGUCAACCCUCUUAAUACAAUGUGUUGGUCUGCGGGUCGCUGGGCAUAUUUUCUAUAAUUAAAAUCCACAUCUAGAGGGGUAAUUAAGUCAAUUUCCUCACCUUUAUUCAAACCUAAAACACAAAAUUAUGCUAUCCUAAGGGCAAAAUAACUCAUUCUCUCUUAAUUUAUCUCAAUAAAAAAACCUUAGGUCAUUCAACUUCAAGUCCAAGCAUAAAAAACACACCAAUGAUUUUUAUGAAUUUAAUUACCAAGGUAUGUUAGGUGUUCAACCUUGGGUUUCCUUCCACCCUUGGAGUUCAAGAAGCCUUUUUAAACUACAAGUUUAUUGAUUUCAUGAUUUACAUGUUUGAGUUGGAUUAUGUUUAUGCGUGUAUUGUUAUGUGAUCUUCAAUCCAUGAUUUAUUUCAAAUUCAUGAAAUUAAGAUAGCAUAUGUGAUGAAUUAUGUGAUUCUCAUGAAUAAUCCUUGAAUUUACAAGUUGAAUGUUGUAGCCAUGAUAUUUAUAUAGGGUUCUUAUUAUGUGAAAUAAUCAUGCUCCCCAAGUGUUUGUUAGGAUGCCUAUGUAAAUUGAAUAGUGUAAUCAUGACAUGUUAGCAUGUGUUCCCAUUCAUGUACAAGUUCAUGCCUUUUAAGUGUUUGAAAAAAUGUCUCAAUAAAUAAAUCGUGACUAAGUGACUAGCUAGUAUACUUUCAAGGUUGUGCCAUGUUUUACUAUUGGUGCUAUCAAUUCCUGGGGGUAUUUAAUACCCAAAAAUCUAGCCAUUUACCUAAAAUUACAGUAGCUAUGGAAUAGUCUCAGUAAUGUCACGAAUAGUAGUAUUUAAUAAGUUACAGAACUCAGUGAACUCAGUCCAGUUCAGUCAGAUAACAUAAUCAGCAAUAGUUUAGUCAAGCCUAGUACAGUCUAGUAAUUAGUUCAGUAUCAAUUUAGUUGGGAGUAGGAUUCAGCAUCUUUCGAACCUAAGGAUGGUGGAUCACUUGCCAGUUGAGGGUGUAACCUUUAGUAGUAGUCCCUUAGUUCCAGAACUACGUAGCCAGCAUAGGUUGAAUAUAUCAACCUUCCAGUUGAGGGUUAAUAAAGUGUUCACCUACCAGUUAAGGGUAAUACAUAUCUCACUUUCCAGAUAAGGGUGAUGCUUUAGUAGAUCCACAUAGCCAUUGUUAUUACCCGUAGAGCGUUACUACCACCCUUCAAACUAGGGUCACAGGUUAUACCCCAACUUAGUUUAAAAUUGGGGUAUGUCAGUUAGAUGGACACUCUCAUAUUUACAGUUUUAGUUUCAGACACAAUGUAGAACUCAGUUCAGUUCUACAGAAUCAGGACUGUCAGAAAUAGUCACCCAGUUAUCAAUAAUACAGUUAUUUGUAAUCUCAUAUAUCAAUCUCUCAAUUAUUAGAACUUAGUAUUCUAUUUCAGUAUAAUCUUGACUAUAGUAUAUAUAUAUAUGUAUAUGCACAAUAUUGUAUAAUAAGUAUUUAAAUUAGUUUUACUUAUCCAUGUACUCACAUUUAGUUAUAUUCAUAUCAUUCAGUAAGUAAUUGUUCAUGCAUAUGAAACCCAUGUAUAUCAGCCUACCUCAUCUAGAAUACCAGUACAUUCUACGUACUACCUCAUACUCUUUCUUUGCACUAUAAUGUCUCAUAUCAUAGGUUCAUAUACACGAGCUUUUGACCAUACUUAGCAGCUCAGGUUAUAAAUAGUAGUUAUAGUUGUGAGUCCUUAUAUUUUGAGGACAAAGUUAUUGUUUUAGCAUUUUUAGUUAGUUCAGUAGUUGGAGUUAGUUGGGGACUUGUCCCAUCAACUCCAUAUUCAAACAGUUAGAGGCUUUCAAACUAGACUAAUUCAGAUAGAUGUUUAGUUUUUUAUUAUUACUAUCAGUAUUAAGUAUUUAUUCAAGUAUUUUGAGAACCUUGUGUCAAUUCAAUUAUAUUUUGGCAUAUGAUAUCAAUAUUAUUAUUCAGUGCUCAUAGCAAGUACCAGUCAUGGGUUAGCUUAUGGUCCUUUGGGACUGUAAGCACCAUGUGACGUCCAGGGUGCAGACUUGAGGUAUUACAAAUAUGGUAUCAGAGACUAAGUUUCAAUAUAGUCCUAGGGAGUCUAAAAGCCACAUCAAGUAGAGUCUUGUUCAUGGGAGUUUAGCACGCCACACUUAGGGACAAAAGUCUAUGAGAUAUUUUAAAGAAAAGUUUCCCUUCUUUUAGUACUCAUAUCAUAUGAGUGAGUAUGAGAUAAAGUUAAAAUCUCUGUCUAAUCUAUGUUUCCCUUCCAUUUAUAGAAUAUGCCUCCCAAAAAGACUAAUGAAAGAAGAACUGGAAACCAGCCAACACCUCCACCCAUUCAGGCAGAUCCCCUGGAUGAGCAUGUCUCUUAUGCAGAAUUUAGAGUAGCUUUCACCACUUUAUCCCAUUCUAUAGCAGCCCAAAAUAAAUACCCAACUUCUGUUUAGGUCAACCUAGUGGCUAAUACUAUUGUAGCUCAAAUUUGGGGCUUCACUCGAAUGAACACUCCUUUAUUUUUUAGGGUCUAAGUCCUAAGAAAACCCAUAGGAAUUCCUUGACAUGGUGCAGAAGGUCAUAAAUAUUAUGGGGGUAACUGCUAGUGAGAGUGCUGAUUAGCUGCAUAUCAGUUAUAGGAUAUGGCUCAUGCAUGAUUUAAGUAGUAAAAGGUAGAUAGGGCCGUAGAUGCAAGGCCUAUAGAGUGGGAAAAAUUUGUUAUUGCCUUUUUAGAUAGGUUCUUUCCAUUGGAGUUGAGGGAAGCUAAGGUAUUAGAAUUCAUUAACUUGAAGCAGGGAAGUAUGAUAGUGAAGGAGUAUUCUCUUACGUUUACUCAGUUAACCAGAUAUGUUCCUCAUAUAGUAGCUGAUAGCAGGUAUAAGAUGAGCAAGUUUAUAUUUGGGGUAUUUGAUAGUAUGGUCAAGGAGUGUAGGACCGCGAUGGUAAUUAAGGAGAUUGACUUGGCUAGGUUGAUGGUCCAUGCUUAGCAGAUAGAGGAGAAGAAGACUGAGGAGAAAAAGUGGGAGAACAAGAGGGCUAGAAUAUUCAACUUCACUCAGCCUAAGUCAUAGGGUGUGAAUCGUCCUUAAUUUAGCCUGAAAUCUUUAGUUCUAGCCCCACCUCAGCCAGUGCUCUAGUGCCUGAGUUCAGAAAUGGUAAUAAGGAUAGGGCACCAAGCUCUAAGUCUUAGGAUAGUGUUAGCAGGUCUCGAAAAAAUCUUUUUUGCCAGAAGUGUGGUAGAAACCAUCAGUGUGUCUACAAAGCUAGCAGCAAUGUGUGUUUUAGGUGCGGUAAUCUAGGUCAUAGAAUUAGAGAUUGUCCUCAGUUAGGUUCACAGGGUCAGUAUAAUCAUCCCUCAACUCAUCCGAUCACCUAAAUCAGCUGGGUUCCGCUUCCAAUACAACUAGUGGGCAAUGCCCAAAUAGGCUCUAUGUACUUCAUUCCUGACAAGAUUAGGAAAGUUCUCCUGAUGUGGUCACUGGUACAUUAAAAGUUUAUCAUUUACAUAUUUAUGAUUUGCUAGAUCCAGGAGCUGCUUUGUCCUUUGUAACUCUUUAUAUAGUUUUUGACUUUGGAGUCAGUCCCAAAAUCCUAGUAGAGUCAUUCUCAGUCUCUACCCCAAUGGUUAAGUCUAUUAAAGCCCGGCGGGUAUAUAAGAAUUAUCUGGUUUUGGUAUCUCAAAAAAUUACCUUAACAGAGUUAGUAGAGUUAGAGAUGAUAGAUUUUAACAUCAUUCUCUGCAUGGAUUGGCUUCAUUCAUGUUAUGCUUCAGUUAACUAUAGAACUAGAGUUGUCUAUUUUUAGUUCCCUAAUGAACCUAUCCUAGAAUGGAGGGGUAGUACUUCAACACUUAGGGGCCAUCUUGUUUACUACCUUAGAGCAAGAAAGAUGAUAUCUUAGAGGUGUGUCUAUCAUCUCAUUCGAGUUAAAGACUCUAAUUCUAAGACCCCUAACCUUGAGUCAGUUUUAGUAGCAUGUGAAUUUCCAGAUAUAUUUCCCAAAGAUCUUCCCAGGGUUCCUUCUUAGAGGGAAAUUAACUUUGGAAUAGACCUUAUUCUAGAUACUCAGCCUAUCUCUAUUCCUCCAUACAGAAUGGCUCCAGAAAAACUCAAAGAACUAAAAUAACAAUUGAAAGAUCUCAUGGAUAAGGGAUUCAUCAGACCUAGUGUCUCCCCAUGGGAUGCACCAUUUUUAUUCGUGCUUAAGAAAGAUGGUUCUCUUAGAAUGUGUAUUAAUUACCAUUAGAUGAACAAAGUCACAGUAAAGAACAAGUAUCCACUUCCUAGAAUCAAUGACUUAUUUGACCAACUUUAGGGUGCCAGUUACUUUCUAAGACAAACCUCUGAUCAGGCUAUCAUCAGCUCAGAUUCAAAGAAUGUGACAUUCUAAAAACAGCUUUCAUAACUCAGUAUGGUCACUUUGAAUUUUUAGUCAUGCUAGAAGCUUUCAUGGACUUGAUGAAUAGAGUGUUCAAGCAGUACCUGGACAUGUUCAUCAUAGUAUUCAUAGAUGACAUUCUUGUCUACUCCCGCAGCGAACAUGAUCAUGCAGACCAUCUCAGAACAAUAUUACAGACCCUCAGAGCUCAUCAGUUGUUCGCCAAAAUCAAUAAAUGAAAAUUUUUGAUAAGGUCAGUAGCUUUCCUUGGUCAUAUAGUUUCUGAUGAUGGUAUUAGAGUUGAUCCUCAAAAAAAUAAAGCAGUGAGAAACUGGCCUAGACCUAUCUCUUCAUCAAAUAUUAGGAGUUUCUUGGGUUUGGAUGGCUAUUACCGAUGGUUUGUUGAAGGAUUUUCAUCUAUUGCAUCCCCUAUGUCCAAAUUGACUAAGAAGAAAGUCAAGUUCCAGUGGUCAAAUUCUUAUAAGAAGAGUUUUCAGGAGUUGAAAACUCGACUCACUAUAGCCCCAGUUUUGAAUUUACCAGAUGGUUCAGACUGGUUUGUUGUGUAUUAUGAUGCUUCUAGAAUUGGUUUGGGGUGUGUUUUGAUGUAGAGAGGUAAGGUUGUAGCCUAUGCCUCUAGACAGCUUAAGCCCCAUGAAAAGAAUUACCUCGCCCAUGAUCUUGAGUUAGUAGUUGUAGUGUUUACCUUAAAUAUUUAGAGGCACUAUUUGUAUGGGGUGCAUGUUGAUGUGCUCAUGGACCAUAAAAGUUUGCAGUAUUUAUUCUCUCAGAAUGAAUUUAACUUGCAUCAGAGAAGGUGGUUAGAGUUGUUGAAAGACUAUGACAUCAGUGUCCUGUAUCAUCUGGGCAAGGACAAUGUAGUGGCUGAUGCUCUCAGUAGAUUGUUCAUGGGUAGUGUUACUCAUGUUGAGAAUGGUAUGAAAAAGUUAGUUUAGGAAGUUCAUCAGCUUUGCAGACUAGGUGUCUGGUUAGUUGGUUGAUUUAGCUGAGGGUAGUGUUUGGGCACAGAAUAGUUUAGAAUCUUCUUUGGUUUUUGAGGUGAAAGAAAAGUAGGACAAAGAUCCCAGUUUAGCUAAGCUAAAAAAUCUAGUCAAAGAUUAGAAGGUAUAGGGUGGAGAUAGUGUGUUGCAUUGCUAGGGUAGAUUAUGUGUGCCAUGUGUGGAUGGUGUGAGGCAGUGGAUUCUAGCAAAAGCACAUGGUGGGAGUUACCUGAUUCACCCAGGGGACACUAAGAUAUACCACAAUUUAUGGGAGAUCUAUUAGUGGAGUAGGAUGAAAAGAGACAUUAUAGAGUUGUAGCUAAGUGCUCUAUGUGUUAGCAGGUUAAGAUUGAGCAUCAGAAGCCUAGUGGGUCUAUGCAGGAUUUAGUAUUCCUACUUGGAAGUGGGAGAAAGUGAACAUGGAUUUUGUGAUGGGUUUGCCUCAUACUCGUCACCCCAUUUCUUGCCAGUUAAUAAUUUUUAUUCAGCUAAGGAUUAUGCCAAGCUCUAUAUUAGAUAGUUGGUCAGAUUUUACGGUGUCCCAUUGUCUAUCAUUUCAUAUAGAGGUAUGCAGUUCACCUCUUAUUUUUGAAAUCCUUCCAAAAGGGUCUUGGUACCCAAGUUCACCUCAGUACAGCCUUCCACCCUCAGAUAGAUAGUCAAGUAGAAAGGACCAUUCAGACUCUAGAAGAUAUGUUAAGAUCAUGUUUCAAUGACUUUAAGGGUAGUUGGGAUGACCACUUUUCUUUUUAUUGAGUUUGCAUAUAAUAACAGCUAUCAUUCUAGUAUUCAGAGUGCUCCAUUUAAGGUACUUUAUGGGAGGAGAUGUAGGUCUCCCAUUAGUUGGUUCUAAGUAGGUAAGGCCAUAUUAGUAGGGCCUAACUUGGUAUUUGAUGCAUUAAAAAAGGUUCAGUUGAUCAGGGAGAGGCUUAAUAAAACUUAGAGGUGACAGAAAUCAUAUUUAGUUGUAAGGAGAAAGAAUCUUGAUUUAAGAUUAUCAAUUUUAUGUAUUUGAAAAUAUCCCCCAUGAAGGGAGUAAAGAGAUUUUGAAAGAAGGGGAAAAUCAGUCCCCGAUAUGUCGGUCCUUACAGAAUUCUCAGUUAUUUCAAAAAGGUAGCUUACGAGCUUGAGUUUCCUUCAGACUUAGCUUCAUUACACCCAGUGUUUCACGUCUCCUUGCAAAAGAAGUGCAUAGGUGAACCAGUAUUUUAGUCCCUAUAGAGGACACCUGAAUAGCCUAAAUCUUGAAUUUUUGACAGACUCUUUCUCAGCUCAAAGGAAUAGGUUAAUUUUUCUAAUGUGUUCCUCUACUAAUGUUAAUGCAUAUCAUGCCUAAUUAAAGAUAUGUGAGGAUCUAGUUUUUGAUAAUGUUAUCUUCCCACUUCAGCAAAUAAAUAUCACUUGCACAUUUUAUCAAUCAUCAAAUCUUUAUCAUAACUUCAUGAUAUAUACUUUGAAUAUAGAUCCAUAGAUCAUUUCACUUCAAUAAAAACUAUUUCCACUUUGAAUUCAAAAUCAGAAGAAUUUAAUCUGGUCUAAUUUAUGAGUAAUUUUCAUCUAGCUCUAGAUCUAACCAGUCAAAUUAGUUGUUAUGAUGAAAAAAUUCAAACCCUAAAAUAAUUUAUAUGGAUAAGGAUACAGAUAUAGAGAUAAAGAAAGACAAAAAUCAAAAGAAAUUACCUUCACGGGUGAUGGUAAAAAUCUAACGGUUACUGAUGGAUUGAAAAUUGACUGAUUGCUUUUAGAUUUAGGCUUAACUAUUAUUAUAGUGAUCUGAUUUAGGCAUCAUUUUUGUAUUCUUUUGGAUAAAUCUUAGUGUACUUUUUAGGUGGGAGACAAUAGAGGGAAUUGGAGGAAAGACAAACGUAAAUAUAAAAAUACUUUAUACGGAACUUUGUUGAAUAGUUAUUGAAAAUAUAUAUAAAUUAGUGUCAAUUAAGUUGUUGUCACUAAAUAAUUACUGCUAAAUUCCUUUUGAGUUAUUGCAGUGAUAUAUAUUUCAUCAUAUAUUCAACUAUAGAUCUUUUGCUUCUUGAGUCCUUUUGUGUUAUUGCAAUGAAAUAGAUUUCAUCAUAUUUGAAACUAUGAAUCUUUUGCUUCUUGAUUUCAUUUAUCUCUUUUCAUAAUUCUCACAAAUGUAUUUCACCUUUGUCAAUGUAAAGAUAACUUGUGCAACUGUGAACUUGUCAUUCUCUUAUGUUUUAGCUUUUUUUCUUUCUUUCUCGUAAUUUCUUCAUCCCACAAGAUUCAUUAGAAAAUCAACAUGAAUAUGAUAUCAUUAUUCAUGUUAUAUUUUAAAGUAUUAUUUUAUUCAUAUGAAAUUACAUGAAUUAUUUCUAGCCAUCAAUAUGGAUUCUUGUUACGAUCUGAACCAGGGCCUAGUUGUGAUGAGUAUCUCAGGCUCGCCGUGGGUCAGAGACCAGCCUCUUAGCCUUACCUCAAGAGCACAUAAAUAUAAAUAGCGGAAGACAACCAACAAUAAUAAUACGAAGGAUAGAUAAACCAAAUGUAAGUUCUAAGAAUCCAAAACAAACAAACAACCCACACUUGUCCACGAAAAUCCUCUAAAAUUAGAAUACCACAUAAAGUUGGGACAUGCCCCCAACUAUAUACAAAGAAAUACAAAAUAAGACUAAAACAUAAUGAAAGAAAGACAAUGAAAUGAUCCGCCUUCUAUAGGACGGAGGCUCACCACUUCAAAGUUCAUCAACGAAUGAAUCAAUCCACCUAAUGCUACACAAGAGCAACAGAAAGUCCUUCAAAGACUACAUCGUGAAAUGAUUUACCAUCCAAGGAUGUUAAGUGGGAUAAGCACUGGUAUGUAACACGGGAAAUGGGAUAAAAUAAUGUCAUUAUCCAAAAUUCAGUAAUAAAUCAAUGCACAACAAUGAUACAUAUAUAUAAGAUGUUAGGAUAGGGACAAGGGCCAAUUUAAAUGGUAGUUUAAAAUAUUAACCUAAAAUGUCUAGCUUGCUCCAUCCUAAAGGCACUAAUGGAAUAUAUGGGUUUGGCUACUCCUGCCAAAAGGACCCCAGUGUGUGUAGCUGUAAAAAACAGAGGAAAUCUGAGGAAGGGAUAAAGACACCAAGGAAUUAAUCAUUUCAAAAUAUAUAUAAUGUGUGUACCAUGCACAUGGUCAUAUAGACACCCACAAUGGCAAACGUGCUUUCUAGUGUUGGUCCUUUCGGGACCUCCACCUUCACUGUGAGAUACACAAUUCUCUUUACGCCCAAAUUAAAAUAAUUUACACAUAAUCCAUCAAUUAAACCAAUGAGUCUUUAUUAAGGAAUUUACCAAUAUGGUAUCGUCAUACCAGUUAUGCUUCCAAGCUAAUCCCGUUAUACCACAAUAAAUCCAUUCAACCAAUAGACUCCCAAGUUCCAUUUUAAUUCAAGCUAUGGCCACCAAGGCCUUUCAAAAUAAUUUUUAUCCAUUUAAACUUUAAUGCAAGGAAAUAGUUUAAAAGGGCCAGUAAAAUCAUGCAAUUAUCCAUGUUCAAAAAUUAAUUACAAAGUGGAGUGAGAUUAAAUGCCAUUACCAAGCCAAAAUUCUAUCAAUUUGUGGGAACCCGUGUCCCCCUUUUCCAAACCAUACCAAAAUUCCCUAUCGAUCCUCACAAAAUUAAUUAAUUAAAGCAUGAAUAAUUCAUUUAAACCAUGGGAAAGCAAUUCAAGUAAUUACUAUCAAAAUUCUUCAAGUCAAUUUCAAAUCCAACAAAGAAUUCAUAUGGAUAUUAAAUUAAUUUAUACCAUGAUAAAAAAAAAAUACAAGUUAGGGAUGAGAGACAUUCCUGGAGUACCAAGGAAUUGAAAGGAAAUCCAGAGUUUGGAGCCUAGGUGUGGAAUUCCUUGUGAAACCCUAGUGUUCUUGCUCUGGGAGUUGAAAAAGAAAAAUAAUGUGUUUUGAUUUUUAUAAUUAAUAUUAAAGGGGUCAUUAAAGUGUUUUUAUGUCAUGGUAAAGUGUAAGGAAAGGAAAAUAUCAAAUUGGAUUCAAUUAAAAAGUGUAGGAAAACAUUGCGUCCCAUCAUCACGACUCAGGUAACGACUCGUGAUGACUGACCACGAGUCAUCACCUAGACUUAUUACCUAAGGACUAAAAAUCUAGUCCUUCACUGAUAUGAUCAUGAGUCUCUUGUAAUGACUCAUUACCUGACAUGACAAGUCAUCAUGAAGAGUCAUGAUCAGGGUAGACUCCUGGGCAACCUCACUGUUUUGACAAUGAGUCACUCCUAACGACUCGUUAUGCCUCGUGAUGAGUCGUACCUUGGACUCGUUGUCACAAGAUCAAACCUUGACAAAUUCACUGGUGAGAUAACAAAGCCUACCCUAUGACUCAUGAUGAGUGAUAAAGACUCAUCACCUAAGUUGUUGUCAGGGCAGUACUGACAAUACUUCUAAAAAUCUCAGUCUAGAACCCAGAGGUAUUACAAUUCUCUAGUCUCUGUGUUAAGCCACAUGAUUCCAUGUUGGAUAGAUAAAAUUGUUAGGUUUCCAAUCAAAGUAGAUAUGAAGAUAAAAUUAUUAGUUUUUCCAUCAAAGUGGAUAUGCACGCAUAAAGUCCCAGUUAAUUCGAAGACUUAAUCAGUGAAGGAAUAAAUAGCUCAUUUGAGCAUUUUGAAUUUGUUUAACUAUGCUCAACGUGAUGAACAUUGAGAAGUUCAUUUUACAUGCAAAUUCUUAAUAAUUAUUAUCAAUCAUAGCCAUAGGUAUUGUUGUGCUUAAUAGAUAAAUUCUCAAUAAAAGCAUCUAAUAUUAAGAUAUGGAUAUAGAUUUGAGUAUAUCUGAAUUGAACAAACAAGUAUAAGAAAUUAAGUGGGGAUGAUGAUUUAUGGCUAAAAGUAUGCUAAUUACCUUAAAUUUUAUCGUGUUAUCAUUGAAUAUGACAUUUACUAUGAUAUUUUAGGCUUAAUUGAAUGUCACUACCCAAAAGCUAAGGGUUAUGGUGGCACUUGUUGCGGCAAGCCUUGACAAGUAAGUCAAUCACCCAAAUUGAUAUAAAAUGAGAAAACAAUACCAAACCCCAAGGUGGGACUUCUAGAAUAAAGUCUAACCAUACAAAUAUGAUAAUAAUGGACAAGAACAUAUCAGUAAUACCAUAAAUACCCCAAAAUCUGAUGUCACAGUGUAAAAUAACUAAAUACAACUUGAGUGAAAAUAUACAUCUGAUUCCAAAAAAGAACAAAAUCUAUCUCUGAAUAUAAAAUAAGAUAUAGUCUAGAUAAGAAAGAUAAAAGGUCAACUUUGAAUACAUGGAUCGAACUCUACCUUGAAUAUAAGUCCAAGCAUCACUUAAAUCAUCUACCGAGCAACAUACUCAUACCUAGAUAUGCACUAAAAGGGCACAGUAGGGAUGAGUAUGGUCCACUUAUACUUAAUAUGUAUCAUAGACUGACUGAUCAAAGUAGAAAAUAAAGAAUAUAAACACAAACUAUGGGCAUGUCACCUGUAAUCAAAAAAUAUCCCAAACGGUAGCCCAUACCGUCUUCAUAAAAAGUUCUAAAAUAUACACAUAUACUGCACAAGUAUGGUAAAAAGCAUAAAUAUACAAUAUACCAAUACAAGUAUGAUAAAGGAGUACAAAUAGAUAGAUAUCACAUCAAGGACAAUAAUACAACACAAACAGAACACAAUAUAUGAAAUGGCGUGAAGAUGAUGAUGAUAAUGAAGUGAUGUGAUAUGAUGCAUGAGGUUGUCGCUCAACCUCUGUAUAUACUUAUCGAGUUAUGAUCCCGAGGUAGGACCCAUGGUGAUUCAUCAACCCAUAUACAAUCCAAUAUUCAAUACUAAUAUCCGUAACUCCUCUCUAGCACAUCCAUCGGUAGAGGGUUUUUAAAGAUGUUAUAUUUUUUGUUAGAAAUAGGCAGCAUUUCUACAAUGGUACCAAUAUUUCAUAAAUGUAUAUGAUAUGAGGAUGAUAAAAAAUUGGGAUGGUAGAAUGUCUCUCUCUCUCUCUUCCACUAACAUUUCUCUUUCUCUCUUUCACUAAUGCUCUAGUAACGCUCCUCUUCUUUGAAUGGUCGACCGGCGCCGGCGCCGGCAACAUGUAAGAGUACCCUUUUUUCCUCUCCCUCGAGCCCUCUCUCUCUCCCCAGCUCUUCUGAUAUACUUCUCUCUUUUUUUCCCUCUUUUCCUCUCCUUUUUUGCCAUCUAACCACUAUAAUUAUUGGCGGGAUGGGGGUUUACACCGGCUUGACUCCAGUGACGGCCACCAGAGCGUAUAUCUGGGAACGCACGGUAGAAGAUCCAAAAGAUCUAGCGACAAGUAUAGUGACAACCAGCGAUGCUCCGGCCGCCUUUCUUCAGUGAAGCUAUUUUUAGCAACCAACUCCAAAAGCAUAAUUGACGGUAAUAUCAGCAUGCAGCAAUACCCCAGUGACACCUAAAAUUUGAUAUUUAAAUACCGUUACCUAUAUUUAUACUUUAUUAGUUAUUAUCUCUACCAUUUUGCUUGUUUUGUCUUAUCUCUUAUGAGUAUAGUAUAACUAUAUGCUUUUGAUUAUUGGUGGAUAUUUGUUGUGUGGUUCCAGCUACUGAGUCGUCUAGGGUAUUUUGUACGCUCCUUUUGUUUCUCUAAUACUUUUCUAUUUUCCUACUUUCGUAUUGUUGCUUUGUUGGGUUGUCUAUUGGUUAGGGGGAUUUUUUUGGGCUUUAGUUUGGUUCUUAAGUUAUGUUUGUAGUGAUUGAUGGUGUAAUAGGGUCAUGUCUAAGGGGGUUGGGGUUGAGGGCAGUUUUAGGUGGGGGUGAAGAGGAGAGGGCAAGGGUGGGUGUGGGUGCUAGGCCGAGUGUUAGGGAUAGUGUGGUAAGGGGUGGUAAAGGUUGGUGCAAUGUGAGAGAAGAUAGGUUGAGGGUUGGGUAUUAAAAUAUAGGGACCCUUCAGGGUAAUUCCAUAGAGCUGGUGAAAAUUCUUAAGAGGAGAAAGAUUAACAUUGUGUGUGUUCAAGAGACUAAGUGGGUAGGGUCUAAGGCUAGGGAUGUGGAUGGGUAUAAGUUGUGGUACUCAGGGAGUGACAGGCAUCAAAAUAGAGUAGGGAUCUUAGUAGAUGAGGAGCUUAGAGAGCAGGUGGUAGAGGUUAAGAGGGUCAGUGAUAGGCUGAUGAUGAUUAAGUUGGUCUUUGGGGGGUUUACGUUGCAUGUAUGUAGUAUUUAUGCCCCGCAGGCGGGCUUGGAAGAGGAGGUAAAAGCGAGUUUUUGUGAGGCUUUGGAUGAGGUGAUGAGAAGCGUGACUAGUUCGAAGAAGAUUAUCAUAGCGGGGAAUUUCAAUGGGCAUAUUUGGAUUUUGCCGAGAGGGUAUGACGAUGUGUAUGGAGGUUUUGCUUUCAGUGAUAGAAAUGAUGAAGGAUCGGCUCUGUUGGACUUUACGAAGGCUUUUGGGAUGGUGGUGGUGAAUUUGACCUUUCUAAAAAAGGAGGAUCACCUGAUUACCUUCUGAAGCAUGAUAGCCAAGACUCAAAUUAACCUUUUGCUGCUUAGAAAGGGGGAUAGGGUUUUAUGUAAGGAUUGUAAAGUCAUCCUGAGUGAGUAUCUUUCGACUCAAUACAGCCUUCUAGUGAUGGACUUAAUUAUUACGAAGAGCAAAAAGAGAAAGGUUGGAAAGGGUCAGUCUAGAAUUAGGUGGGGUGGCUUGAUGCCAGUUAGUAGUCGGGAGUUAGAGGAGAAAGUGGUAGAAUUUGGUGUGCGGGAUUAUAGAGGGGACGUGGAUGCAAUGUGGGAUAAGGCUACCAGUUGCAUGACAAAGAUUGCUAGAGAAGUGUUGGCUGUUUUGAGGGGUCAGGUUGGUCAUCAUAAGGGGGACUGGUGGUGGAAUGAACAAGUUAAGAAGAGAGUGGAGAGUAAGAAAGGGGCGUAUAUUAAGUUGGUGGAAAGUAAAGAUGCAGAGGAGAAACAGGUGAAUAAGGAGGCCUACAAAGUAGCAAGAAAAGAGGCUAAGCUAGCAGUUACUGCUGCUAAGAAAGCAGCGUUUGAGAGCUUGUAUGUGAGUUUAGGGGAGAAAGGUGGGGAAAAGAGGCUGUUUAGGCUUGCUAAGGCUAGGGAGUAGAAGGGUUGGGACCUCGACCAAGUUAAGUGCAUUAAGGGAGAGGAUGGUAGAGUUUUGGUGGAGGAUGUCCAAAUUAAGAAGCGAUGGCAGGAGUAUUUGUAGAGGCUUUUGAACGAGGAGGGGGACACAGGCAUUAGUUAGGAGAGCUGGAGCUCUUAAAGAAUAGACAUGAUUUUAGUUAUUAUAGAUGUUUUAUGUUUGAAGAGGUGAGAGAAGUUAUUCGCAGAAUGCGGAGGGGAAGGGCGACUGGGCCUGAUGAGAUUCUGGUGGAUUUUUGGAAGUUUAUAGGUAGGGAAGGUUUAAGGUGCUUGAAUGAUUUGUUUAACAAUAUUUUAAAGACAGCGAGAAUGCCUGAGGCUUUGAGGUGGAGCAUGAAGAUUCCAUUGAAUAAAAACAAGGGCGACAUUUAGAGUUGAACCAACUAUAGGUGUAUCAAGAUAUUCAGCCAUACUAUGAAGAUUUGGGAGAGAGUGGUUGAUCGGAGAUUAAGAAAGCUUAUGUCUAUUUUGGAGAAUCAAUUUGGUUUUAUGCUUGGUCAUUCGACGACGGAGGCAAUCCACCUGGUAUGAAGAUUGGUGGAGCAGUACAGGGAAAGAAAGAGGAAUUUGCACAUGGUGUUCAUUGACUUGGAGAAGGCGUAUGAAAAACUCUCUAGGGAGAUUCUUUGGAGAUUCUUAGAGGCAAGAGGGGUCCUGGUGGUGUACAUUAGAGCUAUUAAGUACAUGUACGAUGGAGGAAAGACUCGGAUGUGAACGACGGAGGGGGACUCAGAGCAUUUUUCAAUUGAGACAGGGUUGCAACAGGGUUUGACUCUUAGUCAUUUUCUAUUUGCAUUGGUGUUGGACGUGUUGACGCGAAGUAUUCAAGGUGAGGUACCUUGGUGUAUGUUGUUUACGGACAAUAUAGUGUUGAUUGAUGAGACGCGAGGGGGAGUGAAUGAAAAAUUAGAGGUUUGGAGGCAAACCCUUGAAUCUAAGGGGUUCAGGUUGAGUAGGUCCAAGACGGAAUAUAUGGAAUGCAAGUUUAGUAACUUGACGCAGGAGGAAGAUGCGGUGGUGAGGUUGGAUUUCCAAGAUAUUUGUAAGAGGGAUAGUUUUAAGUUUCUUGGUUCUUUGAUUCAGGGGAAUGGUGAGUUAGAUGAGGAUGUCUCUCCUUGGGAGUGUUGUGUGGUAAGAAGGUCCCAUUUAAGAUUAAAGGAAAAUUAUACAGAGUGGCAUUCCAGCCAGCUAUGCUCUAUGGAGCAGAGUAUUGGUCUUCAAGAACUCCCUUUUUCAAAGAAUGAAGGUGGCAGAAAUAAGAAUGUUGCAUUGGAUAUGUGGACUUACUAGAAGGGAUAGAGUUAAGAAAGAGACAGUCUGAGAGAAGGUGGGAGUGGCUUCGGUAGAGAACAAGAUGCGGGAAGGAAGGCUGAGAUGGUUUGGGCAUGUGAUGAGGAGGGGACGGAUACCCUAGUUUAGAGGUGUAAGAGGCUGGCAUUGGAUGGCUUCAGAAGGAGGAGAGAUAGGCCUCAAAAGUAUUGGAGGGAAGUGAUUAGACAUGAUAUGGAGUAGCUUCAGCUUACUUAGGACACUACCCUAGAUAAAAAGGUGUGGAGGCCGCGGAUAAGGGUAGAAGGAUAGGUUGUGUGCGUGGGUUGUAGCUAGUAGUUAGAAGAUCCCUGGUUUAGCCAGGUUACUAAUUUUAGGACUGUGUACAUAGGUAAGAGCUCCUAGUCAUGAGGGUUUGGGUGUGGAGAGUGUCUCUAUCCUGUGAGUGUCUGUUACUACUAGGUGGGUGUCAUUUUUCGGAUGCCCUAUUUCUUAUCUCUUAUUGAACAUUGCACUUGGUUACCCCAUCUUAUACUGCUUUGAUUUAUAUUUAUGUCUUAAUCCUUUUUAAGUGAUGCCAUCCAUCUUUCUUCAUGUUUGAUUACUCUUUUGUUUAUUAUUCCUUAUCUUGAGUCGGGGGUCUAUCGGAAACAACCUCUCUACUUCUUUGGAGGUAGUGGUAUGGACUGCGUAUACUUUACCCUCCCCAAACCCUACUUUGUGGAAAUACAUUGGAUUUGUUGUUGUUGUAUACAAUAUAAGGAUGUAAUGCUCAUAACCAACUAGAAUGAGAAUUGCCAAUAUCCAACAAAUAUACCAACUAUGUGAGCCCAAAAUCACUAAAUAUACCAACCAUUCAUUAAUCCAAUUUAAUCUUUAUAACAAUAGAGUAAAAUACACAAAAAUAUGCCAUUGAUACCUCAUAAAUUCCUAUUUAGGCUUUUUCACCAGAAAAGAUACAACUGAAUAUACAUACACAAGGACAACAACAUCAUAUAAGAUCCCACACGAUCAUACAUAGCAAAUAAUGUCUCAAAACCACCAAAAAACAAUAACAUAGGCCCCUAUACAGGCACAACACAAUAAUAAAAACAUUUUCAUGAUUGUUUCCCUUGCCCAUGAAAUACUUUUAUACCAUUUUUAAUUACCCAACCCAGUCAAAAUAAAGUUAAGCCAUAACCUACCUCGAAUAUCAAAAACUGAUCCAAAAAGCUUUCAACUCGGAGUUUUCCCCUCAUGAAUGGACCCAUGAUAAAUUAAAACAUACAAAUAUCGAAUCUACGCAUCAAAAGAAAGCUAACAAUAACUGUAUUGCCCAAUUUUGAGUUGAGAUCAAAAUGGACCCUAGAAACAGGUUUUUGAAGAAAAGGUAACAUUGGAAUUUUUGCUCAAAAAUAUAUUUUUCAAUAUUAGAGAAACCCAUAGGAGAAAACCCAAGUGAAAACAGAUUGAAAUUAAGGUUUAAAUUGAAGAAUUACUAAUUUUUGGCCUUUUGGACCAAAAUCCCCAAAUUUUACUUUUGAAUUCAAGUUUUAGCAAGAUUUAAAUGACAAGAAUCGAAGAAAAAUAAUUGAAAUAGGGAUAUGGAACAUACCCAAAAUUUAAAAUGGGAGAAGUUGUCCAAAAGCUCGAAAACCUUAAGCUCCAAGUCUAAAAAAUAGUGAAAAUCAAGAAAAAAGGGUAUAUAUACCACCUGGGUGGUCGCUUAAGUGAAUAUCACUUAACUAACCAGAUGUCACUUUCCUGAUACCCAUAUGAUCAGCGAGUGUCACAUAAUCAACCAAUCUACAACUUAAGCGAGCCUAUCAUUGCUUAGGUGAUACUUUGGCUAUCAAUCCAGUCAUUUAAGAGACCAAAAUAUCAUUUAAGGGGUGCACCAGCUGGAGACUUCGAGAAUUUCAAGUAUCCGUGGACCCUUUGGGAUUCAUACAAAAUCAAAGAAUGCAAACAAACUAUGGUACUAGACUAAAUUUAAUUCUCCAGACUCAAUGGUGAUAUCAGAAUUUGGAAAAAAUGUUAUUUUCAUGACGUUGACCCUCGAAACCCAAUUUAACAACUUUCUGAAAUGAGGGUCGAAAUAAGAUAUAAAGGCCAUAAAACCACACCAAUCAUCUUACAAAUCUAAAACCGAUGUUCUAGAUCUGCUGGCAUAGUUUGUUUUGUCAUACAAUGCACAAAUUACUAAGUAUUGACUAAAGUCAACUAAUAAGUCUUUUUAACCUCCAAAAGUCAAAAACUCACACAAAUCACACCAAAAUGCAUUGGGAACCAUGCCAAUCAUCCCCAUACCCCAUAAAUAUCACAAAAAAACCAUGGGUAAGGGUAAAAUAAUCAAAUCAUACAGAAAUGAUGUAAUACCCCAUACUUUUUCCAAGUUAAUUGCAUCUCAAAAAUGUCUAGUAUUAGCUUAUAAAUUGAAUGAUGUUUAUUCAAUGAGGAAUUCUCAAGAUUUUCCCUUUUUUUCAUGUGGGAAAUUCAAUAAUCUUUCCAUCGAUAUAAGAUUUGGCCAAAUCGGAUAGCCAAGGCAGAAGUUACGACUAUUUUAAGUUCCCGUCAUAAAACAACGCUAUAUUAGUUAGUGGAGCACCGCUCCACAAGGGGAAAUGGCAUUUGGCAAAUUCCAGUAGGGGCCCGUAUUUAUGGCGCAUCUCACCAGGGCCCAAAUUCAAAAUUGUCCAUUUUCCAGUGUCUCAGUGUGAUUCCCCCGCGUCGCGCCAAAGUUCCAAGUCACAAAGGAAGAGGCAACGCGAUGGUCCCACAUUGCGCCAUCCCUCAAUUUUCCAAUUGUCAAAAUCCAGUGACACGGUGCGAUAGCACCGCAUCGCGCCAAGGGUCCAAUUCGGGAAAUUUUUACAAUUUUAAAUGACGCAUCCAGAGUUAAAAGGGUCAACUUCCCACCCCUAUUUAAGCCUUUUAACACAUGAUUCAACCACUUUUCACCCAAAAGAUGCUAGUUUCUCUCAAGUUUCUCUCAAGAACAAGAUAGGGUUUUUAUAUAAGAUCCAUUUCAAGAAAGUUUCACCGUCAAUCUUCACAAAAUCCCAAACUAAGGUAUGCAUAGUAUUUAUUCAUGGACUUCUUUCAUCCAUGAAGCCCAGGAAUCCCUUUUCUAAAUUCAAGUUUAUGGAUUUUCUUAUGAAUUACAUGAUUGGGCUGCUUUGUUCAUGUGGAUAGUGAGAAAUUUAAUUCUACUUCAUGUUGGGUGAUAAAUUCUAUGUAGGUUACAUUAUUAAAGAUAUAGAUUCAUGCAAACCUAUGAUUAAGAUUCAUGCAAACCUAUGAUUAAACCCUUGAAUGAUGAAAUUAGAAUUGAACCACGAUGUUUAAUUAUUGUACAAUAAUGUUUACAAGUACCAUGCCUAUAAUAUGUUUGAUUCAACACAUAGAUGAAGGAAAAGUGCCUAACUAGCAUGAUACCAUGAAAUCUCCAUGUAUGUACAAGUUAUGCCUAUCACAUGUUUUGAUGAAAUGCUUCUAUAAAUGUAUUAUGGAUUAUGAUUUUAGUUAUAUGUUCAAGUAAGUUAUGCUUGGUCAGUUUCCUUCCAUCAAUUCCUGGGGGUACUUGUACCCGAAACAUUAGUUGGGUGCCUAGAGUCAUGUCAUUUUUUCAUGAUACUCUCAGUCAAGCUAUGAUCCUUAGACUUCAGACAGUCUUAUGACUCAGGAAAUCUCCAUGAUCUCAUAAAAUCAGUUAGUUGUCAGAUAUCAAUAGUAUUCAGUUAAUCAACAGAAUUUAGUAACUCAGCUAUGUUCAGUUCAGUAAAUCAUGUUCAGAGUCUAUUCAGAUGGGAGUAGAAAUUAGCACCGAGUGAACCCAAGGAUAGGAACACACACUAUCAGAUAAGGGUUUGAUUCUUAGAAGUCAUCCUUGCAUUCCAGAACUAUGUAGCCAUCAUAGUUUAAUACAUCAACACUGUCCGAUGAGGGUUGAUGAGGGGGAUAAGCACUGUCAGAUAAGGCCCCACCAUUCUCGUAUAAGGGACACUAUCAAAUAAGGGUCACCCACAGCUUGUCCUUAAUGGUGGAAUGGUAUUAACACCCUUCUAAUUGGGGUUACAGAUUGGACCUCAACUCAGCCAUAAUGACGUAUCAGGGGUAUAUCGGUUGGAUAACAACUUCCCACAGUUUCAUGUUAUAGAAUAAGGACUUUCAGAUAUAGUCAAUCAGUUUCAGUAAUAGAACUCAGAUAGUUCUUCAUAUUUCAAGACUGUCAGAUAUAGUCAACUCAGAUAUAGUACGGAACUCAGAUAGUUUUAUCAGAUUCAGGACUAUCAGAUACAAUCACUCCUGUUAUCAGUUAUAUUCAGACUCAAUAAUCAUGUUAUCACAGUAUUAGUGUCAAUUGUUAUGUCUCAUGCAUGUAUUCUCAUGCUCAUGAUAGUUAGUCAGUUAUUAUUAUUGUUCAUGCAUAUGAACCCCAUGCAUUCAGCCUACCUUACAUGCAUACCAGUAUAUUCAAAGUACUGACGCAUUUGCGCUAUGGUGUCUUAUACCAUAGGUUUAGAGACAAGCUCCAGAGCAAUAGUAGAUUCUAGAUAUCCACAAACAGAGUUAGAAGUGAGUCCUUAUCUUUCAAGGGCAUGAUUAUUUCCCUAUUAUCUCAUUAAUCUAUUUAUUAGUUAGAGUUAGUUAGGGACAUGUCAUAUCAACUCCUUACUCAGAUAGUUCAGUCAGUUAGAGGCUUUCUAGACUAUCAUAUUUCUGACUUCAGUAUGUUUAAUUUUGUUUUGGGUACUCUAUUACCCCACACAGAUGUUAUAUCAUUUAGAUCAUGUUCAGUAUUGAACCUUUUGGCUAUUAAGUUCAUAUUUCCACAUUAUAAAGUAUUUUAUCCAGUAUACAGAUACAGAUAGUAGCCAUGGGUUGGGUUAUGGUCCUUUGGGGUCAUGAGCAUCGUAUAGCAUUUCGAGUACUAGAUUCGGGGCAUUAAAAACUUGGUAUCAGAGCCUAAGGUUUAAUAGAGUCCUAGGAAGUCUGAAAGCUCCAUCUAGUAGAGUCUUGUACAUGGGUGUGUUGUGCGCCAUAUUUAUGUGAAAGAGGCUAGAAGAUGUAUUAGGAACAGUUUCCCUUCUUUCGGUAUUCAUGUCAUGCCAAUGAGCAUAAUCUCAAGUCAAACUCUUAGUCUAAUCUAUUUCCCUAUUUCUUCUAUAGAACAUGCCUCCUAAAAGAAGAAAUAGAAAUCAGUUAGCCCCUCAGCCCGAAGAUCCUUUGGGCAAUCAUUUUCUUAUGUAGAGUUCAGGGCCGCAUUCACUACUCUUGCUUAGUCAUUUUCUGCUCAAAAUAAAUGGCCAGCAGUCAUUUUGGCUAACCUAGUGGCCAAAUCAGUUGUAGCUGGAUUCGGUACUUCACCUCCUCUAUCCUUUCUUAGGUUUAAGGUAGAUGAGGACCCUCAGGAAUUUAUUAAUCAGGUUCAGAAGGUGACAGACAUUAUUGGGGUGACUACUGUUGAGAAUGCUAAGCUAGUUGCAUAUCAGUUACAGGAUGUGGCUCAUACUUGGUUCAAAUAGUAGAAGUCAGAGAGGUCAAAUGAUGCAGGUCCUAUAGAGUAGGAGGAGUUUGUCACUGCAAUCUUAGACAGAUUCUUUCCCCAAGAGCUUAGAGAGGCUAAGGUGCUAGAAUUCAUCAACCUUAGAUACAGAAAUAUGAUGGUGAAAGAGUAUUUUCUUAAGUUUACUCAAUCAGACAGAUAUGCCCCUCAUGUGGUUGCAGACAGCAGAGCCAAGAUGAGUAAAUUCACUUCAGGGGUAAAUGAUAGUGUGGUAAAUGAGUGCAGAUCUGCCAUGCUGAACAGUGACAUGACUUUACCCAGGCUUAUGACUCAUGCUCAGCAGAUAGAAGAGUACAAGAUUAAGCAGAGGCAUAAGCAGAAUAAGAGAGUGAAGACAAGUAGUUUUAACUUUACUCAGCCUAAAUCAAAAGGAGGAAAUCAUUCCCUAUUUCAUCCUAAGUCAUCAGUUCUAGCCCGUUAUUUAGCCAGUGCUCCAGUUCCUAAGUUCAGGAAGGGUAACAGAGAUAGAGAGCCAGGAUCUAGGUCUUAAGAAAGUGUUAGCAAUGCCCAAACUAAUCCUCUUUGUCAGACUUGUCUUAAGAAUCACAAGGGUGCUUGCAGAGCUAGUAGCAAUGUCUGUUUCGGUUAUGGCAAGCCAGGCCAUAGAGUCAGAGACUGCCCUCAGUCAGGUUAUUAGAUCAUCUCUGCUCCUCAUCUCAUUUCGGUCGCCCGAAUCAGCAGGGUGCCACCACUAGUGCUACUAGUGGGCAAUACCCAAAUCGUCUCUAUGCUCUUUAGUCCUGAUAGGAUUAGGAAAAUUCUCCUAAUGUAGUUACUAGUAUGUUACAGAUCUUUUAUGUGCAUGUUUAUACUUUUCUAGAUCCAGGAGCUUUUUUGUCUUUUGGUACUCCCUAUAUAGUAGGCAAUUUUGAAAUCAGUCCCAAAAUCCUAGCAGAGCCCUUUUUAGUCUCUACCCCAGUGGGUAAAACCAUCAUAUCCCAAUGAGUAUACAGGAACUUCCCGGUUAUGAUAUUUCAGAAAGUCACUACAGUAGACUUAGUUGAAUUAGAGAUGACUAAUUUUGAUGUCAUUCUCGGCAUGGAUUGGCUUUAUUCCUGCUAUGCCAUAGUCGACUGCAGAAAUAGAAUAGUCCAUUUUUAGUUUCCAAAUAAACUUGUCCUUGAGUGGAAGGGUAGUACUUCAGCAUUUAGAGGUCAGCUUGUUUCCUACCUUCAAGCACGGAAAAUGAUAUCUAAAAGAUGUGUCUAUCAUCUUGUUCGAGUUAAGGAGACUAGCUCAGAAACUCCCAUCCUUGAGUCAGUUCUAGUUGUAGGUGAAUAUUCAGAUAUCUUUCUCAAAGAUCUUCCAAGCGGCAUUGAUCUUCUUCCAAAUACUCAGCAUAUAUCUAUUCCGCCAUACAGAAUGGCACUAGCAAAACUCAGAGAACUGAAAGAAUAAUUGAAAGAUCUCAUAGAUAAGGGAUUCAUCAGGCCGAGCAGUUCCCCAUGGGGUGAUCCAGUAUUAUUCAUGCACAAUAAAGAUGGUUCUCUUAGGAUCUGUGUAGAAUACCGUUAAUUCAAUAAGGUCAUGAUCAAGAACAAGUAUCCUCUUCCCAAAAUCGAUGACCUGUUUGACCAACUUCAGGGUGCCAGUCAUUUCUCUAAGAUAGACCUCAGAUUCGGCUAUCAUCAUCUCAGAGUCAGAGAAUGUGACCUUCCAAAAAUAGCUUUCCAUACUCGGUAUGGUUAAUUUGAAUUCCUAGUCAUGUCAUUUGGUCUUAACAAUACCCCAGCCGCUUUCAUGGAAUUGAUGAACCGUGUGUUUAAGUAGUACUUGGACAUGUUCAUUAUAGUCAUCAUAGAUGAUAUCCUGGUCUAUUCCCACAGUGAGUGCGAUCAUGCAGACCAUCUCAGAAUGGUACUUCAGAAUCUCAGAAAUCAUCAAUUGUUUGCCAAAUUUAGUAAGUGCAAAUUUUGGCUAAGGUCAGUGACAUUCCUUGGUCACAUCGUUUCGGGUGAUAGCAUUAGAGUAAAUCCUCAAAAGAACGAAUCAGUAAGAAACUAUCCUCGCCCUGUCUCUCCAUCAGAUAUUAGGAGAUUCUUGGGUUUGGCUGGCUAUUACAGAUGGUUUGUUGAGGGAUUUUCUUCUAUUGCAUCCCCUAUGUCUAGAUUGACUCAGAAGAAAGUUAAGUUUUAGUGGUCAGAUCCUUGCGAGAAGAGUUUUCAGGAGUUGAAGACUCGACUCACCUCAGCUCCAGUCUUAGCUCUCCAAGAUGGUUCAGAUGGGUUCGUAGUGUAUUGUGAUGCAUCUAGAGUGGGUCUAGGUUGUGUCCUCAUGCAGCAUGGUAAGGUCAUAGCCUACGCCUCCAGAUAGCUUAAACCCCAUGAGAGGAAUUAUCUUACUCAUGAUCUUGAGUUAGCAGUCGUAGUUUUUGCCGUAAAAAUUUGGAGGCAUUAUCUCUACGGAGUUCAUAUAGAUGUCUUCACAGAUCAUAAGAGUCUUCAGUAUGUCUUUUCUCAGAAAGAUCUCAAUCUUCGUCAGAGAAGGUGGUUAGAGCUCUUAAAAGAUUAUGACAUAAGUGUCCUUUAUCAUCCGGGCAAGGCCAACGUAGUGGCCGGCGCUCUCAGUAGACUAUCCAUGGGUAGUGUUUCUUAUGUUAAGGACAGUAAGAAGAAGUUAGCUCAGGAAGUCCAUCAGUUUGCCAGACUAGGCGUUCGCUUAGUCGAUAUAGAUGAGGGUAAUAUAUGGGUUCAGAUUUGUUCAGAAUCGUAUCUAGUUUUUGAGGUGAAAGAAAAUCAAAAUAGACAUCCCAUCCUUGUCAAGUUGAAAGAGUCAGUUCAGGAUCAGAAAAUAGAGGUUUUCUCCCAAGGGGGAGACAGUGUUCUUUCUUGUCAGGGUCGUCUUUAUGUUCCAGGUUUAGAUGACUUAAGGCAGUGAAUUCUUGUAGAAGCGCAUGGUGCACACUACUCUAUUUAUCCAGGGGCCACAAAGAUAUACCGCGACUUGUAGGAAAUUUAUUGGUGGAGUGGGAUGAACAGAGACAUUGCAGAGUUUGUGGCUAAGUGCUCUAUAUGUCAGUAGGUUAAGAUAGAGCAUCAGAAGCCUAGUGGAUCCAUGCAGGAGUUCAGUAUUCCUACUUAGAAGUGGGAUGUUGUGAACAUGGACUUCGUGAUGGGUUUUCCUUAAACUCUUCAUCAGCAUGAUUCAGUAUAGGUCUUUGUAGAUAGAAUGACCAAUUCUGCUCAUUUCCUUCCAAUCCAUACCUCUUAUUCAGCCGAGUGUUAUGCCAAACUCUACAUCAAGGAGUUGGUCAGAUUGCACGGUGUUCCGUUGUCCAUUAUCUUAGACAGAGGUACCCAGUUCAUCUCUUAUUUAUAGAAAACAUUCCAAAAGGGUCUUGGUACCCAAGUUCAUCUUAGUACAGGCUUUCAUCCUCAGACAGAUGGUCAAGCAGAAAGGACCAUUCAGACGUUAGAAGAUAUGUUAAAGGCAUGUGCAAUCGAUUUCAAGGAAAGUUGCGAUGACCAUUUACAUUUGUAUUCUCACGCUCAUGAUAGUUAGUCAGUUAUCAUUAUUGUUCAUGCAUAUGAACCCCAUGUAUUCAGUCUACCUCACAUGCAUACCAGUACAUUCAAAGUACUGAUGCAUUUGCGCUAUGGUUUCUUAUACCAUAGGUUCAGAGACAUGAGCUCCAGAGCAACAGUAGAUUCCAGAUAUCCGCAGACAGAGUUAGAAGUGAGUCCUCAUCUUUCGAGGACAUGAUUAUUUCCUUAUUAUCUCAUUAAUCAGUUUAUCAGUUGGAGUUAGUUGGGGAAAUGUCCCAUCAACUCCUUACUCAGACAAUUCAGUCAGUUAGAGGCUUGCUAUACUAUCAUGUUUCAGCCUUUAUUAUGUUCAGUUUUCUUUUGGGUAUUCUAUUACCCACACAAAUGUUAUAUCAUUCAGAUCAUGUUCGGUAUUGAACCUUAUGGCCUUUCAGUUCAUAUUUUCCCAUUAUAAAGUAUUUUAUCUAGUAUACAGUAUAGAUAUCAAUCAUGGGUUAGCUUAUGGUCCUUUGGGGUCAUGAGCACCGCGUAGCAUUUCGGGUAUCAGAUUCUGGGUGUUACAAAUGAAGAAUUUACAAAAAUACCAAAAAUCAAGUCAUUACAUCAUCCACCACUAAAUAUCAAGUUAGUCCUCAAACUAAAGGCAAAGGAAAUAUCUAAGUCCACGAAAAGCUGGGGAUAACUACUAUACAUAACAGACUCAAUACCGGUGUCUCUACUAGACAUUAACUACCAAAAUAUCUCUAGAAUUAAAUCAUCUAACAUCUAUGGAUGGAAUGGAGAUGGGCACCUUAAUAAAAGACAACCUCUCAUCUAAUUGAAUUGAAUCCGAACGAAGGACAUGAGACUCAUGCGGAACGUAAUGCUGAAGCAUGAAAACAUGAAAAACUCGAUGAAUAGUAGAUACAUAUAGGAACAAUGUCAACUCGUAAGCCACAACCCUAGUAGUCUGAAGAAUAAAAAAUAGUUCAAUAUAUCUGGGGCUAAGCUUACCCCUCUUCUUAAACCUCAUCACACCCUUCAUGGGUGACACACGAAGGAAGACACGAUCACCAACACCAAAUCCCAAGGCAUAAAGUCUACGAUCUGCAUAGCAAUUCUGUCUACUCUAAGUCGCUUGAACUCUAUCCUGAAUGACCUGAAUCCUAUCCGAAGACUCGCAAAGAAAGUCUCAACCUUGAGGUACAACAAAAAAAACCUCAAACUAACCAACUGGAGAGUGAUAAUAUUUGUCGUACAAAGCCUCAAAAGGAAACAUCUCAAUAUUGGAAUGGUAGCUAUUAUUAUACACAAGCUCCACCAAAGCUAAAUAUUUCUCCCACUAACUUCCAAAGUCUAUAACACAAACACAGAGCAUAUCCUUCAAAACCUGAAUAGUCUGCUCCGACUAACCAUCAGUCGGGGGUGAAAAGUUAUGCUAAGAUCAACUCGAGUACCUAACUCCUCCUAAAAGUCUUCCAAAAAUGAGAUGUGAACACUAAACCUCUGUCUGAUGGACACUAGUACACCAUAAAGAUGCAAUAUCUCAGGAAUAUAAAUACCAGCCAACCUCUCAACACUGAAAAUCUAAAGUGGAAUAAAAUAAGCUGAUUUGAUCAAUCAAUCCACGAUGACCAAAAUGCUAACAGAACCAUGAGAAGUAUAAGGCAACCCAAUCACGAAGUCCAUAGUGAUCUGUUCCCAUUUCCACUCAGGAAUGGGUAACCUCUAAAGUAAACCAUUAGUCCUCAAAUGCUCGGCCUUCACCUACCAAAAAUACAGGCAAUGAGGUACCGAACUCACUUCAUACUUCCUUAUACCACCCCGCUAACAGUGCUACCUUAUAUUACGAUAUAUCUUAGUCGCUCUUGAAAGGAUGGAAUACCUAGAAUAAUAACCCUUCUCUAAAAUCAAACUAAUCCAAUCACCCACUCUCGAUUCAUAAAUUUAGCCUACAAUCCUUACAACAUCAUAUGGAUCAAGUGAGACUUCCUUAGCCUCACCAUUCAACACAUUAUCUAGAAUCACUCUCAACCCAACAUCAUCAAAUUAAUGAUCCCAAAUCUUCUCCAUCAAAGAAGAUAUAGCCUCCAUUAAUACCAAAAUACACCCAUAUGGCAAAAUGUCAAUCCUAACUAUCUUGGUAGCCAAAGAUAGGAUGUCUAAGGCCAAAGGCCUCUCCUAGGUCAAAAGAUGUACCAAGAUAGACAUUCUUAAGGAAUCUGCAACUAUAUAAGCCUUGCGCAGCUAGACAUCUUGAGCUUUUGAAAUCUUGACUCACAAGCGUCAGACCACUGAAAGGAAAUCUUCUUCUGAGUCAACUUAGUCAUAUAGCUUCAAUAGAUAAUAAAACCUCAACAAAGCAUUGAUAGUAACGUACUAAACCAAUAAAACUCUAAAUUAUGGUAGGAGAAGUAGGCUUAUACCAAUCAUAGACCAUUGUAAUCUUAGAAGAAUCAACCAUAAUACGAACCUUUGUCACCACAUGACCCAAGAAAAAGACAGACUCCAACUAAAACUCACACUUAGGGAACUUAGUAUACAACUUCUCAUCCCUCGAUCUCUGGAGCAUAAUCUCUUAAUGAUAGCCCUUACACUUAGAAUAAAUCAAGAUAUUAUCUAUAAAUAUAAUAACAAAGGAGUCAAGAUACGAUUGAAAUACCCAGUUCAUUAACUCCAUGAAUGCGGCUGAUCCAUUGGUUAACUCGAUGGACAUGUCCAAGAACUCAUAAUGACCAUAUCGAGUUCAAAAAGUUUUCAAAAUAUUUGAAGCUCUAAUCCUCAAAUGGUGAUACCUAGACCUUAAAUCCCUCUUUGAAAACCCAAAGCACCUUGAAGUUAAUCGAAUAAAUCAUCAAUACGAGGGAAGGGAUACUUAUUCUUAAUUGGCACCUUAUUCAACUACUGAUAAUCAAUACACAUAUCCAUAGACCCAUUUGUUUUCCUCACAAAUAAGAUAGGCGCACCUCAAGGUGACAGACUACGUUGGAUAAAUCCCUUAUCUAAUAAUUCUUACAACUGAUCCUUCAAUUCCUUCAAUUCAAUAGAGGCCAUCCUAUAAGGAGUAAUAAAGAUAGUCUUGAUGCCCGACAUAACAUCAAUAGAGAAGUUAAUAUCAUGAUCCAGUAGCAGACUAGGCAAAUCUGUGGAAAAAUAUCCAUAAACUCACAGACAAUAUGAACAUAAUCCAAAGAAGGUGGGAAAGUAACAUUAGUAUCAUGAAUAUGAGAUAAAUAAGAAAAAUACCCUCUCUCUACCAAACAACAAGCCUAAAUAAAAGAUAUAACCCUCUUGGCACCCAAAUGACAACCAAUCUAUACCUAAGAUGACGUUGAAAUCUACAAUGUCUAGAAUAAGAAAAUCUACCCAAGUCCCUCGGCCUGCAAAAUUCACAACACAGGAUUAGUGCACCCAAUCCACUACUAAAAAGUCUUCUUCAGGGAUAGAAAUGGCAAGAAGAUCACUAGGAAAAUUAAAACAUAAAGAAAAAUAUCCAGACACAUAUGAAAAAGUCAACUAUAAAUCAAAUAACACAGAUGCAAAUUUGAAAUAAAUAAGAAAAAUACCUGUGAUAACAGUGUCAAAAGCCAUUGCCUCUGGUAUGGUAGGUAUAGCAUAGCACCGUCCAUGACAACCACAUAACUGAGUAGCCAUGUGACCACCACCAUAGGCACCACUACCUCUAUCUCGUGUGCCUCUAGUAAAAACUCUACCUCUCAUAACUAAUAUAGGAGUAGCUCUUAAAAUACAAUGGAGAUAGUUCUUGUCCAAAUGGCCAAUCUAAGCUAUAAUGACCACUCAAAGUUGUUGGGCCAAAAGAACAACUACCUGAACCCAAUAAGGCUAUCUAAUGGGUCUACUAUGAUACCCACAAAAAUCUUUAAAAUCUCUACCUCAAGGAGUGUGAACUAUGAACUCGCCCUGACGACGCACCCUCUUGGCCCUUUUUUUAGAUGCUUAAAGAAUAGACUCAUUUAUCUUAGCAUGAUCCACUAUACUCUGAAAUAAUGGCCCAAUAUAACCAUUUGAGUAGUAUCUAGUUGAAGUAAAAUAUCCAACCCCUUCAUAAAGUUUUGAAUCUUUUCAGUCUCAAUGACAAUGCUAGCAUAAGAAUAUCUAAACAAAGUAGGGAAAUAUUCCCUAUACUCUACAACAAUUGUGGAGCCCUACUCCAAGUGAUCAAAAUCAUCUCUUAUCUAAUCGCUCACACUGAAAGGCACCAACCUAUCUAAAAAAGUCAUAGAAAACUAAUCCCAAGUCAUCUCUGGCAAACCAAAAGGUCUGCAGCUAACAAUUAAUCUCCACUAAUCCCUGGUUGCAUCUCUUAAUUGGUAAGUAGUGUAAGCAAUCCCAUGUGACUCAAGUGAUCUAAGGUUAUGCAAUUUCUCAUGACAAUCAAUCAAGAACUCAUAGGCAUCUUUGCCCACAGCACCACUGAACCUAGGUAGACCCAAACAAAUAAAUCUUUCAAACCACUUCUGAUUCUAUACUCAUAAUAAUAAGAAACAUAAGGAAUCUAAUCGGCUGACAUCCUACCAAAGGAGAUAAUAUAUAUGAAGAUUGAACCUCUAAUCUCGAAAUAUCAUACUCAAAUAUUGAUAAUACAAAAGAAACAACACACAAAAUCUAUGGAGUACCACAAGAUGAUGUUGAUACUACUGGAGGAUCCACACACAAAACCAAAGGAACACCAUAGGUAGACUCUAAAACAGAAAGAGGUACAAUACUCGGAGCUGGAUGAGCAACAUAUGCACUCAAAAGAGCACCUCUAAUGCAUCAAUAAGUGAAUCAAUAACCCAUCCAAGAUCAGGAUAGAAGAACUCUGUGGGAUUAAAAUAAGAACCAUAUAUCCACCAUCCUCAACUCGAUUCUUAGGGGAGAGUUCCCCAAUGCUCCCUUUGGAUGGAUAGAUCUUUGUGCCUAUCCUUUAUUUUGGGCCCAUUGACGACCUGCAACUUGCUUUCUAAACAGGGCUAUUUCCUUGAAUGAUGGCUUCACAUAUCUUGACUCAUGAGUUAUAGUCCUCACUAUUUGCGCAGAUCAUGUGCUACAGAAAUGUAGAACUUUCAUUGCUUAAAAUUAAAAAAAUAGGAAAGUUUCUUAGGUUGUUUUAUUUGAUAUGAUGUGUUUUUGGUAUGUUUUCAGGAAAGUAGGUUUUUGAUGCUAAGUUUAAGAAAAAGAUUUAAAAUGGAGGUUUUGGUCACUUAAUCAUUUUUGGGUGUUUGUGACACUUUUUGAAUGUAUGUGAUCAAAGCAUAUAUUGAGACUUGAAGUUUGGAAGCUUGGUUACAAGAUUUGGAAGGUAUAGAACUUAUCUAUUUCAAUAUAUGGACCACAUAUAGAACAUGUGUUAUGUAUGUGACUAUGGUAAGUACCAUAAUUGAAGAUCCAGAAUAAAAGAGCUGAGAAAGAACUUUUAACACUUAUCUAUGUCAACAUAAGAACUGAAUGUAGUACAUAUGGAUCAUAUGUGGGUAAGGUAAGUGCCAAAAGUCCAAAUUCCAGAGACUAGAUAGUGUAGGAAAUUUUUUUAGAACUUACCCAUGUCUACAUAUGCCCAGAUUCAGGCCGCAUGUGGUACAUACGCCUAAGGCCAAGCCAUAUUUAGAUAUAGGUAAGUGGCCACCAGCCUUUUUUUGUCUUAUUUUUUUCGGGCUUUGAUUUUAGUUUUUUCUCAUGUACUAUAAAUACCCCUUAUGUGUUUUUUAGUACAGGUUGUGCACUUUUAUACUUAAAAACAUAUUUUGAUCCUAAGAUUCGAUUUUGGUCUUGGAAUUCUCUUGUAUUGAUUUUGGUUGAUUAAUGCAGUUAAAGGUUUGGGUUUUCAGUUUUGAUAAUUUUGAUUACAUCUUAUGCUUUCAAUUAUGAAUGUUGUUGCGCUAAAAACCCUUAGCUAGGGUUGUGGAAACCCUAGCAGAUUGACAAAGUAGGGAAAGUGCUAUGUUGUUCAGAACCAAUACCCAUGGAUGUAUUGUAUUAUAUUCACUUUAAUAGCUAUUUAGCAGUUGCAAAUGUUAGGAUACUACCAAUAUUAUUUCUACUUACUUCAAAAGAGGAGUAGUGACUAGGAAAAGAAAAUUACAAUAGUAAUUUGAAGUUUAACCAUUGAUCCAUGCUACUGUGUAUUAUUUAAGUAAGAUGGUUAGUUGUCAGUUAAUAACUAGAGACUCAAAAAUUAAUAGUUAACUAGGAUCUAGGAUAAUGGUUAGUAAGGCAACGUCAUGAGACUCAAAAGGUAAAGGGUAAAAUCUGUCAGCUUGUCCAAAAUAUAAUUGAUAGUACAUAACUUAUCAGAUUCUGCUUGCAAGGUAUCGGGUUUGUUCAAUGAAUUAUAAUAAGUCUAUGGGGUUGAAAAGCCAGGGGGAACACAGUCCUAGUGUUCACUGAUGGUUGAUUAUAACUAAAGUUAAUAUUAGCUACUUGUUCGAUAUUAGCACAACAAUCCCCCAUUCACUUUUCCAGUGUUGCCUAUUGAUUACAGUAGUUGAAAGCCACAAUUCCAAUAUUCCCUUAGGAUUUGACCCCAACCUUUGGUGGGUUACUAUAUUUGACAGUAUCCUCAUGAUAUUUAGAUUGAAGGUGUAGCUUGGGUGUUAUCAAAAUUUGGCACCAUUGCCGAGGAAUAUAGUAUUGAGUUGUGAAUCGAGUUGGUUGUAGUUUUUUGGUAUUUUUGGUUUUGAACUUAGUUAGGUAUAUACUGGUGUAUGCCUAGCACAUGAAGGUAUAAUCUAGUGUAUGCCUAGCACAUUAUUGACCUACAUACUAGGGUACUGUUAGCACAAGCUGCUAAUUAGAGAAUGGAAUAAAAAGCACAAUAAAUAGCUCAAGAGGUAGAGUUAGCUAUGCAGAGGCAAGAAAUACACUAUUGAGCAGCACUCAGUGGAAAUCAAAAUAGAGCUAGAGGUGGUCGUACUCAAGUUAUCCCAUCAUACCAAUAUUUGCAACCAUAUAAGGAUGAUGAAGAGGAUCUGGGUUACAUUGAUCCAACUGAGGCUCGAGCUAUUAUUUCUUCUAUUUUACCUCCAACAUUAAGUUUAACAUAACGAGCGUAAUAAUUCAGCCCUUAAAUCUGAAGGGUGUAUUUGUGGGUUUGCUUACAGAUAAUGAAAAAAUGAACCUUGCAUAUUUCCAUAGGAUCUACAGUCCACACUCAAAUCCAGGGGUAAAUUAGAAAGCACUCAGGUUGAGGUUGUUCCUCUUCUCACUUACAGGAGAAGCAUCUUUAUGGUUAGGGCAACUGCCAAGAGGAUCUAUCACUAUAUGAAAUGAGUUAUACAGGCAAUUCUUGAAUCAAUUCUUUCCUCCAUCCAGGAUGUUGAAGCUUAAUAACGAGAUUGAUAAUUUUAGGCAGCUACAGUUUGAGUUUAUGUACGAGGCUUAGUUUAGGUUCAAGAAAAAAUCGAGUAUGGUGCCUAACCAUUAGAUUUUAGGGACGAUCUUAUUAAAGAUAUUCUACAGAACCCUGAUCAUCAGUUUUAGAUCCAUGGAAGACACCAUCUCUGGAGGUGCCUUUAUGAGACUACACUGGGAGGUAGCUUCAGAUAUUCUAGAUUAGAUCUUGCUCACUAACCGGGAGUGGCAAACUUGAGAGGUUGAGAGGGGAUCUGGUAUGUAUGCUAUUGGUGCCUCAUGUGACCAAAAGUAUUUGAUGAUUCAGUGGCACAAGAAAUUAUGCUACUGAGAACUGAUCUUGGGUUACUAGCAAAGAAGUUUACAGCAGCAUAUUCUGAGAAAGUGAACGCAGUAGGAGGAUAGAGUUCAACUUAUAAAGCUUAUGAGUCAGAAUCAGAGGAGGAAGCAAACUAUCUAGAUCAUCAAUUAGUGGGUUUCGAGCCCAAAGGCAAGAAAACUAAGGUUGAAACUAUUUGACAGAUACAGAGACCGUAGUAGGAGUGAGAUGGUGACUGGAGAAAAAAUAAUAACUAUAGAGAAAAGGACAUAGGUACAUUCCUCCCCAAAGAUGAGAUGCAAAAUUAAGAAUGGAAGAGAUGCUGACUAAGCUGGUAAAGGGCCAAGAAAAUCAGGAGAACAAUCUUAAGGAGAUUAAGGCUAAAAUUUUAAGGUUGACCUAGAAGGUUGAAUCUUAUGCCACUACUAUCAAACAGUUGGAACAACAAUUCAGGUAGAUGUCAGCAACACAAAAAUAGAGGCAGCCAGGUACCCUAAUGAGAAACACUGUGCAAAAUUUAAAAAAUGACGGUCAGGUUCUUGCCAUCACCACAAGGAGUGGUAUGACUACUAUGGAUCCCUCAUUACCUGCUGCGGGAGUGCCAAGGAAUCAAGUUGAUUAUAUACUUGAGAUACCUAUUGCGGAGCUAGAAAAAACAACAGGCGAUAGUAAUAAAGUUGAUAAGGAUAAAGGUAAGGGUCCGACCAUUGAUUAGGAAAUAAGACAAAUUUCUAAACUACCCCAACCUAUUUCUUAGAGAUUGAAGCUUAAAAGAGAGGAAGGUGAGUUCAAGCGAUUCAUUGAGAUGUUAAAACAGUUGAGCCUGAAUGUAACACCCUAUAUUUUCCUAGCAUAAUCUAAGUCCCAAUACAUGAGUAUUCGUAUAUGAAGUUUUUGAAAAACUCAUUAUUUUUUAGUUUAGAUCCUUCCAUUUCAUAGGAAAUUUAAUUAUCUUUCCAACGAUAUAAAAUUUGCCCAAAUAUGAUAACCGGUAAGAAGUUAUAGCAAUUUUAAGUUUCAGUCGCAAAACCCUGACAUUUUAACCCUUAGAGCAUCACGGAGCUAGCAUAAAUGACGAUAGUCAAUUUCCAGUGAAGUUUUGCAAAAUCACCAAGUCGCACCAUCAUCUAAAAUACCAAUUGUUUUUUUCUAGUGUCCUGUCAUGAUAAUGGCGCAUCGUGCCAAGGGUGAAUUUCAAAAUCAAAAGGGGCCUGCGAUUCCUCCGCAUUGGCCACGGACCAUUUUCCCAGUUACCUAAUUCCUGUGGCUUGGCGCGAUAGUAGCACAUCGUGCCAAGGAUAAAAAUUGGGAUCUUCAGUUUUUAGCUUCCAUUUUUAAAUUUGUUUAGUGGUAUUUGGGUUUUUUUCCAUGGCCCUAAUUAACUUAAAACACAAAAUUUAACCCCUAAAUACCCUCAGUAGUCAUCAUUAUUUCAAUUCCUCUCACAAUCAAAAUCCCCUCUUUAAAGAACAAGAAACCCUAGCUCUCAAUAAUCAAGGUCAAAUCUCAAGAACUCUCCAUUAAUCCUUCCAAAUUCACCAUCCCAGGUAUGUUAGAUAUUCAUUUAUGGAUCCUUUUCAUCCAUGGAGUCCACGUAACCAUUUUAAAUUAUAAAAAUUGUGAUUUUUCAAGUUAUUGUAUUUUAAAUUGAGAUUUCACCCAUGAAUCUCCAUGAACUAUGACAUGUUACCAUGAAAUUAUUGUUAUUAUUCAAUCCUUCAUGUUUUAAUAUAAUUAUUUAUUGAAUUAAACCAUGAUUUAAUGCUAUUAUGAUGAAUUCAUGCUAAUUCUACAAGUUUCAUGGCAUUCCUAUGAUUGUUUUAAAACCAUGAAAUAUAAGUGUUUGAUAAAAUACCUACAAGAGUGAUUUAUUUAAUAAGAGCCUUCAUAUUUUGGCCUUCAAGCUUUAGUGGCUUUUCAGUAUUGUUGUUUUGAGUCUUGGGGGUAUUGAAUACCCAAAAACCAUAGUUGUUUAUUUAGUCUAGCCUCAGUACAUUAUAGAAUAGUCUUCAGAUUAUAUUAUGAGCAUUAUCAGAAUAGUCAGAUAUUAGUUAUUCAAUUCAGAAUUGUCUAGUAUCUUAGUGUCUUUCAGUUGGGAGUAAGAUUUAGCACCGAGUAAGUGUAGGGAUGGCAGCUUUCCCAUAGAUAGGUAGAGUCGUUAGUAAUAGUUCCUAUACUUCAGAACUAUAUAGCCAGCGUAGGAUAUAAGUAUUCACCCAUCAAAAUAGGCUUGACUAUCUCGCAGGGGUCACCCAUCAGUUCAGGCUUUACACCCUUAGUCCUUUGGAUAUUAUAUUAGUUUAGUAGAUCCACACAGCCAUCGUUAGUACUCGUGGAAUGGUAUUAAUACCCUUCCAACUGGGUUACAGGUUGGACCCCGAUUAGCUCAAAUUGGGGAAUGUUAGUUAGAUGAUACCUCCCACAGUCUCAGAUAUAGUCUCAGUUACAGUCCCAGCUCAGUUAUCCAGUCUUAGUGUUGUUUGACCAAAGCAUACAGAUUUCAAUUAUCUCAAUAUAUCAGUUUAUAGAUUUUACUCAGUUUAUGUUGUGUGCUUGGUCAUGCAUCCAUAGUAUUUAUAGUUUUUUAUGCAUUAUUAGUAUCUACAGAUUUUAUAUUUUCUAUUCAGUACUCUAUGCUUUACAUAUAUGUCCAAUUAAUUCUUAUCAUUCCUAUUCAUGAGACCAUGCAUAUCAUCUUACCUUAUUUAGCAUACCAGUACAUUCAAAGUACUAAUCGUAUACCUUUUCUUUUGCAUUAUGAUGUCUCAUAUCAUAGGUGCUGAUGCUCAAUUCCCCAAUUGCACCUAUAUUCUUAGAUUAUCAGUAGUACAUUAGCAGUAGUGAGUCCUCAUCAUUUGAGGAAAGAUUAUAUUACAUCAUUUCUUUAGCUCAGUAGUUAGUAGAGUUAGUUGGGUCCUGUCCCACCAACUCGCAGUAUCUAUUUUAGAGGCUUUUCAGAUAUUACAGUUAGUUAUUCAGACUAUUUAGAUUUUAGUAUUUUUAUUAGAUUCAUUAUUUAGUAGUUAUUUCAUUAUUAAAACCUUAUGGCAUUUCAGUUAUUCUUCCACAUUCAUAAUUAUAUUAUUCAGUGCUCAUAGUAGGUACCAGCUCAUGGUUUAGCUUAUGGUAUCUCAGGACUGAAAGCACCAUGUAACGACUAAGAGGUAGUCUCGGUUCAUUACAAACUUGGUAUCAAAGCCUAAGGUUUUAAAGUAUCCUAGGAAGUCUAAAAGUCGCGUUGAGUAGAGUCUUGUGUAUGGGUGUGUAACGUGCCACACUUAAGGAUGAGAGGCUACAAGGUAUUUAGAAAAAGUUUCCCUUCUUUCAAGUAUUCAUAUCAUACGAGUGACCAUGAGCUCAAGUUAAACUCUCAGUCUAAUCUAUUUGUUCCUUUCGUUUAUAGAACAUGCCUCCUAAGAAGAACAAAAGAAGAACAAAAACUCAGCCAGCCCCAUAGCCCGUCCAGGCAAAUCCUCUGGAUGAGUAUGUCUCUCAAGCAGAAUUCAGUACUGCAUUCACUACUCUAGCAAACUCUAUAGUAGCACAGAAUAAAUAGCCAGCUAUUGUUUCAGCCAACCCAUUUGUUAAUACUGCUACAAUAGAAUUUGGGAUUUUACCUGGAUGAAUCCUCCUUUCACGGGAUCUAAGUCUGAAGAGGAUCCAUAGGAAUUCUAGAUAUGGUUCAGAAGGUAACAGAUGCUAUGGGGUUGACUUCUAGUAAGAGUGCUGAGUUGGCUGCAUAUCAAUUACAGGUUGUAGCCCAUACUUGGUUUAAGUAGUUAAAAGUUGUUAGAGGUGUUUAUGUAGGGCCUAUAGAAUGGGAAGAGUUUGUCAUGGCUUUCUUGGACAGAUUCUUUCCAUUAGAGUUGAGGUAGGCCAAAGUGUUAUAAUUUAUUAAUUGGAGUCAAGGCAUCAUGAGUGUGAGGGAGUAUUCGAGUUCACUUAAUUAGCUAGAUAUGCUCCUCAUGUGGUAGCUGGUAGUAGGUCUAAUAUGAGUAAGUUUAUGUCUAUGUCUCUGAUAGUAUGGUAAAAGAGUGUAGGACUAUAAUGCUGAUUAGUAAGAUGGAUUUGUCUAGGCUGAUGAUCUAUGCUCAAUAGAUAGAGGAACAAAAGAUUAAAGAGAGGGAGGGAGAAAACAAGAGAGCUAGGAUGGGUAGUUUUAAUUUUAAUCAGCCAAAGUCAAAAGGUAGUAACCAUCCUUAGUUUUAUCAGAGGUCUUCAACCCCAGAACCUUCUUCAGCCAGUGCCCUAGUACCCAAAUUCAAAAAUAACAAUAGGGAUAGGGCACCAGGCUCUAAGUUCUAGGUCAGUGUUAGCAGUGUUCGUACUAAUCUUUUAUGUUAGAAAUAUGGCAGACACCAUCAGGAUGAGUGUAGGGUGGGUAGUGAUGUGUGCUUUGCGUAUGACAAGACAGGCCAUAGGAUUCGGGAGUGUCGGGUAAUUGCUUAGAAAGGUAAGGAUGUGCGCUAACAGGGUCAGCCCCAUCAGUCGUCAGUUCCAUUUGGUCACCUGACUCAGUAGGGUGUCGCUUCCAAUGCUACCAGUGGUCAGCGUCCAAAUAGAUUAUAUGCUCUUCAGUCCCACCAAGAUCAGAAAAAUUCUCCUGACAUAGUUACUGGUACAAUGCAGGUCUUUUACUUAUAUGUUUAUGCUUUACUAGACCCUGGAGGUUCUCUUUCUUUUGUAACUCCAUAUAUAGCUAUCAAUUUUGGAGUUAGUCCUGAAACUCUAGUAAAGCCCUUUUUAGUGUCUACCCUAGUAGGCAUUUCCAUUAUAGCCAGACAGGAUACAGAAACUUUUUGGUCAUAAUAUCUUAAAUAGUUACCUCAGUUAAUCUCGUGGAGUUAGAGAUGAUGAAUUUUGACGUCAUUCUUGGCAUAGAUUGGCUCCACUCAUGUUAUGCCUCAGUUGGUUGUAGAAACAGAAUAGUUUAUUUUCAGUUCCCAAAUGAACCAGUCCUUGAAUGGAGGGGUAGUACUACAACUCUUAGGGGUCAGUUGAUUUCAUACCUAAGACCCAGAAAGAUGAUAUCACAGGGGUGUAUUUACCAUCUUGUGUGAGUUAAAGACUCUAACUCAAAAACUCCAACUCUAGAGUUAGUUCUAGUAGUAAAUGAAUUCUCAGAUGUAUUUCCUAAAGAUCUUCCUGGGGUUCCUCCCAAAAAGGAAAUUGACUUCGGAAUAGACUUUCUCCCAGAUACUCAGCCUAUAUCUAUUCUGCCAUACAAAAUGGCUCCAUCUGAACUCAAAGAACUGGAAGAAUAGUUAAAGUAUCUCUUAGAUAAAGGAUUCAUCAGACCCAAUAUCUUCCCGUGGAGUGAACCUGCUCUAUUCAUGUAUAAGAAAGAUGGUUCUCUCAGAAUGUGUAUAGACUACCAUCAGUUGAACAAGUUCAUAGUCAAUAAUAAAUAUACACUUCCUAGAAUCGAUGAUUUGUUCAACCAACUUUAGGGUACUAGUUACUUUUCCAAGAUAGACCUCAGAUCAGGCUAUUAUCAGCUUAGAGUCAGAAAAUGUGAUAUUCUGAAAACAGCUUUCCAAACUCGGUAUGAUCACUUUAAAUUUUUAAUCAUGUCCUUUGGUCUUACAAAUUCCCCAGCAGCCUUCAUGGACUGGAUGAAUAGAGUGUUUAAGCAGUACUUGGACAUAUUCGUUAUAGUAUUCAUUGAUGACAUUCUUGUUUACUCCUAUAGCAAAAAUGAUUAUACAGACCAUCUCAAAAUAGUGUUACCAAUUCUUAGAGCCCAUCAGUUGUUCGCUAAAUUCAGUAAGUGUGAGUUCUAGCUAAGAUCAGUAGCUUUCCUUGGCCAUAUAUGAUUUUCUGUGAUGGCAUUAGAGCUGAUCCUCAAAAGAUUGAAGCGGUGAGAAACUAGCCUAAACCCAUCUCUCCAUUAGAUAUCAGGAGUUUCUUGGGUUUAGCUGGCUAUUACUGUUGGUUAUUUGAAGGUUUCUCUUCUAUUGCAUCCCCAUAUCCAGAUUAACUAAGAAGAAAGUUAAGUUUACGUGGUUAGAUUCAUAUGAGAAGAGUUUUCAAGAGUUGAUGACUCGACUUACAUCAGCCCCAGUUCUUACUCUACUAGAUGAUUCAGAUGGUUUUGUUGUGUACUAUGAUGCAUCCAAAGUAGAUUUGGGUUGUGUCCUCAUGUAGAGAGGUAAGGUCAUAGCCUAUUCCUCCAGGCAGCUUAAGCCUCAUGAGACAAAUUGUCUAACUCAUGAUCUUGAGCUUGCAGCAGUAGUAUUCACCUAAAAUAUUUAGAGGCAUUACUUGUAUGAGCUGUAUUUACAUUUGUUCACAGAUCACAAAAGCCUUCAGUAUGUGUUCUCUCAGAAAGAUUUGAAUUUGCGUCAGAGAAGAUGGUUAGAGUUAUUGAAGGAUUAUGACAUGAGUGUUCUAUAUCAUCCGGGAAAGGACAAUGUAGUAGUGGCUGAUGCUCUCAGUAAAAUGUCUAUACGUAGUAUAGCUCAUGUUGAGGAGGGUAAGAAGAAGUUAGCUUAGGAAUUUCAUCAGCUUGCCCGACUAGGUGUCCAUUUACUCAAUUCAGAAUAAGGUAGUGUAUAGGUGUAGAGUAGCUCAGAGUCAUCACUAGUUUUUGAGAUAAAGGAAAAGCAGUAUAGAGAUCCUAGACUAGUUAAGUUGAAAGAAUCAGUCAGAGAUCAGAAAGUGGAGGUUUUCUCCCAAGGGGGAGAUGGUGUGUUGCGCUAUCAGGGUAGAUGUGUGUACCAGGUGUACAUCAGUUAAGGUAAUGAAUUCUUGCAGAAGCGCAUGGUGCGAGUUACUCUAUUUAUACAGGGGCCACUAAGAUGUACCGUAAUUUGUGGGAGAUCUAUUGGUGGAGUAGGAUGAAGAGAGAUAUUGUAAAGUUUGUAGCUAAGUUCUCUACAUGCCAGCAAGUUAAGGUUGAGCACCAGAAGCCUAGUAGGUCCAUGCAGGAGUUUAUUAUUCCCAUAUGGAAAUGGGAGAAAGUGAACAUGGAAUUUAUGACAGGUUUGCCUCAUACCCAUCAUUAACAUGACUCUAUUUGGGUUAUCGUAGACAGGAUGACCAAAUCAAUUUAUUUUUUACCAGUCCAUACCUCUUACUCAGCUGAGGACUAUGCCAACCUCUAUCUCAAAGAGUUGGUUAGGUUGCAUGAUGUUCCCUUAUCUAUCAUCUCAGAUAGAGUUUCUCGGUUUACCUCUCACUUUUGGAAAGCAUUCCAAAAGGGUCUUAGUACCUAAGUCCAACUCAGUACAGCCUUCCACCCUUAGACAGAUGGUUAAGUAGAAAGGACCAUUCAGACUCUUGAGAAUAUGCUAAGAGCAUGCGUUGCUGAUUUCAAGGGUAGUUGGGAUGACCAUUUUUCUUUGAAUGAAUUUGCAUACAAUAACAGUUAUUAUUAUAGUGUCUGUAUGGCUCCGUUUGAGGCUCUCUAUGGUAGGAGAUGUAGAUCUUCAAUUGGUUGGUUUGAAGUAGGUGAGGCUACAGUAGUAGGGCCUAACUUGGUGUUUGAUGUGUUAGAGAAGGUUCAAUUAAUUAGAGAAAGGCUGAGGUAGCCCAGAGCCAACAAAAAUCAUAUGAAGAUAUGAGGAGAAAGGAUCUCGAGUUUGAAGUUGGUGAUCUUGUUUUCUUAAAAAUUUCUCCCAUGAAGAGAGUGAGGAGAUUCGGCAAGAAAAGGAAACUCAGACCCCGAUAUAUUGGUCUCUUCAGAAUCCUCAGUUUUUUUUGAAAAGGUAGCUUAUGAGCUAGAGUUGCCUACAAAUUCCUCAGUACACCCUGUGUUCCAUGUCUCAUUGUUGAAAAAGUAUAGUGGAGAUCCAUUUGUAGUUAUUCCCUUAGAAAGUGUAGAUAUUCAGAACAGUCUUUCCUUUGAGAAAGUUUCAGUCAAAAUUCUUGAUCUUCAAGUUCGUAGACUAAGGAACAAAGAAUUUCCACUAGUUAAAGUUCUUUGGUAGAAUCAGACCGUUGAGGGAGCCACUUAGGAAGCAGAGGUAGAUAUGCGAACCAAGUGCCCUCAUCUCUUCUCUACGACUCCAAAUUCAGUAGAAGGUACCAAAUCUUCUCAAGAUUUUUCUAUAUCAUGUUCAGUUUCAGUUGCACAUUAUGUUCAUGUCAGUCGUGCAUUCAUGAAUUAGUUCAUUCAUGAAUUCCAUGCAUCAUACAUGCAUAUUCAGUGUGUAAGCUCAGUCCAUCAGUGCCCUCAGCUUAACCAAUUUCAUUUGGGGACGAAUCAUCCCAAGGGGGAGAUAUUGUAACAACCCGUAUUUCCCUAGCAUAAUCUAAGUCCCAAUGCAUGAGUAUUCAUAUAUGAAAUUUUUUAAACACUCAUUAUUUUUCAGUUUAGAUCCUGCCAUUGCAUAGAAAUUCAAUUAGCUUUCCAAUGAUAUAAAAUUUGCCCAAAUCCAAUAACCGGGUAAGAAGUUAUGGCAAUUUUAAGUUUCAGUCGCAAAACCCCAACACUGUAACCCUUAGCGCAUCGCGGAGCCAGCAUAAAUGACAAUUGUCAAUUUCUAGUGAAGCUUCGUGAAACCACUGCAUCAUACGUCAGCCAAAAUCCUAACUAUCCAUUUCCAGUAUCUUGUCGCGAUAAUGGCGCAUCAUGCCAAAGGUGAAUUUCAGAAUCAAAAAGGGUACCGCAUUCCUCCGCAUCGCACCAUAGACCAGUUUCCCAGUUGUCCAAUUCCAGUGGCUUGGUGCGAUAGUGACGCAUCGUGCCAAGGCUAAAAAUUAAGUUUUUCAGUUUUCACCUUUCAUUUUUGUAACACCCCGUAUUUCAGGCUAGAAUAAAACCAUGACUUUGACACAUUGAUAAUCCCAUAGCUUAAAUCCUAUGCCAAUUUGGCAUGUUAAUCAAAUAUGUAGUAUGUGAAUCCAUUUGAGCAUGAAUUUAUAUCAUAGAGGUCCUUCAACUCAAGGAGGAAUUGAAACUAUUUUGAUCGAUUAAGUUUUAGUGGAUGUUGUAAUUUGUGUCAGCUUUCAUCGACCAUAACUCUCUUUAUAUGUCGAAUUAGAGAGCCAACUAUGUGUCAAAUGAUAGAUGUUCGAGUUAACUUUCCAACAAUACCAAUUUUUCUAAAAUCCAGCACCCGAGAAAGAUCUUAUGGUCUUAGAAAGUAGUAUGCAUCGCCUAACCAAUCGCACAUGGCCACUGGAAAGCAUAUGCGAUAGCAUAUGCGGCGCCUAUGUAAAUAUAGCCAAUAUCAAAUGUGGCUUCUAUGUAAAUAUAGCCUACAUCAUAUACGGCGCCUAUGUAAAUAUAUGCGAUAUCAUAUAUGGCGCAUAUCUUAUAGUUUCAAGUGACUUAAACACUCUAUUUUUGGGGCAAAAUGAUCCUUUUCCCACCCUUAUUCAGCCAUAAAUACGAAAUUCAGUCCCUAAUUCUCCAAAAUACAUCUACAUUCAUCUAAAAAUUCUCAAGAACACUCCCAAGGGUUUAAAACUAAAAAUCUAAAUAAAUCAAGAUUUAACCGUGGGUUUUGAAAAUUGAUUAGAGAUUCAGAAUCCCCAAUCCACAGGCUUCAAGAAGCACCCAUUAUUUUCUGAAAUAGAGGUACGAGGGGUUUUCCUAAAUUCUCAUGGGCAUAGAAAAAUUAUGUUUUAGAAUGGGGUUUUUGAAUCUAUGUAUAUAUUCAUGUAUUAAAUGUUCUAACAUCAUUGUUUUGCUCUUUCGACCUUUCCCAAAGUGAUUUAAGAAUAUAAAUGUAUGAAACCAUGUAUUUAAGAAUGAAUUCUUGUUGAGAGCAUGAUUUUCGGUGAAUUUGCUCUUAUUAUGAAUUUUUCAGAUUUCUCAUAGCAUAUGAAUUAUUUUGCAAUGCAUCCUUGAAAAGCACUAUAUGAAAGAUUGAACUCUUGCUAUGAUUUAAAGGUGGUUUUAAAUCACUAAAGAGGGAAUCUAGCAUGAAUGUUUAAUGUUCAUAAUGCAUGUAAUGAAAGAGUGCAUGGAUUUGCUAAAGGCACUAGACCACCAUAUGUUGAUGAAGUUUUUGCAUGAUUUUGACAUGAGUUUCAAAACACGAAAUCUUCUAUAUCAGUUGCAUGUUUUUGGUGAUCUAAACUGUGCUUUAAAUGAAAGAUUUAGAUUAAUGUAUUAUGGCUAAAAAAUCAAGACUUGCAAGUCUUGGUAUGACGAUACCAAUUCAGACCAAUGUCAUAUCAGACUCAGACUAAUAGAAAUUUCAGACUAUCAUGAUUUUAGAUAUUCAGAUUGUUGUAUGUACAGAAAAGGUUAAAAAUGGGAAUACAGAGAUAUUAGGUGGUUCCCUAAAGAGGUCUUGAGUUCAAGCAAGUCAUUGCCUAAAACCAUGGUUUUCUAACUCGAGUAUAUUAUUCUAUACUGACUUAAGUGUCGUGUGGUAUAUCAGAUUCAGGAACUCCAACCCUUGCGGCAUACUCAGGUUGAAGGCUUCCCCGCCGAGUCAAUGGCAGAUUCCAUAUCGCCCAUGGAAUAUCAGACUUAUAAGGGAUACCGCCUAACUCAAAAGUAAUACACAGAUCAGAGUUUGAGAUUUACAGACAGGUUACAUAUUUUCAAAUGGUGCCCAUGUGUUUUUCAGAAGCUAUUUUAUGCAUAAUGUUUGAUGAAAAUUUUCUCUCAUGUAUUAUAUAUAUAAAUAUGUUCAAUUACUCUAUUUUGGAUUGCUUCGCAUGCCAGUUCAAUUGUGCUGACCUCCCUUUCUCCCAAGUACUGAGGCGCAGUCUAGGGGUCUAGAUCCUCAGUAGAGUCUAUAGACAGGGUUGUCUCAGAGUUUAGCUGGUGAACCUUCUUUUCUUUGGAAGGCCUAGUCAUUUAGGUAUUUAUUUCAGCAUGGUUUUUAGUCUGCUGGGGGCUUUGUCCCAGUUAUUCAGAUAGUAUGUCAGUAGAGAUUUCACAGACUAUUGCAGAUGUUUAUUAAAUAUUGCUGGGCAUGUUUUCAGGCCUUUAACUAUUUUAAAUUGUUGACUAUGUUUUCGUAUUAUUAUGUCUAUUUCGUAUUACUUUGAUCAUAUAAAUUAUGUGCAUGAUUACCAGAUAGACAGAGGGCAUUCCAGGCCUUCGGGUUCAGGGAUGCUCGUCACGGCCAGGGCCCUAUUUUAGGUCAUGAAAAACUUAGUAUCAGAGCACGGCUCAUUGUCCCAAGGUAUUUGUGAAAUCGUAUUAGGUAGAGUCUUAUUUAUAGGUGUGUAGCGUGCCACACUUAUAAGUGGAAGGCUACUAGGCAUUUAGAAAUGUCUCUCUUUCUUCAUGUUCUAGUUCAUGCUAUAGAGUCAGAAUGUUCCUCCUUCAUACUCUAAUUCAUGCUAUGGUGUCACUAAUACAAAAAGAAAAGUUAUCCGAAUUUCUUCCUCACUCUGGUGUUCCAGAUAUUCUCCAAUUAUCUAGUAGAAAUUUUAAAAGUCCCAUAAAGGAUGGGAGAGGAGUUCCCUAGUGUAAAAUUGUGUCCUCAUUCUUAUGAGGCGUUCAAUUAAGACAAGAGUAAGAUGUGUAUUCUUGAGUCAUUGAAUAUUGUGUAUCAAGCUUCUAUCUCUUGUAAUCUUGAUACCAUUAUGUUGUUGAAAACAAAAGUUUAGUGAAGCCGUGUGAGGCCUAUUUCGAUUCACUAUCAUUGUUUCCUUGUCAUUUAUCUUAUUCUUCUUCAAAACACAAAAAUUAAAGUCUAGUGAAGCCGUGUGAGGCCUAUUUUGAUUCACUAGCAAAUUGUUGUUCAUCUUGUUGUUCUUGUAUUUGUUGGAACUAUAUUUCCACCUAAGUAGUAGUAUAAGUUAGAGUGUCGGUGUCAUGACCUAUUGGUAGUGAAAUCAGACCAAGAAGUUUGUGAUAUGAAGUCACAAGUUUAGAGGUCAGAGUGAUAGUGACUUUUGUGAUUUAAUAUUUAUAGUUGAAUAACAGUUGAUUGAGAAUGAUUUACCUUUUCAUGGUGGUAGACUAAUGUGGUGGUACCAUUUAUGGAUUAUAUGGUAGUCCAUGGAGGAAGUGUUGACUCAGAUUGUUAUUUGUUUUCUUCCUUUCAAAAUAGAGAAAGAGCCUAGAGUGGAUAUUUAAGGUGGUUAUAGAAAUCCUUAUAGGNNNNNNNNNNNNNNNNNNNNNNNNNNNNNNNNNNNNNNNNNNNNNNNNNNNNNNNNNNNNNNNNNNNNNNNNNNNNNNNNNNNNNNNNNNNNNNNNNNNNNNNNNNNNNNNNNNNNNNNNNNNNNNNNNNNNNNNNNNNNNNNNNNNNNNNNNNNNNNNNNNNNNNNNNNNNNNNNNNNNNNNNNNNNNNNNNNNNNNNNNNNNNNNNNNNNNNNNNNNNNNNNNNNNNNNNNNNNNNNNNNNNNNNNNNNNNNNNNNNNNNNNNNNNNNNNNNNNNNNNNNNNNNNNNNNNNNNNNNNNNNNNNNNNNNNNNNNNNNNNNNNNNNNNNNNNNNNNNNNNNNNNNNNNNNNNNNNNNNNNNNNNNNNNNNNNNNNNNNNNNNNNNNNNNNNNNNNNNNNNNNNNNNNNNNNNNNNNNNNNNNNNNNNNNNNNNNNNNNNNNNNNNNNNNNNNNNNNNNNNNNNNNNNNNNNNNNNNNNNNNNNNNNNNNNNNNNNNNNNNNNNNNNNNNNNNNNNNNNNNNNNNNNNNNNNNNNNNNNNNNNNNNNNNNNNNNNNNNNNNNNNNNNNNNNNNNNNNNNNNNNNNNNNNNNNNNNNNNNNNNNNNNNNNNNNNNNNNNNNNNNNNNNNNNNNNNNNNNNNNNNNNNNNNNNNNNNNNNNNNNNNNNNNNNNNNNNNNNNNNNNNNNNNNNNNNNNNNNNNNNNNNNNNNNNNNNNNNNNNNNNNNNNNNNNNNNNNNNNNNNNNNNNNNNNNNNNNNNNNNNNNNNNNNNNNNNNNNNNNNNNNNNNNNNNNNNNNNNNNNNNNNNNNNNNNNNNNNNNNNNNNNNNNNNNNNNNNNNNNNNNNNNNNNNNNNNNNNNNNNNNNNNNNNNNNNNNNNNNNNNNNNNNNNNNNNNNNNNNNNNNNNNNNNNNNNNNNNNNNNNNNNNNNNNNNNNNNNNNNNNNNNNNNNNNNNNNNNNNNNNNNNNNNNNNNNNNNNNNNNNNNNNNNNNNNNNNNNNNNNNNNNNNNNNNNNNNNNNNNNNNNNNNNNNNNNNNNNNNNNNNNNNNNNNNNNNNNNNNNNNNNNNNNNNNNNNNNNNNNNNNNNNNNNNNNNNNNNNNNNNNNNNNNNNNNNNNNNNNNNNNNNNNNNNNNNNNNNNNNNNNNNNNNNNNNNNNNNNNNNNNNNNNNNNNNNNNNNNNNNNNNNNNNNNNNNNNNNNNNNNNNNNNNNNNNNNNNNNNNNNNNNNNNNNNNNNNNNNNNNNNNNNNNNNNNNNNNNNNNNNNNNNNNNNNNNNNNNNNNNNNNNNNNNNNNNNNNNNNNNNNNNNNNNNNNNNNNNNNNNNNNNNNNNNNNNNNNNNNNNNNNNNNNNNNNNNNNNNNNNNNNNNNNNNNNNNNNNNNNNNNNNNNNNNNNNNNNNNNNNNNNNNNNNNNNNNNNNNNNNNNNNNNNNNNNNNNNNNNNNAUUUCUCAGUGAUCCUAAUACCUACUCAUGCUUUACGAUUUAGUUCCAUGAUCAGUUCACGUUCAUACAUAUGAUAGAGAGUCAUGUACUCACGUUUUAUAAUGUGCUCCAUUUUCAUAACUCAUGUUUUACGCCAAAUGAUCGGCGAGAUUCAGCUUAUAGCCAUGAAUACCCUAAAUUUAGAGCGCUUUGGUGAGUACCUAUUGUUUUUUUGCUAUUCCUCAAGCCUCAGAUGAGUGUCAAGCUUCUUAUAGUAUCAUCCAUGCCUCCAGAUCUUAUGUUCUAACCUUUUUGUGACUCCUCCUUAUGCGAUGAUAGUGGUGGUGAGUAAUUAUUCCUUAUUGAUGAAAGAUCAUAGUACGCUUGUUUAGAUAAGGCCAUAAGUAUGAAGUAAAAUUUGGGGCCAAGUUUAUAUUUAUGUGAUGGUUAGUGGAAUUUUGUAUGUGUAUGUUCUUAGGGUAGCUCGUGGGAGUGAUAUUGAUAGUGGUUUAGAGAAUAUGUAAAGUAUGCCUUUAUGAGUGUUUGCUUUGAAGUUCAUAUGUGGUUAUAAAGAUAGACUUGAAUGACAUGUCGAGAUUUUUGUAAAGGAAUGCUAUAUACGCUAGCGACUUUAUAGUAAGAGUUCAGAGUAGUCAUUGAAGUGGUAAGGCAUGUUAUACUUAGGAUGUGAUCUUUAAAGGAGAUAUAGAAGAUUGCAUCAUAUGUUUUAGAAUAAUAGCGUGGUCUGGCAUGUUGUAUUUUUGUGACUUAGAGUUAGGCUUGAUCACGGCAAAGGGAUUAAGUUAUUUCUGACAUUAGUAGAAAGAUUUGUCAAUGCUCAUAUGAGAAUUUUAAGCUGAGUUGAAUGAAUAUGAUAUUUAAGGAGAAUAGUAUAGUUAAGUGAUAUUCUAGAAAUGUGCUAAGCUUGAAAGUAAGAAGUUGUAAUGCCAAAGGCCUUGUAAUUCUAUCCUAAUUCAGGAGUUAUAUGCCUAUGUUCCAGACUGCAGAGUAGUGUCAAUGUGGUGAUUCCUCANNNNNNNNNNNNNNNNNNNNNNNNNNNNNNNNNNNNNNNNNNNNNNNNNNNNNNNNNNNNNNNNNNNNNNNNNNNNNNNNNNNNNNNNNNNNNNNNAGGGUGUAGUAUAAUUCAGUCUGUAUGGCCAAUAAGUCAGUUUAGCAGUCAGAUUCGCAUGACUUAUUUUCUCGUCUUUGCACUUAUUCAUGCUACUCGAAAUCUCAGACAUGCUACUAUUCCUAGAUAGAGUAUACCAGUAGUUACGAGUAUUGCCCAGUUCAUGAAUCAUGCAUUAAAUUCUGAUUCCAGAUGUUCAGUUAUGAUUCAAUUCGUAGGUUCCCUAUGCAUCGCCUCAGUUUUCCGAGUAUCUUAGUGAAUUGAGCAUUCAUAGAGGGACAUAGGGCACCAAGGGGGAGAUACCUCAUUCAGUUGCAUGCAUAGAUUCUUAUUACAAGCUUCGCAUCAGCUAUUAUUGCGUAUUUAGCCAUACGUUCAUACGUUAGUUCAGUCAGAUAUGCAUGCAUUAGAAAUGCAUGUUCAAUAGAAAAGUUUAGCUUAUCAGUGUAUUCAGUCCUGCAUUCAUGAGAACAACUUGGUCACAGAUCCAUGCAUCAAAUAUGCAUGAUUCAUUAUGAGAAUUCAGCCUAUGAGUAGCUUCAGUCGUGUUCCAUGCCUCGGUUAUACAUGUCUGGCAUAAGCAUUUAAAACAUCAGUAGUUCCAAUCUUAUAGUCAUGUUUUCAAUCAGUGUAUUCUUUCUUAGGGAACAUAUCAUGUCUGCGUUAUCCCAUACCCUUAAGACUUCGACAUUCUAUGCAUCAUUUGGGGACGAAUGAUCCCAAGGGGGUGAUAAUGUAACACCCUGCAUUUUGGGCUAGAAUAAAAACCAUGACUCUAACGCAUUGAUAAUCCCAGAGCCUUAAAUCCUAUGCCAAUUUGGCAUGUUAAUCAAUUAUGUAGUACGUGAAUCCAUUUGAGCAUGAAUUUAUACCAUAGAGGUCUUUCAACUCAAGGAAGAAGCUAAAAUCCAACACCCGAGCAAGAAGUUAUGGUCUUUCAAAGUAGUAUGCGUCGCCUAACCAAUAGCACAUGGCUACUGGAAAGCAUAUGCGAUAGCAUAUGCGGUGCCUAUGUAAAUAUAGGUGAUAUCAUAUGCGGCGCCUAUCUAACAAUAGGCGAUAUCAUAUGCAGAGCCUAUGUAAAUAUAGGCGAUAUCAUAUGCGGCGCCUAUGUAACAAUAGGCGAUAUCAUAUGCAGCGCCUAUGUAAAUAUAGGUGAUAUCAUAUGCGGCGCCUAUGUAACAAUAGGCGAUAUCAUAUGCAGAGCCUAUGUAAAUAUAGGCGAUAUCAUAUGCGGCGCCUAUGUAAAUAUAUGUGAGAUCAUAUGCGGCAUAUAUCUUAUAGUUUCAUGUGACUUAAACACUCCGUUUUUGGGGAAAAAUGGUCCUUUUCCCACCCUUAUUCAGCCAUAAACACGAAAUUCAGUCCCCAAUUCUCCAAAAUACAUCUACAUUCAUCUAAAAAUUCUCAAGAACACUCCCAAGAGUUUCAAACUAAAAACCCAAAUAAAUUAAGAUUUAACCGUAGAUUUUCAAAAUUGAUUAGAGAUUCGGAAUCCCUAAUCCACAGGCUUCAAGAAGCACCCAUUAGUUUUCGAAAUAAAGGUACGUGGGGUUUUCCUACAUUCUCGUGGGCAUAGAAAAAUCAUGUUCUAGAAUGGGAUUUUUGAAUCUAUGUAUAUAUUCAUGUAUUAAAUGUUUUAACAUCAUUGUUUUGGUCUUUUGACCUUUCCCAAAGUGAUUUGAGAAUAUGAAUGUAUGAAACCCUGUAUUUAAGAAUGAAUUCUUGUUGAGCGAAUGAUUUUCAGUUAAUUCCCUCUUAUUAUGAAUUUUUCAGAUUUCUCAUAGCAUAUGAAUUGUUUUGCAAUGCAUCCUUAAAAAGCACUAUAUGAAAUGAUUGAACUAUUGCUAUAAUUUAGAGGUGGUAUUAAAUCACUAAAGAGGGAAUCUAGCAUGAAUGUUUAAUGUUCAUAAUGCAUGUAAUGAAAGAGUGCAUAGAUUUGCUAAAGGCAUUAGACCACCAUAUGUUGAUGAAGUUUUUGCAUGAUUUUGACUUGAGUUUCGAAACACGAAAUCUUCUAUAUCAGUUGCAUGUUUUUGGUGGUCUAAAUUAUGCUUUUAAAUGAAAGAUUUAGCUUAAUGUAUUAUGGCUUAGAAAUCAUGACUUGCAAGUCUUGGUAUGACGAUACCAAUUCAGACCAAUGCCAUAUCAAACUCAGACUAAUAGACAUUUUAGACUAUUAUGAUUUUAGGCAUUCAGAAUAUUGCAUGUACAGAAAAGGUUAAAAAUGGGCAUACAGAGAUGUUAGGUGGUUCCCUGAAGAAGGCUUGAGUUCAAGCAACUCAUUGCCUAAAACCAUGGUUUUCCGACCUGGGUAUAUUAUUAUACACUGACUUAAGUGUUGUGUGGCGUAUCAGAUCCAGAAACUCCAACCCUUGUGGCAUACUCGGGUCAGAGGCUUCCCAGUCGAGUCAAUGGCGGAUUCCAUAUCGCCCGUGGAAUAUCAGACUUGUAAGGGAUACCACCUAACUCAAAAGUAAUACACAGAUCAGAGUUUGAGAUUUACAGACAGGUUACAUGUUUUCAGAAGGUGCCCAUGUGUUUUUUAGAAACUAUUUUAUUCAUAAUGUUUGAUGAAAAUUUGCUCUCACGUAUUUUAUAUAUAUAUAUGUUCAAUUACUCUAUUUUGGAUUGCUUCAUGUGCCAGUACAAUUGUACUGACCCCCCCCCUUUCUCCCAGGUAUUGAGGCACAGUCUAGGGGUCUAGAUCCUCAGUAGAGUCUACAGACAGGGUUGUCUCAGAGUUCAGUUGGUGAGCCUUCUUAGCUUCGGAAGGCCUAGUCAUUUAGGUAUUUAUUUCAGUAUGGUUUUUGGUCUGCUGGGGGCCUUGUCCCAGUUAUUCAGAUAGUAUGUCAGUAGAGAUUCCACUGAAUGUUGCAAAUGUUUAUUAAAUAUUGUUGGGCAUGUUUUUAGGCCUUUAACUUUUUUAUAUUGUUGAACAUGUUUCCGUAUUAUUGUGUUUAUUCUGUAUUAAUUUGAUCAUAUGAAUUAUGUGCAUGAUUACCAGAUAGAUAGAGGGCGUUUUGGUCCUUCAGGUUCGGGGAUGCUCAUCAUGGACUGGGCCUCGAUUCGGGUCGUGAUAGUUUUAAAAUUUGUUCAGGGGUAUUUGGGUCUUUUUCCACGGCCUUAAUUAACCUAAAACUCAAAAUUUAACCCCUAAACACCCUCAGUAGUCAUCAUUAUUUCAAUUCCUCUCACAAUCGAAAAUCCCUCUUUCAAGAAAAAAAAACCUAGCUCUCAAGAAUCAAGGUCAAAUCUCAAGAACUUUCCAUCAAUCCUUCCAAAUUCAUCAUCCCGGGUAUGUUAGAUGUUCAUCCAUGGAGUCCACGCAACCUUUUUAAAUUAUAAAAAUUGUGAUCUUUUUAAGUUAUUGUAUUUUAAAUUGGGAUUUCACCCAUGAAUUUCCAGGAACUAUGACUCUAUACCAUGUUACCAUGAAAUUAUUGUUAUUAUUCAAUCCUUCAUAUUUUAAUAUUAUUAUUUAUUAAAUUAAACCAUGAUUUAAUGCUAUUAUGAUGAAUUCAUGCUAUUUCUAAAAGUUUCAUGACAUUUCUAUGAUUGUUUUAAAACCAUGAACUACAAGUGUUUGAUAAAAUGUCUACAAGAGUGAUUUAUUUAAUAAGAGCCUUCAUGUUUUGGCCUUCAAGCUUUAGUGUCUUUUCAGUAUUGUUGUUUUUAGUCCUGGGGGUAUUGAAUACCCAAAAACCAUAGAUGUUUAUUUAUUCUAGCCUCAGUACAUUGCAGAAUAGUCUUUAGAUUAUAUUAUGAGCAUUAUAGAAUAGUCAGAUAUCAGUUAUUCAACUCAGAAUAGUCUAGGUUCUCAGUGUCUUUCAUUUGGGAGUAGGAUUUAGCACCGAGUGAGUGUAGGGAUAGCAACUUCCCUGUCAGAUAUGCAGAAUCAUUAGUAGAAGUCCCCAUACUCCAGAACUUCGUAGCUAUCAUAGGAUAUGAGUAGUCACCCGUCAGACUAGGCUUGACUAUCUCACAGGGGUCACCCGUCAGUUCAUGCUUUACAUCCUUAGUGCUUUAGAUAUUAUAUCAGUUUAGUGGAUCCACACAGCCAUCGUUUGUACCCGUGGCACAGUAUUAACAUCCUUCCAAUUGGGGUUACAGGUUGUACCUCGAUUAGCUCAAAUUAGGAAAUAUCGGUUAGAUGAUACCUCCCACAGUCUCAGUUACAGUCCUAGCUCAGUUAUCCAGUCUUAGUAUUGUUUGACCAAAGCAUACAGAUUUCAGUUAUCUCAGUAUAUCAGUGUACAGAUUUUAUUCAUUUCAUGUCGUGUGCUUGGUCAUGCAUCCACAGUAUUUAUAGUUUUUCAUGCAUUAUCAGUGUCUACAGAUUCUAUAUUUUCUAUUCAGUACUCUAUGCUUUACAUGUAUGUCCAGUUAAUUCUUAUCAUUCCUAUUCAUGAGACCAUGCAUAUUACCCUACCUCAUUUAGCAUUCCAGUUCAUUCAAAGUAUUGAUCGCAUACCUUUUCUUUUGUGCUAUGAUGUCUCAUAUCAUAGGUGCUGAUUCUCAGUUCCCGGAUCAUACCUAGAUUCUCAAAUUAUCGGUAGUACAGUAGCAGUGGUAAGUCCUCAUCAUCCGAGGACAGAUUAUAUUACUUCAUGUCUUUAUCUUAGUAGUUAGAAGAGUUAGUUGGGGCAUGUCUCAUCAACUCACAGUAUCCAGUUUAAAGGCUUUUUAGACAUUACAGUUAGUUAUUCAGACUAUUCAGAUUUUAGUAUUUUAUCAGAAUCAUAAUUUAGUAGCUAUUUCAUUAUUAAAAUCUUAUGGCAUUUCAGCUAUUCUUCUACAUUCAUGAUUAUAUUUUUUAGUGCUUACAGCAGGUACCAGCUCAUGGGUUAGCUUGUGGUCUCUCGGGACCGUAAGCACCGUGUAACGACUAGGGGGAAGUCUUGGGUUGUUACGUUGAACAUACAUAUUCUUGAGGUGUUGGAGUAGAUGCCUGGAUAUGCCAGGUUUUUAAAGCAAUUGUUACAAAAAAAGAAAGGGGCUACGAUUGAGGAUAUUCAUGGGUUGCACCACUGUAGUGCUGUCACGACUAGGUCUAUGGCCUAGAAAAAAGUAAUCCCAAAGCAUUCAUUAAACCAUGCACUAUAUGGUCAUCCCGGUUCGCCAAAGCCUUAUGUGACUUAGGAGCCAGCAUAAAUUUAAUGUUGUUGGCUAUACUCAAGAAAAUAGGCUUGAGCCCUCCUGAACCAACUGCAAUGAGAUUGUUGAUGGCUUACCACACUAUGAAUAAACCUUCAGGUAUUUUUCUAGGUGAUUCUGAAAUUUGAUAACUUCAGCUUUCUGACUGACUUUGUCAUUUUGGACUGUGAGGUAUACAUUAAGAUGCCCAUUAUAUUAGGGAGACCAUUUAUGGCCACAGGUAGAGGCGAUAAUUGACAUGGGGAAGAGAGAUCUUAAGUUCAAAAUCAAUGGUGAGAAGGCCACAUUCAAUAUCUAAAAAUUAAUGAAGCAACCGACUGACAUAAGGAUGGUGUCGGUGAUAGACUGUAUUGAUGACCUAUGUGGGUAUUCCUAUGGGUACCUUGAUGAAUUCUGAGUAAAAUAAGUACCUACAUAUUGCCACGAUGCUAAACCAAAAUUGCAUUGGAAGAAACCCAUGGACUUAUCGGUGAAGUCUGAGUAACCAGCAUAGUUAUGUCAUGUCGCGACGUUAAAACAAGCGUUGGGUAGGAGGCAACCCAAUAUUUUAGUGAUCACUUUUAUUUGUUUUUCUUUUGUAGGUUUAUAGCUUAUGGACUUACCUAGAAUAUGAUAGGAUUGCUAUAUUCACAACUUUCCAAGUAAGGGGACUUUAUGAACCCAUCAGGGUUUUAAGUCUCACUCGAAUCAGGUAAUGUUUAGCGAUAAUUGAAGAAAAAAUGAAAUUGUAAGGAUAAUAAUGGAAAAUUCUGGACUUUGAUACAUAAUCAUACCUUUGAAUCCCUAAAUUUAAGUUAUAGAACCAUAAAUAGAUAGGAAAACAUUAAAACACAAAGUCCAAGAAGCAAGAAGUUAGGCCCAAAGAUCAGGCCCACAUGCACCCAGCAAAUGCAGACCGCAUGUGGGACAUACACCCACUGGCAGGCUACAUGUGCCUACCGCAAGUGAAUUUUAGUUAAAAUUUUGGGCCUACUAAUGUGUAUUUAAGCGAUAAUUUGGCCUCCCACACAAUUUAAACAUAUUUUUCCUCAUUCGAACCCAUUCAAAUGCUCAAAAUAUCAUUUUUCUCUUUAAAUCCAAACUUUCAUCUCAAAGCAUAAAUUAGUCCCGCAGUAAGAAAAAGGCCAAAUUAAAACUUAUUUGAAGUACUACAUUGUCCCAUCAUGCUAAAUACAAGCUUAAUCUAUGGUUUUACCGUAUUUCUUCAUAAUUUACUCCCGGGUUAUCAAAGAAAAGGUAACUUUUUUGGCUCCUAAGAGUUAUGUUUUGAUUUAAAUAGUAAACAAGCAAGUUGAUAUGUGUAUUUUUACAUGAAAAAUAUAUAGAAAUAAGCAUGCUUGUGUAUAGGAGCCUUGAAGUAGCCUAAAAUCUUGAUGUAGGACUUUGUUUUGAAUUAAAUUCUAAGGUUAGGCCCCGAAUGGAAGUUGAACUUGAACAAAUAAAGGAAUACCAAAAGUUGGGCAUGUUAAUUUGCAUUGAAAAUCAUUAUUAUUGAUAUAUGUGGGAACGUUAGACUUUUUGGGACUUCAAAUAAGUUACAGGAUUGAAAAAAUUGAGGAAAAAUUCAAACUUUUCAAAUUUUGAGUUUUUCUUCAACUUUUGCAAUCCCUUAUUUUUUGGGGGGAAACAAAUGGCUAGUUUUUAUGGUACACAUAGCACCAAAAGCCGCUAAGAAUAAGGUUGAUACAUCAAGGAAAUAGGAUGAGUCCCCCAAUCCCAGUGGUUCAGUAAAGGAGAACUUGGUCGCAUAACUCAGAGAAGCUGCAGGUGGGUGAUAGACAAAGUGACCAGAUGACAAAAGCGUCAGGUAGCUGAGACUAUUAUUUUAAGCAUUAUGGGACAGACGCUACUUGAGCACUCAUAGUAGGGCAGAAGGUCAGCCUUUACUCGACCUAGGUCUUGAGAUGAGGCUAUUCAAGUUGUCCAGGAUGUCCAGGCAGUUGUAGCCCAACCAAGGCUGAAGUCAACACAAAGAUCACCUCUAUAUUCUCCUCUAUCGAGUGAUGAUGAUGAUGAGGAGGAAGAUGCUGAGCCAACUUCAUAGGGUGUAGCUUAGGACCCCCAGUUUGAAGAGGGGUCCUAGAAUUCAUUAGAGAUUGCAGAUCAAGAGGAGUCAUCGAUGAUACCCUAGUAUGAGGAAGGUACCGCAACUCAUGCACAACCUUUAGGUGUACCCAGUCUGAGAAGGGUACAGAGCAGGCUUUAUAUAAGGUGCCCGUUCAAAAUGAUGAGGCACCAGCACAGCAGAGAUAAAGUUCCACAGCCCUUACACAUGCCUUGGAGACACCUCUUGAUGAGGAUAUCCCAAGGUGGUAUGUGGAGAAAAUAUGGAUAAUAUAUGAUAUAGACAAUCAUAUAUCAGAUACCGAUAGACCUAAUAGGCUUAUUUUUUAGGAGCACGGGAUUGAUCUAUCUGGGAUGAGUAGAGUACCACAGUUACGGGCUUUCUUUGAUCGUUACCAGUUGGAAUGGAUGACUAGACCACUCAAGUCUUACAUCCCAACUUUGGUAAGAGAGUUUUAUGCAUCAUAUCAAGCCACAGUUGUUUUUUCAUGUGCUGAUUUCCAGGUCAGGUGAGACAUAUGGAGCAGCCACAACUUGAGCAAACCCUUAUGAGAUAUAUCAGGUUGAUAUUUUAGCAUUGACUAUCUAUUGAGUUAAUAUUGGUCUAAACUAUAUCUCCAAUAUCUACAGUAGAGUAUGACUACAGACUGAGAGUCACACAUGAACAAUAUAUGAUGAGGAAGACAGAGCAAAAACGUGAGAGAAUUAAUAUGGCUAGGUGGAUAGUUAGCUACAUUUCACCCUUGGGUGAUGAGACCCCAUGGAUCGAGGGAUAUGGUGAGAUAAAUAAACACUCAUUGAUGUUUGCUUCUAAGUUUUGGUGGUUGAUCAUUAAAUAUCAAUUAUUCCCCACUACUUCAGCCAAUGUAUUGACUUGGGAAGGAGCCACCCUGAUUGUUAGUAUAAUGGCCUAGCAUGUUAUUGACUUUGCAGCCAUCCUCCGGCAUGAGAUUCAUGAUAAAACCUAUAGGGAGGAAAUGAAUUUUCUAUUCUUGUGCCUUAUUUAGAGAUUGUGUGAUGAGGAUGAAAUACCAGAGAUAUAGGGAGUCAAUGAGAAGUAUUUGUGACAGCUACUGCACAAACAAAGAUAAUGAAGGAUCUGGCAUUCCGGACCCUUCCCAUGAGACCUAGUGAGCCUACCACAGUACCUCGGGUCCAAUUUGAGGGCUCUUUAGUUUCUACCGAUCCUAGUGAUGUACAUAUUUGUGAUGUGGGAGUUAGUGUUAAUCUUGAGAUGGGGGAACAAAGAGAGGCCUCAUAUUUGAGUACUCAAGGUGAGCGGACACUAGCCAUGUCUUCAUUAGCCCCAGCUUCUAGUUCAGAGUCGGUGGGUGUUUCUUCAUUACCCUCUCGGCCAUCCACUACAGCUUUUGCUACAAGUAUGACUUUGGUAUCUCGUGGGUUCUUGCAUAGCCUAGUGGACAUUUAGGGAGUCACUAAUGAGCGGUUACAUAUUAUUGAGACAGAGGUAGCUACUUUAUAUGGGCAGAUCCAGCCAUGGGUCCGGACUAGACUAGAGAUAGUAGAGGCCAGAUGGGAUGUCGCACAUAGAGUUUCUACAUCAGAGUUACGUACUGAUCUAUAGGCACGUAUUGAUACUUUUAAGAGAUGUGUUGUGGCUCUGUUUUUAGAGAUUGAGGUAACAGAUAUAGGUUAUAUUAGUGUAAUACCCCGCAUAUUUCUAAUCCUGUGAUUCAUACUUGAGUACAUGACUUAUAAUGACUAUCCUAGUGAUAGGAUAGCUUAUGAUGCAUUAAGCAUGUUUAUAUGAGUCACUUAAGGUAAUACAAGCUAAGAGUUUUUUUGAAUCCAUCAAGUUUUAGAGUUCGAUUUUGAAAGGUUUAUCUUUGAAUGAGUAUAACUCAAUGUUAAUGUGGUAUUUUGGCUGAUUUAGACCCACCAAGUUGUAGAAAAUCGAAUUAUCUUUCCAACGAUACCAAUUUUGCCUUAAUCCAAUACCCGAGCAAAAAAGUUAUGCCCAUUUUCGUGAGAGACAGUAAGCAUAGGCGAUUGGUUAGUAGCCGCCUAACCCAAGAAUAGGCGAUUGGUUAGGCGCCGCCCAACCCAGGCAUAGGCGAUCACUUGAGCGCCGCCUAAGCUAAUUCCAGGUGUCAAAAACACUCCGUCUUGAGUUAUUUUAAAGGGAAUUAAGUCUUUAAAUACUCCUUAUACGUCCCUAAACUUAACCCUACAAAAUUUAUAUGUUCUAAACAUACUACAACCCUAUUUUCAUCUCAAAGCUCAUCAUCCAAGAGCACUAAAAGAGAAAAACAACUAGGGUUGCAUAAGUAAGCUUGAAGAUCUGAUUUCAAGGAAAUUCCUCCGUCAAUCAUCAAGAAUUUUCCUUCUAAGGUAUGCAUAGUGCUCAUCUAUGGAUUCAAUUCGUUCAUAGAAUUCAAGAAUCAAUCUUUAAAAUACAAAAGCUUGGUUGAUUGUGGUGAUAUGAUCAUACCCAUGUUAAUGCUUGUUUGUUUUCCCCUUUUUCAUUAUAAAAGUAUGAUUUUUAUAUUUUUGGGUGUUGAUGAUCAUAUUGUUGAUAUCGGGUGAUUCCCAAGAUGGAAUCUUUAUAUGUUUUUGUGAAUUCAUGAUAUCAUAUGAGUUGGAAACAUGUAAAUUUGGUUCUUAUGUAUAUAUAAUUUGAUGAAUUCACCUAUGCUUAAGAUGUGCAUGUAAGGUGUUUGAUAAAUUGCCUAAGGAACUAGAAAUCAUACAAUAUAGCUAAAUUGUGACUAAGUGAAGGAUUCAUGAUAUGCCGUUACAUUCCAAUGACUUCUAUGAUUGAUAAUGUGCCUUGUACAUGUUGUUGGAAUACUCAUGAACUAUUCUUAUGAGAUUGUGCUAUGUUUACUUGCAAAUCCUACUUAUGAACAAGCUGUAUGAUAAUCAUACAAUCCACAUGAACUUCCAUGCUAUUAGUAUGUGUUACCAAUAUGAUUAUGCAACGAACAUGAUAUUAAGAUUGUACAAGUGCUUCCAUGUGAUAUGAAAUCCUUUCCAUGCAAUACAUUGUUGAUAACCAUUCAUAGUAUGAGAUCCCUACUUAUGAUAUUAUAGAUUAUGGACUCUACUCUUAUGAUCAAGUCAGUCAUGUUCGUCAGUUUCCUUCCAUCGAGUCCUGGGGGUACUAGUACCCAAAAACUAUAGCUGUGUUCCUAGAUCCAUGUCAUGUUUCACGAUAUCCGAACUCAAGCUAUGAUUCCAUAGACUUCAGUCAGUCAUGUGACUCAGGAAAAUCUUAUGAUCUUAGUCAGUUGUCAGAUAUCAGUAACAUUCCGUCAGUCAUUGGAAUUCAGUAAACUUAGUUUAGCUAUGCUAAACAAUACCACUAGUAUCAGUCCAGUUAAUCAGUAUUAGUUCAGCUAAUUAGUUCAGUUCAGUUAUUUAGUUCAGCUUAGUUAUUCAGUUCAGUGUCUUUCAGAUGAGAGUAGAGAUUAGCAUCAAGUGAACCCAAGGAUGGGAACUCACCCACCAGUUCAGGGUGUGAUUCUUAGUAGCAAUCCUUGUGUUCCAGAACUACGUAGCCAGCAUAGGUUGAGACAUCUUAACCCAUUAGCUUAGGGUUGAUGAGGUGGCUUAAACCGUCAGUUUAGGGUUCCCACCAUUUUCAUUGAGUACUUUCCAUAUUAGGGUCACUCACAGCUGUCCUUACCAGUGGUACGGUAUUGACACCCCUCCAGUCAGGGCAGAGAUUGGACCUCAGCUUAGCCAUAACGGCAUACAUGGGGUAUAUCAGUUAAACACUAUUUCCCAUAGUUUCAGUAUCAGUUUUAGUAAAAGAACUUGGAUAGUUCUUUAGAUUUUAGUAUAUACAGGACUGUCAGAUACAGCCGUCCAUGUUAUCAGUUUUAGUAUUAGUCAGGGCAGUUACCAGUAAACCAUGUACUAGCUUACAAGUCAUGCUAUCACGUAUUCACGAUCCCAGUUUCUAUAUAUAUGUGUUUACAUUCGCACGUUCAUAUUAGUCAGCCAGUGUUGUUCAUACAUGAAACCUUUUAUGUUUAGCCUACCUUCCUCAUAUACUCAGUACUCCAGUUGUACUGACGCAUUUCCACUAUGGUUCUUUUUUUUAUGUUACACCAUAGGUUUUGAGACACGAGCUCCAGCCCAGCAGUAGCGGUAGCGUUCUAGUCUUAGAGACACAGUGAGUCCUUAUUGAUUCGAGGACAAUAUCAUUUGAUUCAUUUAUUUACUCUUCAGUUUAGUUUUAUGGAGUUAGUUGGAGACAUGUUCCUUUAACUCCUUAUUGAGAUAGUUUAGAGGCUUUCAGAUUUACUUUCAAAUUUAUGUUCAGAUUUAGUUUUUUUGGGUAUUUUAGCCCACAUGGUUUUAUUCAGUUGAACCUUAUGGCCUUAUAGUUCCAUGUAUUCCGCAUUAUUAUACUAUGAUUUGCAGUAUAUAGGUACAGAUAUCAGCCAUGGGUUAGAUUGUGGUCCCUUGGGUUCAUGAGCACCGUGUAGCAUUCUGGUUCAGCAAAUUGGGGUGUUACAAACUUGGUAUCAGAGCCUAGGGGUCAAUAGAGUCCUAGGAAGUCUAAAAGCCGCAUCUAGUACAGUCUUGUACAUAGGUGUGUUGCGCACCACAUUUAUGUGCGGGAGGCUAUAAGAUGUUUUAGGAAGAGUUUCCUUUCUUCAUUAUUCAUGUCAUGCUAGUGAGCAUAAUCACAAGUUAAACUCUCAGUCUAAUCCAUUCUUCUCUUAUUCCAGACCAUGGCCCCAAAGAGAAGAAACCAGCCAACUCCUCAGCCCGAAGAUCCUUUGGGCGAACAUGUUUCCCAUGCAGAGUUUAGAGCCGCAUUUACCACACUUGCUCAGUCCAUGGCUGCACAGAACGAAUGGAUACCAGUCAUUUCGGCCAAUCCAGUGGCCACUCCCAAAGAAGCUAGGGUUCGGGACUUUACCCGGAUGAACCCUCUAUCUUUCCAUGGGUCUAAGUCUGAUGAGGACCCUCAGGAGUUUAUUGACCAAAUCUAGAAGGUCAUUGACAUCAUGGGUGUUACUUCUAUUGAGAGUCUGAGUUAGCCACCUACCAGUUACAGGAUAUUGCUCAUGAUUGGUACAAACAGUGGAAGUCUGAGAGGUUAGAUAAUAUAGGCCCUAUCGAGUGGGAGGAAUUUGUCACAUCCUUCUUAAAUAGAAUCUUUCCCCAAGAGCUGAGGAAAGCCAAAGUUCUUGAGUUCAUCAACCUCAGGCAAGGGAAUAUGACAGUUAAGGAGUAUUCUCUCAGAUUUACUCAGCUAUCUAGGUAUGCUCCUCAUGUGGUUGCAGACAAUAGAGCUAAGAUGAGCAAGUUCGUGUUAGGGGUCAACGAUAGCAUGGUAAAUGAGUGUAGGUCUACGAUGCUGAUCGGGGAUAUGACCUUAGCAAGACUCAUGACCCAUGCCCAGCAAGUAGAAGAGCAGAAGUUUAAGACUAGAGAGAGGCAUAACAAGAGAGCAAGGUCAGGUAAUUUCAACUUUGCUCACCCCAAGUCAGAUGAAGGAAACCGUUCAAAGUUUCACUCCAAUUCAGCCGUUCCAGCUCCUUCCUCUGCCAGCGCUCCAGUGCCGAAGUUCAGAGAUGGCAAUAAAGAUAAAGCACCAGGCUCUAAAUCUCAGGGCAGUGUUAGCAGUGCUCGAACGAAUUCCCUUCGUCAGACUUGUGGUAAGAACCACAAGGGUAUUUGCAGAGCCGGUAGUGAUGUCUAUUUUGGUUGUGGCAAGCCGGGCUACAGGAUUAGGGAGUCUCUGCAUUCAUAUCUUUAGGGUCAGCAAAAUUAUUCUACAGCUCAGUCCAGUCGCCUGAACCAGCAGGGUGCCAUUUUCAGUGCUACCAGUGGGCAAAGCCCAAACAGACUCUAUGCUCUUUAGUCCCGACAGAAUUAGGAAAAUUCUCCUAAUGUCGUUACUGGUACAUUACAGAUUUUCCUUGUUCAUGUUUAUGCUUUGCAAGACCUAGGUACAUCUUUGUCUUUUGUUACUCCAUACAUAGCAAGAGAUUUCGAAAUCAGUACCAAAGUCCUAGCAGAGCCCUUCUCAAUCUCUACCCUAGUGGGUAAAAUUAUCAUAGCUCGGCGGGUAUACAGGAACUGCUCGAUUAUGAUACCUCAGAAAUCCACAUCAGCAAAUUUAGUAGAGUUAGAGAUGACUGAUUUUGAUGUCAUUCUCGACAUGGAUUGGCCUCAGUUCUUCUAUACCACAGUCGACUGCAAAAAUAGAAUAGUUUAGUUUUAGUUCUUGAAUGAGCCCGUCCUAGAGUGGAAGGGUAGCAUUUCAGUGUUCAGGGGUCAACUUGUUUCCUACCUUCGGGCAAGGAAAAUAAUUUCUAAGGGGUGUGUGUAUCAUCUCUUGUAUGUUAAAAAUUCUAGUUCUAAAAAUCCCAGCCUCGAAAUAGUCCCUAUUUUCAAUGAAUACUCAGAUGUCUUUCCCGAAAAUCUUCUAGGCAUUCCUUCCAAAAGGGAAAUAGACUUCGGCAUAGACCUUCUUCUAGAUACUCAACCUAUUUCUAUUCUGCCAUAUAGAAGGGCACCAGCAAAACUCAAGAAACUAAAAGAUCAGUUGAAGGAUCUCUUAGAUAAGGGAUUCAUCAAACCCAGUGUUUCCCCAUGGGGUGCGACAGUAUUAUUCGUGUGCAAUAAAGACGGUUCUCUCAGGAUGUGUAUUGAUUAUCGUCAACUCAACAAGGUCAUGGUUAAGAAUAAAUAUCCUCUUCCCAGGAUUGAUGAUCUAUUCGAUCAACUUUAGGGUGCCAAUUACUUCUCCAAGAUAGACCUCAGAUCAGGCUAUCAUCAGCUCAGAGUUAGAGAAUGUGACAUUUCGAAGACAGCUUUCCAUACUCAGUAUGGUCACUUCAAAUUUCUAGUCAUGUCAUUUGGUCUUACUAAUGCCCCAGCAGCUUUUAUGGAUUUGAUAAAUCGUGUGUUCAAGAAGUACUUGGACAUAUUUGACAUACUCUUUAUAGAUGAUAUUCUGGUCUAUUCUCGCACAAAGCGUGAUCAUGCAGACCAUAUCAGGAUUGUUCUUCAGACUCUCAAGGAUCAUCAAUUAUUCGCUAAGUUCAGUAAGUGUGAAUUUUGGCUAAGAUCAGUAGCAUUCCUUGGCCAUAUUAUUUUCAGUGAUGGCAUUAGAGUAGAUCCUCAGAAAAUCGAGGCAGUAAGAAACUAGCCCAGACCCGUAUCUCCAUCAGAUAUUAUGAGUUUCUUAGGUUUGGCUGGCUAUUACAGAUGGUUUGUCGAGGUAUUUUCUUCUAUUGCAUCUCCCAUGUCCAUAUUGACUCAAAAGAAGAUUAAGUUUCAGUGGUCAGAUUCAUGCGAGAAGAGCUUUCCAGAGUUAAAGACUCGACUCACCUCUGCUCCAGUUCUAGCUAUUCCAAAUGGUUUAGAUGGUUUUUUAGUCUAUUGUGAUGCAUCCAGAGUGGGUUUAGGUUAUGUCCUCAUGCAUCAUGGUAAGGUCAUAGCCUACGCCUCCAGACAGUUAAAGCCACAUGAGAAGAAUUAUCCUACUCAUGAUCUUGAGUUAGCAGCGGUAGUUUUUGCCUUGAAGAUUUAGAGGCAUUAUCUCUAUGGAGUUCAUGUAGAUAUCUUCACAGACCAUAAGAGCCUUCAGUAUGUCUUUUUCUAGAAAGAUCUCAAUAUUCGCCAGAGAAGAUGGUUAGAGCUCUUGAAAAAUUAUGACAUGAGUGGUCUUUAUCAUCUGGGCAAGGCCAAUGUUGUGGCUAACGCUCUCAGUCGACUCUCCAUGGGUAGUAUUUCUCACGUUGAGGAUAGUAAGAAAAAAAUAGCUUAGGAGAUCCAUCAGCUUGCCAGUCUAGGCGUUUGCUUAGUUGAUUCUUUAGAGGGGGGUGUAUAUGUUCAUAGAAGUUCAGAGUCAUCUCUAGUUUCCGAGGUGAAAGAGAAACAAGACAGGGAUCCUAGCCUUGUCAAGCUCAAAGAGUCAGUUCAGAAUCAGAAAGUCGAGGUUUCCUCCCAAGGUGAAAAUGGUGUUCUUAAUUGUCAGGGUCGUCUAUGUGUUCCAGGUGUAGAUGAAUUGAGGCAGCGAAUUCUUACAGAAGCUCAUGGUGUGUAAUACUCUAUUCAUUCAGAGGCCACUAACAUGUACCGCAACAUGCGGGAGAUCUAUUGGUGGAGUGGGAUAAAGAGAGAUAUUGCAGAGUUUGUGGCUAAGUGCUCUAAAUGUCAGUAGGUUAAGAUAGAGCAUCUGAAACCUAGUGGUUCCAUGCAAGAGUUCACCAUUCCUACUUGGAAGUGGGAAGAAGUUAACAUGGACUUUGUGAUGGGUUUGCCUAGAACUCGUCAUCAGCAUGAUUCAGUCUGGGUCAUUAUAGAUAGAAUGACCAAGUCAGCUCAUUUCCUUCCUGUUCGUACUUCUUAUUCCACCAAGGAUUAUGCCAAACUCUAUAUAAAAGAGUUAUUCAGAUUACACGGUGUUCCACUAUCCAUCAUUUCAGACAGAGGUACCUAGUUCACUUCUUACUUUUGGAAAGCAUUCCAAAAGGGUCUUGGUACCCAAGUCUAUCUCAGCAUAGCAUUUCAUCCUCAGACAGAUGGCCAAUCAUAGAGGACCAUUCAGGCUCUUGAAGAUAUGCUAAGGGUGUGUGGAAUUGACUUCAAGGAAAGUUGGGAUGACCACUUGCCUUUGAUUGAGUUUGCAUACAACAAUACCUAUCAUUCUAGUAUUCAGAUGGCUCCAUUCGAAGCUCUUUAUGGUAGGAGAUGUAGAUCUCUGGUUGGUUGGCUUGAAGUUAGUGAGGCCUCAGUCAUAGGUCCUGACUUAGUAUUCUACGCCUUAGAGAAAGUUCAGUUGAUUAGAGAGAGACUCUUAGCUGCUCAGAGCCGACAGAAGUCCUAUGAAGAUGUUUGUAGAAAGUAUCUCGAGUUUGAGGUCAAUGACUAUGUCUAUCUUAAUAUCUCUCCCAUGGAAGGAUUAAAGAGGUUCGGCAAGAAAGCGAAACUCAGUCCCCAGUAUGUCGAUCCCUUCAAAAUUCUUUAUCGCUUUGGCAAGGUAGCUUAUGAGAUUGAGUUGCCUUCAGAUCUAGCCUUAGUCCAUCCAGUCUUUCGUGUCUCUUUGCUAAAGAAGUGCAUAAGUGACCCAGUAGUUGUUGUCCCUAUUCAAAGCAUCGACAUUUAGAACAGCCUCUCUUAUGAAAAGAUUCCAGUCAAAAUCUUAGAUUAUCAGACUCGUAGAUUGAGGAACAAAGAAGUCCCUCUAGUCAAGGUUCUUUGGCGAAAUCAGUCUUAUGAAGGAGCUACUUGGGAAGCAAAAGCAGAUAUACGUACCAAGUAUCCUUACCUCUUUCCCGCCAAUUCAGAUCAAGCUCAAGGUAACAGUUCUCCUUAAGCUUAUUAAGUUUCAUGUUCAUGUUUCCAGUAUAAACUUGGUAGCUAUUAACCGUUUCAUACUUAGUCACGCAUUUAUGUAUCUAUUGUCCUUGCAUCAGAUAUGCACACGAGUUUAGUAUGUUUAGCAUGUCAGUCAUGAGAUCAAGUUUCAGCUCUUCAUGUUCAGUUCAGGUUCUAUUGUCUUGUAUCUUUUCUCAAUAAAUUCUUAUUCGAGGACGAAUGUUCCCAAGGGGGAGAUAUUGUAAUACCCUGCAUGUUUCUAAUCCUGUGAUUCAUACUUCAGUACAUGACUUACAAUGAAUAUCCUAGUGAUAGGAUAGCUUAGGAUGCAUUAAGCAUGUUUAUAUGAGUCACUUAAGGUAAUACAAGCUAAGAGUUUUUUUGAAUCCAUCAAGUCUUAGUGUUUAACUUUGCAGGGGUCAUCUUUGAAUGAGUAUAACUCGAUGUUAAUGUGGUAUUUUGGAUGAUUUAGACCCACCAAGUUGUAGAAAAUUGAAUUAGCUUUCCAACGAUACCAACUUUGCCUUAAUCUAAUACCCGAACGAAAAGUUAUGCCCAUUUUCGUGAGAGACAGUAAGCAUAGGCGAUUGGUUAGGCGUCGCCUAACCCAAGCAUAGGCGAUUGGUUAGGAGCCGCCCAACCUAGGCAUAGGCGAUCACUUGGGCGCCGCUUAAGCCAAUUUCAGGUGUCAAAAACACUCUGUCUUGAGUUAUUUUAAAAGGAAUUAAGUCUUUAAAUACUCCUUACACGUCCCUAAACUUAACCCUACAAAAUUUAUAUCUUCUAAACAUACUACAACCCUAUUUUCAUCUCAAAGCUCAUCAUCCAAGAGCACUAAAGGAGAAAAACAACUAGGGUUGCAUAAGUAAGCUUAAAGAUCCGAUUUCAAGGAAAUUCCUCUGUCAAUCAUCAAGAAUCUUCCGUUUAAGGUAUGCAUAGUAUUCAUCUAUGGAUUCAAUUAGUUCAUAGAGUCCAAGAAUCAAUCUUUAAAAUACAAAAGCUUGGUUGAUUGUGGUGAUAUGAUCAUACCCAUGUUAAUGCUUGUUUGUUUUCCCCUUUUUCAUUAUAAAAGUAUGAUUUCUAUAUUGUUGGGUGUUGAUGAUCAUGUUGUUGAUAUUGGAUGAUUCCCAAGAUGGAAUCUUUAUAUGUUUUUGUGAAUUCAUGAUAUCAUAUCAGUUGGAAACAUGUAAAUUUGGUCGUUCAUGAUGUAUAAUUUGAUGAAUUCACCUAUGCUUAAGAUGUGCAUGUAAGGUGUUUGAUAAAAUGCCUAAAGAACUAGAAAUCAUGCAAUAUAGCUAAAUUGUGACUAAGUGAAGGAUUCAUGAUAUGCCCUCAUGUUCCAAUGACUUCUAUGAUUGAUAAUGUGUGUAUGAUAACCAUCCAAUCCACAUGAACUUCCAUGCUAUUAGUAUGUGUUACCAAUAUGAUUAUGCAACGAACAUGAUAUUAAGAUUGUGCAAGUACUUUCAUGUGAUAUGAAAUCCUUUCCAUACAAUACAUUGUUGAUAACCAUGCAUAGUAUAAGAUCCCUACUUAUGAUAUUAUACAUUAUGGACUCUACUCUUAUGAUCAAGUCAGUCAUGCACGUCAGUUUCCUUUCAUCGAGUUCUGGGGGUACUUGUACCUGAAAACUAUAGUUGUGUGCCUAGAUCCAUGUCAUGUUUCACGAUAUCCGAACUCAAUCUAUGAUUCCAUAGACUUCAGUCAGUCAUGUGACUCAGGAAAAUCUUAUGAUCUUAGUCAGUUGUCAUAUAUCAGUAAUAUUUCGUCAGUCAUUGGAAUCCAGAAACUAUGUUUAACUCUGCUAAACAAUACCCCUAGUAUCAGUCCAGUUAAUCAGUAUCAGUUCAGUUAAUCAGUUCAAUUCAGUUAUUCAGCUCAACUUAGUUAUUCAAUUUAGUAUCCUUCAGAUGGGAGUAGAGGUUAGCACCGAGUGAACCCAAGGAUGGGAACUCACCCGCCAGUUCAGGGUGUGAUUCUUAGUAGCAAUCCUUGUGUUCCAGAUCUACAUAGCUAGCGUAGGUUGAGACAUUUUAACCCAUCAGCUUAGGGUUGAUGAGGUGGCUUAACCUGUCAGUUUAGGGUUCCCACCAUUCUCAUUGAGUACCCUCCAGAUUAGGGUCACUCACAGCUGUCCUUACCAGUGGCAUAGUAUUGACACCCCUCCAGUUGGGGCAGAUAUUGGACCCCGGCUUAGCCAUAACGGCAUACAUGGGGCAUGUCGGUUAAACACUAUUUCCCACAAUUUCAGUAUCAGUCUCAGUAAAAGAACUCUAAUAGUUCUUCAGAUUUCAGUAUAUACAGGACUGUCAGAUACAGUCAUCCAUGUUAUCAAUUUCAGUAUCAGUCAGGACAGUUAUCAGUAAACUAUGUAUUAGCUUACAAGUCAUGCUAUCAUGUAUUCACGGUCCCAGUUUCUAUAUAUGUGUGUUUGCACUCCCACGUUCAUAUUAGUCAGUCAGUCUUGUUCAUACAUGAAACCCUUUAUGUUCGACCUACCCUCCUCGUAUACUUAGUACUCCAAUUGUACUGACGUAUUUGCGCUAUGGUACUUUCUUUUCAUGUUACACCAUAGGUUUCGAGACCCGAGCUCCAGCCCAGCAGUAGCGGUAGCAUUCCAGUCUCAGAGACACAGUGAGUCCUUAUUGAUUCGAGGACAGUAUGAUUUGAUUCAUUUAUUUACUCUUCAGUUCAAUUUUAUGGAUUUAGUUGGAGAUAUGUUCCUUCAACUCCUUAUUCAGACAGUUUAGAGGCUUUUGAAUUUACUUUUAGAUUUAUGUUCAGAUUUAGUUUUUUUGGGUAUUUUUGGCCAUAUGGUUUUAUUCAAUUGAACCUUAUGGCCUUACAGUUCCAUGUAUUCUACAUUAUUAUAUUAUGAUUUGUAGUAUACAGGUACAGAUAUCAGUCAUGGGUUAGCUUGUGGUCCCUCGGGGUCAUGAGCAUCAUGUAGCAUUUCAGUUCAGCAAAUCAAGGUGUUACAAUUAGGGAGGAGGUGGACAUCUUGUGAGCAGAUAUACGCUCUCUCACAAAGUGAUAUAUGAUGGUUGCUCCUCCAGUCAUACCCCUAGUCAUUCGGAUAUCACCUCUACUUGGGCCUAGGCAUUUUGAUUUAUUUGUCAAAGAUGAUAAAGAGGUACCACUAGUUGGGGCCAAGAGAGGAAGUGUGGGGGAAUCUAUAGGAUUUUAAUAUAUAAUAUGAUUAGGACUUUAAAAAGGCCAGAUAUGAUUCGAUGAAUUUUGUAAUUGUUGAUAGGUAGAGGCAUACAGAGAUAGCAGCGGGUUCAUCUUCUAGUAGUGCACCACUACCACCACUGCCUCUGUCAGUGGAUAUACCCCCAUCUGGGGAUACCAUGACACGGAUGCUUAGUGUAUCCAGGUAUGUCCUCAUUCCCUUUGUUUUUAUACUAUUUUAGCGAAUUGGGGAUAGUGAACAGCUUUCAGUUGGGGGUGGGGUAUACCAUAGUCGCCAUGGGUUUUUGUUUUCAUGUUUUUUUUUUCUAUCGGUUACGGUAUGGUUGUCGAAUCGGCACGUCUAGGGUAAAUUUGUUUUGUAAUGUGUUUUGUUUCAUAUUGUGAUAUUUUUUGUGUAAUUAAGAGAUUUUUAAGUAUUUAGGGAAGUUGUCAUGUUUUUUUAUUAAUUUUUGUAAAAAAUAAUACCCCUCCAAAAUUUUAGAACUAUGUAAAUGUAUAUAUGUAUGAACAUUGUAGAUCUUGUUAUGGCAUUAGGAUUAGGGACAUAAUAAUCACUUGCUAACAAUUGCAUGAACCAGAUAAGUAGUAGCUUGUAAUAUUGACUCUAUCCAUGUGUGUGAGAUGCUACUUAGUUCCCUUUGUGUGUUGAAGUCCAAACUUGCCCGGUCAGUCUUGCCUAGGUUGUAGGAUAUUUGGUUAGGAAAGGAUCAUAUGUCAUUUUUUACUUUAGUCCACUUUUAGCCUAAGUGACCUUCUGAAUGUGAAAUAGUAUCCAUCCAUCCCUGUUUUGAGCCUUAUAGUUGUUUUCUUGUUUCACCUUUCAUCUUCUCAUUUGUGUCAUAAUAACCUAUUUUGUCACAUUUCUCCUUGGACAUUGUGCACCUCAACUUAGGAAGAUCGCCUAAGUUGAGGGUGUCUAUCAUAGGGGUGUGUGAUAUAAAGUGGGUAUAUAGAAGGGUAAAAUAAAAAAGUUAGUAGGAAUGGGUGUGGUAUCAAAAGAAAAAGAAAAAAAAUAAAAGAAAAAGAAAAAAAUUGUGAAAAAGAAAGACUAAAAGACUACACCCAACCUAAAUGUGCAAUAAAGAAUAAGAAUGAAGAAAUAAGGGUGGAAUAAAAAGAAGGAUAGCUAAUGAGUGGACCCCAAAGUUAGUGUAGUGUCAAGGAGGCUCAGUCACUUAAUAUGUCCAUAUGUACCAUACCAGCUCCCCAAGCCUACAUUACAAGCUGAGAAAAGUCCUAUAGUGAUCCUAACUUGACUGUCUGAAUGUUAUGGUAAUGAAAAUAAGGGCAAUCCUAUGGUAUUUGAUGCACAUUGAUUGGAACUUCUCUUUUAAGUGUGAGUGUCUAUUGAUUGUCCCUACAUUGACAUGCAUUAUUUCAUAUGAGUGAGUGGGAUAUAUUUGUUGUGAGGGCACAUGAGUCAUAUUGCUAGCUGCUUACUGUGUUGGGUAGUGUAACUUGUCCAUAUGCACCGGUUGUCUGUUGCUAAUGUAAUGUCGUACCUUGCUCCUAUUGUGUCACAUUAUUGUGCUUCAUGUUUAUACUCAGUUCAUUUUAAAAAGUUGAUAUAGGAGAGGGUAUUGUGAUUUGAACUUGAAGUGUUGAUUGAUUUCCUUAGAUAUCUUAGAUUCUCCUAGUUAAGCGUCAUAUUUUAUUUUAUUGUGUUGUGUUUCCUGAGGGCAUGCAAACAUUCUAAGUUGAGGGUGUUAAUGUGUUAUAGAAAUACAACACUUUCGACGCUUAAAACUAUGAAAAUAUGAAAGUUUUUUAGGUUGUUUUGUUAGAUAUGAUGUGUUUUGGGUAUGUUUUGUAGGAAACUAGAUUUUGGAUGCUAAGUUCAAGAAAAAGAUGAAAAAUGGAGUUUUUGGCUAAUUACUUAAUCAUUUUUGGGAGUUUGUGAUACUUUUUGAAUGUACAUGAUCAAAGCAUGUGUUGAAACUUGAAGUUUGGAAGCUUCAUUAAAAGAUUUGGAAGGCCUAGCACUUACCUAUGUCUACAUGUAGACCACACGUAGCACAUAUGGUCUGUAUAUGACUAGGGUAAGUACCAGAAUUGAAGAUCCAGAGAGUGAAAGAGCUGAUAAAGAACUUCUGGCACUUUACCGCAUGUAGCACAUGUAAACCGCAUGUGGGUAAGGUAAGUGCCAGAAUUUCAAAGUCCAGAGAGUAGACAGUGUAGGAAAUUUUUCUGGCACUUACACAUGUCUACAUGUGCCCAGGGUCAGGCCACAUGUGGCACAUGCGCCUAAGUCCAGGCCGCAUGUAGACACAGGUAAGUGGCCACUGGCCCUUUUUUGCCUUUUUCGUCCGGGUUUUGAUUUUAAGAUUUCCUUAUGUACUAUAAAUACCCCUUAAGUAUUUUUUUUUGUAGAGGUUACACCCUUUUGAUACUUAAAAAUAUUUUUUAAUUUUGAGAUCUAAUUUUUGUCUUAGAAUUCUCUUGUAUUAAUUUUGGUUGAUUAAUUCAGUUAAAGUUUUGGGUUUUCAAUUGUGAUUAUUGUGAUUACAUCUUAUGAUUUUAAUUAUGAAUGUUGUUGACUCUUUCACAAGCAUAAGCAGCUAAAAACCCUUAUCUAGGAUUGUGGAAAUCCUGUCAGAUUAACGAAGUAGGGAAGUGCUACAUUUUUUCUGAAUCGAUACUCAUGCAUGCAUUGUAUUAUCUUCACUUUAAUAGCUAUCUUAGCUAUUGCAAACAUUAGAAUCCCACCUAGAUUAUUGUUGCUUACUCCAAAAGAGGAGUAGUGACUAGGAAAAGAUAAUUACAACAGUAAUUUAAAGUUUAACUUUCGAUCUAUGCUACUAGGUAUUAUCUAAGUCAGAUGGUUAGUUGUCAGCUAAUAACUGGAGACUCAAAAGGUAAUAGUUAACUAGAAUUUAGGAUAAGGAUUAGUAAGGCGACAUCCUGAGACUCAAAAUGUUAAAGGUAAAAUCUGUCAAUUAGUCCAAAAGAUAGUUGAUAGUACAUAACUUAUCAGAUUCUACAUGCAAGGUAUCGGGUUGGUUCAAUAAAGCAUGAUAAGCCUAGGGAGUUGAGAAGAAGGGGGGAACACAAUCCUAGUAUUCAUCGAUGGUUGAUUAAAACCAAAGUUAAUAUUAGCUGUUUGUUCUAUAUUGGCUCUACAAUCCACCCCUUACCCCCACCCUCGCAAUUUACUUUUCCAAUUUUGGCCAUUGAUUACAGCAGCUGAAAGCCACAAUUCUACGUAUCCCCUUGGGAUUCGACCCCAACCUUUAUUGGGUUACUAUAUUGACAUCAACCGCAUAAUCUUCAUAUUGAAGGUGUAGCUUGGGCGUUAUCAACAGAAAAGUGUAAAACUUCAAUUAGGACACAAGGUAUGAAAGAUCUGCACGAUAAGGAACAAAACAAGAAAAGUUUCUGAAGGAUGUCUUACAGUCUCUGGAAGAUAGAUAUAGACGUCUACGCACCGAUUCACAAAACUCUAUUAGACACCUCGCUCUGAUAUUAAUGAGAUCAAUGAACCUAGCUGCCUAAUACCAAUUUGUCACGGUCCAAAAACUAAGGGCCAUGAUGACACUUGUUUCGGCAAGCCUUGACAAGUAAGCCAAUCACUCAAACUGAUAUAAAAUGAGAAAACAACAGCAAAAUCCAAGGUAAGACUUCUAGAACAAAGUCAAACCAUACAAAUACGAUAAUAAUGGACAAGAACAUAUCAAUAAUACCAUAAAUACCCCCAAAAUCUGGUGUCACAGUGUAAGAACCCACUAAAUAUAAGUCGAGUCAAAAUAUACAUUUGAUGUCCAAAAAGGAACAAACUCUGUCUCUGAAUAUAAAAUAAGAUAAAGUCCAUAUAAGAAAAGAUAGAUGGUCAAUUCUGAAAUCAUAGAUCGACCACUACCUCGAACAUAACUUUAAGCACCGCCUAAAUCAGCUACUGUGUGGCGCACUCAUACCUGGAUCUGUAUUGAAAAGACACAAUAUGGAUGAGUACGGUCCACUUGUACAUAGUAGGUAUCAUAGGGCGAUUGACCAAAGUAGAAAAUAAAAAAUAUAAACGCAAACUAUAGGCAUGUCACCUGCUAGGGGUGUACAUAGGUCGAGUUGGUUCGAUUUUUAUUAAAAAAAACAAUCAUGUCGAUUUAUUAAAACUAUAAACCAAAUCAAACCAACAUAAAAUUGAUUUUUUCGGUUUAGGUUUUAGUCGGGUUUUUUUGGGUUUUUUUAUUUUUUUAAAUUUUUUUAUAAUAUUUAAUUUUUACAAUUAUAUUGUGAUCGAAGACUAGAUCAAAUAUAUUUUCACUCGUGUGCUAAUGAAAAACCAUAAUUAUGAAAAAAUUAGGAGUGAAAAACUCUCUUGAAACUAAAAAGUGAGAUGAAGAGUGAAAAGUUUAGGUUUUAAGUUUAUAUUGGGUUUUGAAUCAUUUAAUUAGCAAUUAAUGGACAAAUAUUACAACUUAAAGGCCCAAAUCUAAAUAUAUAUCUACAUCUACUUUCAAAUUAUUGAAAAUUACUAAAACUAGUUGAAAAAGUAUUUAAAAAUAUAUAUAUAUUAUGUCGGUUUGAUUCGGGUUCGGUUUGACUUUUUUUUGGUCAACACCAAAUUAAACCAAGAAUGGUCAGGUUUUUUUUCUAACGCCAAACCAAUCAAACCAAAUCAUAAGUCGGAUUUUUUUCUCGGUUUGGUUUGGUUCGUCGAUUCGGUUUGACUUGAUGGUUUGGUUUGUACACCCCUAUCACCUGCAAUCAAAAAAGUCUCAAAUGGUAGACCACACUGUCUCCACUAAUAGUUCUAAAAUAUACACAUAUACCACACACAAAUAUGAAAAAAAAGAACAAAUAUACAUGAUUACCAAAUACAAGUAGGACAAAGGAGUACAAAUAGACAGAUAUCACAUCAAGGAAGAUAAUACAACAUAAAGUGAGCACAAUACAUGAAAUACAAUAAAGAUGAUGAUGAUGUGAUGUUAUGUGAUGCAUGAGGUCGUAUCACAAUCUCUGUAUACAUCUACCGAAUUGUGCUCUCUAGGUAGGACCCAUGAGGGGGUCGUCAAUCCAUAUACAAUCCGAUAUCCAAUACCAAUAUCCAUAACUCCUCUCUGGCACAUCUAUUCAUAAAGGACUUUUAAAGAUAUCACAUUUUCUGUUAGUAAAAGCCAGUAUUUCCGUGGUUGUACCAAUAUUUCAUGAAUACAUAUGGUAUGAGGAUGUAAUGUUUACAAUCAACCAGAAUGAGAAUUUUCAAGAUCCAACCAAUAUAUCAACCAUGUGAGCCAAAAUUCACUCAAUAUGUCAAUCAUCCAUGAAUCCAAUUUAAUACAUAUGCCAAUAGAGUAAAAUACACAAUAAUAUGACAUUGAUACCACAUAAAUUCCAAUUUAGUCUUUUUCACAAGAAAAGAUACAACCAAACAUACAUAGACAAGGCUAACAAGAUCAUAUAAGACCUCAUACGAUCACACAUAGCAAACAAUGUCUCAAAACCAUCAAAUAGCAACAACAUAGGCCCCUACAUGGGUUUAACACAAUAAUAACAAUAUUUCAUGAUUGGUUCCCUUACCCAUGACAUGCUUUUAUACAAGUAUUAACUACUCAGCCCAGUCUGAAGAAAGUUAAGUCAUAACCUACCUCGAAUGUCGAAAACUGAUCCAAAAAGCCUUCAACACAAAGUUUUUCCUUACGAAUGAAUCUAGAAUCAACUAAAACAUACAAAUAUAGAGUUUACACGUUAAAAGAAAAUCAACGAUACCCAUAUUAUUCAAUUUUGAUUUGGGAUCAAAAUGGAUCCCCGAAAUAAAUUUUCAAAAAAGAAGGAUAAGAUCAAAAUUUUUGUUCAAAAGGAUAUUUUCCAUGAUUAAAGAAAUCCAAGGGAUAAAAUCCAUGUGAAAACGAAUUGAAAUUGGGGUUUAAAUCAAAGAAUUACUAAUUUUAGGCCUUUCGGGCCAAAAUCCUCAAAUUUUAUUUUUGAAUUCAAGUUUUAAUAAGAUUUAAAUGACAAGAAUCAAACAAAAAUAAUUGAAAUAGGGAUUUAAAAUUUAUCCAAGCUUGAAAAUGGGAGAAAUUAUCCAAAAACUCUAAGAUCCAAGUCUCAAAAAUGACAAAAAUUGAGAAAAGAGGAUGUACAUACCACCAGGCAUCGCUUAAGCGACCACCGGAUUGCUUAAACAGAUGUCCCUUAAGCGACCAGGUGUCACUUUCGCGAUACCCUCCUGGUCAGCGAGUGUUGCGUAAGCAGUCGGGUAGUCGCUUAAGCAAGUCUGUCAUCGUGUAGGCGAAACUUUGGCUGUUAAGACCAUUCGCUUAAGUGGUGCACUAGUUGAAGACUUAAAGAAUUUCAAGUCUACGUAGAUCUCUCAGGAUUCGUCUGGAAUCCCAAGAACGCAGACGAACUAUGCUGCUAGACUAAAUUCGACGCUUCGGACUUAAUGGCGAUAUUAGAAUUUCAAAAAAGAUAUCAUUUUCACAAAGUUGAUCCCCGAAAUUCAAUUUCACAACUUUCCGAACCAAGGGACAAAAUGAGAUACAAAAGUCGUAAAACUACACCAACCAUGUUACCAAUCUAAAAUCGACGUUCCGGAUCUGCUAGCGCAGUCUGUUUUGUCAUCAGACGCACAAAUCAAUAAAAUAUUGACCGAAGUCAACUAAUAAGCCUUUUUAACCUCCAAAAACCACAAACUAGCAUAAAUCACACCGAAAUGGAUUGAAAACCAUGCUAAUCAUCCCCACACUCCAGAAAUAUUACAAAGCAACUACAAAAAGUGGUAAAAUGAUCAAAUCACAUAGAAAUAAAUAAUUCACAAGAAUCACCAAGAAUCACCAAAAAUCAAGACGUUACAAUGUGUUUAUAUAUGUGUAGGAAGCGGUUAGAAGUGAAACAGAGGUAGAAGGAGCAAGAACAUGAAAAAAAAAAAUAGUAGUAGCGAAAUUUACUGCCAAUUAAUCAGUUUAAGUGGAUAACUCAAUAGGAUAUUUAGAUAAAUCAUAACCCAUUUGUUCCACUUCAACUUCAACAAUUUACUUGUUUAUUACGUUUCCAUCACAAGUAAUUACAUGGUAAUCAAAUUAUCUUUUGGUAUGAGUUCUUAUAAUGACACUUUCAAAGCAUGUCCAUAUCUUUUGCUGUGCAAUUCUUCAAUCAUUAUGUGUACUUAAACCACUUCUAUCUUGUGAUGAAAUUGACAUGGCAUUAAUUGCUUGAAGCGCAGUACAUAUGCUGCCGCAUUAACGGAACUCAAGUCUUGAUGUUGUAUUAAGUAUCGAGGUGAAAUUUAUUAUUUUUAAUUGGCCUGUCCCUUUCGCUCCGAAUUUUUUCACACAAAGAAGAAAUUAAAAUCUUGAAUGAGAUUUAUUUAGAAACAAAAAGGGCAGGAGCUUUUAUUUUUUUCAUUAUUUGCUCCUAAUUACAAGUCGCUCUUGCUAGGUCUUUGCCUAAAAACAAAGACUAGAAACCAGUACUGCUAGAAAAUUACAAUAGCCAAGGUUCUACAUGCAUACAUUUUAAAAGGACCUACGCUGUGGAGAUAAAAGGAGGCUCUCUCCUCCUCUGUUCAUCUUCAAGCGCUGUGCUUCAUUUGGUGAUAUCUGGUAGGCAUUUGUGAGGACCUCAACGGGCAUGGCUCUAAUCACUGAUGUGUAACCUGCUAGUUGGCUGUUCAUUGGUUGACUGCUUGUCCUCAACACCACCCAUUCAAAUCCAUUCUGCCCUGCUCUCAAUGUUGAGGCGAAAUAUUGAGGAACAACAAACAUCUCUCCCUGGUUCACCCUGUCAUUCAUUACUUGUUGUCCAGUGUGGUCUACUACCUGCACUUGUGCAUCUCCAGUUUGUACAUACACCACGCAGUGGCCAUUCACUGCCCAAUGAGGGCUCAUCACUGCAUUCUGCAUCCGCAAAUUUUAAUCAAUUUUCGUCAUAGUACUAGUAGAAAAUUUUUUAUUUUAAUCAUCUCAGCAGAACGAUUCAUUUAAUUACCGGAUAGAGGGUUCCUUUAGUGGCACUCAUGUCCAUGUAUUGAAGGAUGGGAAGUUUUUGGCCGUUGACAUGGUUAAUUUUGCCGGCUUGCCUUGAGAAGAUAUCAGCUCGUCUUCGAGUAUCCAUGUUGGCGCGGUAUUUCAUUGUGCAAACGUUUUCUUCCAAGCCAUUUCCUCUCCUUCGCCAUGGGUUAUACGGCCGUGAACACCCUUGCUGCUCUUCGAAUUCCUCCUCUUCUUCUUCAUCGGGCCUAAUCAUGCUCAUUCCUUCCCUGACAUUAACAAUCAAUCCACGUUCACUUUGCUCUUCUUGCAUCUUACUCACGAUCUCUGUGGGGAUGUUGAAGGCCUCAGCCAUCAAUUCUCUGUCAAAAGAACGAAAAAUGUUCUGAAACUUCUGCGUGAUUUGCUUUCUUAGACCAAUUUGAGUUCUUUUCUUCUCACUUUCUUGUACUCCACCAGCCAAGUAAAAUGCCUAUCGUCCACACAAAUAGUACAAUCCAUGAAUAAGUACAUCGAAUUAAGAAAAGAUUAGAAAUUCAUUAUAUGCACGGGAACUGCAAGAAAUUAAAAUACUCUUACAUUGAUUGGUGUAGUUUAACUAGCGAAAUUCAUCAGUUACCAUUUUUAUCAAGACUAAUGUUGAUAGAGAGAUUUACCUGUAAUUACUUUUUAAGUAAACUGAAAAUCCAUCAGAUCACAUAAAGAAGUGGGAAUUAAUACUAAUUACUACUCCCUCCGUAUUCAAUUUCUAUGUCCUACUCGAAUGACUCUCUCCGUUUUGUAGAACUCUUUUAUUCAACUUUCACAAGACCUGUGUAAGACAUAAAAUUAAAGGACACUUGGAUCCAAUUACCUACCUUUAAGGUAGAAUAUUUAGUUUUAGACUAAAAGAUUCAAGUGUUUUUUUUUUUAAAUUUUCUUACACUCAAGAAAAAAUCGACACAAAGUUUGAAAAAAAAAAUAGACUUGAAUAUCAUGUCAAAUUAAAAUCAAACAAACAAAUUCAAAGAAACUGAAAGAGAGAGAGUGAUAAAUUUUACCCUGAAGUUCUGAUCAAGUUGGUUGGACUGAUGGUUGAGAUCGUUGAUGGAGAUGGCUACGAGCUCUUCCUCACCGUCGUUAAAGCACCAAUGAGCAGCACCAGCUGGAAUUGCCACAACAUCACCUUGGCGAAUGCGGUGAACUUUCUGGUGCUGAUCGCUUCUGCGGCCUUGUCCACUCUCUUCCCAUGAAUCUCGGCCAGCCUGGAAGGUCUGCGAUUGGGUCUGGAAAGUCUCAGCACAGCCGGGGAAAAUAAUGCUUAUCAAUCCCCGGCCACGCUCGAUGUAAACCAAGCGAGGCAUCGGAUGAAAAUUAGGCAAAGAGAGAGAACGACGACGAAGAACAUUCCUCAUAGGAGCAACUCCAGCGCACAGGAAUUGCUCCUCGUUCUCAUCCCACAGCUCAGUGAAGCCGCCCUCUGACUCAAUGCGUUGAGACGGCUGGCUUCCAGUGAGCCUCUGUAUGCGGCAUUGUUGUGCUUGAGUCAGACGAGUGCCUGUCUCACCGUACUGACCUGGUUGUCCCUGAUAUUCUCUAGCAUUUGCU
rnacentral:lncRNA from 1 species